UAAAACAUAGUAUUGGUAUUAAACUAUAUAAUAUACAUAUAAUCAAAUUUUAUAAUUCAAUUCUCAAAUUUAGCAAGUUAUUAAAUUUAUUUGAUUGAAUGAAUCUCAGCAAAUUCAGACUUAAGUACUUAAAUUACUGUGACGCCCCUACUUCUCCCUAAAGCGAACCAAAGGGUAUCCGGGGGACGCCUGCCCAGCUCUCGCCACGACUCAAGUAAUUUCCGUCCAAGCUUAAUACAAUACUAGACGUUACGAUUAAAUAUCAUAAAUACAAUCGGUGCGUAAGCAUUCAAGCUUAUCAAUAUUCAACAUCUGCCCAAUCAUUACAUCGGGACCUCGAAAUACAUCAAUAUUCAAAAUAUGCAUCAAUCACAAGUCUAGCCCCAAAGUGCAAUGGAAACCCUAAAACAAGAGUACACCAAGAGGGUUUCUCCAACAUUUCUCCAAGUCCAAUCCUGUUAAAGAAAACAAAUCUACAGGGUGAGCAAAAUGCUCGUGAGGCCAAGAACACACAUGCAAGCACGUUGUUUAGGUAACAAGCCCAAAUAACAGUUCAAAUGAUAAAUUACAAGUAAUUCAUAAAGCCAACGAAAUGUAAACAGAAACAAUUCAAGGAUAUGGUAGCUCUUAGGAGUUAAGUUCCACUUGCUUUGCCAGUUCAUUCGUAUAUCUUCCCGCGAUGACUCUCCGUCAACCGGGUUGAUAUUUCCAAACCGUAGAUCACCACUUACUUCUCAUCCGUCCACCCUACACCGCUUUGGGCCCGCACGACAUUUAUAAAGCUAUACUCCACGAGUAUGCCAAGCAAAAUCUCUCAAAUAGAUCAAGCUUAUCAUGUGAUUCUCAUGGCUCCCCAAGGUUCUCGACCAAUCCCAUGCCGGCUCGAGUCCCAAGGUCGGCCUAUGAGUUUGGGCGUCCCCCAUGUAUCAUGUAAGUGUCGAGGAGAUUCAAUAUAUACACAUAGUGAUGGAUCUUCCCAAAAUAACUUUCCAAUUUUAUCGGAUCACUUUUCAAUCUCCAACUCCUAUAAGGAAAACAAAGCUAAAAGGUUGAGCUAAAACCCAGUGAGGUUUGCCGAGCAAGUAACAUUUAAUAAACACUGAAAUCGGUACAAUUAAGCAAGUAAUGCAAAUUUCACUGUACAAUCACUUUCAUUAAACAAUUGAGGAAACACUUCACUAAACAAUCACUUUUAAAGGAUACGGUGCUCGCAUUAGAGCCACUUCAAUGCACUACACACUCCGCCGAACUCCUCCUUAUAACCUCCAAAACAGUAAACACUUCCCUCACUUAGAUGACCAUAUCAAUAUUGGUAAUCUGCUACUCCAUGAUAAUACUCGAGCAUACCGAAACACUUAUCCAAAGCUACCGUCCUAUCCGACCAAGCCCUUUUCUAGCUCGAAUAGUCCGUUGAACAGAGGGUUUUGGGGCCCAGUUCAGCCGGUGUGACAAAGUACACACACGGCUUAUAGUCAUGCACACUUACAAUAUCACUUGAUCAAUUAAAUCAUUUGAAUUAGGUUUGACUUUAAAUAUAACUAUAACAUAUUCAAUAUUUAUUCUAUUUUAUUGUCUAAACUAUUAAAAUCAAGUUUGACCCUAAAUGCAAAAUAUACGCGAUAUUUAUACCCCAAUAUUUAUUUUCCAAUUUAGUUCGAAACUCCUUGACUUUAUUAUCUUAAAUCAAGAUACAUACGUAUUUUCCGAGUUAAUAAUUUAUAAAAUAUUUAGUUUAGAAUUAAAUCAUUUUCCACUCAAGAUUCUAGAAUUAAGGCUUACAAGUACUCCAUUGGUCCCUUUUUAAUUAAUGAAUCCCUAGGUUAUUUGGUAAUUAGAUUUUAUUCCACUACACCAGUCACUCAAAUUUUAUAGCCUUUAAAAUAUUUGUGAAGACAAUAUUAAAUAAUUAGAGGCUACUUUUCGUAUAUAACUAUCGUGAGUUUUUCACUCAAUCGUCUUAGUUUAACUCUACUCAUGGACAUAGCCGUUAAUUCUCAGAACAAUCAUAGCUAUCAUUUAUGAAAGCUUACAGGUUGGAAAUUAGAAGAAAUGCUGGUUAAAACUAGUUCCUCACGGCUAGCAUCUUAGCAAAGUGCAUUCGGAAACAAAACGAAAGGCAACGAGAAAGGCAGCUUUGCCAUCCUCCGGUAUUUCGAUCAUAACUAGAGUUACGCUUAUCGGAUUGAGGCAAAUUUUAUAGCGUUUCGAAGCUAAGAUAUAGACCUACAUUUCUUAUGAAGAUAUCGAUACCCAUUUCUCGCAUUUUCAGGGUCAAAAAUGGCCGGACAGAAGCACAUUCUGCUUCAUUCCCUCGGCCGACAUCCUGCAAUCAGUGAACUUGUUCCCCCCUUCAUCACUCAGUUUAGUUCCUACUCAUUCCUGUUUUUCUGGUUAAAGUUUAGAGGCAUUAGUACAGGGUUUCAACUCUGUAAGUCAGUUUAGAAGCUAAGGUUUUGCAGGGAACAGUCAAGGAGCCGAAACCAUAGCUGAACCAGGCCUUCUACUCGGCCAAAUUGAAAGAAACGCAUGCAGCAGCUAAUUAUACAACAUGAAGCUCUUCAAAGUGUUUUUAGUUGUAUACCAAUCUUCCAUGCAAGCUGCAGCUAACAUACUAUGCAACAAAUCAGGUUUCAAGGUGGAAUUUUUAGAGCCAAAGUUCGUAAAGAAACCUGGUAAGUUUCUCUCCCUUCUCUCGGUUGAAGUGGAAAGAAUUCCAGCAGCUAUUUCUAUCAUUUCCAGCUUACUCCUCUCGGUUCCUAACUACUUUUCUUUCGAGCAGCUAUUCAGUUUCCUCAACUAAAACUCAUUUUUCCUAGUUAAAAUUUAACAUGCAGCUUAGGCAUUUAAUUAUACUAAAUAAGUAGGAGUUUGUUGCACAAUUUUUUUUUUACCUCUUUCCUUUAGAAUUCAACAGUUGCAGACUGCUCCAGUUUUUAAGCUUCGGUUCCGCCAGAUUGCACCAGCUCUCACUCUUUUCCCUCACUGAUGCAGUUGAGGCAUGAGUUGCAGACUGGUUUCACCUCUUUGUACUCGCUCUUAGCUCGCCGUUCUAAGGUCACAAGCUAGAUGAAUGCAGCUAACACUGUCUAACUCUCUCCUCCUCACUCUUUCGGUUGCACUGGAAGCAAGAGAAAAUCAGAAAUGCUUCCUUUUCUCCCUUUUGAUUGUGUACUGAGAUGAGAGCAAUAUGUCUUAGUUUCUCUCGGUCUUGCUCUCACUCUCUCUAUCUUGCUUUCUUUCCUCAAUCUCUGUUUCCUCUCACUCGGUGGUAUUUGGAAAUGCAUGGUGUGACCGAAACUCUCCCUCAGUUUGGUUUCUAAUACUGGGUUGGUAAGAAGAGAAAUGAACAUAUUUCCUUCACUCAGCCGACCACUCAAACCUCUUCAUUCGGUGCUGAUCAUUCCAGCUCUCAUUCGGUCACUGCUUACUCAGCAAUUUUGGUAGCAGGUUCACUUCGGCAGCUGUCCAAAUGAGAGUCACUCACCGCCCCAAAUCUCAGCUAGUUUCAUUUCCACCGCUUAGUCUAACAGAGCUUGCAUUCGGUUCAAUUAAGUGUGUUCCUUUCUCUCGGUUGGCUUCUAAAUUCUGAUAGCUCGUGUGUGAUGGCUGCAUGGUAAUUUAACCAAAAUUCUAAGGUUGGUUUGGUCUUUUAAAUUAGUUCAUUUGUUUGCCACGAGUCCGUAAUUUUAUUGUCUCAUACCUUGACCCAAAAUUUCGUGUGUUCUAAUUUGCAUUUACCUUAAAAAUUUCUUACAUUGAUUUUGACACAUUUAUCUUUAAAAAAAACUUAUUAGACAUGUACUUGUUGAAUUUAUUUAUUUUUUUCUAACUUCUCAAUUUAUGGGGGUCCAAUUAGGCAUUUAAGGUAACUGUUUAUGUAUAAUUUUUCUAAUAUCAAAGUAAAUAAAAUAAAAAUAAUUUUAAGGUGUACACAUAAUUUUCUCGGGUUCUCACAAACUGGCCGGAUUCAAGGCCGGAUUCUGGUAGAAAAGUUCCCGCGCGGAUUUCUUUUGAAAGUUCCAAAGUUUUCGAUUUUUGGUGCAAUUUUUGAAAAAUCAUAACUUAUUUUCUACAAGUCAAAAAUUGGUACAUUUGGUACCGUUGGAAACAUCUUCCAAAGUACUAAAAUUUCCUAGAAGACACCUUUCCAUGAAUCUAAGUGGAAGGCACUCAAAUUUUGGCUCAAAGUUGGUAACUUGAGUUACCAAGGUAGUUUUAAGUUGGUUUUUGGCCAACUUUGAAAAUUCGGCAAAAUUCACUCGAUUUGAACUAGCCUUUGAAAUUUUAAACUCUAUUAGAGUUGCAAUCCAAGAGUAUAAUAAAACAAGCAGAAUGAUAAAUGGAGUUUUGAGCACCGAGAUAUGGUGACCCAAAGUUACUAAAAUUUCCUUGAUAAAUAAGGGUUUUUCUGCUUAAAUCAUGAACUUUGGAAGUUUGAUUGAACAUUGAAACGGCUUUGGAAUAGCACCAAAUUUGGUAUGGACAUACUACCAUAUGAGGGUUACUCCUCUACCAAAUUUCAUGAAUAAAUAUGCACGGGAAGUUGGUGAACUAAAGCACCAAAAUUUCAAAGUUUCCAAGGCAAUUUGCCUUGUAAGUUCCGUUUUGCCGUUUUCAAAACGUUUAACCUAGAGGGUACCUCAACCAUGGUCCAUUUACAUGGAAAAGGUCUAAGGGCAUCCCAAAACAACAUUUGUGGGUGAUUAACACGAAAAAAUUCAAUUAGCAAGUCUACACCAAGCCUUGUAUCAAUUUUGUCCAAAAGUAAGGGAUUUCAAAAGCAGGGCAGGUUCCAUAUUUUGAUCACAAGUCACUCAAUUUAACUCAGAAUUGAGCAUGGUUUAUGGUGUUAGAAAAUAAAUCCAUAGAGCUAUAAUUUCACAGAAGAAAUCAUUUUGAAAUUCAGCACACAACUAGCUUGAAUUCGAGCCUCAAGUCGGAGCUUUAGCAUUUCAUUCCAGGAAAACAGAGAAACAGAACCGCCAACUUUAAAUGGUUGGUUCGGCUCACACACAUGGAACCAGAAUGUGUAUUUUAUACUGUCAGAAAUCUGGGAAUGUCUAGUUUCCAAUGCCACUUACGGCACUCAAUUUCGACGUCGGAGCAUAGAGUUAUGGAUGAAACAAGAAAGCUGGUCUGAGCAUUACGGGAACAGUUUCCAGGUUUACUAGCUUCACAAAAAUAAUUCCUUUGACCAACCAAACCUCAAUAUUUUUUUGUGAAAUUUUGUACACUAUCCAUACAAUAUAUAAACAUCAUAUACAAGUCAUUAAACCCUCAAAAUUUCACAAAAAGGGGCACGAUCAAAACAGGGGCAGAAUUGAAACUUUUUCUCUCAUGCACUCCUUGAAGUUUAUACUAGCUAUGCACUAUUAAUCUACCAUUUUGAGCACUAAACCAACAUUAAAUCCAUCAUCAAGCACCACAUCAGCCAUCAACCCAAGAGUGGGAGUUCAUAGAGCCCACAUUUAAAAAUUUCCAACAAUAACAAGCCACCCACAUGAAUAUCUAAACUCCUAAGUGUAAAACAACCUCCAUAGGCCAAGAUUAGAGUUUUGGAUCUUUUUUUUUUUUUUUUUUUAUAAAUUAUUUUAUUUUAUUGAUAGGAGUAAAUUUUACACACUGAGAAAGACCAAUUCGAAGUACAGCAAUCGACUGAAAAGGUAAUAAAUCAAACACAAAACCUCCAUGUCUCGUUCAACCGCAUAUUAGCUCCAGUUGUCCUUUGUUCUCAGCCCUUCAUACGCUUACUUUUCCGAAUUGAAGGCAUUCCUAAUCUAUCAAGUCGAAUGGCCCCACGAGCCAUAGUUGGGAACCAAUUAAAGGCCUCGUAAAGCUUGACUUGAUGCUCUGGAUGAGAUAUGCCCACAUUGGACAGCGCAUCAGCAACUUUGUUAGCUUCCCUAUAGCAAUGCGAAAAACGAUCAGGAUCUUUCACCAACUGCCAAAUCUGCCUAAUCUCUAAUCGAAUCUUCCAGGGGCAUUGAAUGCGAUUCUGAAGAAUUCCAACUAAUAAUAAAGAAUCGGAUUGAACAUAGAGAUUUUGAAAACCCCUAUGUACACAAGUUUGAAGACCAAUAAGGAGUGCCUGAACCUCUGCACAUAGACUUGUAGUUUCCCCAAGAUAUGCUGAAAAGCCAAUCAAAGGUAUGCCAUUUGAAUCCCGAAGAACCCCACCACCUCCACUCACUCCUGGAUUGCCCUUAGAACAGCCAUCCGUAUUUAAUAUGAACCGAUCGGAUUCCUUUGCUUCCCAACGAACAAGUUUGUAUGUAACCUCAGUAUGAGAAGAAUACGACCAAUCAUACAAAUGAUGAAAUGACUGUACUCUGAAUACUUGUUUGAAAUGAAUUCCCACCAUGUUCUGGAUUUCCGAGAAAAUGGCACUACAAAUGGCAAUCGGCCUCAUCUGAACAUCCUCAAACAUUGCUUUAUUCCUUGCUUUCCAAAUCUGCCAACAGACAAUGCUGGGUAGAAUUUGCCCAAUAAAUCGUUGUAUUUCAGAAUCAUAUGAGUUGAGCCACCAACCCACUAUACGGGGCCUUAAAGAUGAUCCUGGAAAGGACAAACCACAUGAAGCUCCAAAAUAGUGCCAAACUGUCGACGCUAUAUGGCCAUUAGAAAAUAAAUGUUCAAUUGAUUCCUCAGAUGCCGAAGAACAGCAAAAGCACUUUGAAGGUAAAUGUAAACCAAGUUUACAUAACCGAUCUGGAACCGGCAGUCUCCCUAGCAACAAUCGUAGCAUGAAGAAUGAAACUUUGAAAGGGAGCUGAGAAUGCCAAAUUGUAUUAAAGACCAUGGACUUGUUGCGGGCCUGCCUAAUAUCCCGAAAUGCCGAAGCUAUAGAGAAGUUUCCAGAUGUUGUGAGCGUCCAAAUGACUUCAGAUUCACCCCCUUCUUCUGGAAUCGGGUGCUCUAAAAUAGAGGGCACCAUUUCCUUCGGCAGUAUCUGAUAUAACAAAUUCACAUCCCAGUGUCCAUUGAUGAUGAAAUUAGCAAAAGACAAAUGUGGGACAACGGUCGCUUGGUGGAACAAAGCACCACCCCCCAACCAAUUGUCGUACCAAAAAUGACAAGCGCCGUCUUUUGCAAUUCAUAGCAUAGAGAAUUCCACUUGUCGACUCACAUUGACCAUCCUGCGCCAGAGUGCGGAGUCCAUUGCCUUGAUUUCUACCUGACAAGGAUGAAGGUGUCUACAGUAUUUUGCUUUCAUAAAUUCAGCCCACAAUGACAAACCCUUUCUAAAAUUCCACCAAAGUUUGAAUGAGAAAGCUGUAUAGAUGUCUUGAAGCUUCCGAAAUCCAACUCCUCCCUCAUCUAUCGGAUAGCACAUAUGGGACCAACGUAUCCAGUGAAAUUUCGACCCCUCGGAUGAUGAGCUCCAUAAGAAGGUCGAUAAAGCCUUUUCUAUAGUUCUAAACACCUUAUUCGGGAUAACCGCAGCCGACAUCAGAUGUACUGGCAUCGAUGCCAAGACAUGUUUGAUUAGAACUAUCUUACCUCCAAAGGAAAGCAUCCUUGAUUUCCAUGAUAUAAUUCUCCCUAAAAUAGACUGACACGCUUCUCCAAAAUAUGAUGAUUUGCAUCUCCCAAAGUAAAGGGGGCACCCCAAAUACCGAAUUGGAAAUGGUUGCCAGGUAAACUUGGUGAUACGUUCAAUCACCCUUCGUCUUGCCGGUGGUAAAGAUGGAUGAACCAGGUAACAAGUUUUUAGCACAUUUAUUAGCUGACCCGAACACCUUUGAUACGCCUCUAGCACCUGCAUGAUGACCUUUAGAGAAUAAGAGGAUCCGUUUGCAAAUAUGAGAACAUCAUCCGCAAACGCCAAAUGAGUUAUAGUCGGACAAGCAUACGGGACUUUGAAUCCCACAAAACCCGAUUGCAUGGCAAGGUUAUUCAAUCCUCUAGAUAACACCUCAGCCCCUAUAAUGAAUAAAGCAGGCGAUAAAGGAUCACCCUGACGGAGGCCUCUCGUAGAUUUAAAAAAACCAUGAGAUGCCCCAUUUAAAAUGACCGAAAACCAGACAUUAGAGAUCAAUCGCCAUACUAAAUCAAUAAAUAUUUCUCCGAAGCCAAACCUCCUGAGAACAUCAAUAAUAUGAUCCCAUGCCACUCGGUCAUAAGCCUUAGACAUGUCAAGCUUCAUUACCACAUUGCCUCCUCUAUUCUUUUUCCUAAUACCCGAAACUAUCUCCUGAGCUAGCAGAAAGUUAUCUGUUAUAUUGCGCCCCUUCACAAAGCCUGUCUGCUGGGGUGAAAUAAUUUUGGGCAGUACAUAAGCAAUUCUAUCAGCUAAGAUCCUGGAUAGUAAUUUGUUGAAGAAGUUACACAAACUGAUGGGCCUAUAUUGAGAAAAAUCCUGAGGAUUUGGCAUCUUCGGAAUUAACACAAUGGAGGUAGAUGUGAAGAAUCGAGGCAACUCUGCCCCACAGAAAAAGCUGAGUAUUGCAUUAUAUACAUCUUGGGCGACAACUUCCCAGGCAAAUGUAAAAAAUUUUCCUGUAAAACCAUCUGGGCCAGCAGCACUAUCCCCAUCCAUUGAUCUCACGACUCGAUAGACUUCUUCAAUCGAAGGAACCUCUUCCAAUUUUCCAUUGUCCUCUUCCGAGAUUAUAGAUGGAAUUAGGUACCGCAAAUCGGAAGAUGACUGUAAAGAACACGUGAAUAGGUCAGAAAAAUAUGUUAUUGCCUCAGUUGCUAUAUCAUCAUUCUUGUCCACCCAAACACCGUUUGACUUUUUGAUGCGGUGUAUCAUUCCUUGAGCCCGUCUCUGUCUUACUACCGCAUGAAAAUACCUUGAAUUACGAUCUCCGUGUUUAAGCCAUUUGACCCGGGCUUUUUGGCUCCAAAAUUGCUCUUCAAUUGACAAUGCAUUCCGCAACUCCGCCUGAGCCUUGCUAAGCUCAACCUGACAUUCAUCCGAUGCAUAUUGAUCCAUAGCUUCCUCUGCGCGUUGGACCCCCAUUUCCGCAGAGCGAACAGCAUCAAAUACAUUCCCAAAGUGUUGCUUGUUCCAAGUUUGAAUAGCCCUCCUCGUUGCCAAAAGUUUAGAGCUCAAAACGCGCAAUGGAGAACCAGACACAUCUUGAUUCCAAGCAUAUCGAAUUACCUCCAAGAGUUCAGAUUUGGUUGUCCAGACGUUCAAAAAUCUGAAAGGCCGUGGCAUAUGAUCUGAUCUCUCCUUAAAUGAAAUUUUUAACGGUGCAUGAUCUGAAGGGUGUCUUGCCAGGUGAAGCACAGAAAUUGCAUUUGAGAGAUCCAAACAAGCCCCAUUGACUAAAAACCUAUCCAACCUCUUUGAAACCCGAGCUCUUCCUCUACGAUUGUUAGACCAUGUGAAGCUAGCUCCUGAAAAUCCUACGUCAAAAACUCCGGCAUCUUCCAUAAAAGACAUGAAUUCCAUCCCCUCCGCUAUAACAAAUGGACGUCCCCCUCGUUUUUCAUGAGGCACUAAAAUAACAUUAAAAUCACCCCCAAUGCACCAAGGAAGAGAAAUUGGCUUAUCAUUUAAUAAGGUAUACCAUAAGACACGGCGCUCCUGCACUGAGCACUUAGCAUGAACAAAAGACAUGACGAUUGGAGAAGAAAGCAAUUGACUUUGGACAUGUAUAGAAAUAUGCUGCUCCGAUCUACCCACAAUGGAACAUAUAAAAGGACUACUAUAGAAAACCCAAAUAUCACCCGAGUUAUUAACAAAGGUAUGAUCAAAUAAUAAUCGUAGACGAAUGGAGUCAAUUUUGGACUCGUCUAACUUUGGUUCACAAAUCACGACAAACUGAACAUGGUGAGUACGAACUAAUUUAAUCAAUCUUCGUAGAUUAGGGGCCUUAGCUACCCCUCUAAUAUUCCAAAAUAUUCCACUAAUCAUGAGAAAAACCUGGAAUUAGUUAUGGGAUGAUGUUGCCGAACGUAGCUGCCUGUCGGAUGGGAUGUAAGCUCGCACACCUUUAACCUUUUCUUGUCGGCAAUCCCUCUCCAAAGCUACAGAUUGGUCAAUGUUUAAAGUGUUAAUUGAUGGCUCCACUGACCUCUCACUUGUUACAACCAAUCUUGGAGAUAAAUUCCCUGCUGUAGUUGGCAAGGCUGCUUCAUCAACCGCAUCGGAUUUGGAAUCUUCCUCCUCGACCCCACACAAGUCGACAUAAAGAGUUUCAAGCUCAGUGGAGUCGGACUGUUGAAGAUAUUCACCUGCCAAAUGCUUCUCCUCAGCAGGUUGGGACCCGUCACCUUUGUUCCAACUGUGAUUGUCGGCAUUUUGAUUAACCAAGGUGGUAGUGUCGGCCAUUUGCUGUUGAACAUCUCCCAAGACUUGCUCCACUAGACUACGGGACCCUUCACAAUUAUGUGCAUGGUCUUGGCCUGCAAUUGUCGUUUGAACGUUGUGCAAUGGUCCCUCCCUGUCAUCAUCAACCACCGACUGUCCAUUUGCAUCAGCAGCGGAAGCUUCGGCAGCUUGAGCUUGGGCAGUAAUGCUGUUGAGCUUAUCAUCUUGUGGAGGAGUUGUAUUCUCUUUCUCAGCUAUCCGAUCAGGUCCAACAGAUUUCUCCAUUCCAGAUGUGGAAGCUCCUUGGACUGCAACAGCACCAAGUCGCGCAUCUUCAGUCGACACCUCCUUGUUGAUUUCAGUCGCAUCUUCAGUCGUAACCUCCUUGUGGAAGCUCCUUGUUGAUUUCCCUUCAUCUUUUGGAUUGUCCGCAGGAGUAAUAACUAACCCAUACUGAUUGUUCCCAAGUAUCUUAGAACCAUGCUGCAGCCGGUUGGUUUGAUGAUUGUGGUAUUGAAGUUCUCCCUUGGAAACAUUAUUCUUGCAGUUGGUAGACGAAUGACCCAAUCUCCAGCAGGAUGAACAAUAUGGUGGCAUGUUGUCUGGAACAAUUUUUUGCCAAAAUCCUGAUUCUCCUUCAACAGCUACCCAUAUCCUUGGCAUAACAAUCUUCGCUACAUCGAUCUCCACGCACACCCUGGCCACACUAGGACGUGUCCCAGCAGCUGUUGCCGAAUCCAGGAACAAUGGUCUUCCUACUGGAGAUAAUAUGGAGAACAAAGAGUGUUUAUCGAAAUAAUGAAUGGGUAAAUUUGGAAGCUCUACCCAAAUCGGAACCAGAGAUGACUCUCUUUGCACAUGAAACUCCCUGGUCCAGCGAAAUACCCGCAUCGGAUAAUUGCCCAAUUGCCAAAUCCCUCUUGUCCAAAUCCUGUUAAAAUCUACUUCAGCAGAGCACUUAAUCAGGACAUGUCUAUAAUCCAUCAAUCCAAUGGAGAUGUGGUCUUUUAGAUUUAAAGAAGCAAAGAACUUGCGAAUAUCCUCCAACGAAGGUCUCCCAUGAGAAAAUUUUCCAACCAAAGCCCAUCGAAACGGCACUGCUAGUUUUUCCACAUCUGCUCUCGAGAAGAUUACCGCAGCUUCACCUUUGUAAACAGUUGCCUGCCGAAUUUGGAUAGGAGAUGUUGAAGGCUGUGAGAAAAGUUGGGAGAAAGUUUUUUUCCCUGUAGGAGAUCCUUGCCCCUCAGCCGAUGGCUGAAGGGCAGCCAUGCAACCCUAAAAAUAUUUGCAGAAAGAGAGAGAAAAGAGGAAAGACUAGUCUGCGAGCCAAAAAAUUUUUAAGGAUUGUCUAUACUGUGGUGCAGCCAGAGUUUUGGAUCAUUACCUACUUUGGUGGGUGUACAAGAGCAGAAUUUCAGUUCCUUGAAGCUCCAAGAAAACCGUGGAAAGUGAGCUCCUUUGAUAGCUAGAUGAACUCUCCAAGUAACAAGCUAAGUGUGGUGAAAAUUUGAUGUGAAAUGGUGCAAGUUUGGUGAGGGAAAUGAAGAAGAAAAUGGAAGAACUUGGGUGUUGUUCUUUGCUCCCCGUUGCCCUGCUGCUCUAGUGAGGAAGAGAGAGAGAGUUGAUUCAAUUUUAGCUUCCAAGAGAAGCUUCAUUUGUGUGGUGUAAAACGGAGCAAAAGUCAACUCUCAAUAGUGCGCGUAGGGUGCGUUUGGGCUCGAUUUCUCUCGCAUUUGUUUCAUUAGUGCACUAAACCUGCAAUGCACUUAUAUUCAUGUAAAUAUUAUUCACUCUUAUUCAUCACAAAAUAAGGGUCUAAAGUCCCUCAAUUAAAAUCGCGCGUGUGAAAACGCGUACCACCAAUUUAAGCGCGAUAACGUAAAACCUCCAAGAAAUCCUUAUAACGAUAAUACUAAUAACUAUUACUUGAGUAUUUAAUCGUUAAAAUACCUAAUUUAGGUCCAUUGUAUAAGUCUUUAAUAUUCCAAGCCUAUUGUACUCUCAAUCGGGUAAAAUUUCCAAGCACUAUUCACUGUUCUCACUAAACGCGCUCCCGGAAAUUAAUUUUUGAAACAAAUCACUUUAAAAAUAUAAUGAAGCUAUAUUUCCACGUAAUUAGGUUCAAUAGGUCUAGAAAAUAAUACUCGGAAUAAAUGAACAAGUAAAUAAUUAAAUAAUCUCAAAAUAGGGUUUUAAUAGGAGUUUUACGAGUUCUCACAUGAGUCGAGUAUUAACUCCUCAAAUCUCCAAUAAAUUUGUAUCCAUGCAUCUUUUGGAAAACUAUCCACGCAUGAGUAGUAUAUGCUCACUUAGAACUUAUUCACCUUUAAUUCUCGAUUAACUUUUCUUAAUCUGCUAUUGUCCGUUCUUAAUUUUCCCAGGAUAAUCAUACUCUCGAAUAUAAUAUCACCUUGAAACACUCGUGUUUAUUAUUUCUCACCUAAACAAUCCUCUGAAAAUUGAAGUUGUUAACGGGACGUUUUAAAAGCAUAAUGAAGACAUUAUUCCAUACGAAUGGAUUUAAAAUGGUCGUAAUAAAUUAUUUGGGGAAAACAGGUGGAUAAAUACUUAAUUAAACCAUUAAUAUUCGAUAAAAAUAAGAAAUUUUUCGGGUCCUCACAUCCUCCCCUUCUUAACAGAAUUUCGUUCUCGAAAUUCACACCUGAGAAAAUAUCAUUUCCUUCAUGGUUAAGCCUAUCAGAUCGAUCACCAACUUACGUUUUUCCAACUUAUACUUGACAAUUUCCAUUCAUUCGACUAGCAAUCAAACCUUGAUUUUUUUCUUCAAUAGGCAUUUUAACUUCCGAGUCAUAGAGCAACUUAAUUGGCCUCAUGUCUAUCUCAUAUAGGCAAUAUCUUCACUUCUUUAAGGCAAAUAUUGUAGUUAUUUACUCCCAAUCAGGAGUUGGCUACUUCCUCUCGUAAUAUUUUAACUUCUUAGAGGCAUAUACAAUCACCUUAUCAUGUUUUAUUAAUAUACAUUCUAAACCAUCCUUUGAAUCAUCUGUGUAAAUCACAAAAUUACCUCCUACACAUGUACACCGAUUAACAUUCUUCAUCUCAAGAUUUUCCCUUACAUUUAGAAUCUCAAAUGGUUUGUCAAGUCUUGCACUCUUACAAAAAUCCUUGAUAAACCAAAGGUAGUAUUCGGCUAACUCCGAGAAUUCCAAAUUUCAAUAUGUUUUUCUGGUCAUUUUCUCUUAUGCAAUCUUUCAUUUUAGUUGAGUCAAUAAUAAUUCCUUCCUUAGAUACUGUAUAACUUAGAAAGACUAUUUCUUCCAAUCGAACUCACAGUUAUUGAACUUAACAAAAGUUGGCGUUCUCUCGAGGUUCGUAAAACUACCAUCAAGUGUCUUUCAUGACCUUCUCAAACACUAGAGUAUAUCGAUAUAUCAUCAAUAAAUGCCUCCACCGAUUUGUCCAAAUACGGUUUAACUCCGAUACCUUGGGUCCAUAAAUGCUUCUAUUGCAUCUGUCAACUCGAAGGGUGUAUCGAAAAUUUUAGAGUGUCCAUGUCUUAAUUUGAAAGCGGUAUUAACCACAUUAGUUCCUAGGGUUUCCAAAUGGGUAAUAUCUCUACUUUAAAUCCAACUUAAAUAGGAUCACGACUCCUUACAAAUUAUCGAAUUCUUAUCCAUGUAAGACAAAAGGGUAGUUGUUCUUAAUGGUCACAUCGCUCCAGACUCUAUAAUCUAUAAAUACAUAGCUUCUAGCCUUCAUUCCAAAUACGAUAUCUAGUCCUUAAUCGUUAGGCACAUUGAAUCCAUUAAUUAUUUCCUUUCACUAACUCAAAUCCACCAAUUUUAAUAUCUCAAAUUGGCAUUUCAAACAUUGAAUCCCAUUUCAACGCUAAGUCCUUACUUCGGUCCCGAUCUCUAGUCACUAUCAAGACCUCAGGUGGUCUAUAUUCUCAAGCAAAAUCUCGAUCACAUCCAAUACCAUUCGUGUCUUAUUAUAAUUCUAAGGGCGUGGGGCAGGAUUUAAACAUACGUGUAAGUCAUAAAAACAAUUAAAAGCUACGUAAAUUUUCAUGAGUCAUAAAGAUCAUAAUAAUUACAUCUAGUUGGAAGAGGUUUAUCAAAUCCUCUCAAAAGGAAAAGGAGAAACGACAGGAUUGUAACAAAACAUGUCAAGUUACCAGGAUACAAAACAACAAAAGACUUUUCUCUUUUUCAAAAGAUCACAACCUCCAAAGGUGCUAGCCUAGUCUAGGGUAAAACUACAACCUCUAUUCCUCAAGUGAAGUCAAACCAUCUCAAUCUGUGAAACCUUCACUACUAGGACCCCGUUCAUAGCCAUUAGUACUAAUUACUCCCAUCUGGCACUUGAUCGCUUUGCGGUGGACCUAGUUGGCUAUUGAGUACUUCCUCUUUUUAAAAGCUCUAGGGCAAUCCGAAAUCUUAUGCUUGGUACUGCUGCCCCCUAAACACUUUCUUUGCUUCAUCCAGCACUCGACCUCAACGUGGUUAACCUUGCCGCAGUAUCCACAAUUUGCAUGAGAAGUGGCGGCUUGGCCAGUUCGAGGAUUUUCUUUGCAUUUCUUCUCUAAUUCUACAUUCUGGCGUAGUAAUUCAAUUUUCUUUGCAUAUUCUUGUUUCCACCAUCCUUCCCAAUAGUCAGCCAAUUUUCUUUGAAAUUCUACCUCAUUUCGAAGAAGGUCCAAUUCCUUACGCAUUUCUUCCAAAGUUGUCAUCUUACUAGUUGGCUUAAGUCAAAUGCUAACCUGCCAGGCAAAUCAAAGGAUCAAAAGAGUAGCUAUGCAUAAUGGAAGUUCGAGCCAGAUUAUUCUUUCAUUCUUUUGUUUAUAGGUCACCCCGAAAUAUAAAUCUUAGCUAUUCUCUGCCAAACAUGGGUGAGUUCUUAAGUCUCCAUAAAAUCACUACCAUUAAUUCCAAUUACAACCAGAUACGGGGACUUUAUUCCUUGAUAUAAAGUUUUUCAUGUCUUACUUCAAUCUUCGAUACUUGUCUAUGAAGUUGUUCGAAAAGUGAUCAAAAUCUCGUAGUCCUAUUAGUGCCUUAUUGUAUCCUUUCAAAUCAAUCUUACUGUUUCAAGGUUAGGUCCCCCAUGAAACCUAGAUAGACGACCUUCAAGAAUCAUUUCAUUUUCACACCUCUCCUGGUUCUUAGGUUGGCUUAUUGGUUCAGAGCUUUGGUACUCAACCAACCGUUCUAGGAUAUCAGUCGUAUGGUCAAUAGUGGGAGCUAUGUAGGUGUUUUCCUUCAUUUCUAGGGUUUCGGUUCAAUCCAGUAAUCGUUCCCUAAUUAUCCCCUGGAGCUUGGGGGUGGCCUAACCCCUUGCCCUCGGUCCCUUUUUACUUAUUUGGCCACUCAUAACUUUAACAGUCAUAUAAACAUGGCAUGAAAUGAAUGCACCUAAACGAAGUUUGAAAAGUGAGACUUUAAUCACGCUAAACAAAUAUGAGAAUAAAAGGGAAGACGCUAAGAUAAUUGCAAAUACGUAUAACUCCAAUCAUGGAUUUGAAAUCAUAAAGCAGUAAGGUCAAACAUGUCAUGAGAAAUGUUUAAUUGCCUCAAAAGGUAGGAAACAUAUUGAAACCAAACACAAAAUACAAUGGCCUUUAAGCGAGCGUCACCCUGUCUAUCUUUGGUAAAAACUAUUAAAAUAGUUUAAAUCACUAAAUUAGUGAUUGGCAGAACCCAAAAGUCUUCACUACCUCCAUAGGAUCAAUUUCAUUUCUAGCACUAGGAGUUUUAGAUCUCAUGUCCCUUAUCGAAUAUCUUGUCAUUCUUCACUCAUUCAACCAAGGUAACACACCCAGCCACCGACUCAUCUAUCAUGUCUUUAAUUUCGGGCACUACCCUAACAAGUCGGUUCUUAGCUUUUGAAGCUUCUCACUAGGAGCCUUUGUCUCCCUCGCUCCUUAAGUAUUUCAAUUUCAAUUUCAGGAAUUCUAGUAGUCUAGGCAUCCGCAAUUGUCCUCAGUUCUCGAUCAUCCCUUCGAAUCACUCUAGUUUCCUCGGAUAGUCACUUCCAAUGAUUGACCACUAUUAACACCCCACUAUUUGGGCUCGAGCAAGUCCUUUGAAAUUCACAUGAAAUCCUAGUCCAGCAAAUCGGACCAUUUCUCCAAUGCUCUCUUAGGUCACUCUCUCGAUAGUGGACCACCGGAAGGUGCCCCCAAGACAAUUUAAUAUCACCAUUACCUUCUAUAGUUUACACUCCAGAGUAAAAGCUCAGGUAGGUCCAGAUACACUAAAUAAACAAGAUUUGAUCACUUCAUACUAUCCCACAUGUAUCACACCAUAUCAAGACUCCUUCUCAUCCACUAAUUCGAACCUAGUAUCUAAUUUUCAUUUUCAGAAGCAGUCACUUAACUUUCAAUCCAAUUCCACAGUCCGGCAUCCUUAACGUUUAAGCCUAGGAUACACUACAGAGAUCUAAAGCCUAAGCUCUGAUACCAACUGUGACGCCCCCACUUCUCCCUAAGGCGAACGAAAGGGUAUCCGCGGGACGCCUGCCCAGCUCUCGCCAGGACUCAAGCAAUUUCCGUCCAACCUUAAUACAAUACUAGACGUUACGAUUAAAUAUCAUAAAUACAAUCAGUGCGUAAGCAUUCAAGCUUAUCAAUAUUCAACAUCUGCCCAAUCAUUACAUCGGGACCUCGAAAUACAUCAAUAUUCAAAAUAUACAUCAAUCACAAGUCUAGCCCCAAAGUGCAACGGAAACCCUAAAACAAGAGUAUGCCAAGAGGGGUUUCUCCAACAUUUCUCCAAGUCCAAUCCUGUUAAAGAAAACAAAUCUACAGGGUGAGCAAAAUGCUCGUGAGGCCAAGAACACACAUGCAAGCAUGUUGUUUAGGUAACAAGCCCAAAUAAUAGUUCAAGUGAUAAAUUACAAGUAAUUCAUAAAGCCAACGAAAUGUAAACAGAAACAAUUCAAGGAUAUAGUAGCUCUCAGGAGCUAAGUUCCACUUGCUUUGCCAGUUCAUUCGUAUAUCUUCCCGCGAUGACUCUCCGUCAACCGGGUUGAUAUUUCCAAACCGUAGAUCACCACUUAUUUCUCAUCCGUCCACCCUACAUCGCUUCAGACCCGCACGACAUUUAUAAGGCUAUACUCCACGAGUAUGCCAAGCAAGAUCUCUCAAAUAGAUCAACCUUAUCAUGUGAUUCUCAUGGCUCCCCAAGGUUUCCGACCAAGCCCAUACCGGCUUGAGUCCCAAGGUCAGCCUAUGAGUUUGGGCAUCUCCCAUGUAUCAUGUAAGUGUCGAGGAGAUUCACUCCAAUGACGUAUGCAGCCAUAGCACACCAUGUCAUGUAAUAAAGCAUUCGACAGGUCUAGGCAGGUAUUUCAAGUCAUGUAAACUAGGUAAAUCAUGUUAAGCAUGAGUCAUUUGUUUCAAAUGAGAACGAGUGCGAUAAAGUACACACCCGACUCCAUUUUUUUUUCAAAACCAAGGAGGCUAAGCAUGUAAUUCGACAAGCCAAGCAUGAAUCGAGUCCAUAGAAUUCAAGUAGACACACACUUGACAUUCACCAAGUUAUGCGAGCAAGUAGAUUCAACCGAGAGUUCAAACUUCCACCGUAGGAUCCUCUUGAGGUCCUCGUGCGUGCCUGAACAACGAAUAGUAGACCAUUACUACAGGUCCCCAAGUUGUGAGAAAGAUUGAACAUGAGUAGGGUUUGGAAAUAUUUUGGUAAUUUCGUUUGAGUUUGUCUUUAAGUUGGAUUCACAAAAGGGUACAAGACUCGAGUAAAAUCAGAUUUUUAUUCUUGAAAUCAUUAGAUGGAAGCAAGUACGAGUAAAAAGAUUGCAAAACGAACAAUUGGAAUCAGAAGGAGGCGGGCCACGUCACAAUCCGGACGAAACCUAGCCGGAUAUCCGGUCGGAUUCUUGGCCGGGUUGGAGGCAGUGGCUAGCCUCCAUUUUUUUUUAAAAUCCCAUCACCAAUCAGGCCGCUAAUUUGGCCAGAAACUGGCCGGAUUCAAGGCCAGAUUCUGGUAGAAUAGUUCCCGCGCGGAUUUCUUUUGAAAGUUCCAAAGUUUUCGAUUUUUGGUGCAAUCUUUGAAAAAUCAUAACUUAUUUUCUACAAGUCAAAAAUUGGUAAAUUUGGCACCGUUAGAAACGUCUUCCAAAGUACUAAAAUUUCCUAGAAGACACCUUUCCAUGAAUCUAAGUGGAAGGCACUCAAAUUUUGGCUCAAAGUUGGUAACUUGAGUUACCAAGGUAGUUUUAAGUUGGUUUUUGGCCAACUUUGGAAAUUCGACAAAUUUCACUCAAUUUGAACUAGCCUUUGAAAUUUUAAACUCUAUUAGAGUUGCAAUCCAAGAGUAUAACAAAACAAGCAGAAUGAUAAAUGGAGUUUUGAGCACCGAUAUAUGGUGACCCAAAGUUACCAAAAUUUCCUUGAUAAACAAGGGUUUUUCAGCUUAAAUCAUGAACUUUGGAAGUUUGAUUGAACAUUGAAACGUCUUUGGAAUAGCACCAAAUUUGGUAUGGACAUACUACCAUAUGAGGGUUACUCCUCUACCAAAUUUCAUGAAUAAAUAUGCACGGGAAGUUGGUGAACUAAAUCACCAAAGUUUCAAAGUUUCCAAGGCAAUUUGCCUUGUAAGUUCCGUUUUGCCGUUUUCAAAAUGUUUAACCUAGAGGGUACCUCAACCAUGGUCCAUUUACAUAGAAAAGGUCUAAGGGCAUCCCAAAACAACAUUUUUGGGUGAUUAACACCAAGAAAUUCAAUUAGCAAGUCUACACCAAGCCUUGUAUCAAUUCUGUCCAAAAGUAAGGGUUUUCAAGAGCAGGCAGGUUCCAUAUUUUGAUCACAACUCACUCAAUUUAACUCAGAAUUGAGCAUAGUUUAUGGCGUUAGAAAAUAGAUCCAUAGAGAUAUAAUUUCACAGAAGAAAUUAUUUUGAAAUUCAGCACACAACUAGCUCGAAUUCAAGCUCAAGUCGCAGCUUUAGCAUUUCAUUCCAGGAAAACAGAGAAACAGAACAACCAACUUUAAAUGGUUGGUUCGGCUCACACACAUGGAACCAGAACGUUCAUUUUAUACCGUUGGAAAUCUGGGAAUGUCUAGUUUCAAAUGCCACUUAUGGCACUCAAUUUCGACAUUGGAGCAUAGAGUUAUGGACAAAACAAGAAAGCUGGUCUGAGCAUUACGGGAACAGUUUCCAGGUUUACUAGCUUCACGAAAAUAAUUCCUUUGACCAACCAAACCUCAAUAUUUUUCCAUGAAAUUUUGUACACUAUCCAUACAAUAUAUAAACAUCAUAUACAAGUCAUUAAACCCUCAAAAUUUCACAAAAAGGGGCACGAUCAAAACAGGGGCAGAAUUGGAACUUUUUCUUUCAUGCACUCCUUGAAGUUUAUACUAGCUAUGCACUAUUAAUCUACCAUUUUGAGCACUAAACCAAUAUUAAAUCCAUCAUUAAGCACCAAAUCAGCUAUCAACACAAGAGUGAGAGUUCAUAGAGCCCACAUUCAAAAUUUUCCAACAAUAACAAGCCACCCACAUGAAUAUCUAAACUCCUAAGUGUAAAACAACCUCCAUAGGCCAAAAUUAGAGUUUUGGAUCAUUACCUACUUUGGUGGGUGUACAAGAGCAGAAUUUCGGUCCCUUGAAGCUCCAAGAAAACCGUGGAAAGUGAGCUCCUUUGAUAGCUAGAUGAACUCUCCAAGUAACAAGCUAAGUGUGGUGAAAAUUUGAUGUGAAAUGGUGCAAGUUUGGUGCGGGAAAUGAAGAAGAAAAUGGAAGAACUUGGGUGUUAUUCUUUGCUCCCCUUUGGCCGGCUGCUCUAGUGAGGAAGAGAGAGAGAGUUGAUUCAAUUUUAGCUUCCAAGAGAAGUUUCAUUUGUGUGGUGUAAAACGGAGCAAAAGUCAACUCUCAAUAGUACGCGUAGGGUGCGUUUGGGCUCAAUUUCUCUCGCAUUUGUUUCAUUAGUGCACUAAACCUCUAAUGCACUUAUAUUCAUGUAAAUAUUAUUCACUCUUAUUCGUCACAAAAUAAGGGUCUAAAGUCCCUCAAUUAAAAUUGCGUGUGUUAAAACGCGUACCACCAAUUUAAGCGCGAUAACGCGAAACUUCCAAGAAAUCCUUAUAACGAUAAUACUAAUAACUAUCACUUGAGUAUUUAAUCGUUAAAAUACCUAAUUUAGGUCCAUUGUAUAAGUCUUUAAUAUUCCUAGCCUAUUGUACUCUCAAUCGGGUAAAAUUUCCAAGCACUAUUCACUGUUCUCACUAAACGCGCUCUCGAAAAUUAAUUUUUGAAACAAGUCACUUUAAAAAUAUAAUGACCUUAUUUAAUUUUUGUAGGGACCUUUAUUCUUCGUGUAAACUUAUUCUUCGUGUAGGGACCUUUAUUUAAUUUUGUAGAGCAUUAUCAAGUCCAAAAUCUCUUGGGUGUCAAUUCAACAAUUACAGUGCCAACAUGGGGAGUAGUAAUUGUGAUUACUAGAGGUUUAUCUAAACCUGCACUAUAAGCUUGUAUAAUAGUAGAAUAAUAUUUUAUGUGUGUACUAUUAUACAACUAAUAUGACAUCCAUGUAGAUAAGCAGUUCAAACAGAAAAUUUGAAGCUCGUACUUCGUGUUUUUAACAUUUACAAUUUUUGAGGAUUUUAUCUAAUUUUGGGUUUGUCCAAUGGGUGCCCCAUGGGCAAUUGUUAAGAUAUAUUUUCAGGUAGAGGUGGCAAUUUCCGAUGCAACCCGAAAACACCACACGAAUCUAACACGAAAAUAAUGGGUUUGGGUUGAAGUUUCGAGAGUUCGGGUCAGAAUCGGGUCGAACCCGAAAAGAAAACAGGUCGAUUUCGGGUCAACCCAUGGGUGACCUAAUAUGACCCGAUAUGACCUGUUUACGAAUUAAAAAUAAUUUAAUAAACAUAAAAAUUAUUUUAUCUAACUAAACUAAGUUAUUCUUUUUUUUCAAAGGCAUUAAUUACUUAAUUCUAAAUGAAUUUAUUUAACUUGUGUGAAGUUGAAAUAAUUAUAUUUGGACAAAUAAUAUAUUAUAUUAUUUUUUUACCUAUAUACUGUUUUAAUUUAUUUUAUAGUUGGUUUGGGAUAAAACACUUUUAUGGCGUUUAAUUUAUUUUAGAUUUGGUUUGGAAUUAUUUAUUUAAAUUUUUAUUACUUGAUUAUGUAAUUAAUUUUGUGAGAAAUUGAUUUUAUUAGAAAUUAGAGUGAUAAAUUAAUAAAAUAAAAUUAAGUUUCGGGUCAUUUCGGGUCGACCUGCCAACCCGAAAUUUUCGGGUUCGUGUCAGGUAUCCUAACCCGUUUCGGGUUGGCGGGUCAGGUUCGAGUCAGCAGGUUUUCUGUUAUACCCGGGUCUCAACCUGACCCGUCAACCCGAACGAACUCGACCCGAUUGCCACCCCUAUUUUCAGGUAUCAUAUUUUUUAAAAUAUAAGAUUAAUUUAAAAAAGUAAAUAAAUGCAAGAUAGGGUUGAUAAGAUUAAAGAGGGAAAGUAAAUAAAAGUUGGGGAGGAUAAUAAUUAUUAGUAUAUGUAUAUACAUAAUUGAUUAGAUGAAUGUUAUGUAUAUUAAUGAGUGCAUUAUGCACACCUGUUAGAAAAAACACUUUAAUUUUUUUGGACUACAACUUUUUAGGAAGCUGUAUAAUAAAUAAUAUCUAAUUUCUUUGCCACACGCUUGCUCUUGGCUCCUCGUGUAUAAUAGUGAGUAGAUGUUUAAAUGAACCAAGUUACUCAGACUCAUGUUGGGUCUUGUUCACGCCCUGUUAUAACCAUGUUCAUGUUAAACGAGUCCAAACUUUUAUAUAUAUGCCAUAUUUGAUUUUCGUGUCGUAUUCAUAUUAAAAUCUGCUUAUUGGAGUGUCAUUUUGUGUUUUAAGCCAGUUUGACCCAUUUAAUAUUUUGCAUAAAAAUCACUAUAUGUAAAGAGUAAAACAUGAGUCUCUUUUUAAAAAAAAUAUGUUCUUCUUUUCAUCUUUUCAGUUGUAACUUUUCAUUAAAUAACCUAUAUGAGUUUUGAAUGCAUUAUCACCUCAUUAAAAAUACAAAAAAAGAGUUAAUUUUGUUUUUAUUUCACAAAGAAAGAAAAACUUUCAAAGAAUUGAAUAGGCAAAAUCAUGCAAGGGAAGAAUAGUAUAUGUAAGAAUAUCUCCAAAAAAAUGAGUUGAGAGUACUAAAUUAGCCUAGAAAAGAAUUUUUAAUCACAAAAGAAAGAAGAAUAGAUAAGAAAUAAUUGAUCUAAAGGAAAGUUCUCGGCAAUUUGCGGACGAAGGAUGAAGGCGGGAAUUAAAUAUUUAAAAUCAUAGAGAUUGCGUAUAUUCAUGAAUUUGACAAAAGAAGAAUGAAAGCAAAAAGCAAAAAAUUAAAAUCACAAAAGUUGUAUACGUGGAUUUGUGCAGUUUGGAUUUUCAAUAAUGCUAUAAAAAUACUAUAUAAACCUGGUUAAUUUUAUUAUUUUAGUUCUUAAACUUUAAAUUUACAAAUGAAACUAUCUAUUUUUUUGGUGUAGUUUUAGAAGGAAAUACGAGUAUCAUUUUUUUAAAAAAAUAUUUUAACAUGUUAGUAACAAAUUAGUCAUGUCAACCCAUGGAUUGAUCCAUUACAACUCAUUUUAUUUGUGUAUCGUGUUUGUUUUGACCUAUUUUUUAUACAAAUUGUUCUUUACCAUAUUUUGUUUAAUUUUUUAGUUCAUGUUUGUGUCCUAUUUGCACGUGUCAAAAAUUACCACCUUUAAAUACGAUUUUAAUCAAGUUUGAAUAACCUAAGUAGGAUUUGUGUAAAAUAUACGUAUAACUAGUCUACUUGUGUCAUUUUUUCAUUCCCAAGGUGUGUUGUCCCAGUGAAGGAAAAAAUAUACCAUCAUGAAAAAGAAUUCACCAUGAUGAUAUAACGUCUAUGAAGCGAAAGAACUGAGACCGAAAUUGAAAUGGGAAAUAAUUUAACUAACAAAAGUUAACUUUAGCAAGGGACAAGAUUUACAAUUUAAAAUCAGAAAAAAAAAAGAAGUUUAAUUAGCCAGCAGGUAGUCAAAGGAAAAAUACUAAUAAGGCAUUUCCUAGACACUUCCCAUCCUUACAUUCUACGCUACAAAUCUCAGUAUACGAUUAAAAAAACAUGGACAAACGACAAAAUGAGGUAAAAUUGGCCUUCAUAAGGAAAAGAUAUUCCUAGCCAAAAAUGAACCCAAAAAAAUUCUUAGGUUACUUAUGUUAUUUUAUUGAUUAAAAAACAAGACAGUGGUUUUUUUUUUCUUGGUGAUGUUUGGUGGAGGGCAAGAUAUGUAUUUACAAUCAUCUUUUUUUUCCUGACAUAUUUUAAAUCAUUUUGAAAGUGCUAAUCGGUAUAAUCGUUAUACGAAACAAACAUAAUGUGUGAAAACAAAGACCCAUAACAUUCUAAUAUGGCAACAAUAAGUGCUAUAAAACAACAAACAUUACAAUCCAAAUAAAGUAGAUAAAAACCCUAAUUGCAUUUUCAAGCAAGAAAAAAUUAAGGUAAGUAGUAAUCAAUUUACUUUAAGAAAACCACCAUCAGGAAAUCCAAAGAAAGUGAGUAAAAACUCUUAUUGCAUUCUCAUCCAAGAAAACAAUAACGUGAUACGUAGUACCUAAGAAAGCAAAUCAACUUCCCACGAAGAAAUCAUCCACCAGUAAAAUUAUUACCAAAAGAAUGCGAAAAACCAAUCAAUAAAGAAAAUAGGGUUCUCAUAAGUAGCCACCACACAUAGGUCAUUAACCACGAAUCUGGAAACCCGAUUUAUCCAGAUUGAAAGUUUCGAUGUUGUGCAUCCCUGGAAUUGUCCACAGUUUGUCAAUAAAUUCUCCGAGGCGAUCACAGUCGACCGGUCCAUCCUCUGGCUGAUCGUCUUCUUUACUUGGUGGAGGUGAUACCAGAGAUGGUGGAGCAACUAGAGGCAUGGACGGUGGAAGCAGCAUCCGCUCAUCAUCCAUAUGGUCUCCCGAAUUCCCCAUGCUAACCACUUCAAUACUUUCCAGUUCUGGAAUUUUCUCUAUUUUGUCAAAUAAUUCUUCCACGUCAAUACGAUCUCCUGGCUUUGCCACGUUGAAAACACCAACACUUUUCAUUCCUGGGAUUGUCCACAGUUUGCCAACAAAUUCACCGAGGCAAUUGCAGUCUCCUCCCCUGCACAGUUCAUGUUCCCCAUGGUGAAUCUGAACCUGAACGUGAACCUCUUCUUCAUGUGAUGGAGACGGUGGAGCAGCCCGAGGUGUCGGCGGAGGCGAUGGCGGUGCUGCUUUUGCCUUAUGGUUCUUGCUUGCGCAAGACUUGGCCAUCCUUAUUUUGCUUGAGAACUUUUUUGCACACUUCAAUGGGGGAUCAUGCACCAAUAAAAGGGGAAAAAGGAUGAUCAAAGAUUUUGGGACGGAUCAACAAAGAUUAUUCACUAUUGCAACUGGAAAAAAAUUUAUAGUUUAAUUUGUUAUUGGAAAGUAAAAAGAAAAACAAGGAAAUUUGAACAAGAAAAUUAAUUUUUCUCAUUUACCGAGCCAACUACCUCAAUUUAUUACAGAUCCAACUUUAUUCAUUGAUGACAAGGGUGGAUUUCACAAAAGGAAAACAAAGAUAAGGGUAGAUUUUUGACGAAACUACAGUUAUUGUGCCAAAGUUUCUAAUCAUAAAGUUCAGCAUAAUUUCAAGUUGAAUUCAAAUUAUUAUGUGCUGCUUAUAAAUAUUUUGAGUGAUGGCAAUUGCCAUCAAAUUCAACAAACAAACAAAAAAGACAAACUUCGUUUUUUUGAAAACUAAACAAUUUAUGUGAACAGAAAAAAAAAAGCAUCGAUUCAAUAACGAGCACAUCCAAUUAAAACCAUUUUUAAACAACAUUAAGUCACGUAAAAUUUAGAAGAUUGAAUCUUAUUUAUUACCUUACGAAGAAGGUUGAAGGAGUACUUCAUGGUGGGAUGCCCGGAAGUUCUGGAAGAACCCUUGAAAGAAGAGUUUUCAAGGGCUCUAGGGAGACUACGAAUGAGGCACAAGAGAAUAUAGGCUGCGGAAAUCCUUGUAUAUAUAUAGUGAACCAAAUCUUAGGCUUGAGCUGCAAGAGAAUGUUUACACAAUCUAAUUAUGGUGAAUUUCUAUAUAUAUGUAUCUCAACUUUGCUAAUGAAUUCAUUUCACGGAAAAGAAACAAUCAUUUCUGCAAAUAGCUAUUUAACAGCAAUGAAAGUAAGAAAGGCAACAUAAAUCAAUCUCCAAGGAAAGAGAGAGAAAAAAAGAAACAUUGUAGGUGUAUUGGUCCAAUGCUAGUCUUGGCUCAUUUUCUUGUCUUCCCUCUUGACAAAAUAUUAGAUUACAGUAUAAAGUUGUAUCCUCCUAAAAUUUUGGCACUGAUUCUGCUGCCAAAGAGCAAGAAAGCGUAAAUUUGACAUAUUGUUUGAUCUUUUUUUUAUUUACCUAUUUCACUUCAACUGCGAUAAUAUAUCACUCCUAAUCAAUCAAAAUUCUUUUUCCUUUUACAUUUUCUAGAAUCCUCUAUUAUGGAUUUUCAUCCCACCUGUCCCACGAAUUGGGCUAAAAGUGGACCCCAGAAAAUUAAAAGAAAAAGUUUUAUUACGACAUCAAUGUGCUCCUUAUUUUCUUGGCCUGCGAUCAUCUUUUAAUUUUUUUCCCUUUACUUUCUUUCAACGGUUUUUCUGUCAUGGCUUCUAAUCUAAGGAAAAAGGGCGCCGCCCCUCCCCCCCGGGAGGAGGAUGCAAGAAACAAAUAUGUUAAUAUCCAUCAACUCCUACAGUCUUACGCCUCCUUCUGCAACCUAUUAUUUUUAAUUUAAUACUUUUCCAUAGAGGUUGUCCUCAUCUUUGGACUUUGGCAUAUUGCACUUCUUUUCUACUCAAUUUUUAUUUUAUCUACAACCUUGGGAUCUAAAAUCUUUUCCCUUUAAUUGUAUUACUUUUAUUAAUGCUACCAUAUGGAUGAAUUUUAUGUAGGCAACCUCCUAGUUUUCUUCUUUUUCUUUGUUAUUUCUUGAAAAUUUUGUUUAGUUAUUCAUUUUCAUACUAUUGAAUUUGAACUAUAUUCCUUGGACAACGUUUGUUCUUUAGUUUUAGACUCAAUCUUAGGGAAAGAUUCGUGGUUUUCCUUAGCAUAUCAAUAGGAAAGGACUAAGUUGGAUUCACAUGAUCCAAAGUCAGGGCCAGUAAUUUUAAAUUUAUUAAUAUUGAGACCAGAUUUUUUGAUAAAUCCAUUAAGUACUUAAACAUUAAUUGAUUUUUCUAUUAAGUUUGUUUGAUAACAAAAUUUUCUUAUCCCUAAUAAUUAAGACCCACUUAAUUUCUUUAUAAAAUUUUAACCGACAGGUAGAUAACUUAAUUUGCUGAAUGUUUAAACCAGUGAGAUAAUACUACUCAUUCAAAAUUAUUUUAAUUUCACAUAAUGAUAUAUUUUCAUGCACACACCCACACUCUCUUUCUCCUCGCACACUUUCAUAAAUAUACAUAUACACACACACACUCUCUCUCUCUCUCUCUCACACACACACACACACUCUCUCUCUCUCUCACGCACACAAUCUUUCUCCUCACACACUUUCAUACAUAUUGUAGUAAAUAUACUAGGGAUCGGACCCUAUCUGGAAAUUGCCAAAUUGUAGUAAAUACCCUGUCUGUAUCGAGUUGCAAGCUUGCUAGUGCUUCUGCCACUGGAUUUGCUUCCCGAAACACAUGUGUAAGUGACGCUGACAAGAAGAGCAGGUGCCAACUGAUCUGAUGAAUGUAAUCACAGAGCGGCCAUCGACCUAUAGCAGGUGAAUUAACUAAGGUCACCAAUGUUUUUUAAUCCACUUCGACUAGUAGGUUGCCAACCUCUCGCUGAGCACAGAGUUGGAGACCAUAAAGCAAAGACAAUCCCUUCGCUUCCAAGACAUCAAACUCGCCAAAUUCUUUGUAAAAAGCAGCUAUCAAAGUACCUUCAUGACUCCUCAAAAUCCCGCCUCCAAAGUCCUUUCCAUUAUGCACACUAGCAUAUGUAUUAAGUUUAAGAUAGUCGAGGGGAGGCUUUGUCCAACAAAUUACCACAUAGUAGACCCUCUUUUGUCUUCAGGGAGCGUAGUCUUUGAACUUACAAUCUACCUCCUCACGAAAAAUUGCUGGUGAAGAAUUCCAACAAUGCCUAACUGAUGCAAAAAACUAUCAAUUUGCAUAAUAAUCUGCGUAACAACCACUUUAAUGUUUUGAAAAUAUGCAUGGUUCCUAGCCUUCCACAAGAACCAGCCAAUAAUUACGGGUAUUGCCAUCCGAAUAUGAACGUUACUGGACCCUGGAACGGAUAACAACCAGGCCUGAAACAUAGCAGAGACAGUGUUGAAGCUUAAAUCGUACAAGUCAGACAUUUUCCAAAAUGCUCCCAUACCUGUCGACCAAUAGGGCAGGACAAAAAAAGAUGCGAACACCCCUCUGUUUCCAAGUUAUAGCACCGACAUUUAGAUGCCAAGCGUACCUCAAACCUUCUUAGAUUCAACUCCAUAAGAAGAUAAUUACUAACCAAUCACCAAGCAAAGAAAGACAGCUUUAGCGAGAGGAUUGGACACCAAACAAUCUGAUGAAUCACGGUUGGAUCCUUCCUUGGCCGCAAGGCACUCCACGCAGAAGUGAUGGAAAACUCUCCUAUAGAAGACGGUAGCCAAACCAUUUUAUCCUCUUGAUCAAGAUCUAAACGUAGCUUUGAUAUGGUAUUUACCAAAUCAAUCGGCAAAAAGCCCUUCAAACAACCUACAUCCCAACCAUAAUUCAAGUGUCCUCGAAAUACACAUUUGAAGCAUGAGAUAUGAAAGAUGCUAACAGCCAAUCCCCUUCUUGAAACCUGAUUUUACCCCUUUUGAAACCUAAUUUUGGGCUCGAAAAUUUGGGAUUCGAGAUUUGCAGCCAUUACAAAAGUUCUAAGCCCUUUUUUCCCGUCUGAGUUCUUAAGUAGGAAAACCAGAAAAAUUUGUCUGGAAUGUUAAGAGCGUGAAGGUAAAUGGAAUAUUUCUUUGGGGGGCAAGUUUAGUUUUUCAGUGGUCGAAAUUCUAUCAUCUACCUGCCGUUCAUGAAGGCCAUGAUGGACCAUCAACCGACUAAGUGGGAAGAGCAAUUCUAACCCAGUAACGGAAAAUGGAUCUAAUCAUCAAUAAUCAAUAGCCAACAGAAUAUGAAGACUAAAAGGACCAGAGUCUCCUAAUGACUUAAAGUUGUUUCUUUCUUGUCAUCAUAAUUUGACUACAAAUAUGUGCUAUCUCCCCCUUUUUUCUUAGAAUGAACCUCCUAGAAUUUCGUGAUGUCCAAUUCAGUUUGUUUAUUUAUAUAUACCUUUUCUAGCCAACUUGUGCACCUAUUUAAGGUGUAGCUCGGACAUUAGGACUUUGUUAUGAACGUCAUGCUAAAUGAGUGGGUGAGCUGAAUCAUGUCCAAUUACUUGGUAACCGAUACUUGAUCAAAUUAUUAUACAUGAAAGGCGGAGGAUAGGUUAUAGAAAAAAUGAACAAAAUCAAAUAAAGGAAUUAGAGAUUGGUCAGGAAUACUGGUUGAAAUUCGAUUGUGGAUAAAAGAGCUUCCUAUAUUGUAUUAUUCCAUUUCAACGACGAAUUGAUUCUUGUGAAAUAGGUUCAGCUGCCUGUUUUCUAGUUCGUUUGCUCAGUGCCACGAACCGAUUAACCAAAUCGAAUUUGGGUUUUCUCAUUUCAAAGCAUCAAACAUAGAGAUUUCAUAUUUAGAGAACGUUGACUAUUUCAUUUUGACGAUAAACCAUUGACUAAUUCAAGGUAAUCCAAUCUAUCGUGAAGUCAGUUCUUUACUAUAUUUGAAUAUCUUUUUAUAUUUAUGUUAACAUUGAAAUAAAAUAUUCCUCUUUUGUGGUGAACCAAAACUUGCCUGAUCUCAUAAACUUACGGAUCAUUUGACCUAACAAUGGCAAAAAUUAGCCCUUAAAAAGACGCAAUCACUCAUUUCAUUUAUUGUUGGGUGCUGUGUCUGUGACUAUUUUUCAGAGUGUAUAAAAUAAGCAUAUAAAGUACUGAGUCCAUUAAAAGAUGUAUUCCAUUAAUCUUUAGAUUAUUAUCAACUUUCUAGAUGAUGAUUUCAAAUUAAAAGAAAUAAUAAAGGCAUGUCUGAAUUGUUCCUCAAAUAUAAAGGAUCUUCCUCUAACAUUGGGCCUAUUUGGAUACAGAUUUUAUUUGCACAAAAAAAAAUUUUGAUGCUACAAACACAGUUUUUAAUUAUUUUUUAUAUUCCUAACUAUCUUUUUUAUUUCACAUGCAUCACAUUAUUAAAAAAUAAAUGCUGCAAUAUUAUUUCAAAUAAUAUUUUUAAACAAUCUCCAACCUAUCCAAAUACAUUCAUUAUCAUUCUAAGGAAUCACUAUAUGAACUAGCCCAAUUGCCAGCAGUAAACCCUUUUUCGAGACCUACCAUUUAAAAAAAAAAAUCCAUGUAAUUAAUCCUUCACAAUUGGUUUCUAAAAACCAUAACAUUCAAAAAUCCAACUUCAGUAGCAGAAUUACUUUAUGUGAGGACUUGUAAAAUCCCUUAUAUAUUUUUUUAAAAAAUUUUCUUUAAUUUGGAAUUUAUUACUUUACAAUAGCUUUACUACUCAUUCACUUCCCCGGUAGUUACAAUUAAUCAUAGAACCAAGGGUUUCCCCUUUACUUUCAUCGUUAAGGUAAACUAGGAUUUUUACGUCUUUUCGUAGUGUGAGUAAUCCAUGCGGAGUGUGUACUAAAUUUGGUGAUUAAGAGUAAGUUUUAGAUAAGAAAAAGUGUGUGAUUAGAAGUCAUAAUAAUAAGUUAGCGAAUUAUAAGUGAAAACCUUAGUACGUGCGAGUUAAGGAAAAACGGUUGGAACCGACGGGUACCAUUUGUUACCGAGUGAGUGCAACACUUGAACACUACCUUAUUACCUUAAUAGCCUUGCUUGUAUUUCAGUUAAUUAACCCUAAAAUAUCUGUUAAAUUAGCCACAAUUUUUGACCAAAAGAAAUAAGAGAAAAGUCUAGAAAAAGCCAAGUGUCAUGAAACCUAUGGAAGUUGGACUUUGACCAACUUGUUUUAACUUUCCUAAAACAAAAAUUUGACAAAGAUGUCUUCAUUUUCUUUUUGUUUUGCCCGACCAAGAUGCUCCAUUUCUCUUUGUCUUGGCCGAAAAUGGUGAGAGGAAAAACAAGGAAGAGCACUUCAUACUACAACUUCAACCCUUGCUUGAAUCUUCAAGAUUUCAUCCUAAGCUUGUAAUCCAAACCAUAGAAAGUGACUCUAAGGAAGGAAGAAGACUUUUGGUGGAGAAAGUUGGGGAGACAAGGAAGCUUAUGGUUGCUCUUUUCAUAGAGUUUAAAGGUAAUCAUAUUUAGAAACCAUCUCUUCACUUUUAACUUGCAUUUUAGUAGAUUUAAUGCUUGCUUGUGGUAGAUUCUAUGGAAAAUUUCAUGGGUUGUGAAGUUAGUGGAACUUUUCUAGCUUUGAUUCAUAUUUUUCCAGCCAUGAGAUGGUUAUAUCCAGCUUUGUUAUAGACUUGAGAGAGCUGACAUGAAGAUUUCUAGCUUUAAUAUGCCUUUUAGCUUCCAACUAAGAAUUUUCUAGCUUUAGUAGAGAAUUCUACCCUGCUUCUGACCAGCUUCAUUUGUCAAUGUUAGAGGCUGAAUUAGGCUUAGGUCAAAACAUAAAAGUUUUAGGAAAUGGUGUUAUAUAUCUGUCUAUAAAAUUUCAGCUCAAUCGGAGCACUGUAUCAUGUAAAAUGACUAAAAUACCCCUGACCGCCAGAUGUUCUUUUCCGCGGGCAGUUUUGAGAUUUCACAUUUUUGGCUUCAAUUUUCACUUUGAUCCAUAUCAAAUCAGCCUUUGGCCAAAAAAUGAAAAUUUUAUCCCUACAUUUUACCUUUCCAACGCAUCUGAAAACACCUCAAUCGGAAUUUUAUAGUUUGAGUUAUUGCCAUUUAAACCCAUUGCUGAUAACCAGACUGACAAUGAAAUUCUGGUUCUGUAAUCUGCAAAUUCGACCUGGAUCAACUAUGAACUGGGUUGAGUUGUUUUCAUGAAAUUUGUAACCCUUUGGCUUAGCUUCGAAACGGUAUAAAUUACACCCCAAUCUGAUAAGCACAACUUCAGUUGUGACCAAAACGCUAAGAGACGUCAAACCUGUUAUUUUGUUAUUUGUCUUAUACAUUAGUUCCGAUCAAUUUGCUAGCAUUGAUUUGUAAUUGAAUGACAUUGAACCUAUUGACGGGAAUUUUAUAUCAAUGCAAGUUUAAUUCCGAUUUUAUACCCGUUCGACUGUAAGUAUACAGGUCGCAAUUGUAGUACAAGAUGUGUAUCGGGUCGAUCCCACAAGGAGCAAUUUAAACAAUUACUAAGCCCUUGUUUUCUCUAUUAAUUAGACUUACAAUUAAUUUGAGUAGAGAAAGUAUAAUGUUGUAGUCUACAAAUCUGAUAUACAAAUCUAGUUUAACAAAUGCUGAAUGCUAAUAGAGAAAUUUCACUUAAGGAAGAUUCUAGGGAUGUAGAUUCCACUUAUGGCAUAAACAACACAAAUGAAUGGAUUUACUUCUUGCUAUUAUUCUUGUUUAACCAGAGAUUCAUUUCCAAAAUUACCAAGUCUCAUUUUCAUGAUGAAAUGGCCUAGAGCAAUAUAGAUUUCUCUAUUUUCAUGGUGAAAUACUACUACUACUCCGUUUUAUUUCAUGAAAUGCUAAAUAAUCCACCUAAAUGUAUCUCUAUUUUCAUGAACAUACAACUCAAGCUCUACUCGUGUGUUUCCAUUGUUAUUACCAAUUCUCUUUGAACAAUAACAACUAUAAACAAGCUAUUGGUGAUCAAUCAAUAACAAGUAAUCACAGCUACACAAGUAGACAAGUUAAUUCAAGAUAUAACAAGUGUAAAUCACAUUCAAUUUAUAUUAUUUUGCCAUAAGUUUCCUCUACUCCCUAGAUAAAGAAAAUUAGCUACUCAUGAAUGAUUUAACAAUCAAACUCACAAGUUUAUUAAUGCAAAACAUCAUAAAGUACAAGUAUAAGAAAGAUAAAAGAAAGCUUAGCCAAUUGAAGGUGAAGCUCUCCAAUUCCUGCUAUGCUCUUGCACAAUAUGAUUACAAGUAAAAAACUCCAACAAUGCUUCUCCAAGAACUCUUAGAUAGAGAGAAAACUAGUUACAAGAAGGAAAACUAGCUACGUAUGGUGUGUCAGGCUUCUCCCCUGUGUUUCUGCAUAAAAGGUGGUAGAAAGUCUAUUCUUCUCCUUCAUAAUUUCCUCCACUCAGAUUUUGUAAAAAGAAGUCAAAGAUAUGAUGUUUCUUUUUGUCUACACUCAUUUGGUCUUCUCUUUGGUUGCAGAAGCAUGUGCCACCGAUUUCUGUCCCUCAAAAUAGCUGGAAAAAUUGUGAAAAAUGUAAAGAAAAACGGCUGUGCCACUUGCUGAGGAGAGAGGCAGAUCCGAGCCACGGAUCCGAGGAGUGAAAAUGGAUUCGAGCUCGUAUCUGUGAAUCCGAGGACUUUCCAUGAUAGAUCCGAGGUCGGAUCUUCCUGACCUCCAAUAUACUCCGCCAGAAGUACAGACGAGGGCUCGGAUCUCUCUUGUACACACAGAUCCGAGCUCGGAUCCGUGUUGAGCAAUUUUCCAGUUUUUCACUUCUUCCCUUUUUUCUACAUUUUUGCUCCCAAUUUCUUGUGUACUUUGUCCUCUGGAUGACCCUUACAUUUCUUUCAGCUUGUGCAUGAAUUUCAUACAUCAAUUACUUUCACAAUUUCACAAAAUUAAUGCAUUAAUCCACUCAUUUAUCAAUUUUUUGAGCCCUUAAAUAAUAUUUAAGCAAUUAUCACCAAAAGAGUUCAAAUAUGGCUUUAAUCUUCUCAAAACAUACCAAAAAUUCAUGCCAAAUUUGUGUAAAAUGUACGUUAAAUAUUCACUUAUCAAAUUCCCCCACACUUGAAUCAUUGCUUGUCCUCAAGCAAUUUUACACAAAACUUACUUCAAUGAUUCAAUAGAUAAAACAAUAUACGUACUUUUGUCAAAUUUAAUUCCUCAAAAUCCUAGAAACCAAUCAUUAUGCCAUUUCUCUAAUUUCUCUAAAUACUCAUAAUCUUCAAUUAAAUAAAAAUAAUUAUGCCUUAAUUUCAACAAAUUCAAAUCAAUUCUCUCAUUCUAUCCUAAUUUCACAAUUAAGUAAAUCACAUAGUCAAUUUUAUGGCCUUCCUCAUCCCAAAACUUAUCAAUUUAGAGAGAUUUAUUCACAUUUCAUCUUAUUUAAAUAGUAAAAACGUCUUUUUACGCGAAAAUCAACACUUUUAGGUGAAAAUUCUCGGUUACUAAAUAUUUCACUUAUUUAAAUUGCUAAGCAUACUCUUAAUUCCAAUACCUUUUUACGCGAAUGUCAACAUUUGUAAAUGCCAACCCCCGGUUACUCAAUAUGUGAAUCAUUGGAGUAGAAAAGUAAUAAUAUUAUUCUCUCUUUUUUUUUAACAUAUAAUUUCUUUUUCCCUCUAAGUAUAAUUAAAGGAAAAAUUUGGCCUUGUCUUUGACUAUAUCAAUCACUUACUUAUAAAAUUAAGUAAAAAUGAUAAAUAUCAUUAAUCUUGCAAAAUUUUAAGCAUAAUUUUUCUUAUUUAACCAAAUAUACUUUCUAAAAUGUAAAAAUCCUAAUUGCAUAAUAAUUCAUUCCAAGCCAAAUAAGAAUUAAACUUUUCUAAAAUGCACAUAGCAUUUUAUCCAAUGGAAGAAUUAGACACUUAAAAUUUUAACAUUUUAGCCAUUUAAUUGGAAGAAUUGCAAUGGAAUAUUGAAAAAUAUUUUAGAAAAAUUUUGACAGAGUUUCCCCAUAAAAAUGGAUGAAACUCCCUGCCAACAUCCUCAAUUUCACAAAAAUUAUCCUCAUGACAAUAUCUCCAAAUAUAAUUCCAACAUUUUUAAGCCAUAAACAACUAAAAUCAUGCAUUUGAUCCUCUGGAGCUAUAGCUAUUUGAUUAUAUCCUAAAAAACCAUCAAGAAAACAGUAAAAUUCAUAUCCGGCUAUUCGCUCCAAUAAUUGAUCAAGAAAUGGUAGGGAAAAAUGAUCUUUUCUUGUUACCGUAUUUAACUUACGAUAAUCAAUACACACUCUCCACCCUACCACAAGUUUAGAUGGAAUCAAUUCAUCAUUUUUACCUACAAUUGUAGUUAUUCCACAUUUCUUUGGUACCACAUGAAUUGGACUAAUCCAAACACUAUCGGAGAUAGGAAAGAUUAUACCUGCAUCAAGCCACUUAAGAAUUUCAUUUCUUACCACCUCUUUCAUGUUUGGAUUGAGUCUUCUUUGUGUUUCCACCACUGGUUUGCAAUUGUCCUCCAAUAAAAUACGAUGCAUGCAUAUAGAAGGACUUAUACCUUUAAUGUCUGCAAUUGUCCAUCCCAUUGCCUUCUUAUGCUUCCUUAGAACUCUUAGCAACUUUGUGCACUGCUCAUCAUCAAGGCCAGCACUAACAAUUACAGGUAAAGUACUAUUUUCUCCAAGAAAUUCAUACUUUAGAUGAGUUGGAAGUGGUUUGAGCUCUAGUUUUGGAGGUUCAAUUUCUGAAGGUGGUGAAAGCCCUUUUCCUUAGCCAAGACUUUCAUACAAAUUACCCCUUUUAUAAGGUGCUUGAAAAUCCCAAUAUUUGGCCAAUUCUUCAAUCUCCCCACAAUCCCCUUCUUGCAUUCCUAAACUCAUUAAACAAUAUUCAAGAGGAUCAAAGUCAAAAUUGACUUGGCUCAUCUCUUGAGUUAGUUAAUCAAUUGUGCCAAUAGAAUAUGCAUGAUCGGUAAAAGAAGGGUAUUUUCCCAUUUCAUGCAAAUUAAACUCUACCUCUUCUUCACCUACUUGAAACUUCAGCUUGCCAUUUUUAACAUCAAUAAUAGUACCUGCAGUAGCUAAAAAUGGUCUACCAAGAAUAAUUGGCAUAGAUACAUCUUCUUCCAUAUCUAACACCACAAAAUCCACUGGAAUGAUAAAUUUUUGAACUUUUAUCAAUACAUUUUCCAACACUCCCAGUGGAUAUCUAAUAGACCUGUCCGCUAGUUGCAAAGUAAUAUUAGUGCUUUUAAGCUCCUUCAAACCCAAUUGUCUAGUCACCGUUAGAGGAAUCAAUGAUACGCUAGCACCAAGAUCACACAAUGCUUUAGAAAAAUCAAUGUUACCUAUGGUGCAAGGUAUAGAGAAACUUCCCGGAUCCUUCAAUUUCGGUGGUAGCUUAUUUUGUAUAAUUGCACUACACUCCUCAGUUAAUGCUAUUGUUUCGCAGUCUUCCAACUUCCUUUUUCUAGUCAUGAUUUCCUUGAGAAAUUUUGCAUAAGAUGGAAUCUGCAAAAUAGCAUCGGCAAAAGGAAUGUUAAUAUGCAAUUGUUUGAAAAGUUUAACAAAAUUUUCAAAAUCCCUAUCAAACUUAUUCUGCUUUAAUCUUUGUGGAAAUGGAACCGCAGGAGGUAUUGGAAUGGUAGCGGAAGAUGAUGGUUGAUUUUCUCUUGAUUUCUCCUGGCUAUUUUCUUCCACUAUCGCCUCUUGGUUCCUCUGCUUUUCUUCUUGUUUUUCAUUCUCAUCUUUCUCAAUUUCCAUCACUGGAGGAUCUUCUAAUUGCUUACCACUACGAAGAGUAAUGGCUUUGACAUGCUCCUUAGGAUUUACCUCCGUUUUGCUAGGUAAUUCUCCUUGAUUACGAUUAUUCAAAGAACUAGCAAUUUGACCAAUUUGGACCUCUACAUUCCUGUACAUUGUAGUGAGUUGGUCCAAUCUUCCUUCUACUCGCUCAAAUCUAUCUGAAGUAACUUUUGCGAGCUUUUCCACUGCCAUCUCCCAACCAGGUUUAGUUUCAGCUUGUUGUUGCCUUGAUUGAAAUCCCGGUGGAUUGGUUGGCCUUGGUUGAUUUCCUUGAUCCUUCCAUCCAAAGUUUGGAUGAUUUCUCCACCCUGGAUUGUAAGUAUUCGAGCAGGGGUUAUUUUGAGCAUUACAAUUGUAAUUAUUGACGAAUUGUACCUGCUCAGAAUCAACACACUCAUUAGUAUCAUGUUCACCUCCACAUAUAGAACAACAUGCUACAUGUGCAUUAGAUGAACUUGGACCAACUCCACCUUGUCUACUUAGCAACUUCAUCACAUUAUUCAUUUGAGCACUCACUACAAGAAAAACUGCUUAUAGAGGCGCAUCAAAAUGUCACAAGUCACGCUUUAUUGAGGCACUUAAUAUAUUGAGGCACAUACUUAGUGUGCCAUGUAAAACCUAUGUCACAAAAGCUUUUUAAGGCACAAUUAAGUGCCACGACACAGGAAACAAUGCAGACAUUUAGAAGUGCCAACACAAGGUUAUAAUGGUUACACCAAAAAAUGCCUUAAUUGGGAUUCAACUUUCAAGAACUCAACUUUUUAGAGGCACAAAACAAUGUCAUCUUAACUUUAAGUUGACACUUAAAAAUGCCUUAACAGUCCGUUCUUGAGAUAGUAGUGUUUGUCACAAAAUGGUUGUUAUUGAGGCAUGCAAGUAUGCCACUAUAUAGCUUAAUGUAGAUACUGGCAAAUGCCUCUAUAUCAACCUUUAAAAGUGUUUUAAAAUGCCUCAAAAACCUGCUAUGUAAAAAGAAAAUUUCUACUACGAAAAACCCUUAUCGUGACACUUUCAAGUGCCUCAAUAGACUGGAAUUUUUUUUUCUUUUUUAUGCCCAGCCACAGGUACUGCUGUGAAUAUAACAUUCCUAUUGUGUCAAUAUAAUCGUACAUUCAUAUUCGACAUCUCACAUUCAAUGACCAAAAUCAGCAAUAUUUGAUUGAAAAUUCACUUUCAAAUUAUCACCAUAACCAAUAAUUACAAUUAAAGUACUUAUAACUCCUAGUAGUUUUCCAACCAACCAAUUAAACUUUCAUCCUUGCAAAAAAAAACAUAAUAUUUGUUUUAACAUUCAUCAAACAGCUAGAAUGUCCUACUAAUUGUUUGCCACGAUUUCACCAAAAUAGCACUAGAUAAAUUAAAAUCAACUAAACCACUAGUAGACCAACUUCUUGUAAUAUGUGCAGCAACACUUUGUCCUUUUACAGUUAGAGCACUUCCAUAUAAGUGGAUAAGUAUCCAUAUGCUGCAACACCUUGUCCACUUUUGAAUUUCAGCACAUCAAUCUUCGCAAAUUUUUACCUAUAGCAUAAGUAUAUUAUGUAUUAAAAUCUAUCGUAAUUAUCAAAUGAAACAAACAUAUCAGAUAUUAACAGUUAACAUAAUUUGAAAGCUAGAAAAGGAAAAACAUACUAGUUUUGUUGGCCAAGCUAUAGGAGCACCAAUUGAAUCAGCAAUUGUCUGCAAAGGCACAUAAGGCCUAAUCAAAUGCUCAUCACGUUCAACCACAACUUGAACUAGUACUUCACACCAAUUCGAACCUAGUGGUUGGCCCCCAACUAUUGUAGAAGGAUCAAGGGAUUGAAGCCGUCCAAUUGCCACAACUUUUGUUGGCUCAUCUAAGCUAAAAAGAGAAAUCCAGUCUCCCUCCUACAUGAAAAUGCAAAACUCGAAACAUCAGAAAACUAACCAUAUGCAAAGCAGUCACAUCAAAAUUCCAGUCCAUGUUGUGUAGCAAGUAACAUUAUAGUAAGAAAACUAUGAAUCAUACUUCUACAAAAGUCCACAACUACUCAAGAGUAACAUGUAACAAAUACAAAAAUAACUAAACUAAAAUUGCUUUCAAACUGUAAUAGCAAAACAUAUCUACAUGGUCGGACCAUUUCAAGGAAAUCCCUUUCAAGCAAAACAGCAAAAGUGUUACUAAUGUUGAUACAGCCAGCAGCGCAUAUCAAAUGUCUAUCGAAUAGCCUUUGGGAUACUCAGUUAGCAUAUUUCCAUCAACUCUACGCUUCAGUCAGAUUGGAGAAAUUAAAAGCUUCAACAUUACAGUUCAAGUAAUAAACACAGCACAGAGAAAUGUAAUCUUUGGUCAGCAUCAUCUUAGUAAUCUUUGGUCAUUCAUGCAAAGAGUAACAUGAGAUAAAAAUAAAAAUAAAUAAACUAACAUGCUUUCAUAUCGUAAUACCACAACAUGCCUAAAUAUCAUAUCAUUAUCAAGCAAAGAGGACUGGCAUUACCGAACAAAUAUAUUAAAAAACUUACUUUAAGAGGUCUAAGACUGGAACUUGAGGUUGAGAUAUGAUUAGAUGAUGUUGAAGUGAUUCUUGAUUGAUUCAGCAAGUUAUGACCAUUUUGUUGCUCUUCCACUCUUAUAGACUGAUUUUCCAUAUGCUCAUCAAUUGGUUCAUCAAUAAGUCGGCUGCUGCUGGAAUUUCUUCGUUUCUUAGUCCUAGCCAUGUCUGAACAACAAACUCAAUUCAUGUAACAUUUAGGCAAUUUUUUCAGACUUUUUCAGACUCAUAGUAAGAUUUAGGCAAUUUUUCCAUGGCUUCAGGAAAUGCUUCUCUUAACAAAUCAAGAAGCAUAUCAAAGAUUUUGUUACUCCAUUUACCCAGACACUUCAAGUGAAGCAAGCGAAUUAUGAACGAAAGCUUGGAAAAAUUUUUACAACCAGGGUAGAGUUCUUGUUGAGAAUCAUCAAUUAACUUAUAAAACUUUUCAGCAACUGAAUUCGGUAGUUCCUGAUUAGAUUCAAAUAUACCAGCCAUAGCAGGAUCUUGUUGAGGUAUUCCUAAGGCUUCAUGAACUAGACCAUUCAUGUCAUCACCUAUAUCAGAUACGUUAUGAGGAACAUUGUCUGAGAUCUGUAUCGGUGCAGAAGAGUAUACAAAUUCCCCGUGAGCUACCCACUGUGUGUAUCCCUUAAGAAAUCCAAACACCUUCAAAUGAAUUUUUGCAUCUGCCCUAGACACACAUACUCCACAUUUACAUUCUGAACAUGGACAAGCAAUCAUUCCAUUCCCAUGACUUGAAUGCUUAAAUGCAUAGUUUAAGAAUAAUUCCAAACCCUUUUCAAAUUCACCACUUCUUCUAUCUUUCCACAUCCAACUCUUAUCCAUAUUAUUAGAAUUAUCAAAUAUUUACUCAUCAAACAACAUAAAGGAGUGUCAAUGAGUGAGUACCUGAAAUAAUGCAUUUUAUAUGAGAUAACAGCUAAAAUAACCAAUAAUUUUGUAAUUUAUUGCAAGAUAGAUUAAAUAGACUUAAAUACUCAAUUUCAUAUCAGCAAACCUUUGUAAUGUAUGAACACUUUUAAUAGCAAAAUUCAAAUAAUAAAUUACCAACUGCUAUAUUCAAAAGCAAAUUAGAACAAGACUAAUCAGGCAUGUGAACGUAUAAAAUUAGACCAAUAAAAGAAUGUACCUGCUCAAGAGUGCCAAAGUCUAGCACUUUUCUUCCGUCAAAUACUUACCAGCAAAUAUAAACCUGUCCAAAAUAAAGUAAACGCAACUACCUUGAGUAAAUUUUAAAACAGGACCUAUUGCAUUUUUACACCAAUUGCUUAAGCUUUCAACAAAUUAUAAUAGAGGUCUUAAUUACGGUUUAGAAAAGAGGAAAAUAGAAAGAAAUUGAAAAAAGUAAAAGAAAAUACUAGCACUUACUUCUCCCCGUUCCCCUUUAGGAUUCUUUAGAUUGAUUAAUCCAUUUCUUAGGUCGAUUUAAUCAAACAAAUACAGAAUUAAAAAAAAUCAUUGCAUCUGUUGCCUUGGCUAUUAUUUCAUAUGUUUAACGGUGCUGCAACUAGUGAGAGCUAGUGAGCUACAAAUAUCAGAGCUAGUGAUUAUCUCUGAGAUUGGGAGAAAUCAAAAGAAAAGAGAUUGGGAGAAUAGAGAGCUAGUGAGAGCUACAAACUGAUUGUUAAAGAAGAGUAAACUAUCAUCAACAUAAAUUUCUAGAGACAUCUUAAGUUUACUUUGAAAACCAACAUCAUGGCAACCAAUAUAAAUGGAUCGUUAAAUAUGCGCAAAAUAAGCCACUUGGAAACCAAAAAUGAUCAAUUAUCUUCGACAUCUUGAACCAUUAAGUGCUUCACUUAAAGAUUAACAAAAAUCAGUCUAAUUAAGUUCAUUAGCAACUGCUUGAACCAGGUUUAUACUGAUUUCUGGGUGCUGAUUCUGAUUUUUAAAAGUUUUUAUUGUAUGAAGCUAGUCAUCAUGGAAAGCUAGGUAAGGGCUGAAUACAAAUCGAUGUCACCAGCAGCCCUUAUCGCUUUGGAGGGACACACAAUCUUGGCUAUUCUAUUGUCUUGUUUAGGCAUUUGUCUUCCUAUCUCACUCAAUUGAUCUAGUUAGAAAUUGUACAAGUUUAGCCACAUAUAUGCAAUUAUCCUAGAAGAUAAAAGAGGAAAAGUAAACGGAAUCAAAAGACAAGCAAAGGCUACUAAACAAAGGGUAUCAGACAUGUUUUCUGAGAAAUAGAUGAAAUGCUUCGAAAAGACCUUGGAAAUAGUUUGUUAGCAGUAGGAAUCUUGGAUGCAAUAUAUCAACAACACUCUCAGUCAGUACAACUUUUAUUAGUAUGGAAUGGGGAAAUGGUUCUAUACUAAGUUAGAUAUAAAACUCAGUUAUAGGACAAUAUGAACUUAUAUGACUCAAUUCAAAGGAGAAAUUUUUUCAACUAGUUUGCUAGUCAGAUUUCCAAUAUAUUUCACAGCAAAAAAUUUACCUGGACAAGAGGAGAGUGUAAGGUGUCACCUUUCGGAUAUAUUAGUCUGGUGGCAUAUGUCUAACCUUAUAGAGAAAAAGGUACUAAAGAGUACAGAAAGAAAAUUUAAGAGUGGCGUUAUUGAAACAUUGGCUGUUAUCUUGUGGUCGAUGAAGAAUAAAUUUUUCUUUUCCUGUUUUUGGUAUACAAAUUUAAAUAGUUGAAAAAUAACUUAAUUAAUAGUCUACCCACUUAAUUAAAGCCUUCUCAUUUGCACCUAAGAACUACUUAAAAUUAGCGUAAGUACUUAAUUUUGGUACUAGCAAGCAUGACAGAUCUACCUAUUGUACUGUUUCUUUUCUUCUUUUUAGUCUUUAUGCUUUACUUAGCAUUCUACCCAAUGUGGAAGCAGUGCGCUUUAUUGCCUUUUCUCUGCUUUCUUCUUUAGAUCCUGCAGUAUUAUGUGUUUUUAGUACACUAAUUUUGGUAGAAUUUUGAUCUAACUUCUAUUAUAUACAAUAGUAUGCCAAGGAUUUUUUUUUGCUAAAGAUGAAGAAUGCUAAAGGUUCAUUCUUUAACUCUUUCUCUGCAGUUUAUUGGGUUCUCAUCUUCAUCCUUUGCAUUUAGUAGUACUCUCCAACUACAAUAACUACAGUACAUAAAUUAAUUAAAAAUUAAGAUUGGACCAGUGCUAGGUAACACUCACUAUGGUCAUACACAGACACAAAUACAUAUAUAUAGAUAGAGAAAAUUAUGUAGACAGAUGUAUUAAGAAAAUAUACAAGACACACGAGAGUCCUUUUACAUCAAACAGAUCAAGAAUUUGUUACAGGUACAAUGACUUUAUUCGUAUUUUAAGUACAAUGACUAACAAAUCACACAACAAGCUUACUUUUGCUAAUGAACCAAAAAUGCAUCACUUAUCCGAGAAAAAACUUUCAGAAGCACAUAAAUGAAAAUAUAUUCUAAUUCAUAAACCAAAAUGAAUUAUGAUAGUUUGAUGCUUUCAUAUCUAGCAAUAGCAUUUCUUGAUUACGGAGUGGCCUUAUUCACCCUGCGUAGCUGUAAAAUAUCAGUUCCAUAAAUAUAACCAAUCCAUAUUCCAAAAUUUUGUACCUCACAUCAUAUCCCUGUUUUCAGUUUCUCAAGAAAAUAAAUAAUCGUGUUCCUGAAUUGUAUUACCAAACUUGAUAGAAAUUGAGAGAGACAGUUCCCGACAGGAAGACAAAAAAGAGACAGAAACAACCACAAAUUCUGACAUGGAACCCAAAAACAACAAACUCAAACAGAACUAAGUAAACCAUCUUGAUAUCAUGAUUGAAUGACUGACCUCAAUUUUGGAAAGAUCGAAGCUUUGGGGAGAUAGUUUGAGGGAAGAGGACCGAGAGAGAGUGAGUGCGGGAAACAGAUGGGUCAAUGAAAAAUGAAAGUUUUGGAGAUGGUAGAUUGGUAGAGGACUGAGAGGGAGAGUGAGGGAGAAAGACCGGCAUUUGUGAUUUGGGAUUUGGGGAUUUGGGAUUUGGGACAAUUUUGCCGCUGCUCUUAGGCGCCAAUUUGGAGCAUUUUUCUGUUUUUUCAUGAAACAAUUUGCCGCUUCUUUUCGUGGAUAAUUUGGGAUUGUUUUUCCUUCUAUUAGUUGUUGAGGCACAUCUCUAAAAUGCCUCUACAAAUUUUUUCUUUAUAUUGUUUUAUUUUCAGUUUUUCUUAUAAGAUUUGUCCCUUAUACAUUGUCUUUUUUUAUUUAAUUAAUAAGUAUUAGUAUGGCAAAAACUACCUAAUGCCUUAAUAAGUGUUUAUUUGAGGCAUUUGCUUAAUAGUGCCCUAACAAGUAUGCCAUAAUAGGGAAAUUUUCUUGUAGUGACUCAGCAUAUUGAGAGUGUCCAUUUCUAUCAUACCUGCGUGACGUCUUGUAUUACCUCUCUCAUUGCCCAUUGGUAGUUAUUUGCUGCCAUUUCUUCUAUCAAAUUAUGAGCUUCUUGGGGUGAUUUACCCAUUAAAACUCCACCUGCAGCUGCAUCGAUCAUAGUUUUAGUAGAAAAAACUAAACCAUUAUAGAAGGUUUGUAUGAUUAACCACUCCGGCAGUCCAUGAUGUGGACAUUUUCGAAGCAAAUCGCUAAACCUUUCCCAUUCCUCAUAUAAUGAUUCACCUUCUAAUUGGCUAAAACUAGUGAUAUCCAUUCUAAGCUUAGCAGUCUUACCUGGUGGAAAAUACUUAUUUAAGAAUGCUCUUGAUAAAUCAUCCCAUCCGGUGAAAGUAUUAGGAGCAUGAGAGUGUAGCCAAAGUUUGGCCUUAUCUCUCAAUGAAAAUGGGAACAAUCUUAGCCUUAUAGCAUCAUCACUAACUCCAUUCAUUUUAAUUGUAUCACAAAUUUCCAAGAAUGUAGCUAAGUGUGUAUUAGGAUCUUUUACUGCAUUACCUCCAAAUUGAGAUUGUUGAACCAUUUGGAGAAGUGAUGGUUUAAUCUCAAAGUUGUUAGCAUUUACCGAAGGCCUUGCUAUGCUCGUUUGAGAUCCUUGUGUUCCCGGUAGAGCAAAAUCUCGUAGAACUCGCCUAUUUGCUUCGUUUUCUGCCAUUUCUUCUUCAAAUGGAAGCUCUAUUAAGAUUUCCUCUAUUGGUUGCCAAAUCGCUUGUUCCUCUUGCUGUAGUGUGUUUCUCCUUUGUCUAUGUAGUGUCCUCUCAAUUUCUGGAUCGAAAAGUGCAACUUCUCGAGACGUUCGGUGCAUACACUACAAACAAAAACAAGAGAAAUUUUGCAGUUUUAAUUCAACAACUUGAAUAAAAACAAUGAAAAUAUCUAAAUUAAUAGAGAUGAUUAGGCCCUAAUAUUGCCGCUCCCCGGCAACGGCGCCAAAAACUUGACGGAAUUUUUAUAUUAAUGCAAGUUUAAUUCCGAUUUUACACCCGUUGGACUGCAAGUAUAUAGGUCGCAAUUGUAGUACAAGAUGUGUAUCGGGUCGAUCCCACGAGGAGCAAUUUAAACAAUUACUAAGCCCUUGUUUUCUCUAUUAAUUAGACUUACAAUUAAUUUGAGCAGAGAAAGUAUAAUGCCGUAGUCUACAAAUCUGAUAUACAAAUUUAGUUUAACAAAUGCUGAAUGCAAAUAGAGAAAUUUCACUUAAGGAAGAUUCUAGGGAUGUAGAUUCCACUUAUGGCAUAAACAACACAAAUGAAUGGAUUUACUUCUUGCUAUUAUUCUUGUUUAACCAGAGAUUCAUUUCCAAAAUUACCAAGUCUUAUUUUCAUGAUGAAAUGGCCUAGAGCAAUAUAGAUUUCUCUAUUUUCAUGGUGAAAUACUACUACUACUCCAUUUUAUUUCAUGAAAUGCUAAAUACUCCACGUAAGUGUAUCUCUAUUUUCAUGAACAUACAACUCAAGCUCUACUCGCGUGUUUCCAUUGUUAUUACCAAUUCUCUUUGAACAAUAACAGCUAUAAACAAGCUAUUGGUGAUCAAUCAAUAACAAGUAAUCACAACUACACAAGUAGACAAGUUAAUUCAAGAUAUAACAAGUGUAAAUCACAUUCAAUUCAUAUUAUUUAGCCAUAAGUUUCAUCUACUCCCUAGAUAAAGAAAAUUAGCUACUCAUGAAUGAUUUAACAAUCAAACUCACAAGUUUAUUAAUGCAAAACAUCAAAAAGUACAAGUAUAAGAAAGAUAAAAGAAAGCUUAGCCAAUUGAAGGUGAAGCUCUCCAAUUCCUGCUAUGCUCUUGCACAAUAUGAUUACAAGUGAAAAACUCCAACAAUGCUUCUCCAAGAACUCUUAGCUAGAGAGAAAACUAGUUACAAGAAGGAAAACUAGCUACGUAUGGUGUGUCAGGCUUUUCCCCUGUGUUUCUGCAUAAAAGGUGGUAGAAAGUCUAUUCUUCUCCUUCAUAAUUUCCUCCACUCAGAUUUUGUAAAAAGAAGUCAAAGAUAUGAUGUUUCUUUUUGUCUACACUCAUGUUUCUUCAUAAUUACCUUAUUUUGUUUGAAGCGAAUGAACGAGUUCUGACAAGAGUUGGACAGACGGUCCGUUAAACCCUGAAGUACACCCUAGGGAAGAUGGGGUCAUCACACUUUAAACUUAAACAUUUCCCGGAGAACUACAGUGCACCAUUUUUUCCCCCUUCUUUUCAAAUAAAAUUUGGCUUGCAAGGAAGGCAUGAAGUUUCAGUAAAAGAUGCUUCCAUAAGUUUUGGUCGUAUUUUAUUGGUACAGCUUAAAUUACUAAAUAUCAACUCAGAUUUUGUCUAGCUUAUUAACAUAAUUUUCACAUAUUUGAUGCCUGUAAUUUUUUCUUUAAGUUGCUCCGUCAAAUUAAUUGUACAUAUUUCUUACAAUAUUGCUUCUCCAUCAACUAUUCAUAUAUACAGGUGGUAAAAAAUGUAGUCCAAAGACGAGGGAGGAAUCGACCCUAGAUUUGCAAACAAGAACAGUAGAAGUACGAAUGUUUAGAGUAUUCAUGAUUGUUAUAAAAUUUUUAGUUGUGGAAAUGGAUCACCAUUCAAAAUCUUUGAGUCAUGACCAAAAAAUUUCCCCAAAAUUUAUAGUAACUCUUGGGACCAAAUACGCUUAAAGGAAUAAGGAACACUAGAUAGGGCAAAAGAUCAGCCGCUAAUAAUUAAAAAGCGCCAUGGUAAUAGGAAAAAAAAAAGGCGAAUUCACUUUUUACUAAAUCUAAUAACUACUAGUAAGAUAGCAACAUUAUUAUCUCGUGACCUUAAAGCAAUUCCCUCAAACCAAAUCACAAGUUAAAAUAUAAACUAUAAAUCGGGUAUCAGGCAAACUCAAGAGCCGCACAAAUAUCAUGACAAAGAACUUGAAUUUUCAUCUCAAAACUAAUUUACUGUGUGAGUGAAAUAUUCCAAGAUCUUCUUAAUGUGAUUGGAAAUUCUUGAAAUAUCAAUGUGAAACAUUCAGUCUCUUAACAUUCCCCUCCCCCCCAAAGGCGGGGUGAUGUGUGACUUGGGAACAGGCUUAUCAUAUGGGGAACAAAGUCCACGCAUCUUUUGAAACCAGUAAGGACUAAAGAAAUAAUCAAGUCGGGGAUGAAAUUAUAAAUAAGGCAACAAACAAACCCAGUGUUUGCCCACUCAAAUAAAAAAAUUAUCACACUUUAUAGUUAAUUUACCACUCAAAUAAAGAAAUUACCCACAAAGAAAUAAAUCUUUGCAGCAAAAAAGAUGAAAAAUAAAAGCAGCCCUUAAGAAUAGGGAAAAAAAAAGAUGCACAGGAGGCAGCUUAAUCCUCAUCUGUUGCAACUGCUUUAAUGCCAAAUCAAUUUUAUCCCUCAUCUGUUUCAAUGUUCAGACAUCAAAUCUAAAUAAUCGAAUUCUUGCUCAUUAUUUGUUAAUUGUUAAUAAUGCACAUACACACAUGGCCAAAUAUCAUAAAUCUAAACGUGAUUGGUUUUGUAAAUGUAAACGCAACAAAAUUAGAAAACAAUAUAAAAUUUAUGGUUAACACAGAAUUUACCAAAUGUGAAAGUAACCAGCCAAAUGUUGGUAUCAUAACAAAAAUUUCACCGAUCUCUUAGCACCAAUAUCCAGUUGAAGCCAAAAUAGAAUACUAGUUAGAAAGUGAAAAAGAAGAUUCAAUGGAACGUUUCAUCUAGUUAUCAUAUCAAAAGCCCCUCCUGGAUGAGCCAGCAUUGGAUGAACGCCUGGAGGCACCCUUGCGAAAUAUCUUACAAAUCACAAUAUUCAAUGCCUGCAAGAAUAAUGACAAUAUAAAAUAAUAGCAAUAUAACACUUACUUAUAAUAUACCACUAGUAUUGGGUGUUUGUCGUUUUUACUUGAUUUUGGGCUUUGACUUUGAAAAAUCAGUUUUUUUAUGUCAUCGAUUUCUUUCAUCCCUAAAUAUUAUAUUUGUAAAUAAGAUAAAAAGUUAAAAUCUAAAAUCUACCCAUGAAUAGUUUCUAACUAAAUCUGAUUAAAUUUUUUGCAAGUUCUACAUUAACCAAGAACAACCCCUACAAAUGUAGUCCUGAUUAUUUAUGCAUGCUGUGGUACGCCAUCCCCCCAUGCCUCCCCCCCCCAAUAAAAAGUACUGGCUAAAAUUUUUUAAUUAAUCGAUCACUUAGCAAUUGAGGGAAUUAGACUAUGCAUAGGCAAUUGCAUUUGAAUUAGAAAGAAAAUUAUCACCUCUCGCCUAUCAUUUUCUUCAGGGGCAGCAUGUGCAAUCUCACUAGGGUCUAUGCUGUAUUCAUGCAUGAACCAAUUAGUCUUUUGCCUUCAACUAUCACAGUAUACCAACUCUUUCCUGAAACCAGACACAUUUCCCCUUAUAGCAAUCUCUUCAGUUGGAAGACUCCGAUCCAAUAUCCAUUGCCUGCCAUGACCUGGUGAUUUGGCUUUAUGGUAUAAAAAAACCAUGUCUUCCCAUCUCCGUGUUUAUAGCUAUCUGCACAUCAUUUAAAAAAUUAUCAUAAUCCAAGGAUAUUCACGAGGUUUUUCCAGUAAUUUUUCAGCAGGAAUGAGAAAAGAAGAAUAAAAGAAAAAAAAGGCGGAAGAAUUCUAGAUUAGGGUUGCUUAUUAAACCUUUUAAAAGAGAAUCUAUGAUCUAGACCCGUAACUAUCCAUAUUAAAUCCUCAGAUUUUUUUAGACUACUUAAAUUUCAGUUUUCAUUCUUUUAAUUCUUUGUUAUGCAAUUUAUUCUGUUAUUUUACGUAUUAAUAAAAAUUUUUGGGACACGUAAUAGAAUUUCAAAUAGAAGUACAAGGUUAAGCCAAAAAAAUCUUGAAUACCAAAUGCAGGACAUCUCAUGUGCCUGGGGUUGCAAUGGGUGUAUGUAGUUCAAAGAAAUUAAAAAAGUCUUGGAGCAAACAGAAUUUAGGAUAAAGUUUCAAGACUUCAAAAAAUAUUUCAACUUUUAGUUUUUGUCAGGGAAACAAAUAAAUGUUCCCCGUAUGCAACCACUGAAUAAAGCACAGAACGAAAAAUAUUAAUAACAAAACCAAUUCAGUCAUAACAAAUUCUUUUAACACCAAAAAUCACAAUACCUUUCAAUUUGGCAAAAGCUAUAAAUCUCAGAGAAAAAUUUUAGGAACUCGAAUAGAGAGAUAAAUGCAUACAAUUAGUGAAUUUUGCCCUUACAAAUGUACUAUCAUUCAUAUGAAUGGUAAACAUAAGUUAACAGUAACAAGCUAUAUUACAUUGUCUUUGCGUCUAAGAAACUCUCUUAUAAUGGUUGGAAUUAAAUAAGCAUGAAUUCUACAGAAGACUAAGCUGUGACGACCCCACCUCCCCCUAAGGCGUACCAAAGGGUUCGGCGGACCGCCUGCCCAGCUCUCGCCAGGACUCACUCACUAUCUUAAUCGAGUCACGUACACACAUCCAUAAACCAUAAAUAACAUUCCCAAUUCAAGCUUAUAAUUUACAUUAAUAGAAAUCGAGGUACAAAGUCUCAACACACCCAACUAGUUCAAUACGUAUACAAUCCAAGUACAACAUGUUCCAUUCGAGGAAUAGCGCGAGUACAAGACCAAAAAGUCAAAAGUCCAAAACAAAAGGCUACGCUAGUCUUUUACAAGUCUCACGCGUCACUCGUACCCCUGAAAGGAAAAACAAAUGGAGUGGAAUGAGCUAAAAGCCCAGUGAGGUUCCAAAUAGCAAAUUGACCAUUAUUUAGAAGUACAAGUUUUCGGUAUAGCAAAGUAACAAGCAUGAAGAGUUCAUAAAGGUGAGCAAUAACACGUCAAGUAGCAAUCUUAAAAUGAACGAAUGUAGAAAAUUUUUCAAAAGAAACAAUAAUCAAAUAAACAAAUAAUACCCAAAGUAUAAGGAUACGGAUGACUCUCAGGAGCACAAAUCCCCAUUACAUUACCAGAAAGCUUGAUCCGUAUAGUUGACACUCCGUCACGUUUCAGUAAGUAACCAAUGCCAGUAAGAACCCCAAACCACUUAAACGACUUCUCCGUCCACCGUUCAAACCCCCAGCUGGGCCAAAACUCUCAAGGAACAAUGGCUGGUAAUACUCGAGUAUAUCGAUUAGUCGAUGGAAUACACUCCACUCGACAAUAACAAGAAGACCCAGGGUUCGUACCGUUCCAAUCGACCAAGCCCUGACGGCUCGACUAAGAGUAACUCGCGCACAGGGUUUCUGGAAUUCAGGAAGUGCGCGCAUCAUAAUCAAGUAUAUCAAGUCAAUUGCACAAAUAAACAAGUAUAGUUCACGUAAGGGGCAAGUGCGAUACAAGUACACUCUUGCCCCUAUCAAUUCACGAAGGUUAUAUAUACACCCUCGUACUCCAUAUUGGUCACGUAUCAAGUUCAAGUAUCUAGUGCAAUUCGCUAUUUGAAACACCUCAGCCAAAAGAUAUAGUGCCUUUACUGGUCACUUUUCGGUUAUACUCCGGUUUCGGAGUCCGAAAUCUGCCGAUAAGAAAACUCAGUUUUUGAAGAACUUUGAAAACAUGACUAAGAUUCGAAACUUAGACGUUUCGUUCAAUAAAAUCAAGAAAUUGAAAUUCACUCGGAUGGUAGUCGUGAAACACUUGCUCGCUUUUUAAAUGGUAAAACUUUGUAACAUUUAUACUUGAAAAUGCCAUGCAAGUCGAAAGUAUAAGGAAAACAUACUCCGAGCAAUCAUUAUUUCCUUUCUCAAGGGUACAAGUUCGGCCAAGUCCUUCCUUAUAUACCCCGGAACAAAAAUACUCAAGUACCCUAGAUGGUUCAAGCACUAUUCAUAUCAAUUCGACCCAAGUCGCAAGUGUAUUUAUAUAGUUCUCGAGCGUAAAUUCGGGCAGCAUGCCCUUUGUGUUUACCUAAUUUUCCAGCCAUUUAGGCUUCAUUAUUUUUCUCAACCACAACCCAACAUCACAUAUGUCAACAAUUCAUGUCCAGAGCCGUUCCAUAGGCUCACAAUAUCAUAAUAACAAGAAUCACAACAAUGACAAGUGCAGAAAUUCAACUUAGCACAAGACAGAUUUGACGUACGAAUGCGGAAAUAACAUAUCCGAGGCUACGCUUAUUGGUUGAGGCGUAACCUAUGCCGUUUCGAAGCUAAGAUAUAGGGCUGCAAUAUUCAUGAAGGUCACUUAGUCCAGUUCCUAAUGUAGCUUAGUCAAAUCCUCAAAUUACUAAACCAGAAACCAAUUCGUCGGCUAUAUAACCGCAUUACCCUGUAAUGGUCAUAUCUCAGAGUACAAAGGUCCGAAUCAGGUGUUCUUGGAGGCAUUUAAAAGCUAAGUCAGAAUAAUACAACUUUCAUGUUUUGGCCCAGAGCUAAAUCAGUACGUAUCCUAGUCAAAAAACGUGAUAAACUGGACUUAACUGAUGAAACGGACUGCUGGGAAAUAUUUGAAACAGUAAGGGUAUUUCGGACUUUUUAUGACCUACGUUCCUCCGAUUGGGCUGAAAUUUUACAGGUACCUACAAAAUACCAUUCUCUACAACUUUCCUUCUUUGACCCAAAGCCAAUUCGGCCUCUAACACACAGAUACAAAUUCGGACAGAAUGUAAGCUAGAAUUUCCAGAAAUCUGAAAUUUGUAGUUUCUAGUGCAACUUUCCCCAAUUUCUCACCUCUCACACUACCAAAACAUCUUAUACAACAUUAAUUGUAACAUACAAGCAUCAUACAUCAAGUUGGGCAGAAAUUCCACAGCCCUAGUUCAUCAAAUAAAUUGGGAAAAACUUCUACACAUGCUAGCAUCCAUGAAUCCACCACCAAUCAAGCUACUAAGCUUACUUUAACCAUGAUUGAAAGAGAAAGUUAGAGAGAUAUCAUCCUCUUACCUUGAUUAGAGUUCACCAAGUGUAGCCCAAGCUUUCUCUUUCCAAAAUUUCACCAACAAUCACUAACUAAUCACUCAAAGGUAAGUUUAAUCGGUUUAGAAAUUUAAUUUGUCACUUGGUUGGUUAGAAUCAAGAAGAAGGAAUUGUUUCUUGCUCUCACUUUCUCUCUCCCUCUUGGUCGACCAGCUGCUGGAAAAAUGAAGAGGAAAGUGCAGAAAAUUGGUUUAAGAAGGCUAGUUAAUCACUUGGCCAAGAAACUCUAGGGUGGCGACACUUGUCGCCACCACCACCUUUCAUUUUUCUCUUUCUUCCUUGCUAUUUUCUAGCCUCAAAUUUUCGGUCAAAGCAGCUGCCAAACAAGAAGAUAUUUUGCUCAAAAGUCAAUAAGCUUGUAUGGUAAGAAAGUGGUGGUCAAGUGGUACGUUCAACCGGUAGUGCGCGGGACCCGCCGGUUCACGCCGUUUUUCUUAAAAACUCACGUACUACUGUUUUUUUUUUCUUCCCAUACUCUAACCUUAUAUCAUUGCUACUACUCACAUAUGAUUUUUUUACUUAAAAGUCACUUUUAAUCACCAAAUUGAUCCUUGGUCAGUACCGAAAAUUCAUCCGGCGAAAAAUCGCGAAAACCCUAAUUUUGCUCAAAUCUUGAAACCGAAGUGUAAAACCCUAUUUCCAGGUUCAUCUGCACUUAUUGUUGAACAAUUGGGUAGUAGGGCCUUAAUAAAUAAUAAUUUUCAAAUAAAAGGAAAUUUUUUAAGAAAACGUGAGGAAUUUACAAUUUCAAUAAUUAACAUUAGAAUCUCUAGUAAAAUAUGAAAGAUUUAAGAAACCGUUUAGUCACAAGUAAACUAGGGUUUUUGAUUAAAACAUUAGGGUUUCUAGUCGUUUAAAACGAAAUAAGGUUUUAAAUCAAACCCGAAGAAAUAUACUUUAAUAUUUUCUUCACAAACAACCUCCUAAUAUUCGGGAUGUUACAAUCUCCCCUCCUUAAAAGAAUUUCGCCCUCGAAAUUCCAACGGGUACUAAGAGUCCUUUAAAGUCAAUCAGGUACUAGAAAUCACUCCAAUCCCUUAUAUAUGACCUUAUCAUUUAGUAAAGAGCUAAGAGAUAACCAAAUAGAUCAUGCAAAAAGGGCUCAAUUCACAUAACUAGCCCUGAGUUGAAAGUAAAGUCUCAGAUAUUCGAAAAAUUUAGAACAUGGCUUAGCCUCAAGUCGAAAAUUUCUCAAGUCGAAAAUUUUACCCCUGGCGGUGCUUGGAAACACAACAGGCAAAGGCUCACCAGAGAGUUUUAGUUCAACCGCUACAGAGGAGAAGUAGCUGGUCUACAGCCCCACAAAUACGAAUAAGUUCAAAAGCAAGGUCAAAGCAGGGUUCAAACAUAUAAGUUCAAAAGUAGAUUCAAUUACUUCAAGUUCAAGAAGCACGGGUACAAAUAAGAACUCACUCGACUAGCCUAUACCCAGCAAUUCACAUUCUCAAACAGUCGCCGAAUUCAAAUCCACCUAUAGGUCAUAUUACUCAUGUGUAAAAAUCAAAUCAGGUCCAUUACAUGUACGUAAGAGCACACUCGCCAAAACAAGUUCAAGUCCCAAAUGAGCUCAUUUUAGUCUGUCUCAGACAGUUCAAGUAUUGCAAACCCCUUUGAUCGGUCCAAUAACAAGGUUAAAUGUUAGAAUCAUCCACGCUUUAACCUUUCCAUCAAAACUCACCUCAAGUGCAAUCAAGAUACAGACCCUUAUUCUAACGCUCUUCACUAUAUGAUACCCAAGUACAAGAAUCCACAAUAAGACAAUUCACAACUCGAGCCGGCCGGUCCCAAGAGUAAAUCAUCCAUAUUAGAGAUUCCUACAUGCAUAACUAAUAAGGUCUCCAACAAUAGACAAUUGUUCCACACUUAACGAAUCGCCAAUCCCCACAGUCCGGAGAACCCUCUCCCCGGCACCUGAAGCUUCAAUAGGAGCUCUGAUACCAUCUGAUGAGACCCCACCUCCCCCUAAGGCGUACCAAAGGUUCGACGGACCGCCUGCCCAGCUCUCCCAGGACUCACUCAUAUUUCUUAAUCGAGUCACGUACACACAUCCAUGAACCAUAAAUACAUUCCAAUUCAAGCUUAUAAUUUACAUUAAUAGAAAUCGAGUUACAAAGUCUUCAACACACCAACUAAGCUUCAAUAGCUUAUUUACAAUCCAAGUACAACAUGUUCCAUUCGAGAAUAGCGCCGAGUACAAGACCAAAAGUCAAAAGUUCCAAAACAAAGGCUCGCCUAGUCUUUUACAAGGUCUCACGCGUCACUCGUACCCCUGAAAGGAAACAAAUGGAGUGGAAUGAGCUUAACAAGCCCCAGUGACGUUCCAAUAGCAAUUUGAACCAUUUUUAGAGUACAAGUUUUUCGGUAUAGCAAAGUAACAGCAUGAAGAGUUCAUAAAGGUGAAGCAUAACACGUCAAGUAGCAUUUAAAAUGAACGAAUGUGAAAAUUUUUCAAGAACAAUAAUCCAAUAAACAAUAAUUACUCCAAGUAUAAGGAUACGGAUGACUCUUCAGAGCAAAUUUCCAUUCAUUUACCGGAAGCCUUUGAUCCGUAGUAGUUGACACUCCGUCAACUUUCAAGUAAGUAACCAAUCCAGUAGACACACCUUAAACGCUCUCCGUCCACCUUCAACCCCAGCUGGGCAAAAUCCUCAAGAACAUGGGUUGGUAAUACUCGAGUAUACCGAUUAUGUCGAGGAGAUAUCACUCCACUCGACAAUACAAGAGACCAGGUUCGUUACCCAACGACCCAAGCUUGCGGCUCGACUAGUAGUAACUGCCCAGGGUUUCUGAAUUCCAGGAGUGCGCGCAUAUAAUCAAGUAUAUCAAAUCCAAUUGCAACAAUAAACAAGGUAUAUUCACGUCUUAAGGGCAAGUGCCGAUAAAGUACACUCGUGCCAUCAAUUCCGUUAUAUAAUGUACUCUAUUGGUCACGUAUCAGUUCAAGUUCUAGUGCAAUUCGUAUUUGGAAAGCAUCACCAAAAAGAUAUUAGUGCCUUUACUGGUCACUUUCAGUUAUUAUACUCCGGCCGUUCGGAGUCAAAUCUGGCGAUAAACUCAGUUUGAGAACUUUGAAACAAUGAUAAAAAGAUUCGCAAACUUAGACGAUUUUCGAUUCAAUUAAAAUCCAAAAGAAAUUGAAAUUCACUCGGAUGGGUAGUCGUGAAACACUUUGCUCGCUUUUAAUGGUAAACUUGAAAUUUAUACUUGAAAAUGCAUGCAAGUCGAAUAGUAUAAGGAAAACAUACUCCGAGCAAUCAUUAUUUCCUUUCUCAAGGGUACUAAGUUCGGCCAAGUCCUUCCUUAUAUACCCGGAACAAAAUACUCAAGUACCCUUAGAUGGUCAAGCACAUUUCAUCAUCAAUUCGACCAAGUCGCAAGUGUAUUUAUAUAGUUCUCGAGCGUAAAUUCGGGCAGCAUGCCCUUUGUGUUUACCUAAUUUUCCAGCCAUUUAGGCUUCAUUAUUUUUCUCAACCACAACCCAACAUCACAUAUGUCAACAAUUGAUGUCCAGAGCCAUUCCAUAGGCUCACAAUAUCAUAAUAACAAGAAUCACAACAAUGACAAGUGCAGAAAUUCAACUUAGCACAAGACAGAUUUGACGUACGAAUGCGGAAAUAACAUAUCCAAGGCUACGCUUAUUGGAUUGAGGCGUAACCUAUGCUGUUUCGAAGCUAAGAUAUAGGGCUGCAAUAUUCAUGAAGGUCACUUAGUCCAGUUCCUAAUGUAGCUUAGUCAAAUCCUCAAAUUACUAAACCAGAAACCAAUUCGUCGGCUAUAUAACCGCAUUACCCUGUAAUGGUCAUAUCUCAGAGUACAAAAGUCCGAAUCAGGUGUUCUUGGAGGCAUUUAAAAGCUAAGGCAUAAUACUACAACUUUCAUGUUUUGGCCCAGAGCUAAAUCAGUACGGCUCCUAGUCAAAAAAUGUGAUAAACUGGACUUAACUGAUGAAACGGACUGCUGGGAAAUAUUUGAAACAGUAAGGGUACUUCAGACUUUUCAUAACCUACGUUGCUCCGAUUGGGCUGAAAUUUUACAGGCACCUACAAAAUACCAUUCUCUACAACUUUCCUUCUUUGACCCAAAGCCAAUUCGGCCUCUAACACACAGAUACAAAUUUGGACAGAAUGUAAGCUAGAAUUUCCAGAAAUCUGAAAUUUGUAGUUUCUAGUGCAAGUUUCCCCAAUUUCUCACCUCUCACACUACCAAAACAUCUUAUACAACAUUAAUUGUAACAUACAAGCAUCAUACAUCAAGUUGGGCAGAAAUUCCACAGCCCUAGUUCAUCAAAUAAAUUGGGGAAAAACUUCUACACAUGCUAGCAUCCAUGAAUCCACCACCAAUCAAGCUACUAAGCUUACUUUAACCAUGAUUGAAAGAGAAAGUUAGAGAGAUAUCAUCCUCUUACCUUGAUUAGAGUUCACCAAGUGUAGCCCAAGCUUUCUCUUUCCAAAAUUUCACCAACAAUCACUAACUAAUCACUCAAAGGUAAGUUUAAUCGGUUUAAAAAUUUAAUUUGUCAGUUGGUUGGUUAGAAUCAAGAAGAAGGAAUUGUUUCUUGCUCUCACUUUCUCUCUCCCUCUUGGUCGACCAGCUGCUGGAAAAAUGAAGAGGAAAGUGCAGAAAAUUGGUUUAAGAAGGCUAGUUAAUCACUUGGCCAAGAAACUCUAGGGUGGCGACACUUGUCGCCACCACCACCUUUCAUUUUUCUCUUUCUUCCUUGCUAUUUUCUAGCCUCAAAUUUUCGGUCAAAGCAGCUGCCAAACAAGAAGAUAUUUUGCUCAAAAGUCAAUAAGUUUGUAUGGUAAGAAAGUGGUGGUCAAGUGGUACGUUCAACCGGUAGUGCGCGGGACCCGCCGGUUCGCGCCGUUUUUCUUAAAAACUCACGUCUACUGUUUUUUUUUCUUCCCAUACUCUAACCUUAUAUCAUUGCUACUACUCACAUAUGAUUUUUCACUUAAAAGUCACUUUUAAUCACCAAAUUGAUCCUUGGUCAGUACCGAAAAUUCAUCCGGCGAAAAAUCGCGAAAACCCUAAUUUUGCUCAAAUCUUGAAACCGAAGUGUAAAACCCUAUUUCCAGGUUCAUCUGCACUUAUUGUUGAACAAUUGGGUAGUAGGGCCUUAAUAAAUAAUAAUUUUCAAAUAAAAGGAAAUUUUUUAAGAAAACGUGAGGAAUUUACAAUUUCAAUAAUUAACAUUAGAAUCUCUAGUAAAAUAUGAAAGAUUUAAGAAACCGUUUAGUCACAAGUAAACUAGGGUUUUUGAUUAAAACAUUAGGGUUUCUAGUCGUUUAAAACGAAAUAAGGUUUUAAAUCAAACCCGAAGAAAUAUACUUUAAUAUUUUCUUCACAAACAACCUCCUAAUAUUCGGGAUGUUACAAGUAUGGCCAGGGUCUGUGUGGAGAUAGAUGUAGCGAAGCUUGUAGUGCCAAGAAUUUGGAUUGCUGUCGAAGGGGAAUCUGGUUUCUGGCAACGUAUUGUGCCAGAAAACAUCCCUCCAUAUUGUUCCAUUUGCUCGCGUUUAGGACAUUCUCAUGUGGAGUGCAAAAAGAAUUUGGAUAAGGUUGGGUCUUGGCAACAGCCCAUGAAGAUGCAGCAGGACUCACAGUUAGCUGGAAAUCAGGUUAUUAUUCUUCAACCUGUUAAUAACUCAGCUGGUAAUGCGAAUGAAACAACAGAUACUAUGGUUUCUUCUCAUGAAAAGCGUAGUACUGCUACGCUGGAUGGAAGGAAAAAUUCCCCAGGUGCAACGGACAAGGCUUCUGGAUCUGUUUUGCAAGAUGAUGAAGGGAACGUUCAGCAAGACUUCGGUGUUCACACUACUGUAGUUGAAGAAGAAACCCAGCCUGAAUCUUCUAAUGUAAAUGGAUACAUGGAGAAUGCGGCAAUGCAUGGGGGACAAGCGGAAAUGGGAAACCAGCUGGAGGAGCACCUUGGUCUUCAAAGUGAAGGGACCCAGUCUCUUAAGCAGAAAUCUUUGACUAGUGAACAAGAGCAGCUGGCCGAAAUUAAUGCUUUAAGCAUUGAACAACAGAAUCUGUCCGACAACAAUGAUAUCAAUGGAAAUGAAUUGCUGGCCGUCAAAAAAGAUUUGCAGCACCUCUAUGUUGAAUUACAUGGGGUAGAAGAUGUAUCUUCCACACAACAUGGGGAAAAUUUGCCUAGCUCGACUAAUAUUGCAGGAAAUUUGUCUUCACGAAUAGGGGUCCCACAAGAAAAGAUGCAGGAAUCAUCAAUGCACGCUCUAAAUAUUGAUCAAUCCGAGGAGCUUCAUUGUGAUUUUCAACAAAUGCGGAAGAAGGGUGUGCGGGCUCCUUUCCCAUCUGACAGACAGUUACGGUCAAAUAUAUCAUCCAAAAACUCAUUCCAGGUUCUUUCUCAUGAUUAAUGGAUUAUUUUGGAAUAUUAGAGGGGUAGCUAAACUUCCUAAUCUAAGAAGAUUGAUUAAAUUAAUACGGAUACAUCACCCUCAAUUUGUUGUCAUUUGUGAGCCAAAACUAGACGUAUCUAAAAUUGAGUCCAUUCGCUUACGUCUACUCUUUGAUUAUGUGUUUGUUAAUUGCUCAAGUGAUAUUUGGAUAUUCUACAGUAGUCCUUUUGUUUGCUCUAUCGUUGGUAGUUCGGAUCAGCAUAUUUCUCUAGAUAUUCAAAGUCCAUUGCUUCCUAGUAAAUUUGUCAUGUCCUUUGUUCAUGCAAAGUGUUCAGUGGAGGAGCGCAAAGAUUUAUGGUGUUCAUUAUUAAAUGAUAAGCCUAGUUUACUACCUUGGUGCAUUGGGGGUGAUUUUAACGUAAUUUUGGCACCUCAUGAAAAACGGGGAGGCCGUCCAUUUGCUAUAGCUGAGGGGGCGGAUUUCAUGUCUUUCAUGGAGGAGGCUGAGGUCUUCGAUUUAGGCUUCUCAGGAGCUAGUUUUACAUGGUCUAAUAAUCGGCGGGGUAGAGCUCGAAUUUCAAAAAGGUUGGACAGAUUUUUAAUCAAUGGAUCUUUCUUGGAUCUCUCUAACAAAAUCUCUGUGCUUCACUUGGCAAGACAUCCCUCGGAUCAUGCACCAUUGAAGAUUACGUUUGCGACCCGAUCGGAUAUUAAACCUCGGCCAUUCCGCUUCUUAAAUGUCUGGACUACAAAACCACAAUUCCUGGAGGUGAUUCGCCAGGCUUGGAAUCAAGAUGUACAGGGAUCUCCAUUGCGCGUUUUAUGCUCCAAAUUAUUGGCCACGAGAAGGGCUAUUCAAACAUGGAACAAGCAACACUUUGGGAAUGUUAUUGAUGCUGUUCGUUAUGCGGAAAUGGCGGUCCAUAGAGCAGAGGAGGUUGCGGAUCAAGACUAUUCAGAAGAGUGUCAGAUUGAACUCAAUAAGGCACAGGCAGAGUUUCGGCAUGCAAUGUCAAUUGAAGAGCAAUUUUGGAGGCAAAAGGCAAGGGUUAAAUGGCUUCGUCAUGGAGAUAGAAAUUCAAGGUACUUUCAUGCGGUAGUAAGGCAAAGACGUGUUCAAGGAAUGAUACACCGUAUAAAAAAAUCCAACGGCGUUUGGGUAGACACGGAUGAUGAUAUAUCAACUGAAGCAACAGAAUAUUUCAAUAAUCUCUUCACAGGUUCUUUGGAGUCAUCUUCUGAUAUGCUACACCUAAUUCCGCCGAUGAUUUCGGGAGAGGAUAAUAAGAGGCUGGAAGCAGUGCCUACGAUCAAGGAAGUGUACGAAGUCGUCAAGUUAAUGGAUGGAGAAAGUGCUGCUGGUCCAGAUGGUUUCACAGGAAAAUUUUUUACAUUUGCUUGGGAGGUGACGGCCAAGAUGUCUACAAUGCGGUACUCAGUUUUUUCUGUGGGGCGGAUUUGCCCCGUUUCAUCACCUCUACUUCAAUCGUUCUAAUUCCAAAGAAGCCAAAUCCUCAGGAAUUUUCUCAUUUUAGGCCCAUCAGUCUAUGUAAUUUUUUCAAUAAAUUAUUAUCCCGGAUUUUGGCGGACAGGGUGGCUGUUUUAUUGCCAAAAAUUAUUUCCCCCCAGCAGACAGGUUUUGUGAAGGGCCGUAAUAUAAUUGAAAAUUUUCUCCUAGCUCAAGAGGUGGUAUCGAGUAUGGGAAAAAAGAAUAGAGGUGGGAAUGUUUUAAUAAAACUCGACAUGUCCAAGGCGUAUGACCGGGUGUCAUGGGGUCAUAUUAUUAAUGUUCUGAGGAAGUUUGGAUUCGGGGAAAUAUUUAUUGACCUAGUAUGGCGAUUGCUUUCUAAUGUCUGGUUCUCAAUCAUUAUAAAUGGCUCCUCCUACGGUUUCUUUAAAUCUUCGAGAGGGCUUCGUCAAGGUGACCCAUUAUCACCUGCAUUAUUCAUUAUCGGGGCCGAGGUGUUGUCUAGAGGAUUAAACAAUCUCAUCAUGCAGUCGGGCUUCGUGGGAUUCAAAGUUCCUUAUGGGUGUCCUUCUAUAACUCAUUUGGCUUUCGCGGAUGAUGUUCUCAUAUUUGCAAAUGGCUCUUCCUUUUCUCUGAAGGCUAUUAUGCAGGUGUUAGAGGCAUAUCAAAGGUGUUCGGGGCAGCUGAUAAAUGUGCAAAAAAGCUGCUACUUGGUACAUCCAUCGAUGCCACUGGCGAGAAGAAGGCAAAUUGAACGUAUCACCAGGUUUACCUGGCACUCAUUUCCGAUACGUUAUUUAGGGUUCCCGCUAUACUUUGGAAGAUGUAAAUCAUCAUACUUUGGAGAAGUUUGUCAGUCUAUUCUAGGGAGGAUUUUGUCGUGGAAAUCAAGAUUACUUUCCUUUGGAGGCAAAAUAGUUCUAAUCAAACAUGUGUUGGCAUCAAUGCCAUUGCAUUUGAUGUCGGCUGCAGUGCUCCCGGGUAAGUUGUUCAAAACUAUAGAAAAGACCUGCUUAGCCUUCCUGUGGGCGUCCUCACCCGCGGACUCGAAGUACCAUUGGAUACGAUGGUCUCAUUUGUGUUAUCCAGUUGAUGAGGGAGGAGUUGGAUUUCGGAGACUAUGGGACGUAUACAAAGCUUUUUCAUGCAAGCUUUGGUGGAAUUUCCGAACAGGAUCAUCGUUGUGGGCAAUGUUCUUGAAAGCAAAGUAUUGCAAAAGCCUCCAUCCUUGUCAGGUAGAACUCAAAUCAACGGACUCGGCAAUCUGGCGGAGGAUGGUCAACGUCAGUCGACAAGUGGAGCUCUCAAUGUUAUAGGACGGGUCGUGUCACUUUUGGUACGACAACUGGUUGGGAAGUGGUGCGUUGUUCCUACAAGCACAAGUUAUCCCAAAUUUGACUUUCCGCAAUUUCGUCAUCAAUGGUCACUGGGAUUUGAAUUCCUUAGGUCUUACAAUACCAAAGGAGAAAAUGGCCUCCAUUGUGAAACACAUACCACCGGAAGAAGGGAGUGAAGUUGAAGUCAUUUGGAUGCCCACCACAUCUGGUAGAUUCUCUCUACAAUCGGCUUUCGAAGACAUCAGGCAGGCCCGCAACAAGUCGAUGGUUUUUGCUUCGAUUUGGCAUCCUCGGAUUCCUUGGAAAGUCUCGUUCUUCAUGUUGCGACUAUUUCUAGGAAGACUACCGCUACCAGAUAGGUUAUGUAAACUUGGUUUUCAUUUACCGUCAAAGUGCUUGUGUUGUUCUUCGGCAUCUGCAGAGUCUAUCGAGCAUUUAUUUGCCAAUGGACAAAUAGCAUCGGAAGUUUGGAACUAUUUUCGAGGUUUAUGUGGAUUUAGCUGUUCAGGGUCUUCUCUACGGUCCUGCAUAGUAGGGUGGUGGUUGCGGUUACAUGAUACUGAGACACGACAGCUUAUUGACCGCAUUCUACCUAAUAUAGUUUGCUGGCAGAUUUGGAAGGCAAGGAAUAAAGCAAUGUUUGAGGGUGUCCAGAUGCGAUCGUCUAUUAUUUGUCAUCUCAUUUUCUCGGAAAUUCAGUCCAUCGUGGGAAUCCACUUCAAACAAAUUUUUCGAUUCCAAUCUUUUUGUCAUUUGUAUGAUCGAUCGAAUGUGUCUGUCGGUACGGUUGUAUACAAAUUUGUUCGAUGGGAGACAAAGGAGAUAGGACGGCUCAUACUUAAUAUGGAUGGAUGUUCUAAGGGUAAUCCAGGAGUGGGUGGAGGUGGAGGAGUUCUUCGGGAUCCAACUGGUUCACCACUGAUUGCCUUUUCGGCUUAUUUUGGAGAAACUACAUCUCUCCGUGCAGAAGCUUGGGCUCUCCUUAUCGGUCUUCAAACGUGUAAACAUAGGGGAUUCGAAAAUAUAAGUGUGCAAUCAGAUUCGCUGCUCUUAGUUGGGAUCAUUCAACGAAGCACUCAAUGUCCGUGGCAGAUUCGAAGGGAGAUCAGGCAGAUUUGGAAGCUCCUGCAGGAACCUAUUCAUUUUUCACACUGCUACCGAGAGGCUAACACAGUUGCUGAUGCGUUGUCUAAUGUGGGCGUUUCUCACCCACAUCAAAAGGUCAAGGUAUAUGACAGCUUUACUAUGUUCCCAAGGGAAGCUCGUGGGGCAAUUCGCCUUGACAAAUUAGGUUUACCAUCAAUUCGGAAAAUAAGACGUAUGUAACACGAAUUUAUGUUUUGUAAUUUUCUCUCAUCAAUAAAAUAAAAAGUUGUUAUAAAAAAAAAGAAUUAAUCAAGUACGCUGAUGACAUUAGAAUGUCCAUGUUUGCUUAAAAUUCUUGUUCUUUUAAUCCAGAAGAUACAAGUAUAAAUUCACAGAAUAAAAGCUCUAAAAAUUAGUACCUAAAACAUUCCUCUUCACAUGCCAAAGAUAAAACCAAACAUGCAUGACAGCAUAAUUUGGUAAUUAGGCCUUAUUUAGUAUUUGCCCGUUAACGAUAACUUUAUGAUCCUGUACUUUAUAAAAGAUACAAAUUUUGAUGCACAUGGUACAGAGUCCAUCAACUUUAUGAAUUAAAACUAUUAUCCAUGCAUAUACCAAGUUGAUGCAAGUGUUUAUUUAUUUUCUUUAAUUUUCAUGAGAAAAGCCAAUCAAAUCAAACAGGCAUGUUCUUAAUGGUUUUUAAUUUUUUUGGCAAAAUCUUAUUUUGUAAAAUGCCAAAAUUUGUAUCCAAAAAAGCAACUGAGAAGUAAAAAAAUUUUAGAGAAAGCACUUGAGAAUAUCACAUCAAUAAUGAUUUUCUUAAAUUACAAAUUAAAAACAUGUCCAAAAAAUCAGUUGAGAACAAGCCCUAUAUGAAGUUAAUGCAUGUAUGUUUUUUUUUUGUUUUUAAUUAUUAUCAGAAGAACCAACCAAAACAAACUGGAUGCUAAUCUACUAGCAAUGAAGCAUAUAUGAAUAUUUGUUCAAUUAGACACAUUACCAAAUGGGAGGUCCUCAGGGUUGACAUCAUAUAGACUCUGGCGUUUGGAAUUAUGUCUGCCACACUUUCGUUGAAAAUUUUCUGCUUCAAGUAAUACAAUCAUAUUUGAUCAUCUGGAUCAAAUCUAUAGCCAGGCGAGUAAGGGCUAGAAUUAGAUGGCUUGUUCAUUGCAAUAGCAAUUGCAAAAUAAAAGAAAAUACUCAGAAAGAAAAAGCUAUUAAUGAUAUGUAUGAUCAUUGAUGUAUGUUUAUACUGAAGUUGAGGAGCAACUGGGGAAAGAAAAUGGAAGUUUGGGAUCUUUUUUGAACAAGGAAAGAACAAAGGUUGCAAGAAAAGGGUAAGAGAUAAGUGUUUUAAUUUUGUAUUUUAGUAAACUGAAUCUCUAAUUUAUUGUGUUAUUAAUUUUCCACGACAUAUUAUGGUUCUUUCUUUAUUUAUUGUUAAGUCUUUGGGAAUUGCCAUAUUCGAAGAAUAUUUUUAUUCAUCUGGUUUCUUUCAUACUUUCUAGUUUUUAUUUCCAUGAAUGCAAGUCUUAGGGCUAAAAUGGAAACUAAGAGGUUUGCUUCAAGUGUAAUUGUGCAAGCUUUUAAGGAAAUCUUCAACACCAUUCAUUCGUUAAUCACUCUUUCGGCCAACAUGACAAAUUGAAAAGGAAAUUCUUCUAUAUAAAAGAAAAGGAAACUUUCAUAGAUUGAGAGAAAGGAAAGGAGGAAAAAGAUAAAAGGAGGAAUAUCAAUCUUUCUUUUUCUUUUCCCUCCUUCCUUCCGCUCAAGCAAAAAAAUUCUUCAAGUAAAGGAAACCUUCGUAGAUUGAGAGAAAGAAAAGGAAAAGAAAGAAAAAAAAAGGAAAAAAUAAAUAAAAUCGUUGAAUAGGUAUGCUCAUGCAUAUCUUAUUUAACGUUUCAAACUUCUCAAUAAUAUAUUCGCGGCCUUUCCAUAUCAAUUAUAUUUGUGCAUGUAGUUAGCAGAUAUUAACCUAUACAUCUAUUAUGCUGUAAUUGGAUGAUAUUAUAGUGUAGAAACCUUAGAGUAAAUUCUUUAUUCUCUUUUAGUAACCCAGUGGUUCAUGUUUAUUAUCUCAACACUAAGUCCCUAUUUAAUAAUUUAAUUCAAUACCUAAACUUAAUAAAUUUACAUUUUAAUAUGUUUAGAUGUGUUUGAUAGACAAAAAUCGAAUAUCUAAAUUAAUUAAAUUGCACUAAAUUUUUUAAAUGAAACUUGCUCUAAAAAAUAAAUAAUUAGCUAUUCGUUUGUCACUUAUUGUGAUAUAUAUUCAAAUGUAUCAGAUUUAGUAUUUGACAACUCAAUAACUUAAUAGAUUCAAAUUUCAGAUUUUAAAUUUUAAUUUUACAAUACAUAGCCUAAAUCUAAAAACUCAUUUACCAAGUCAAUAUCUAAAAGAAUUUGAGCUCGUUUAUUUAUAUUGUCAGUAACAUUGUUUUUACUAUUGUUUUGCUCCUACGCUUGUAAAAAGUUGAUUUAUUGUUAAAAUCAAUUUAAAGUUUGAAUUUUGGAAUAGUACACUUGGGAAUGCUUUGCAAGGAUCCUUAUGCAGUCUGAAGCGUUUGUAGAAAGUCCUUGUAACCGUUUGUUGUGUUAAUCAAGGUUGGCCUUUUGGCUGUAAUCUGUGCGUGUGUUCAUUGAGUUUUGCCUAAGUGUUCUAGGUUCGAAAUACUUGAGGGCAAAGUGAGUUCGCAGGCUGACUGGUAGCGACUACCAGUGCCAUCACAGUACAAAACAGUGUUUGAAAAUUUCAUUUUGAGCAAAAAAGAUUUUAGAGAUGAGUUAAAAAGUUCCCCACUUAAGAAAUUUUCUAGAUCCGCCACUAAAAUUUAGGAACCGGUUUGGAGAACAUAAGGUUAACUCUUGAUGAUAACUAAACUUAGCACCGACAAUGUUGAACUCAAUAUGAGAGUAGAAGAGCAAGAAGAAAUUCCUCAUCCGAAAAAAUGCAAAGGCUGAAAAUUGGAAGUCAAAUCUGCAGGACAAUGUUUCAUAUACAGAACAACUAUGCUUUAGCAUUCUUUUUCAGUGCUUAAAAAAACCUUUUUUUUUUUUGUUGGUUGUUUUCAAAAGGGGAUGGCUUAGAGACAAGAAGUAGAGAGGGAAUUUGAACCUAAGACUUUAAUAUCUCGGAUCUCAACAUGUCAGUGCUUUAUUUUUCUAUUGGAAACUCGUUAAUGCUGUUUAGUCAGUAAAAACCAGUAAAUAAAUUCAUGGCUGUUACAUUUUUUUUUUUGAGCUAGAGAUUUGAUGGAACUUGCUUUGAUGGCUGCAUUUAAUCUUGCAGUAUUAUGUAGACUAGAUCGGUAAAUACACAGUCGAAUGUUGCCAGGAACAACCGAGAGUAAUUACAGUAGAAAAUUGAUUCAGUAAUGAAAGUUAUAGAAAUUUGACUUUAAAAAUGUCCACGGCAUUUUCCAAACUAUUAUGGUACCUGAACCCAGUUACAUAUUAUGCUGAAUCUCAUAUACACCAUCAGACAGACAUGUUAUCAUUAAGAAUAAAAUUUGUUGAUUCCCAAUUAAAUAUUUUAGAACUAAAGGAAAAAAAGCACAAAAUAAAAAUAAUGAAAAAUAAAAUGAAGUUUAAAAGAAAAGGACAAACGCAACGGUGGGGGAAAGCACAAGUUAAAAAGCUACCAGUAAAUAGGGGGAGCAAAUGUACUUUUUUGUUUUUUUUGGGGUUCUCCCCUAAAACUUGUCAAGAUAUUGCCUCUAUAGUCCAGUUCUUCCUUUACAAUCUUUUGUUCUAGAUUCUUUUUCUACUUAUUUGUAUUGCUUAUUUAUUUUUUCUCCAAUUAUGCAUUUAUCCUAAACUAAAAGAAACUCCCCAGGAGCCCAUACUUAUAAAGCAACCAAGGAACCAGGGCUUUUCUUGUGUCAUUUUAAGUGCUACGAUCUAUUUGGAAUUUUUCCAAAAAAACAGAAAAAAAAUGAUGUACGUAGGGGAAAAAAGGGUUGUACUUACGGGUAAAAAAGUUGUACUUAUACAAGAAAGCAAAUAUAGAAAUUAUUAUAGACACUAAAAAACACAAAGAGAGCAGUGCCUCGUGCAAGGGCUUUUUCUUAAACAUUUCUACCAAAAAUAUGAAGACUUCAUGAUGCUGGAAAAAUGAGUGCAUGGUAACUAUACUCGCCUUUGGAAGACUGUAACAAGAUAAAAGAACAAGGGGAAAUCGUUCUUCUCGAGAAGCCUAAGGCAAAUGGUUGGAGGGUGAAUUCUUAGUUUGUGAUGGAAAAAAAAAAGAAUUCUACAACGAGGGCGUUUCCUGGAGGGAUUUCUGUAAAUGGGGGUUUUCGCAUUCUGAGAAUGCGAGCUCAAAAUGCGAGCUCAAUUGGAGCUCGCAUUUUGAGAAUGCGAGCUCAGUGAGCUCCCACUACCCAGCGCCAAGACCCCAUUUCAACUUCAGUAUGUCAGAUGUUGUGUAACCGGUGAUUUUUAUCUAAAAAUAUCUACAUUCGCAUCAAUUGUAAAAGGUAAAACACGCAAGAUUUAAUCGCUAGAUAUUUGAUUUCUUUUCCUUUUCAACUACCAAACAAAUAACAUGCACCUCAUAAAAAUAACUUAUAUAAUUUUUAAUUAGCAUUGCGUUAUGGAAUUUCUAAAAUUACAAUAAAAAAAUUGUAACAGAUAUUAAUGACUAUUAAUUAUUAGAUUCUUAUAACUAAUAUUCAUCGUUGUCAACAAAUAAAUACGAUUCAUUAAUAACAAAGGAAAAUUAGAAUUUGAUAAAUAAAUUUAUUUCACAAAAAAGGAUCAAAAGUUAGUAUUUUAUUCAUAAAAUAUAGUCAACACCUUACAUGUUAAUAAUUUCAUUCUAUUUUUACAUUGAUCUAAUUUAUUUCCACCAUUUAAAUGUAUUAUAAUAAAAUAACGUAUUUCAUAAAUUUUUUUUAAGGAAUGCGAACGCGCAUGUGACAUCUUAAAACAUUUUGUUUUAAUACAAAAAUAUAAAUCUCUGCCUUCAAAAAAAAAAAAGAAAAAAAAUUUGCAUCUCUGUAAUGCGAGCUCUGUUGAGAGCUCGCAUUCGUGAAAUGCGAACUCUCCUGAGCUCGCAUUUCACGAAUGCGAAGACCCCCCGACAGAAUUUCUCGCCACAAUCACCCCUUUUGUAGAAUUUUUUUAAAAUUCAUCACAAACUUAGAAAUUUCUCAAUGGUUGGAACUCAAACCUGCAUUUUUUUCAUUCAUUAUGUUCAAGCCCAUUUGGUAGUACACCAAAAUUAAAUUCAAUUUUGGGGUGUACACCUUUCCAUUUUUAAUUCCUCAGGACAUACAAAUUAGUUAAAUUUUCUUAUUGAUUGCAGGAACUUAAUUGGCGACACAAGUAGGAGCUGUAGACUUAUUCUUCAUGUAGGGACCUUUAUUUAAUUUUGUAGAGCAUUAUCAAGUCCAUAAUCUCUUGGGUGUCAAUUCAACAAUUACAGUGCCAACAUGGGGAGUAGUAAUUGUGAUUACUAGAGGUUUAUCUAAAACUGCACUAUAAGCUUGUAUAACAGUAGAAUAAUAUUUUAUGUGUGUACUAUUAUACAACUAAUAUGACAUUCAUAUAGAUAAGCAGUUCAAACAGAAAAUUUGAAGCUCGUACUUCGUGUUUUUAACAUUUUACAAUUUUUGAGGAUUUUAUCUAAUUUUGGGUUUGUCCAGCGGGUGCCCCAGGGGCAAUUGUUAAGAUAUAUUUUCAAGUAUCAUAUUUUUUAAGAUAUAAGAUUAAUUUAAAAAAGUAAAUAAAUGCAAGAUAGGGUUGAUAAGAUUAAAGAGGGAAAGUAGAUAAAAGUUGGGGAGGAUAAUAAUUAUUAGUAUAUGUAUAUACAUAAUUGAUUAGGUGAAUGUUAUGUAUAUUAAUGAGUGCAUUAUGUAUAUUCAUGUGAUUGGAACGCGGCUCAAGAUGGAUAGUUGGAUUGUGAAUAAUGAGGAUUCUAUUUGGGUGUUUUAUCGGAACUCAUUUAUUUGUAGCGUUGUGGGAGAGUCCUCUCUGCACUUGCCUCUUAAAAUUACCUCUCAGCUUCUGUUAGGUCCAGUUUAUUUUUCUUUUAUCCAUGCAAAAUGCACUGAGCAGGAACGCACCUUGCUUUGGUCGGCAUUAUUAGUGGAAAAUCCGGUGGAGUCCCCUUGGAUGUUGGUAGGGGAUUUCAAUGUCAUAGUUAGCACGGAGGAAAAGCGGGGCUGCGUACCCUUCCGACCAGAGGAAGGAGUGGAGUUUAGAACAUUCAUGUCAAUGGCUGGUGUUUUUUAUGCUGGUUUUUCGGGGUCCCCCUUUACAUGGUGUAAUAAUAGGGGGGAUUGGCUCGAAUUUGGAAACGUCUAGACCGAAUGAUUGUUAAUCAGACGGCUCUCCUCUCGGGGGUUCAUUUUCGGGUUCAACAUCUAGGAAGGGAGCCAUCGGAUCACACUUCCCUUCUACUCUCGACUUCGACAAGGCUCGAUAACAAGCCUAAACCCUUUAGAUUCUUGAACAUUUGGACGUCCAAGCUUGAGCUGCUGGAUGUCAUUUGGAAAAGUUGGGCAGUUCCUUGUCCUGGAUGGCCAUUACAACAUUUGGCUGCUAAACUGCGAAUUGUUAAACGAGACAUACAGGUUUGGUCCCGGGAGGAGUUUGGUAAUAUUUUUGAUGCGGUGAAGCAGGCCGAGGACACAGUUGCAUUUGCUAAGGAUGCGUUUGACAACGAGCCAUCUCAGCCGCAUUGGGUCGCACUUCAGGAAGCUCGGGCUGAAUUGAGGAGGGCUCUGGUAAGGGAAGAAGGGUAUUGGAAGCAAAAGGCAAGGGUUAAAUGGCUUAAGGAUGGGGACAAAAACUCAAAGUACUUUCAUUCGGUAGUGGCGGAGAGAAGAGCUAAGUCGAUCAUACAUCGAAUUAAGAAUGGCCAAGGGGAGUGGAUAUCGGAUGAAGGUCAGGUCUCUGCAGUCGCAGUGGAGUUCUUUAAAGCCUUGCUCACGGCUGAGCCUGUCGGGGGGCCUUCGAAUAUAUUGGACGUGAUUCCUAAGGUUGUCUCGGAUGCCCAAAACGCUGACCUCGUGCAUGAUCCAUCUCGCGAUGAGAUAAGGGAGGUGGUAUUUGCGAUGGAUGGGGAGAGUGCGGCUGGUCCAGAUGGUUUUACAGGUAUGUUCUUUACCUUUGCGUGGGAGGUGGUGGGCGACAAUUUAUGUGAAGCAGUGCUUAGCUUCUUUUGUGGGCAUGAGUUGCCGAAGAGUAUUUCCUCGAUGUUGAUUAUGCUGCUUCCCAAGGUCAAUUUUCCUCAAGACUUUAGUCAAUUUCGACCGAUAAGUCUUUGUAACUUCGUCAAUAAAGUUAUCUCGAAACUUUUGGCAGUUCGCCUGGCAAAGGUGCUUCCAAGUGUUAUCUCGCCGCAACAAAGUGGUUUUGUCAAGGGCAGGCAGAUUUUUGAUAAUUUUUUGUUGGCCUAGGAGUUGGUAUCUGAGAGUUGGCGGGCGAAUAGAGAGGGAAAUGUGGUGCUGAAGUUGGAUAUGGCCAAGGCUUAUGACAGAGUCUCUUGGCCUUUCUUGUUACAAGUGUUACGUAGGUUUGGGUUUGGAGAGAUGUGGAUUGAUAUGAUUUGGAGACUGAUUUCGAAUGUGUGGUUUUCGGUUAUAGUCAAUGGUGCGCCACAAGGUUUCUUCAAAUCUAGUCGUGGGCUGCGACAGGGGGAUCCUAUUUCUCCAGCUCUGUUCGUGAUCAGUGCCGAAGUCUCCUCUCGCCUUUUGAAUUCGCUGCUGUAUUCCAGGAACUUUAGGCCUUUUAGGGUCUCACAGGGGCGCCCAAAUGUUACCUGAUAAGUGAAUAUUUAACGUACAUUUUGUAUGAAUUUGGCAUUAAUUUUUGGUAUGUUCUGAGAAGAUUAAGCCAUAUUUGAACUCUUUUGGUGAUAAUUGCUUAAAUAUUGAUUAAGGUUUCAAAAAUUGAUAAAUGAGUGAAUUAAUGCGUUAAUCUUGUGAAUUUGUGAAGGUAAUUGAUGUAUGAAAUUCAUGCACAAGUUCAAAGGAAUAUAAGGGUCAUCCAGAGGACAAAGUACACAAGAAAUUGGGAGCAAAAAAAUGAAGAAAAAGAGAAGAAGUGAAAAACUGGAAAAUUGCUCAACAAGGAUCCGAGCUCGGAUCCGUGUGUAUAAGAGAGAUCCGACCCCUCGUCUGUACUUCUGGCGGAGAGCAUCCGAGGUCAGGACGAUCCGACCUCGGAUCCAUUAUGAAAUCCCUCGGAUCCUGAAGAUCCGAGCUCGGAUCCAUUUUCACUCCUCGGAUCCGAGGCUCGGAUCUGUCUCUUUCCUCAGCAAGUGCAACAGCCGUUUUUCUUUACCUUUUUCACAACUUUCCAGCUAUUUUGAGGGACAGAAAUCGGUGGCACAUGCGUCUGCAACAAAAGAGAAGACCAAAUGAGUAUGGAAAAAAGGAAAUAUCAUAUCUUUGACUUCUUUUUACAAAAUCUGAGUGGAGGAAAUUAUGAAGUGAGAGGAAUGGAAUUUCUUCCACCUUUUAUGCAGAAACACUGAGGAGAAGCAGGGGAAUUACCAUACGUAGCUAGUUUUCUUUCUUGUAUCUAGUUUUCUCUCUAGAUAGGAGUUCUUGGAGAAGUACUUGGAGAGUUUCACAUAUAAUCAUAUUGUGCAAGAACAUAGCAAGAAUUGGAGAGCUUCACCUUCAAUUGGCUAAGCUUUCUUUUAUCUUUCUUAUACUUGUACUUUAUGAGGUUUUGCAUUAAUAAACUUGUGAGUUUGAUUGUUAAAUCAUUCAUGAGUAGCUAAACUCCUUCAUCUAGGGAGUGGAUGAAACUUAUGGCUAAAUAGUAUAAAUUGAAUGUGAUUUACACUUGUUAUAUCUUGUAUUAAUUUGUCUACUUGUGUAGCUGUGAUUACUUGCUAUUGAUUGAUCACCAAUAGUUUGGUUAUAGUUGUUAUUGUUCAAUGAGAAUUGGUAAUAACAAUGGAAACACAUGAGUAGAGCUUGAGUUGUAUGUUCAUGAAAUAGAGAUACACUUAGGUGGAUUACUUAGCAUUUCAUGAAAUAAAACUGAGUAGUAGUAGUAUUUCACCAUGAAAAUUGGGAAAUCUAUAUUGCUUUAGGCCAUUUCAUCAUGAAAAUGAGACUUGGAAACUUUGGAAAUGAAUCUCUGGUUAAGCAAGAAUAAUAGCAAGAAGUAAAUCCAUUUAUUUGUGUUGUUUAUGCCAUAAGUGGAAUCUACAUCCCUAGAAUCUUCCUUAAGUGAAAUUUCUCUAUUUGCAUUCAGCAUUUGUUAAACUAGAUUUGUAUAUCAGAUUUGUAGAUUACAGCAUUAGAUUUUCUCUGCUCAAAUUAAUGGUUAGUCUAAAUAAUAGAGAAAAUAAGGGUUUAGUAAUUGUUUGAAUUGCUCCUCGUGGGAUCGACCCGAUAUACAUCUUGUACUACAAUUGCGACCUGUAUACUUGCAGUCCAACGGGUGUAAAAUCGGAAUUAAACUUGCAUUGAUACAAAAUAUCCCGUCAAGUUUUUGGCGCCGUUGCCGGGGAGCGGCAAUAUUAGAGCCUAAUCAACUCUAUUAAUUUAGACAGAUUUAUUUUUAUUAAUUGAGCUGACUAUAUUUAAUCUUUUAUUGUAAUCAGUUUUUGACCAUUGAAGUUGCAUAAUAUCCCUUAUUUCUGUUUGUAGUGUAUGCACCGGGAGUCUCGAGAAGUCGCACCCUUCGAUCCAGAAAUUGAGAGGACACUACGUAGACAAAGGAGGCACACACAACAGCAAGAGGAACAAGAGAUUUGGCAAUCAAUAGAGGAAAUUUUGAUAGAACUACCGUUUGAAGAAGAAAUGGCCGAAAACGAAGCAAAUAGGCGAGUUCUACGAGAUUUUGCUCUACCGGGAACACAAGGAUCUCAAACAAGUAUAGUAAGGCCUACGGUAAAUGCUAACAAUUUUGAGAUUAAACCAUCACUUAUUCAAAUGGUUCAACAAUCUCAAUUUGGAGGUAAUGCAGUAGAAGAUCCUAAUACACACUUAGCUACAUUCUUGGAAAUAUGUGAUACAAUUAAAAUGAAUGGAGUUAGUGAUGAUGCUAUAAGGUUACGGUUGCUCCCAUUUUCAUUGAGAGAUAAGGCCAAACUUUGGCUACACUCUCAUGCUCCUAAUACUUUCACCGGAUGGGAUGAUUUAUCAAGAGCAUUCUUAAACAAGUAUUUUCCACCAGGUAAGACUGCUAAACUAAGAAUGGAUAUCACUAGUUUUAGCCAAAUGGAAGGUGAAUCAUUAUAUGAGGCAUGGGAAAGGUUUAGAGAUUUGCUUCGGAAAUGUCCACAUCAUGGACUGCCGGAGUGGUUAAUCAUACAAACCUUCUAUAAUGGUUUAGUUUUUUCUACUAAAACUAUAAUCGAUGCAGCUGCAGGUGGAGCUUUAAUGGGUAAAUCACCCCAAGAAGCUCAUAAUUUGAUAGAAGAAAUGGCAGCAAAUAACUACCAAUGGGCCAAUGAGAGAGGUAAUACAAGACGUCACGCAAGUAUGAUAGAAAUGGACACUCUCAAUAUGCUGAGUGCUCAAAUGAAUAAUGUGAUGAAAUUGCUAAGUAGACAAGGUGGAGUUGGUCCAAGUUCAUCUAAUGCACACGUAGCUUGUUGCUCUUUCUGUGGAGGUGAACAUGAUAUUAAUGAGUGUGUUGAUUCUGAGCAGGUACAAUUUGUCAAUAAUUACAACCGAAAUGCUCCAAAUAAUCCCUACUCGAAUACUUACAAUCCGGGGUGGAGAAAUCAUCCAAACUUUGGAUGGAAAGAUCAAGGCAAUCAACAAAGGCCAACCAAUCCGCCGGGAUUUCAACCAAGGCAACCACAGGCUGAAACUAAACCAAGUUGGUGGAUCGCGGUGGAAAAACUUGCUAAGGUGACUUCGGAUAGAUUCGAGCGAGUUGAGGGGCGGUUGGACCAAUUAGCUGGGAUGUACAGAAACUUGGAGGUUCAAAUUGGUCAAAUUGCCAAUGUGAUCAACAAUAGAAACCCUGGUGAAUUACCAAGUAAAACCGAAGUGAAUCCGAGAGAGCAUGUCAAUGCAAUCAUUCUUAGAAGCGGUAAAACGGUUGAGGGAUUCGAUUUUGAAAAUUCAGGUUGUGAAAAAGACGAGAAGCAAGCAAUUGAAGGGGAGCAAGAAAGUCAAACUGAUCAUGUUAUCAUUGAUAUUGAUGCACUUCAUCCCAAAUUAAAUUCUAAUGUGAUACCUUUUCCUCACAGGUUGAAGAAAGAUGGACAGGAUCGGGAGUUUGAAAAGUUCUUCAAAAUGUUUAAACAAUUGCACAUUAACAUUCCUUUCAUUGAUGCUAUAACACAGAUUCCCUCUUAUGCACGUUUCUUGAAAGACAACAUGUCAAAGAAGAGGAAAAUUGUAGAUAAUGAGAUGAUAGCAUUAACGGAAAAGUGUAGUGCAUUGAUUAAGAAUAAACUCCCUCCUAAAUUGAAAGAUCCGGGAAGUUUUUCUAUUCCUUGCACUAUUGGUCAAUUGCAUUUUUCUAAUGCUUUAUGUGAUUUAGGUGCAAGUGUGUCACUUAUGCCGUUAUCGGUUGCCCGGAGAUUGGGACUUCAAGAGCUAAAAGCUACCAAUAUUACAUUGCAAUUGGCGGAUCGGUCAAUCACACGUCCCAUGGGUAUUUUGGAAAAUGUGCUCAUAAAGGUAAGACAAUCUAUAAUACCUGUGGAUUUUGUUGUCUUAGAUAUUGAAGAAGAUGUGAGAAUGCCAAUUAUUCUAGGACGACCGUUUUUAGCCACUGCACGAACUAUAAUUGAUGUAGAAAAAGGUAAGCUUAUAUUACGGGUUAAUGGUGAGGAAUUGGAAUUCAAUUUGGAUAAUAAAGAAGGGAAUAUAGAGCCUACUGCUCUUGUUUCUAAUAUGCCAUAUGAUGAAAAGGUUAACCAAGAAAGGACCGAAGAAGUUAAAUUUAUAAAUGUCCUUGGUACUAACUUUCAUGGUGUAGGAACAAAGGAGGAGAAGAUAAGGAUGGAAGUUGGCUUAAUAAAUUCGCCAUUCCAUGAAGAAAAUGGUGAAAAGUUGAGCCAAUUCAGAAAAGACAAGCAAAAUCCACUCCAAGGUGAAGUUGAGCCUCUCUAUGACAAGUCUAAUAUUCCUCCUUGGCAUUUGAGGAAAUUGGACUAUGAAGAUCAAUGCAUGGUUCACCACAUGGUGGAUUGGCUCGGGAGUUUCGACCCAUGGGGAGAAAAUCUCUCUCUAAUGCUCUAAAGUGAUUCAACUUUUUCAGUCGAGCCAACGACUAUAAACAAAAGCGCUUGUUGGGAGGCAACCCAAUAAUAAUUAUGUAUUUGUGUGUUUUUAUGUGUUUCUUACAUUUUGGUGUGAUUUAAUUAACUAAUUAGAUGUAUUUCACUUGUUUGUAGGAGAUACGGGAGUUUUAUCAUCCAUCUUGGAGGUGCACUUGAAGAACAUGUUGGCAGGGAGUUUUUCUUACCAAAUUGUGUUUUAAGUGAUUAAAAUUUCUAUGCCUAUACAUACAUUGUGCAUUUCAAGUAUAUUUAAGUGAGUUUUGGUGAUAUCAUGGUUAUAAAGGCUCAUGGACUCAUUUGAUAUACAUUUAAUGCUCAAAAAUGCCAUUUUAGUGUAAAAAUGCAAAAAUGAUCAAAGAACCUCACCCCUCGAUUUUCAAUGUAGAUGUGUUUGUUGUGUUUCGAGAGGUUGGAUAUUAUGUUUAUGGUAUAUUACAUGUGCAUGGGACGUUGGAAUUGAGAAAAGGGAUGUCCAAUGUGUAAUUUGGAAUUGGCAGAAAAAGGGAGAAAAAGUUUGAAAAAAAUUGCAGUUUCUACAAUUUGUUGCAGAGACACAAGGAUCCGAGCUCGGAUCCUAAAAAGCCCAGACAGAUCCGACCGCGGAUCCAUCGAUCCGAGCUCGGAUCCAUUCCAACCCAGACAGAUCCGAGGGCUCGUCUGUAUUUAUGUUGGGGCUGAUCCGAGCCUUGACGGAUCCGAGGCCUUCCAGAACAGAUCCGACCUCGGAUCCGUUCGCGAUAAGAAAGGAAACGAGGCCUCGGUUCCUCAUUUUCCAGCUCCUUUUGAUAAGAGUUUAUUUUACGUAUUUUUAGUGUGUUUUAUUAGUUAAUUUUGGUUUGAUUAUUUAGUUUUAUAACUAAAAUAACUAAGGUUUUGGUAAAAAAACUACAUUUUAUGUUAAAAUGGCUAAACAUUGCAUUUUAUGGUAAAAAACUUCAUAUUUUGUAGGUUUAAUGAUUCAAUCAUCAAAUGAAGUGCAUUGGGAAGAUAUUUGGAUGAUUGAAGAUGGAUUAAAGUGGUGAAAAUAAAAUAUGAAGUGUAAAAGGAAAAAUGCAAGAAAAGUCAGGUUUAACAACUCUGACACGUUUUGGUAUUUUGACUAUAUCUGGAGCUACACAGAUCGGAUCAAGGUGAUCUUAGUACCAUUUUGAAGCUAAGAGAUAUAUCUACAUUUGGUAUGAAGACAUCAAAGUCCAAUUCAGCCGUUUUCAUAGUCCAAAAGUUGAAAUACCGAAAUUCAACUCAGCUGUCCAAAGUGGAAAACAGAGCUCCGACCAGUCUAUAGUAUUUCUGUCAUAUCUCAAGCUACAAAGCUCCAAUUUGGAUGAAUCUUGAAGCAUUGAAAAGCUAACUCAAAGGGCUACAACUUUGGUGUUUUACACAAAAUCCAGUUCGGCCUGCAUCAUGGAGAAAAUAGCAGUUGAAGUAAGGACAAAGUGAAAACGCGAGUGCACAAAACGCGAGUUGUAGCCGCGUUUUGUAUAGACGCGUUUUCUGGCCGCAAUUCUGCAAUUUACUCAGUCAGUUCUCUUAUGUUCAAACUACUUUCUAGCUACAAUCUGCCAGGGAAUUCGGUGCACAUGCUUCAGAAGACAAAAGGGCAGACAAGGUGGCUUAUUUUCAAGUCAAAAACAAUGGUUUUUGACUAUCUUAACAAAAGGAGAUUUGAAGAAUCAUAGCAGCAAAUUUGGACUGGUGAGAAGAGGAACUUUUCAUCAGCUUAUAUGCAGAGACAUUUGGGGAGGUCUGGGAGAGAGGAGAGAUACGGGAGAGAGCUUGAAGUGCAGAAAUGUAGUUCUUUCAUUUCCUUAGUGUAGGAUAGUUUAGCUAGUGUAGUUCAUCCAUUCUUGUAUAUUGCUAGACUAGGAUUAAGAUGGAGAUGAAGAAGGCAAGGUGAUGAGCUCAAGUGACAUGGGUUACAUUCCUUUCCAACUCUUUAUCUUUUGUACUUGAUUCCAAAUUUAGUUAAUAUGCAAGUUCUGGAUUUUAUAUUUAGUAUGUGUCUUUAAAGUUUAUACCUUGGGUUUGGUUGAACUUUCUAUGAUUGUUAGUGUUUAUUAUUUGGCUAUUUGACUGCCAUAACUUGAGCAAGUUAUUUAGCACUUUAGCUCUUUAAAUCAUGAUUAAUCUGGUACCAUUAAUUGUGAUUAUCUAAGGUGUUAUUUCUGCAAUGAAAAUUGAGAUUUAACAUUAGUUCAAUAAGUGCUAAACAUGGGGAGUACACUCACGAGAGUAGAGGUGCACCUAUGGGGUUUUGGUGAUUAAUUUCAUGUAAUUUCAUUGAAAAAAUGAACUUGUAACUAAUUUCAUAACCAUGAGAAUAGGUAUGGAUUGGUUAUUAGUAUAAUUGAUUCACUACGAAAGUAGGAUUCAAAUGCAUAAGGAAAUUACACCAUAACUAGCUUAGAUGUAGUACUCAAUGAUCCAAAUAUAACACUUGCAUGAGUAGUUAGGGAUACCACAACCUAAGGAGCUUUUAUUUGUUAUUUUGUAUAAUUUCAGUAGGUUAAAUUUCUUAUAAUUCAUUGAUAGUCUAAAUAAUAGAGAAGCUUUAGUAAUACCGGUAAUUGUUCACUCUUCCUUGUGGGAUCGACCCGAUAUAUACCCUAAACUACUAGUUGACCUGUAUACUUGCAGUGAACGGGUGUAAUUCGGUUUUUUAACUUGUACGUAUGUAAAAUACCCGUCAAGUUUUUGGCGCCGUUGCCGGGGAAGAUUUGGCAAUAUCGGUGUGAAGAGCAACGUUAUUAGUUUAGACAUAUUAUUAGUUAUAUUGUGAAUGUUAUUUUCUGUUAUUUUAGUAUUUUAUAUGUGUAUGUGUUUUAUCACCUAUUCUUUUUACUAAUUUUGCUCUUAAGUUGUUUAAAAGCAAUUUUAGGUGAUGAGAAGAGUAGGUCAAGUUGGAGGACAAUGCUUGAGAAAUGGAAGAUUGGCAAUGGAUGGUUACCAAGUGCAAAACUCCUUCAACAGAGGUAACCAAGAAUUUACUGAAUGCAUGUCUUUUGAAGAUGGUUUAAGGUGCUUAAAGGCUAAAUUUGAUGUUAUGAUGUUACAAGUUCAAAUGGACACAAUUAAGCAUGAAAUUGAGCAAGGGAGGAAUGCUAAUGCUUUUAAUUCUUAUCAUGUGAUUUGUGACUUGUGUGGAGGUUAUCAUACUACUAAUACAUGUAUGCAAGCACAAAAUGUGGAUUAUUAUGAUGAAUUAGAGCAUUACAAUCCUUGUUUUGAUCAAUAUAGAGCUCAUUUGAGCAAUUCUCCUGCUUAUGGUUGGGAUAAUCAAUAUACUUAUAGUGAUUAUUCAUAUUUUUAUGAUUACCAACCUGAAUGUGUCCAAUAUGAAUCAAAACCAUCUUGGGAGUUAGCAAUAGAAAGAGUAGCUAAUGAUUUUAAACCAUCUUGGGAGUUAGCUUUAGAGAAAUUAGCUAAUGCAACUUCUGACCGUUUUGAUAGGAUUGAGGAAAGAAUAGAUGAAUUAGCUUCUCACUUUGGUAGAAUACAUGAGCAAUUGAGUGCAUUGUGUGAAGUUAUUUCGUCUAAUAAAUUGCAAAAUGAUCCUAGCAUGAAUGGUAGGAAUGUUGUAUGUGAAAAUGGAUUGCAUUUUGAUGAAAAUGAUGAAUCUCAAUUGUGUUUCAAUGAGCAAAUGUCCAUUUCACAUGAUACUAUCUUUGGAACUAACUUUGAACCUCAAGAGGUGAGUUUUAAUGACUCAUUUUUCAUCCCUCUUGAGGAGUGCAUUGAAAGUAUAGGUUCUAAGGGUAUUGCUACCCAGGAUACUCUCAUGACAUUUCCUUUGGUAAGUUCUCAAGUGGUAUAUAUUCAAGGUAAUAUCUAUAAAACACUUGGAAUAGGUAAGUCACUUCUAUUUCUCACAUCAUUAGAAUAUGUGUCUUUUACUAUCAAGUCACCUUUUAAUGAUCCACCACGACCUAAAAUGGUGGAUUAUUCUUUAACCAAACCUCCUUGAAAAAUGAGGUUCAAUAGUCGAGCCAACGACUAUAAAUAAAAGCGCUUAUUGAGAGGCAACCCAAUGUUUUGGCUAUUUAUGUUAUUUUUGUGUGAUUUUAUGUUUGGAGUAUGUGUUUGAGUUAUUUCAUUAUUUUUCAUUUAUAGGUAUCGGAAAUGAAAGCAAAAGUGACCAAAUGAGGUGAAAAAGACGAAAUUUGAUCAAGGAACUCAACCCCUCGAUUUGAGUAAUUGUUGUUUUUGAUUCGUUACAAGGGGUUAAAAUGCAUAUUUUGAUCAUUUUACAUGUGCAUGCAUUGAGAAUUUUAGCAAACAAAUGAUCUAUGAUGCAUUUUGGAAAUUUGGGGUAUCAUUUGUAAUUAUUCAUAAGUUAAAUUUCUGCUAAAUUUCGCAGCAGAAAAUGCAUUUUUCUAAAAAACGCGCCAAUGAAUCGCGUUUUCAUAGAAUCGCGUUUUCAAUUCUGCACCUAUAAUGAAGAAAACGCGCCUUCAAAACGCGAAAGAAAGUCGCGUUUUAUACCAAGUCGCGUUUUCAUGCCUGAUCAAAAAAUUGAAAACGCGCCUUCAGAAACGCGAUAUGAAGUCGCGUUUUUAAGCAUAGCCGCGUUUUCAAUCCUGCAAGAUAUGUGAAGAAACGCGACUUCACAAAACGCGGCCUUGAGGCGCGUUUUGAUGAGUCACGUUUUCUGAGCACGUUUUUUUUUUAUUAUUUAAAAAAAAAUGCAGUUUCCUUGAUUCUAUUUUUCUUCUUUUUCUCAUAUAUUUUCUUGUACCUUGAGUUGCUUAUUGUGUAUUUUUUAUAGGUACAUCACUAAAACAAGGGUUUGAAGUUACGGAUAGCCGUUUUGAUGUCUUAAGCCUUUGUUAUCACUUUGGUUUCUCAUUUUCCAUUUUUAGGUUUAUAUUACUAAUGGUUACCAAAUGGAACUCACGAAGUGAUGAAGACAGGCGAACAACAUACCAUGAAACUUCAUGUUCAAUCACAACAAUAGGGAAGUAUUACUUUUCUUUAUCUUGAUUUUCCUUUUUACACAUUGAGGACAAUGUGCAUGUUAAGUGUGGGGGGAUGAAUUGAGAUUAUAUACAUUGUAUGUGAUUGACUUAUUAGUUGCAAAUAUUGGACUUGUGUUAAAAUUCAAAUUUUUCUACAAUCUUGUCCAAAAUUGCAAACUUGCCCCAAAAAGUUUCAAUUUUUUCGAUUUUAUCCAAAGGGGUAACAAGUUUCAUACCAUUAGUAGUUCAAAUUUCUUCUACAUUUGAGAUAAAUAUAUGUAAUUUGGAAACUUCUUUUCUCAUUUAACUUGGAAAUGACUAUUAUGUGAUUAUAAUUUUUGCAUUUGUACGAAAGUAUAUCUUUUAAAGUGGAGAAAAUUAUGCCUAUAUUUUUUUGCAUAUUUGAUGAAAUUUCUUCUCUUUAUUGGAUUUUAUAAGUUAAGUGAUAAAUAUGGUCAACAAGUGCAAUACUCUUCUCAUGAUUAUUCUUUUGAGGAAUUUAUUAUUAUCUUUGCUGUAAAAAGAAAAAAAAGUGAAAAGAAAAAAAAAAGAAAAAAAUAAGAUUUAUUCUACUCCAAUGAUUCUCGUACUUAGUAACCGGGAGUCUUCAUCUAAAAAUGUCGACUUUCGCGUAAAACGGUACUUGAAUUAAGAGUAUGCAAAGUAACUUGAGUAUGUGAAGUGUUGAGUAACCGGUGAUCUUCAUCUAAAAAUGUUGAUUCUCGCGUAAAAAGAUACUUUCACAACUUAAGUAAUAUUUAGCUAUAUUAUAUAAAUAAAUCCCUCUUUAAGUUAAAUAAGAAGAUGAUCAUGGGUUUAGGAAGCAUAUUAUUGACCAUAUGAGUUACUUACUUGUAAGAUUGGGUAAGGAUGAAAAAUUGAUUUGAAUUUGUUAUAAUGAGGGUAUAAUUGGCUCUCCUUUACUUGAUAUUAUGAGUACUUGAAUUUAAUUGAAUAAUUGCAUAAUGGUUAUUUACUUUGUUUUGAGGAAAUGAAGUUGAAAUGCUACAUAUGUUUAUUUUCAAAUUUUGGAUCAUUGUUGGUUUGUAUUUCUUGUUGCUUGAGGACAAGCAAUGAUUCAAGUGUGGGGGUAUUUGAUAAGAGUUUAUUUUACGUAUUUUUAGUGUGUUUUAUUAGUUAAUUUUGGUUUGAUUAUUUAGUUUUAUAACUAAAAUAACUAAGGUUUUGGUAAAAAAACUACAUUUUAUGUUAAAAUGGCUAAACAUUGCAUUUUAUGGUAAAAAACUUCAUAUUUUGUAGGUUUAAUGAUUCAAUCAUCAAAUGAAGUGCAUUGGAAAGAUAUUUGGAUGAUUGAAGAUGGAUUAAAGUGGUGAAAAUAAAAUAUGAAGUGUAAAAGGAAAAAUGCAAGAAAAGUCAGGUUUAACAACUCUGACACGUUUUGGUAUUUUGACUAUAUCUGGAGCUACACAGAUCGGAUCAAGGUGAUCUUAGUACCAUUUUGAAGCUAAGAGAUAUAUCUACAUUUGGUAUAAAGACAUCAAAGUCCAAUUCAGCCGUUUUCAUAGUCUAAAAGUUUAAAUACCGAAAUUCAACUCAGCUGUCCAAAGUGGAAAAUAGAGCUCCGACCAGUCUAUAGUAUUUCGGUUAUAUCUCAAGCUACAAAGCUCCAAUUUGGAUGAUUCUUGAAGCAUUAAAAAGCUAACUCAAAGGGCUACAACUUUGGUGUUUUACACAAAAUCCAGUUCGGCCUGCAUCAUGGAGAAAAUAGCAGUUGAAGUAAGGACAAAGUGAAAACGCGAGUGCACAAAACGCGAGUUGUAGCCGCGUUUUGUAUAGACGCGUUUUCUGGCCGCAAUUCUGCAAUUUGCUCAGUCAGUUCUCUUAUGUUCAAACUACUUUCCAGCUACAAUCUGCCAGGGAAUUCGGUGCACAUGCUUCAGAAGACAAAAGGGCAGACAAGGUGGCUUAUUUUCAAGUCAAAAACAAUGGUUUUUGACUAUCUUAACAAAAGGAGAUUUGAAGAAUCAUAGCAGCAAAUUUGGACUGGUGAGAAGAGGAACUUUUCAUCAGCUUAUAUGCAGAGACAUUUGGGGAGGUCUGAGAUAGAGGAACAUACGGGAGAGAACUUGAAGUGCAGAAAUGUCGUUCUUUCAUUUCCUUAGUGUAGGAUAGUGUAAUAAGUGUAGUUAAUCCAUUCUUGUAUAAUAGCUAGAUUAGGAUGAAGAUGGAGAUGAAGAAGGAGGAGUUGAAGCUCAAGUGACAUGGGUUAUCUCUACUCCAAUUCUUUAUCUUUUGUAUUGGAUUCUUAACUAUGGUUAUUAUGCAAGUUCUGGAAUUUAUGUUUAUAAUUUGUUUCUAAAGUUUAUGCCUUAGGUUUGGUUGAACUUUCUAUGAUUGUUAGUGUUUAUCAUUUGGCUAUUUAACUGCUAUGAUUUGAGCAAGUUAUUUAGCACUUUAGCUCUUGAAAUCAUGAUUAAUCUGGUACCAUUAAUUAUGAUUAUCUAAGGUGUUAUUUCUACAAUGAAAAUUGAGAUUUAACAUUAGUUCAAGAAGUGCUAAACAUAGGGAGUACACUCACGAGAGUAGAGGUGCACCUAUGGGGUUUUGGUGAUUUAUUUCAUGUAAUUUCACUGAAGAAAUGAACUUGUAGCUAAUUUCAUAACCAUGAGAAUAGGUAUGGAUUAGUUAUAAGUAUAAUUGAUUCACUACGAAAGUAGGAUUCAAUUGCAUUAGGAAAUUACACCAUAAUUAGCUUAGAUGUAGUACUCAAUGAUCUAAAUAUAGCACUUGCAUGAGUAGUUAGAGAUACCACAACCUAAGGAGCUUUUAUUUGUUAUUUUGUAUAAUUUCAGUAGGUUAAAUUUGCUAUAAUUCGUUGAUAGUCUAAAUAAUAGAGAAGCUUUAGUAAUACCGGUAAUUGUUCACUCUUCCUUGUGGGAUCGACCCGAUAUAUACCCUAAACUACUAGUUGACCUGUAUACUUGCAGUGAACGGGUGUAAUUUGGUUUUUUAACUUGUACGUAUGUAAAAUACCCGUCACCUUUCUCUUUCUCUCUCACCGAACCCUAACCCACCUUCAUCAAUCUUCCAUUUUGCCCAUUAAUCCUUUGAUCUUUCUCAACAAAAACAUCCCAAAUACUCUUGUGAGCAUUAACCCUCAACAAUUUGGAAUCAAAAACACCAAAUUGAGGGGUUUUGAUCUUCAAAACGUGAAAUAGGGCCAAACUGAAAUCUUGCAAUUUGAGGUCAAAUUUGGGCUUGUUUGUCUUCCAUUUUUGCAUCAUUAUCAUCCUCCAUCAUCACUCUACACAUUUGAGGUAACAAUUUGCAAUUUUCUUUGAGUUUACAUAAUCUCUAAUUUUACAUUUUUCUAUUUCUUGGGUAUAUUGUGAUAAAUUUGUAUUUGUUAGAACUUCUUGAUACAAUUGUGCUACAUUGCACUUAAAUAGAUUGUUACAACUAGUUUUAUGUUUAUUUUUGAGAAAAAUUGUGGAUUUGGUGAUAAUUUUUGACAUUUCUUUCUCAAUUUUUGGGCUUGAGUAUUGUAUUGACUUAGAAUUGUGAAUUUUACUAUAUGAACUUGUUUCGAGAGGUAUAAGUCACUAACAUACCAAUUGAACAAUAUAUGCUCUCAUUAGAACAAUAGCCUAUGGGAUAAAAGAGUGUGUCCCUGAUCAAGUUGACCACAUUGAACCAUUUUUACUUAAGAUAAUUAGCAUUUGUUUGGAUGAAUUGGAACUCAUAUGUAUGUACAUUGAGUGUUAUAAAUGGGAAUGGAGAUAUUCUCAAGUGUUUGUGUGUUUAUGGAUAUAAUUUUCAAUUAUUUGCACUUAAUAUGCAUGAAAUGGUUUCCUUAUUGGUAAUAUCCUCUUUACAUGUGGGAAUUGGAUUUGAGAAGUGUUAGGAAGUUUAUUUGUUUAAAUUUUGGUACAGUUUGGCAGGGAGUUUAGCCCUUUUUCAAGGGGAAACUCUGCCGAAAUUUUCUUAAAUUCCUAGUUAACAUGUAUGAGCAAGUUUCUAUCAUUUCUAAUACAUACUCAUCUUGUUUAUAGGUGUUAUGGCUCGUACAAGGAGGGCUCGUAUUCGUACUCCUACACCAUCGUCAAGUGAAGAACAUACACCUUCUGUGCAUGAGGAGUCGCCUGAGGAAGAAUCUCCUUCGCCUGAGUCACCACCUCGCUCUCGUCGAAAGACCGCAUCCACUAGCCGUGACGAGCCAUUUCCUGACUAUGAUACCACUCGUUUCACCUCGCUCGAGAAUCAACAGUGGUACGAGGCUGGUUUGGACAAAGAGAUUAUCGUUGAAAAACAUUUGGCACCGGAGGUGGAUGCACACUAUCACAUCUCCACUGCAUUUAAACGACUCGGAUGGGAGACUAUACUAAAUUUGCCAAAGCAUUACUAUCCCAACCUGGUCAGGGAGUUCUAUGCCAAUGUGGAGAACAAGCAGAGCCACAGUGGCAACCUCAUCGUCUCGUGGGUUCGAGGUAAAAGAGUGACUCUCAAUCGAGAUACAUUGAGACAUUUCGUCCAACUCAAAGACGAAGGCGAAGAUGUCAAACUGACCAAGGAGUUCAAAACUCGAGACCCUUGGGAAGUGGGAGAAGCCGUGGGCCGUCUAAAGGGUCAAUACCGUGAGCGAGGAAGUUCGAAAAAACUCACGGUAUAUGCCGACUCCUUCGAGCAUCGGUACCACCUGAUCUUCUACCUUUUUGCCUUCAAUGUGGUGCCGAAAAAGAGUGGUAAACGGGAGAUCCGAAAUAGCGAUCUCUAUUUUCUGGAUAAAAUGAUACAUGGAGUGGGUAGGCAGUUGACUGGUAUUCCUCUACCCAACAUUAUCAUCAGCUAUAUGCGAACCAUAGCUCGUAUGAGGGCCGGCGAGACUUGUUUUGGAUUUCCUCGGCUGCUAUCCCUCAUCUUUGAGAAGCUCAAAAUUCCCAUUGGAACCGAGAGAGAUGUGGUAACUAGGUCGGCCGAGGAGGUAAAUGAUUCGUUACUCAAAUCCUUGGGUAUUUCUACUGAUUUUGGAGCUACUUUGGUCCGGGACACAGGAGAAGCAUCGACUUCCACUCAGCCUCCGCCUCACACUGAACCACAAGCGGAAACUCAAGAGACGGAGGCACAGCAGACUCUUCCUCCUCCGGUUCCACGACCGCCUCCUCAAUCGCGCUCCAAGUGGCAAGAGCUUCUCAAUGCUAUUUGCUGUAUGGAGACGCGAGUCGUCGAGCGCAUUGACCAGACGGAACGAAUGAUGACUGAGCGACUCGACCGACAUGAUCGCCGUCUUCGUGCGAUCGAGGAUCAUUUUCAUAUCCGACGGUCCCCUACACCGACACCUCAUCAGGAGGAGGGCCAUAUUGGUACCUCACAGGGUCCUCAUGGAGCCGAGGAAGCAGUAGACCUUUUUAGCACAUUAGACCUUUUAUUUCUUUAUUUUUCUUUUCUUUUGUUAAGACAAACUUUGUAGCUUUUAUUUUUCUUUAAUUUAAAUCAUUUUGUGCUACUUAUGGUAUUUGGUACCCUUGUUGUCUCAUUUUGGACAGAAAAUGGAUGAGCAUGAUGAUUAAAAGAUUCAAACGGCAUCACCACCUAUUUUGAGGGAAGUUUCAGUUCUUUUACCUUCCUCUACAAUGAGGACAUUGUAGAUUUUAAGUGUGGGGGAGGCAUUACUUAUCUUAUGGGUGAUUGUGUGUUGAAAUGCAUGAUUUUAGUUGUUUAUGGCUUAAAAAUGUUGGAAUUAUAUGUGGAGAUAAUCAUGAGUAUAAUUUUUGUGAAAAUUGAGGUUGUUGGCAAGGAGUUUCAUCCAUUUUUAUGGGGAAACUCUGUCAAAAUUUUUCUAAAAUAUUUUCCAAUAUUUCAUUAUAAUUCUUCCAUAAAAAUGGCCAAAAUGUUAAAAUUUUAAGUGUCUAAUUCUUCCAUUGGAUAAAAUGCUAUGUGUAUUUUGGAAAAGUUUAGUUCUUAUUUGGCCUGGAAUGAAUUAUUAUGCAAUUAGGAUAUUUACAUUUUAGAAAGUAUAUUUGGUUAAAUAAGAAAAAUUAUGCUUAGAAUUUUGCAAAAAUUAAUGAGAUUUAUCAUUUUUACUUAAUUUUAUAAGUAAGUGAUUGAUAUAGUCAAAAACAAGGCCAAAUUCUUCCUUUAAUUAUACUUAGAGGGAAAAAGAAAUUACUUGUUAAAAAAAAAAAUUUUAAUAUUAUUUUUCUACUCCAAUGAUUCAUAUACUGAGUAACCGGGGGUUGGCAUUUACAAAUGUCGGCAUUCGCGUAAAAAGGUAUUGGAAUUAAGAGUAUGCUUAGCAAUUUGAAUAAGUGAAAUGUUGAGUAACCGGGAAUUUUCACCUAAAAGUGUUGAUUUUCGCGUAAAAAGACAUUUUCACUAUUUAAAUAAAAUGAAAUGCGAAUAAAUCCCUCUAAAUUGUUAAGUUUUGGGAUGAGGAAGGCCAUAAAAUUGACUAUGUGAUUUACUUAUUUGUGGAAUUAGGAUAGAAUGAGAGAUUGAUUUCAAUUUGUUAUAAUUUAGGCAUAAUUAUUUUUAUUUAAAUGAAUAUUAUGAGUAUUUAGUGUAAUCUGAGAAAUGGCAUAAUGAUUGGUUUCUAGGUUUUUGAAAAAUUAAAUUUGACAAAAGUACGUAUAUUGUUUUAUCUAUUGAAUAUUUGAAGUAAGUUUUGUGUAAAAUUGCUUGAGGACAAGCAAUGAUUCAAGUGUGGGGGAAUUUGAUAAGUGAAUAUUUAACGUACAUUUUGUAUGAAUUUGGCAUUAAUUUUUGGUAUGUUCUGAGAAGAUUAAGCCAUAUUUGAACUCUUUUGGUGAUAAUUGCUUAAAUAUUGAUUAAGGUUUCAAAAAAUUGAUAAAUGAGUGAAUUAAUGCGUUAAUCUUGUGAAUUUGUGAAGGUAAUUGAUGUAUGAAAUUCAUGCACAAAUUCAAAGAAAUGUAAGGGUCAUCCAGAGGACAAAGUACACAAGAAAUUAGGAGCAAAAAUGUAGAAAAAGAGAAGAAGCGAAAAACUGGAAAUUGGUCAACACGGAUCCGAGCUCGGAUCCGUGUGCACAAGAUGGAUCCGAACCCUCGUCUGUACUUCUGGCGGAGAGCAUCCGAGGUCAGGACGAUCCGACCUCGGAUCCAUUAUGAAAUCCCUCGGAUCCUGAAGAUCCGAGCUCGGAUCCAUUUUCACUCCUCGGAUCCGAGGCUCGGAUCUGUCUCUCUCCUCAGCAAGUGCAACAGCCGUUUUUCUUUACCUUUUUCACAACUUUCCAGCUAUUUUGAGGGACAGAAAUCGGUGGCACAUGCUUCUGCAACAAAAGAGAAGACCAAAUGAGUAUGGACAAAAGGAAAUAUCAUAUCUUUGACUUCUUUUUACAAAAUCUGAGUGGAGGAAAUUAUGAAGUGAGAGGAAUGGAAUUUCUUCCACCUUUUAUGCAGAAACACAGAAGAGAAGCAGGGGAUGACCAUACGUAGCUAGUUUUUCAUUUUGUAACAAGUUUCUCUCUAGUUAGGAGUCUUGGAGAAGCAUUUUGUCUUUGGAGUUUUUCACUUGUAAUCAGAUUGUGCAAGAGCAUAGCAGGAAUUAGAGAGCUUCACCUUCAGUUGGCUAAGCUUUCUUUCAUCUUUCUUAUACUUGUACUGUAUGAUGUUUUGCAGCAAUAAACUUGUGAUUCUGAUUGUUGAAUCAUACAUGAGUAGCUAACUUUUUUCAUCUAGGGAGUAGAUGAAACUUAUGGCUAAAUAGUAUAAAUUGAAUGUGAUGUACACUUGUUAUAUCUUGUAUUAACUUGUCUACUUGUGUAGCUGUGAUUACUUGCUAUUGAUUGAUCACCAAUAGUUUGGUUAUAGUUGUUAUUGUUCAAUGAGAAUUGGUAAUAACAAUGGAAACACAUGAGUAGAGCUUGAGUUGUAUGUUCAUGAAAAUAGAGAUACACUUAGGUGGAUUACUUAGCAUUUCAUGAAAUAAAACAGAGUAGUAGUAGUAUUUCACCAUGAAAAUAGGGAAAUCUAUAUUGUUUUAGGCCAUUUCAUCAUGAAAAUGAGACUUGGAAACUUUGGAAAUGAAUCUCUGGUUAAGCAAGAAUAAUAGCAAGAAGUAAAUCCAUUCAUUUGUGUUGUUUAUGCCAUAAGUGGAAUCUACAUCCCUAGAAUCUUCCUUAAGUGAAAUUUCUCUAUUUGCAUUCAGCAUUUGUUAAACUAGAUUUGUAUAUCAGAUUUGUAGAUUACAGCAUUAGAUUUUCUUUGCUCAAAUUAAUGGUUAGUCUAAAUAAUAUAGAAAAUAAGGGCUUAGUAAUUGUUUGAAUUGCUCCUCGUGGGAUCGACCCGAUAUACAUCUUGUACUACAAUUGCGACCUGUAUACUUGCAGUCCAACGGGUGUAAAAUCGGAAUUAAACUUGCAUUGAUACAAAAUAUCCCGUCAUUACCCAUUUGGCAUAUGCUGAUGAUGUGAUCAUCUUUACUAGUGGGCUGAAGAGGUCGGUGCGUUUGGUGAUGAAGGUGCUUGACGAUUAUGCUUCGGAUUCAGGACAGCAGGUGAAUCACCAUAAAAGCUGUUUCUUGUCUCAUGGUAAUUGCCCCAGAAGGAGGAAACGAAUGGUUGGUGACAUCACUGGGUUCCAAUCCAGGGAGUUUCCGGUUAAGUACUUGGGUUGCCCCUUAUACGUUGGGCGGAGGAAGAAAUGUUAUUUCUCGGACAUUUGUGAUUCGAUUAUAAGUAGUGUGCUAUCGUGGAAAGGGAGGUUGUUGUCGCACGGUGGUAAGUUGGUCCUAAUCCGGAGUGUGUUAUCUUCUAUGCCUAUCCAUAUGCUUGCGGCAUCAACUCCUCCCAAAGCCAUCUUAGGGAUGUUGGAGAGGAUCUUUGCUGCCUUCUUGUGGGGCUCCUCUGAGGGUGGGCCGCGAUUCCACUGGAUAAAAUGGGAGCAGUUAUGCAAGCCGUAUGCCAGGGGAGGUGCAGGUUUACGGUCAUUGAAGCAUGUGUUUGAGGCUUUCUCAAUGAAAUUAUGGUGGCAGUUCAAGCUGCGGCAGUCCUUAUGGGCUGAGUUUAUGCAUUGCAAGUACUGCCCCGGCUCUCACCCUUGCUUUGCAGACGUCGUCCAAGGGUGUUCGUGGACUUGGAAGCGAAUGAUAUCUAUUCAGGGGGAUGCGGAGCAGCAGAUACGCUGGGUUCUGUUCAGCGGAUCUGUAAGCUUUUGGCAUGAUAAUUGGUUAGGGCAUGGCCCGUUAUGUCGUCAAGUGGAUACCUUCCAGGAAGCGAUGGUCUCCGACUUCGUCGAGCAUGGACAGUGGAAUGUGCAGCGGUUAAGCGCUGUACUGCCCAGCUGGUGGGUGGGACAGAUUUUGAAAGUUGAUCCUCCCUCUAGUGCACACUCCGACAAAAUGGUCUGGUCUCCCAGUACCUCAGGAGAGUUCUCCAUAGCGUCGGCCUACCAAAUUGCUCGAGGAGUUGGCAACAGUUCUUGCCUGUACUCCUCAAUUUGGCUCCAGGGAUUGUCGAUUAACAUUUCCUUUUUCAUGCUGCGGGUGUUGGGUGCCAGACUGCCAGUAAUGGAUAGCUUACAGAAGCUUGGGGUGCACGGCCCGUCUCGAUGCUUUUGCUGUUCAAACCCUUGCCAGGAGACACUAGAUCACAUCUUUUGCACUGCGGAGGUUGCACGCAGAGUCUGGGAGCAUUUUGAAGUGGUGGUUGGAGGGUUUAGUGCUUCCUCUACGAUACAACAUAAGGUAAUUAGUUGGUGGUUGAAACCGAGUCGGAACCAAUAUCUUCAGUAUAUCCUUCGGUUAUUGCGUUCUCUGAUCUGUUGGAACUUGUGGAAAAUGCAAAAUCAAUUUGUGUUUGAGGGUCAGCUUCUGCCUGCUGUACUCAUCUGUCACAGCAUCUUUGGGGAUCUACGGGACCUGUUUCAUCUCAAAUUUAAGCAUACUACUAUCCCUGGACAUGAGUGGCCGAGCUUCUUUGCUGCUGUGGUUGGAUGGGUAAGGAGAUAUCAUGUGCUAAUCGUUCGGUGGAGAUGCCCGGCUCAGUCGGUGGUGAAGCUAAACUCCGAUGUUUGCUCUAGGGGUAAUCCUGGCAUGAGUGGAGGAGGAGGAGUGAUUUGGUGUGGCGAAGGGAGGUUUCUUCUAGGGUACUCGUGCUUCUUUGGGGAGCUAACGAGUCUACAUGCAGAAGUGAAGGCACUUCUUUAUGGGGUUCGGUUGGCUUUGGAUCGGGGGUACCGAGAUUUGCACGUAGAAUCGGAUUCUUUGGUGCUCGUUCAGAUUAUUCGAGGCUCAGCACAGUGCCCAUGGCAGUUGCAAAGGGAAGUACAGGAACUGUUGGACACUAGACGAUUUAUUAGAUAGAUCUCCCAUUGCUUUAGGGAGCGAAUAAGCCUGCAGACAGACUUUCAAAUGUUGGGGUGGACUCUGGGAUAACUUCAACGUGUGAGGCGUUCGGGGAGUUGCCUAGAUUGGUGAGAGGUGAUCUCACACUUGACCGGUUGGGCCUUCCGAGUGUUCGUAGAAGUAGGGUUAGAUAGGUCGUUGGGUGUUUUGUGUCCUUUUCGCAGCAUGAGUAAUGAAGUUUCUCUUCCAUAAAAAAUAAAAAAAAAAGAGUGCAUUAUGGACACCCGUUAGAAAAAAAAAACCUUUCAUUUUUUUGGACUACAACUUUUUAGGAAGCUGUAUAAUAAAUAAUAUCUAAUUUCUUUGCCACACGCUUGCUCUUGGCUCCUCGUGUAUAAUAGUAGGAGUAGAUGUUUAAAUGAACCAAGUUACUCAGACUCAUGUUGGGUCUUGUUCACGUCCUGUCAUAACCAUGUUCAUGUUAAACGAGUCCAAACUUAUAUAUAUAUAUAUAUAUAUAUAUAUAUAUAUAUAUAUGCCAUAUUUGAUUUUCGUGUCAUAUUCAUAUUAAAAUCUGCUUACUGGAGUGUCAUUUUGUGUUUUAAGCCAGUUUGACCCAUUUAAUAUUUUGCAUAAAAAUCACUAUAUGUAAAGAGUAAAACAUGAGUCUCUUUUUAAAAAAUAUAUAUGUUCUUCUUUUAAUCUCUUCAGUUGUAACUUUUCAGUAAAUAUUACCUAUAUGAGUUUUGAAUGCAUUAUCACCUCAUUAAAACUACAAAAAAAAAAAGAGUUAAUUUUGUUUUUAUUUCAAAAAGAAAGAAAAACUUUCAAAGAAUUGCAUAGGCAAAAUCAUGCAAGGGAAGAAUAGUAUAUGUAAGAAUAUCUCCAAAAAAAUGAGUUGAGAGUACUAAAUUAGCCUAGAAAAGAAUUUUUAAUCACUAAAGAAAGAAGAAUAGAUAAGAAAUAAUUGAUCUAAAGGAAAGUUCUCGGCAAUUUGAGGACGAAGGAUGAAGGCGGGAAUUAAAUAUUUAAAAUCAUAGAGAUUGCGUGUAUUCAUGAAUUUGACAAAAGAAGAAUGAAAGCAAAAAGCAAAAAAUUAAAAUCACAAAAGUUGUAUACGUGGAUUUGUGGAGUUUGGAUUUUCAAUAAUGCUAUAAAAAUACAAUAUAAACCUGGUUAAUUUUAUUAUUUUAGUUCUUAAACUUUAAAUUUACAAGUGAAACUAUCUAUUUUUUUGGUGUAGUUUUAGAAGGAAAUACGAGUAUCAUUUUUAAAAAAAAUAUUUAAACAUAUUAGUAACAAAUUAGUCAUGUCAACCCAUGGAUUGAUCCAUUACAACUCAUUUCAUUUGUGUAUCAUGUUUGUUUUGACCUAUUUUUUAUACAAAUUGUUCUUUUCCAUAUUUUGUUCGAUUUUUUAGAUCAUGUUUGUGUCCUAUUUGCACGUGUCAAAAAUUACCACCUUUAAAUAUGAUUUUAAUCAAGUUUGAAUAACCUAAGUAGGAUUUGUGUAAAAUAUACGUAUAACUAGUCUACUUGUGUCAUUUUUUCAUUCCCAAGGCGUGUUGUCCCAGUGAAGGAAACAAUAUACCAUCAUGAAAAAGAAUUCACCAUGAUGAUAUAACGUCCAUGAGGCGAAAGAAGUGAGACUGAAAUUGAAAUGGGAAAUAAUUUAACUAACAAAAGUUAACUUUAGCAAGGGAAAAGAUUUACAAUUUAAAAUCAGAAAAAAAAAAGAAGUUUAAGCUAGUCAAAGGAAAAAUACGACAUUUCCUAGACACUUCCCGUCCUUACAUUCUACGCUACAAUCUCAGUAUACGAUUAAAAAAACAUGGACAAACGACAAAAUGAGGUAAAAUUGGCCUUCAUAAGGAAAAGAUAUUCCUAGCCAAAAAUGAACCCAAAAAAAUUCUUAGCUUACUUAUGUUAUUUUAUUGAUUAAAAAACAAGACAGUGGUUUUUUUUCUUGGUGAUGCUUGGUGGAGGGCAAGAUAUGUAUUUACAAUCAUCUUUUUUUUCCUGACAUAUUUUAAAUCAUUUUGAAAGUGCUAAUCGGUAUAAUCGUUACACGAAACAAACAUAAUGUGUGAAAACAAAGACCCAUAACAUUCUAAUAUGGCAACAAUAAGUGCUAUAAAACAACAAACAUUACAAUCCAAAUAAAGUAAAUAAAAACCCUAAUUGCAUUUUCAAGCAAGAAAAAAUUAAGGUAAGUAGUAAUCAAUUUACUUUAAGAAAACCUCCAUCAGGAAAUCCAAAGAAAGUGAGUAAAAACUCUUAUUGCAUUCUCAUCCAAGAAAACAAUAACGUGAUACGUAGUACCUAAGAAAGCAAAUCAACUUCCCACGAAGAAAUCAUCCACCAGUAAAAUUAUUACCCAAAGAAUGCAAAAAACCAAUCAACAAAGAAAAUAGGGUUCUCAUAAGUAGCCACCACACAUAGGUCAUUAACCACGAAUCUGGAAACCCGAUUUAUCCAGAUUGAAAGUUUCGAUGUUGUGCAUCCCUGGAAUUGUCCACAGUUUGUCAAUAAAUUCUCCGAGGCGAUCACAGUCGACCGGUCCAUCCUCUGGCUGAUCGUAUUCUUUACUUGGUGGAGGUGAUACCAGAGAUGGUGGAGCAACUAGAGGCAUGGACGGUGGCAGCAGCAUCUGCUCAUCAUCCAUAUGGUCUCCCGAAUUCCCCAUGCUAACCACUUCAAUACUUUCCAGUUCUGGAAUUUUCUCUAUUUUGUCAAAUAAUUCUUCCACGUCAAUACGAUCUCCUGGCUUUGCCAUGUUGAAAACACCAACACUUUUCAUUCCUGGGAUUGUCCACAGUUUGCCAACAAAUUCACCAAGGCAAUUGCAGUCUCCUCCCCUGCACAGUUCAUGUUCCCCAUGGUGAAUCUGAACCUGAACGUGAACCUCUUCUUCAUGUGAUGGAGACGGUGGAGCAGCCCGAGGUGUCGGCGGAGGCGAUGGCGGUGCUGCUUUUGCCUUAUGGUUCUUGCUUGCGCAAGACUUGGCCAUCCUUAUUUUGCUUGAGAACUUUUUUGCACACUUCAAUGGGGGAUCAUGCACCAAUAAAAGGGGAAAAUGGAUGAUCAAAGAUUUUGGGACGGAUCAACAAAGAUUAUUCACUAUUGCAACUGGAAAAAAAUUUAUAGUUUAAUUUGUUAUUGGAAAGUAAAAAGAAAAACAAGGAAAUUUGAACAAGAAAAUUAAUUUUUCUCAUUUACCGAGCCAACUACCUCAAUUAAGGGUAGAUUUAUGACGAAACUACAGUUAUUGUGCCAAAGUUUCUAAUGAUAAAGUUCAAUAAAAGCAUCGAUUCAAUAACGAGCACAUCCAAUUAAAACCAUUUUUAAACAACAUAAAGUCACGUAAAAUUUAGAAGAUUGAAUCUUAUUUAUUACCUUACGAAGAAGGUUGAAGGAGUACUUCAUGGUGGGAUGCCCGGAAGUUCUGGAAGAACCCUUGAAAGAAGAGUUUCAAGGGCUCUAGGGAGACUACGAAUGAGGCACAAGAGAAUAUAGGCUGCGGAAAUCCUUGUAUAUAUAUAGUGAACCAAAUCUUAGGCUUGAGCUGCAAGAGAAUGUUUACACAAUCUAAUUAUGGUGAAUUUCUAUAUAUAUGUAUCUCAACUUUGCUAAUGAAUUCAUUUCACGGAAAAGAAACAAUCAUUUCUGCAAAUAGCUAUUUAACAGCAAUGAAAGUAAGAAAGGCAACAUAAAUCAAUCUCCAAGGAAAGAGAGAGAAAAAAGAAACAUUGUAGGUGUAUUGGUCCAAUGCUAGUCUUCGCCCAUUUUCUUGUCUUUCCUCUUGAAAAAAUAUUAGCCAUGAUUCUUGAUUCUCGAAAUAAAUUUAGAUUAUCGUAUAAAGUUGUAUCCUCCUAAAAUUUUGGCACUGAUUCAGCUGCCAAAGAGCAAGAAAGCGUAAAUUUGACAUAUUGUUUGAUCUUUUUUUAUUUCCCUAUUUCACUUCAACUCCGAUAAUAUAUCACUCCUAAUCAAUCAAAAUUCUUUUUCCUUUUACAUUUUCUAGAAUCCUCUAUUAUGGGCUUUCAUCCCACCUGUCCCACGAAUUGGGCUAAAAGUGUUAUUACGACAUCAAUGUGCUCCUUAUUUUCUUGGCUUGCGAUCAUCUUUUAAUUUUUUUUCCCCUUACUUUCUUUCAAUGGUUUUUCUGUCAUGGCUUCGAAUCUAAGGAAAAAGGGCGCCGCGCCCCCGGGGGGAGAGAGGGGAGGAGGAUGCAAGAAACAAAUAUGUUAAUAUCCAUCAACUCCUACAGUCUUACGUACAGAUAUUGGACUUUGGGUUGUCCUCAUCUUGGACUUUGGCAUAUUGCACUUCUUUUCUGCUCCUAAAAUUCGUACAGAUAUUGCCUCUACUUAUCAAUUUUUAUUUUAUCUACAACCUUGGGAUCUAAAAUCUUUUCCCGUUAAUUGUAUUACUUUUAUUAAUGCUACCAUAUGGAUGAAUUUUAUGUAGGCAACCUCCUAGUUUUCUUCUUUUUCUUUGUUAUUUCUUGAAAAUUUUGUCUAGUUAUUCAUUUUCAUACUAUUGAAUUUGAACUAUAUUCCUUGGACAACGUUUGUCCUUUAGUUUUAGACUCAAUCUUAGGGAAACAUUCUUCGUUUUCCUUAGCAUAUCAAUAGGAAAGGACUAAGUUGGAUUCACAUGAUCCAAAGUCAGGGCCAGUAAUUUUAAAUUUAUUAAUAUUGAGACCAGAUUUUUUGAUAAAUCCAUUAAGUACUUAAAUUUAAUGCAUUAAUUGAUUUUUCUAUUAAGUUUGUUUGAUAACAAAAUUUUCUUAUCCCUAAUAAUUAAGACCCACUUAAUUUAUUUAUAAAAUUUUAACCGAAAAGUGUGAUAAUACUACUCAUUCAAAAUUAUUUUAAUUUCACAUAAUGAUAUAUUUCCGUGCACACACCCAUACUCUCUUUCUCCUCGCACACUUUCAUAAAUAUACAUAUACACUCUCUCUCUCUCUCUCACACACACACACACACACACACUCUCUCUCUCUCUCUCUCUCUCACGCACACAAUCUUUCUCCUCACACACUUUCAUACAUAUACAUAUACACUCUCACACACAAUCACACACACACAUAAUCAUGCACAUAUGCACGUUAUUUUGUCAAACAUAAUUUGUUUAUUAUACACAUGAAAACUGAUAAGAAUAUAUUUUACGUAUUUUUUAGUGUGUUUUAUUAGUUAAUUUUGGUUUGAUUAUUUAGUUUUAUAACUAAAAUAACUAAGGUUUUGGUAAAAAACUACAUUUUAUGUUAAAAUGGCUAAACAUUGCAUUUUAUUGAUUUUUAUGGUAAAAACUUCAUAUUUUGUAGGUUUAAUGAUUCAAUCAUCAAAUGAAGUGCAUUGAGAAGAUAUUUGGGUGAUUGAAGAUGGAUUAAAGUGGUGAAAAUAAAAUAUGAAGUGUAAAAGGAAAAAUGCAAUUUGAAUAAAAAAAAGUCAGGUUUGACAACUCUGACACGUUUUGGUAUUUUGACUAUAUCUGGAGCUGCACUGAUCGGAUUGAGGUGAUCUUUAUACCAAUUUAAAGCUAAGAAAGAGAUCUACAUUUGGUAUGAAGAAAUCAAAGUCCAAUUCAUCCGUUUUCAUAGUCCAAAAGUUGAAAUACCGAAAUUCAACUCAGCUGUCCAAAGUGGAAAACAGAGCUCUGACCAGUGUUUAGUAUUUUGAUCAUAUCUCAGGCUACAAAGCUCCAAUUUGGAUGAUUCUUGAAGCAUUGAAAAUCUAACUCAAAGGGCUACAACUUUUGUGUUUUGCACAAAAGCCAGUUCGGCCUUUAUGAUAGAGAAAAUCGCAGAUAAAGUAAGGCCAAAGUGAAUACGUGAGUACACAAAACGUGACUUGUAACCGCGUUUUUUGUAGGCGCGUUUUCUGGCCGAAAUUCUGCAAUUUGACUCAGCCAUUUCCCUUGUGUUCAUACCACUUUCCAGCUAUAAGAUGCAAGGGAAUUCGGUGCACAUGCUUCAGAAGACAAAAUGGCAGACAAUAUGGCUUAUUUUCAAGUCAAAAACAAUGAUUUUUGACUAUCUUAACAAAAUGAGAUUUGAAGAAUCAUAGCAGCAAAUUUGGACUGGGAGAAGAGGAACUUUUCAUGAGUUUAUAUGCAGAGACAGAGAUUCAUUCAUUCAUUCAUCAUACGGGAGAGAACUUGAAGUGCAGAAAUGUAGUUCUUUCAUUUCCUUAGUGUAGGAUAGUGUAGUAAGUGUAGUUAAUCCAUUCUUGUAUAAUAGCUAGAUUAGGAUGAAGAUGGAGAUGAAGAAGGAGAAGUUGAAGCUCAAGUGACAUGGGUUAUCUCUACUCCAAUUCUUUAUCUUUUGUAUUGGAUUCUUAACUAUGGUUAUUAUGCAAGUUCUGGAAUUUAUGUCUAUUAUGUGUUUCUAAAGUUUAUGCCUUGGGUUUGGUUGAACUUUCUAUGAUUGUUAGUGUUUAUCAUUUGGCUAUUUAACUGCUAUGAUUUGAGCAAGUUAUUUAGCACUUUAGCUCUUUAAAUCAUGAUUAAUCUGGUACCAUUAAUUGUGAUUAUCUAAGGUGUUAUUUCUACAAUAAAAAUUGAGAUUUAACAUUAGUUCAAUAAGUGCUAAACAUGGGGAGUACACUCACGAGAGUAGAGGUGCACCUAUGGGGUUUUGGUGAUUAAUUUCAUGUAAUUUCAUUGAAAAAAUGAACUUGUAGCUAAUUUCAUAACCAUGAGAAUAGGUAUGGAUUGGUUAUUAGUAUAAUUGAUUCACUACGAAAGUAGGAUUCAAAUGCAUAAGGAAAUUACACCAUAACUAGCCUAGAUGUAGUAUUCAAUUAUCCAAAUAUAGCACUUGCAUGAGUAGUUAGGGAUACCACAACCUAAGGAGCUUUUAUUUGUUAUUUUGUAUAAUUUCAGUAGGUUAAAUUUCUUAUAAUUCAUUGAUAGUCUAAAUAAUAGAGAAGCUUUAGUAAUACCGGUAAUUGUUCACUCUUCCCUGUGGGAUCGACCCGAUAUAUACCCUAAACUACUAGUUGAUCUGUAUACUUGCAGUGAACGGGUGUAAUUCGGUAUUUUUUAGCUUGCACGUAUGUAAAAUACCCGUCAAGUUUUUGGCGCCGUUGCCGGGGAAGAUUUGGCAAUAUCGGUGUGAAGAGCAACUUUAUUAAUUUAGACAAUUUUUUUAUUUUUGUUGUUUUUGUUGUAUCUUAUGUGUUUUAUGUCAUUUUUUUUUUAGUCAACUUUUAUUAUUAUUAUUUUUUUUCUGUUUUAGUUUGUGUCUUGGAAUCUAUCCUUCUUAACUAAUCUUACUUUUGAGAUUGUUUAAAAGUAAUUUUAGAUAAUGAGAAGGGUAGGUGAAUUGGGAGGACAAUGCUUGAGAAAUGGAAGAUUGGCAAAUGAUGGUUACAAAGUGCAAAGCUCCUUCAAUAGAGGUUACCAAGAAAUUACCAAAGGUAUGUCUUUUGAAGAUGGUUUGAAGUGCUUAAAAACUAAAUUUGAUGUUAUGAUGUUGCAAGUUCAAAUGGAUACAAUUAAGCAUGAAAUUGAGCAAGGGAGGAAUGUUAAUGCUUUUAAUUCUUAUCAUUUGAUUUGUGACUUGUGUGGAGGUUAUCAUGCUACUAACACAUGUAGACAAGCACAAAAUGUGGAUUAUUAUGAUGAAUUAGAGCAUUACAAUCCCUGUUUUGAUCGAUAUAGUGCUAAUUGGAACAAUUCUCCUGCUUGUGGUUGGGAUAAUCAAUGUACUUAUAAUAAUUCUUCAUAUUUUUACGAUUACCAACUUGAAUGUGUCCAAUAUGAACCAAAACCAUCUUGGGAGUUGGCAAUUGAAAUGGUAGCUAAUGAUUCUAAGCCAUCUUGGGAGUUAGCUUUAGAAAAAUUAGCUAAUGCAACUUACGACCGUUUUGAUAGGGUUGAAGAAAGAAUAGAUGAACUGACUUCUCACUUUAGUAGAAUACAAGAGAAAUUGCAUGCAUUGUGUGAAGUUAUUUCUUCUAAUGAUAUGAAAGAUGACCCUAGCAUGAAUGGUAGGAAUGUUGUAUGUGAAAAUGGAUUAUAUUUGGAUGAAAAUGAUGAAUUUCAAUUGUGUUUUAAUGAGCAAAUAUCCAUUUCACAUGAUAAUAUCUUUGGAACUAACUUUGAGCCUCAAGAGGUGAGUUUUAAUGACUCAUUUUUCACCCCUCUUGAGGAGUGCAUUGAAAGUAUAGGUUCUAAGGGUAUUGCUGCCCAGGAUACUCUCAUGACAUUUCCGUUGGUAAGUUCUCAAGUGGUGCAUAUUCAAUGUAAUAUUUAUGAAACACUUGGGAUAGGUAAGUCAGUUCCAUUUCUCCUAUCAUUAGAUCAUGUGACUUUUGCUAUAAAGUCACCAUUUAAUGAUCCACCACGACCAAAAAUGGUGGAUUAUUCGUUAACUAAGCCUCCUUGAAAAAUGAGGUGAAAUAGUCAAGCUAUUGACUUUAAAGAAGCACUUAUUGGGAGGCAACCCAAUGUUUGUUUAAGUUUAUGUUAUUUUGGGGUGAUUUUAUGUUUAAAGUAUGUGUUUGAGUUAUUUUGUUAUUUUUCAUUUGUAGGUAUUGGAAAUGGAAGCAAAAGUGACCAAAUGAGGUGAAAAAGGCAAAAUUUGAUCAAGGAACUCAACCCCUCGAUUUGAAUAAUUGUUGUUUUUGAUCCGUUAAAAGGGGUUAAAAUGCAUAUUUUGAUCAUUUUGCAUGUGCAUGCAUUGAUAAUUUUGUCGAAAGAAUGAUCUAUGAUGCAUUUUGAGUGUGGGGAAAGAUGUGUAAUUUUUCAAAGUUGGCAUUUCUGCAAAAAUUUGCAGCAGAAAACGUGGCAGAAAACGCUCCAUCGAGCCACGUUUUGUGCCACGUUUUGAAAACGCUCCAUCGAGCCACGUUUUAUGCCACGUUUUCAAUUCUGUAAGUUUUGUAUAGAAAACGUGGCAGAAAACGCUCCAUCGAGCCACGUUUUGAAAACGCUCCAUCGAGCCACGUUUUGUGCCACGUUUUGAAAACGCUCCAUCAAGCCACGUUUUCAACAACGUUUUCAAUUAUGCCCCAGAAUGAAGGAAACAUGACAUUCUUGCGCAUUUUUUUUUCUUCUUCUUUGCCUCAUUUAUUUUAUUAUACCUUGCGUAGUUUAUUGUGUAUUUUAUAUAGGUAUAUCACCAAAACAAAGAUUUGAAAUUAUGGAUCGCCAUUUUGUUUUCUUAAGCCUUUGUUAUCACUUUCGUUUCUCAUUUUCCAUUUUUAGGUUUAUUUCACUAAUGGUUACCAAAUGGAACUCAUGAAGCGAUGAAGACAUGCGAACAACGUACCUUGAAGCUUCAUAUUCAAUCACAUCAUAGGGGAGUAUUACUUUCUUUAUCUUGAUUUUCCUUUUUACACAUUGAGGACAAUGUGCAUGUUAAGUGUGGGAGGAAGAAUUGAGAUUAUAUACAUUGUAUGUGAUUGACUUAUUAGUUGCAAAUAUUGGAGUUGUGUUAAAAUUCAAAUUUUUCUACAAUCUUGUCCAAAAUUGCAAACUUGCCCAAAAAAAGUUUCAAUUUUUUCGAUUUUAUCCAAAGGGGUAACAAGUUUUAUACCAUUAGUAGUUCAAAUUUCUUCUACAUUUGAGAUAAAUAUAUGUGAUUUGGAAACUUCUUUUCUCAUUUAACUUGGAAAUGACUAUUAUGUGAUUAUAAUUUUUGCAUUUGUAGGAAAGUAUAUCUUUUAAAGUGGAGAAAAUUAUGCCUAUAUUUUUUUGCAUAUUUGAUGAAAUUUCUUCGCUUUAUUUGAUUUUAUAAGUUAAGUGAUAAAUAUGGUCAAUAAUUGCAAUACUCUUCUCAUGAUUAUGCUCUCAAGGGAAUGUUAUUAUCUUUACUAAAAAAAUAAAAAUAAAAAAAAUAAAAAAAUGAUGAAAAAUGAAAAAAUGAAGAAAAAGAGAAAAAAAACAAAAGAGGAAAGAAAAUAAAUAAAAAUUUUUCUACUCCAAUAAUUCUCGUACUUAGUAACCGGGAGCCUCAUCUACAAAUGUCGACUUUCGCGUAAAACGGUACUUGAAUUAAGAGUAUGUAAAACAACUUGAGUCUGUGAAGUGUUGAGUAACCGGUGAUCUUCAUCUAAAAAUGUCGAUUCUCGCGUCAAAAGACACUUUCACAACUUAAGUAAUAUUUAGCUAUAUUAUAUAAAUAAAUCCCUCUUUAAGUUAAAUAAGAAGAUGAUCAUGAGUUUAGGAAGCAUAUUAUUGACCAUAUGAGUUACUUGCGUAUGAAAUUAAGUAAGAAUGAGAAAUUGAAUUAAACUUGUUAUAAUUACGGUAUAAUUGGCUCUCCUUUACUUGAUAUUAUGAGUACUUGAAUUUAAUUAAAUAAUUGCAUAAUGGUUAUUUACUUUGUUUUGAGGAAAUGAAGUUGAAAUGCUACAUAUGUUUAUUUUCAAAUUUUGGAUCAUUGUUGGUUUGUAUUUCUUAUUGCUUGAGGACAAGCAAUGAUUCAAGUGUGGGGGUAUUUGAUAAGAAUAUAUUUUACGUAUUUUUUAGUGUGUUUUAUUAGUUAAUUUUGGUUUGAUUAUUUAGUUUUAUAACUAAAAUAACUAAGGUUUUGGUAAAAAACUACAUUUUAUGUUAAAAUGGCUAAACAUUGCAUUUUAUUGAUUUUUAUGGUAAAAACUUCAUAUUUUGUAGGUUUAAUGAUUCAAUCAUCAAAUGAAGUGCAUUGAGAAGAUAUUUGGGUGAUUGAAGAUGGAUUAAAGUGGUGAAAAUAAAAUAUGAAGUGUAAAAGGAAAAAUGCAAUUUGAAUAAAAAAAAGUCAGGUUUGACAACUCUGACACGUUUUGGUAUUUUGACUAUAUCUGGAGCUGCACUGAUCGGAUUGAGGUGAUCUUUAUACCAAUUUAAAGCUAAGAAAGAGAUCUACAUUUGGUAUGAAGAAAUCAAAGUCCAAUUCAUCCGUUUUCAUAGUCCAAAAGUUGAAAUACCGAAAUUCAACUCAGCUGUCCAAAGUGGAAAACAGAGCUCUGACCAGUGUUUAGUAUUUUGAUCAUAUCUCAGGCUACAAAGCUCCAAUUUGGAUGAUUCUUGAAGCAUUGAAAAUCUAACUCAAAGGGCUACAACUUUUGUGUUUUGCACAAAAGCCAGUUCGGCCUUUAUGAUAGAGAAAAUCGCAGAUAAAGUAAGGCCAAAGUGAAUACGUGAGUACACAAAACGUGACUUGUAACCGCGUUUUUUGUAGGCGCGUUUUCUGGCCGAAAUUCUGCAAUUUGACUCAGCCAUUUCCCUUGUGUUCAUACCACUUUCCAGCUAUAAGAUGCAAGGGAAUUCGGUGCACAUGCUUCAGAAGACAAAAUGGCAGACAAUAUGGCUUAUUUUCAAGUCAAAAACAAUGAUUUUUGACUAUCUUAACAAAAUGAGAUUUGAAGAAUCAUAGCAGCAAAUUUGGACUGGGAGAAGAGGAACUUUUCAUGAGUUUAUAUGCAGAGACAGAGAUUCAUUCAUUCAUUCAUCAUACGGGAGAGAACUUGAAGUGCAGAAAUGUAGUUCUUUCAUUUCCUUAGUGUAGGAUAGUGUAGUAAGUGUAGUUAAUCCAUUCUUGUAUAAUAGCUAGAUUAGGAUGAAGAUGGAGAUGAAGAAGGAGAAGUUGAAGCUCAAGUGACAUGGGUUAUCUCUACUCCAAUUCUUUAUCUUUUGUAUUGGAUUCUUAACUAUGGUUAUUAUGCAAGUUCUGGAAUUUAUGUCUAUUAUGUGUUUCUAAAGUUUAUGCCUUGGGUUUGGUUGAACUUUCUAUGAUUGUUAGUGUUUAUCAUUUGGCUAUUUAACUGCUAUGAUUUGAGCAAGUUAUUUAGCACUUUAGCUCUUUAAAUCAUGAUUAAUCUGGUACCAUUAAUUGUGAUUAUCUAAGGUGUUAUUUCUACAAUGAAAAUUGAGAUUUAACAUUAGUUCAAUAAGUGCUAAACAUGGGGAGUACACUCACGAGAGUAGAGGUGCACCUAUGGGGUUUUGGUGAUUAAUUUCAUGUAAUUUCAUUGAAGAAAUGAACUUGUAGCUAAUUUCAUAACCAUGAGAAUAGGUAUGGAUUGGUUAUUAGUAUAAUUGAUUCACUACGAAAGUAGGAUUCAAAUGCAUAAGGAAAUUACACCAUAACUAGCCUAGAUGUAGUAUUCAAUUAUCCAAAUAUAGCACUUGCAUGAGUAGUUAGGGAUACCACAACCUAAGGAGCUUUUAUUUGUUAUUUUGUAUAAUUUCAGUAGGUUAAAUUUCUUAUAAUUCAUUGAUAGUCUAAAUAAUAGAGAAGCUUUAGUAAUACCGGUAAUUGUUCACUCUUCCCUGUGGGAUCGACCCGAUAUAUACCCUAAACUACUAGUUGAUCUGUAUACUUGCAGUGAACGGGUGUAAUUCGGUAUUUUUUAGCUUGCACGUAUGUAAAAUACCCGUCAAAAACACACAUAUUUCUUUUCAGGGACACGUUUGCAUACAUAAAUACACAUGCAAAUUCUCUUUUCAUCAUAUUGGUAUUUCAUUUUAGUAACAUUAACAAGUGAUAUUUAAAGAAUUAAUGCGAUUCAAUAGUAAAACAUAGUAUUGGUAUUAAACUAUAUAAUAUACAUAUAAUGAAAUUUUAUAAUUCAAUUCCCAAAUUUAGCAAGUUAUUAAACAUAUUUGAUUGAAUGAAUCUCAGCAAAUUCAGACUUAAGUACUUAAAUUUCAAUUUUUAGAUUUCAGAUUUCAAUUUCAUCAAACACUCCAUAAAACCUCAUUAGUAACGAAAAAGAAAACGCAGAUUUAGAUGCUCAUGGGUCUAGGUACCCAAUGAUUUAAAAAUAAAAUAAAAAAUCGAAAAAAAUAUAUAUGAAAUCCAAAGAUAAUAGAAAUACAAUCUAAUAACCAAUUUUAAAUAAAUAAUUAGCACAUCUGAUGGUUGAAUACAUGUAUGGAUGUUUUUUACUAUGAGCAUUUUAUCUGACUUUUGAGUAUGUUUGCAGUUUCAAGUGUAAUUUUUUAUUUUUGUCUCGAGGUAUUUGUGCUUUAGACUUGUUGUGUAUGUGUGUAUAUUUGAUAUGAUUUCUAUCAUUGAUAUUUAAUGAAGUUAUGAUAUUUAUCUAGAAAAAGAUCUGCAAGACAAUCACGGUUUAAACCAAUAUUAUACAACUAUUCAAAAUUUAAUUAUACUAAAAAAUCCUUAACUGCGUUGAUUUUGAAUAUAAUUUUAUAGUUUGGUUGUAAUUUAGAAUAGUAAUGGUGGAAAGUAUAUAUGUGCAUUUAGUGAAAACUGUAAGUAUUUUUAGGGAAUCUCAUUUAGUAAAUAUUAUAAGUAGGUUCCAUAAACAAAAAGGUUAGAGAUUUAAAAAGCCAACCAAAACAUUACUUUUGCCUUAUAAUUGAUAAUAAUCACGAUAUAUAGACUAACCAACUUAAGUUGAAGCAUGAAUCUCUUCCUGUUGGGAAGUCAACUUGGUCACAUAAUUAUUUUAUUCAAGCUUUUGUUUAGAAGAAGGCCUAAUUGGCAUGAAAAUCACACUUUCCAUAUUUAGUGAUGGGUUUUUAGUAUACGUACAAGUUAAAAAAUCUGAAAUACACCCGUUUCACUACAAGUAUACAAGUCAACUAAUAGUUUAGGGUAUAUAUCGGGUCGAUCCCUGAUAAGAGUUUAUUUUACGUAUUUUUAAGUGCAUUUUAUUAGUUAAUUUUGAGUUGGUUAUUUAGUUUUAUAAUUAAAAUAAAGAGGUUUUUGGUAAAAUUAUAUAUUUUGGUAAAAGUGGAUAAUUUUGCAUUUUUAGUGAUUUUAAUGGUAAAAACUUCAUUUUUAUACAGGAAUGAUGAUUCAAUCACCAAUGGAUGUCAAAUGAGGUGAAAAGUAGAUAAUUGGUGAUGAAUUCAAGUGGUAACAAGAAGAAUGAAGUGAAAAACGUUCAAGUGAGGAAAUGCAAUACAAGUCAGUUUUGACACUCUUCGGUAUUUUGACCAUAUCUGGAGCUACACUUAUCGGAUUGAGGUGAUCUUUAUACCAUUUUAAAGCUAAGAAAGAGAUCUACAAUUCGUAUGAAGACAUCAAAAUCCAAUUCUGCCAUUUCCAAGGACAAAAAGGCGGAAUACAGAAGCUGCAUUCUGUGGUCGGAAGUUAAAACAGAGGUUUGACUAGGUGAUAGUAUUUCGAUCAUAUCUCAGGCUACAAAGCUCUGAUUUGGAUGAUUAUUAAAGCAUUGGAAAGCUAACUCAAAGGGCUACAACUUUUGUGUUUUGCACAAAAGCCAGUUCGGCCUUUAUCAUGGAGAAUAUCACAGUUGAAGCAAGGCCAAAGUAAAAACACGAGUAGAGAAAACGUGAGUUAUAGCCGCGUUUUGUGUAGGCGCGUUUUGUAGUCGAAAUUCUGCAAUUUACUCAGCCAUUCUCUUGUGUUCAUACCACUUUCCAGCUAUAAGUUGCAAGGGAAUUCGGUGCACAUGCUUCAGAAGACAAAAGGGCAGACAAGGUAGCUUAUUUUCAAGUCAAAAACAUUGGUUAUUGACUAUCUUAACAAUUUCAUAUUUGGAAAUCAAGUGUGGAAAGUUUGACCAGUGGAAAAUGAGCUUUGGAGUAGUUUAUAUGCAAAGACAUUUGGGAGGUCAGGAGAGAUACAGAGAAAGCUUGAAGAGUGCAAAAAUGUAGUUCUUCCAUUUCCUUAUUGUAGGAUAGUUUAGCUAGUUAGUUCAUCCAUUCUUGUUUAUUAGCUAGAUUAGGAUGAAGAUGGAGAUGAAGAAGAAGGAGUUGAACCUCAUGUGACAAGGGUUAUCUCUUCUCCAACUCUUAAUCUUUUGUAUUUGAUUCCAAGUUUAGCUAAUAUACAAGUUUUGGAUUUUAUGUUUAAUAUGUGUCUUUAAAGUUUAUACCUUGGGUUUGGUUGAACUUUCUAUGAUUGUUAGUGCUUAUUAUUUGGCUAUUUGAUUGCCAUGAUUUGAGCAAGUUAUUUAGCACUUUAGCUCUUUAAAUCAUGAUUAAUCUGGUACCUUUAAUUGUGAUUAUCUAAGGUGUUAUUUCUGCAAUGAAAAUUGAGAUUUAACAUUAGUUCAAUAAGCGCUAAACAUGGGGAGUACACUUAUGAGAGUAGAGGUGCACCUAUCGGGUUUUGGUGAUUAAUUUCAUGUAAUUUCAUUGAAGAAAUGAACUUGUAGCUAAUUUCAUAACCAUGAGAAUAGGUAUGGAUUAGUUAUUAUUAUAAUUGAUUCACUACGAAAGUAGGAUUCAAAUGCAUAAGGAAAUUACACCAUAACUAGCUUAGAUGUAGUAUUCAAUGAUCCAAAAAUAGUAAUUACAUGAGUAGUUAGGAAUACCAUAACCUAAGGAACUUUCAUUUGUUAUUUUGUAUAAUUUCAGUAGGUUAAAAUUGUUAUAAUUCAUUGAUAGUCUAAAUAAUAAAGAAACUUUAGUAAUACCGAUAAUUGUUCACUCUUCCCUGUGGGAUCGACCCGAUAUAUACCAUAAACUACUAGUUGACCUGUAUACUUGCAGUGAACGGGUGUAAUUCGGUUUUUUAACUUGCAUGUAUGUAAAAUACCCGUCAAGUUUUUGGCGCCGUUGCCGGGGAAGAUUUGGCAAUAUCGAUGUGAAGAGUAACUUUAUUAGUUUAGACAUAUUAUUAGUUAUACUGUGAAUGUUAUUUUCUAUUAUUUUAGUAUUUUAUAUGUGUAUGUGUUUUAUCACCUAUUCUUCUUACUAAUCUUGCUUUUAAGUUGUUUAAAAGCAAUUUUAGGUAAUGAGGAGGGUAGGUCAAUUUGGAGGACAAUGCUUGAGAAAUGGAAGUUUGGCAAUGGAUGGUUACCAAGUGCAAAGCUCCUUCAAUAGAGGUAAUCAAGAAUUUACUAAAUGUAUGUCUUUUGAAGAUGGUUUAAGGUGCUUAAAGGCUAAAUUUGAUGUUAUGAUGUUACAAGUUCAAAUGGACACAAUUAUGCAUGAAAUUGAGCAAGGGAGGGAUGUUAAUGCUUUUAAAUCUUAUCAUGUGAUUUGUGACUUGUGUAGAGGUUAUCAUGCUACUAAUAUAUGUAUACAAGCACAAAAUGUGGAUUAUUAUGAUAAAUUAGAGCAUUACAAUCCUUGUUUUGAUCGAUAUAGUGCUAAUUGGAGCAAUUCUCCUGCUUAUGGUUGGGAUGAUCAAUGUACUUAUAGUGAUAAUUCAUAUUUUUAUGAUUACCAACGUGAAAGUGUCUAAUAUGAAUCAAAACCAUCUUGGGAGUUGGCAAUAGAGAAGUUAGCUAAUGCACCUCUACCUUGGGAGUUAGAAAGUGAACCGUUAGCUAAUGAUUCUAAUGCAUCUUGGGAGCUAGCUGUAAAAAUUUUUCUAAUCAAUUUGAUUCAGCAAUAGAAAAGCUAGCAAAUGCAACUUUCAACCGUUUUGAUAGGAUUGAGGAAAGAAUAGAUGAAUUAGCUUCUCACUUUGGUAGAAUACAUGAGCAAUUGAAUGCAUUGUGUGAAGUUAUUUCCUCUAAUAAUUUGCAAAAUGAUCCUAGCAUGAAUGGUGGGAAUGUUGUAUGUGAAAAUAGGUUGCAUUUUGAUGAAAAUGAUGAAUCUCAAGUGUGUUUUAAUGAGCAAAUAUCCAUUUCACAUGAUAAUAUCUUUGGAACUAACUUUGAGCCUCAAGAGGUGAGUUUUAAUGACUCAUUUUUCACCCCUCUUGAGGAGUGCAUUGAAAGUAUAGGUUCUAAGGGUAUUGCUGCCCAAGAUAUUCUCAUGGCAUUUCAUUUGGUAAGUUCUCAAGUGGUGCAUACUCAAGGUAAUAUUUAUGAAACACUUAAGAUAGGUUAGUCACUUCUAUUUCUCACAUCAUUAGAUCAUGUGACUUUUGCUAUAAAGUCACCAUUUAAUGAUCCACCACGUCCAAAAAUGGUGGAUUAUUCGUUAAUUAAGCCUCCUUGAAAAAAAAUGAGGUGAUAUAGUCGAGCCAACGACUAUAAACAAAAGCGUUUGUUGGAAGGCAACCCAAUGUUUUAGUACCUUAUGUUAUUUUGAUGUGAUUUUGUGGUUUGAAUAAGUGUUUUAGUUAAUUUGUUGUUUUUGUGGUAUAGGGUUGGCAAUUGGAAGCAAAAAUGACCAUUUGAGGUAAAAAAAAGUGUACUUUGAUCAAGCAACUCAAUCCUCGAUUUGCGUUACAAGGUUAUUUGAUCUGUUUAAAAGAGGUAAAAUGCAUGUUUUUAAUGUUUUACAUGUGUGCACAUCGAUAAAUUUUACAAACAAAUGAUUUAUGAUGCAUUUUGAGUGAUUGGGGUACCAAUGGUAAUUUUUCAAAGUUUAUUUUCUGCAAAAAAAUUGCAGAAGAAAAUGCACCUAGCAUGAAAACGCGCUUCCGAGUCGCGUUUUCAUCGAAACGCGUUUCAAAUUCUGCAACGAGACUGAAUAAAACGCGCUUCAAAACAUGAAACUAAGUCGCGUUUCUCAGAAAAAUCGCGUUUUCAAGCCUGGAUCAAGAUUCAAAAACGCGACUUUAGAAACGCGACUCAAAGUCGCGUUUACCUACACAGUCGCGAUUUCAUUCCUGCAAGAUUUGUGCAGGAAAUGCGACUUAGAAAACGUGAGUUGAAGGCGCGUUUUCAAUCGCAUUUUAUGUGUCCGAAUAUAACCUCCAGAAACUCGAUUUCAGCUUCAUUUCUUCUUCUCUUCUCCAUUUUCCAGGCGCGUUUUUUCUCUUCCUUUCUACCCAACUCCCAAAUCUUCAUUUUUACUCCAUAAUCUUGCUAGAAAUCAUCACCCCAACACCUUUUGAGCUUCAUACAACCUUUUUAACUGAUUAAAAUCCAAGAAAAACACCUCAAAUUCAGUUUUUGAAGGAUUGAAGGUUAGGGUUCUUCAACUCUAAUUUCUUCAAUUGGAGGUUGUUUCAUAGGGCUUUUUGCAAUUUUAGCAUCACCAAACUUCCUUCUACGUGAUUGAGGUAAGUUUCUUCAUCAAAUCUUUUGAUUUUAGAAAGUCAUAUUUUUUUAUCUUGAGCUAUCUGACAUCUUUUAAUUUCGAAAAUUUGAUGAUAUUUAUGACUAUUUUUAUUUUAUUCAUGCUUGUUAAGAUUGUUUAAGCAUGUUUAUAUGUUUAAUGUAGCAAUUUAUUGGUUUCGUAGUGAUUUAAAAUUCACAAUUGCUAUAUUUGGGGGAAAUUGAAAAAUGAAUUUAGGAUGUUUUUGAGCUAUUGGUGAUGAUUAAUUAUGGUUAAGAAUGGUUAGUUGAUGAUAUUUUAGCAUGUGCAUUGUGUAUAGUGAGUAAUUUGGUUGAUUUGGUGAGUUAAUUGGUUUAAUUUUUGCCUAAACAUGAUCAUAGCUAAAAGCUUAUUAUUAUUGUUAAUUCUAAAUAGUUAUAAUCAUAAUUGUUGCUAUUUUCACUAAUUGGGUUAUAAUUAUUCCAUAUCUUGUUUUAAUUGGUGAUUUUGAGCAAUUUUUGGCAUGAAUUAUGGCUCGUCUUGUUCGGUCCUUUACAUUAGUUAUUGGACGAAUUAUCACUUGAAGGUACAAAUUGGAGAUUAUUUGGAUCAUUUUAGGAUAUUCAUUGCUAAAUUGUGAAUUGUGUCAAAAUACAUGUGGUUAAUUGCAAUAUUUUCUUUUAGGUACUAUGCCAAGGGGAAGGCGUGUGAUACCUUCAUCCUCUAGUAGUGAGGAGAGGGAGGUUAAUGAGGAGAUGGAGGUGACUGAGGAGGAGAAUUCACCUUCUCCUCUACCAGUUAACCGUCGACCUGGUGAGGGCACCUCCCGUGGAGCGGGAAAAUUGGUAUUUGACAGUGCUAGGUUCAACACUCGCAGGAAUCAGGAGUGGCAUGAGGCGCGUGCUAAUUUGGGGUUUUUGUUUGAGAUGCACGUCAGUCCACCAGUUGAGAUGAUGUACAACAUCUCAGAUGCUUUUGCUCAGCUAGGAUGGGCUCCGAUUCUCACCCUACCAAACUAUUACUACCCCGACUUGGUGCGCGAGUUUUACGCCAACAUUGAAAGUAAGGCGCACCAUAGUGGAGAAAUAGUUGAGUCCUGGGUGCGUGGAAGACGAAUCACCUUGUCACGUCAAGAUUUGGCCGCUAUUUUGGGGUGCAUGGAUGACGGACAUCCAGUAGAUUUGAAGAAGGAGUUUGUUCCCCCGAAUAGGAGGUGGGAUCCCUCGUUGGCCAUGGCUAGGUUUGGUCUCGAGUACCAACCUUUUCGCUCUACAAGGAAGGAGACUAUAGUGGCGAAUGUCUUCGAUCCUCGUCAUCGUCUUAUCAUUUAUAUGAUGGCUCACAAUGUCAUCCCAAAGAAGACAGGGCACAUGGAGGUCCGCAAGAGCGAUAUCUAUUUCUUGGAUUACAUGUUCCAUAACCGAACCUCGCCGUAUGCUCGAAUUUCAUUGCCCAACAUCAUCAUUAGCCACAUUCGUUCUACGGUGAGGCGUAAGACAACUUCUUUCAAAUUAUCAUUUCCUUGUCUACUGACUUUAAUCUUCCCGCGUUUUGAGGUUCGGUUGGAAGGCAUGAGGCUGGAGAAUGUUCCUCCACGAGCUGAAAUAACUCUUACUACUCUCCGUCGGCUUGGUAUUGGCACGGGGAACGUUCCACGCUCUGUUCAGGAGCGGCGACAAAAGGCUAGACAUGGUCGCGAUGAAGCUGGAACAUCUACUUCAGCACCACCUCUUCCUCCACCACAGAAUAAUUGGCAGCGACUUUUUGACCAUAUGGAUGACUUUGCAUACCAGUUUGCUGCCAUUAGGAAUCGUCUAAGCCGAAUUGAAGAUCAUUUGGGCAUUCAUCCACCGCCCAAUCAUGAUGCAGAGGAUGGCGAUGAUGCCGAGGGGGAUGACUGACUUGGCGCACUGCAGAUGCUAUCUUUUGUUGCUCGAUUUGCUUGCCUGAUUGUCUUAACUUGUGAAAAUUAAGUUGUUUAACUUCAUUUUAUUUGUUUGGUAGGUACUUGUAUUUUGGCAGUGGUUCGUGAUUAAUGGCUGAUAAGGAUCUCAGCCAUUGCCUUGGGAAGUACUUCUUUCUUUUCUUUUCUUCUUUUGUUUUUUUCUUUCCCUACACAUUGAGGACAAUGUGUAUUCUAAGUGUGGGGGAAGAAAUGUGUAGUACUUGUGAUUUUAGUUGUGUUUGAUGUUAGUUAUAUUUCUUGUGCUUCCAAUUUGUUUCUUGUGGUUGCUGGCAGGGAGUUUAGUCCAGUUUUAAGGGGAGACUCUGUCAAAAUUUUUCCAAAACCUUCUACAUAUAUAUAUAUAUAAUAAUCAUAAUAAAUAAAUAAAAUUUGGUCACUUAUCCUUUUGAAAUAAAUAUAUGUGGACUUGGAAACUUAUUUUCUCAUUCAAUUUGAAAAUGACUAUUAUGUGAUUUUAAUUUAUGCAUUUGUAGGAAAGUAUAUCUUGUAAAGUGGAAAAAAUUAUGCCUAUUUUUUUUUUGCAUAGUUAAUGAAAUUUCUUCUCUUUAUUGGAUUUUAUAAGUUAAGUGAUAAAUAUGGUCAAUAAUUGCAAUACUCUUCUCAUGAUUAUGCUUUCGAGGGAAUGUUAUUAUCUUUACUUUAAAAAAAAUAAAAAUGAAAAAAUGAAAAAUGAAAAAAAUGAAGAAAAAAAAACGAAAAAGACAAAAAUAGAAUAAGAUUUGUUCUACUCUAAUGAUUCUUGUACUUAGUAACAGGGUGUCUUCAUUUAAAAAUGUCGACUUUCGUAUAAAACAGUACUUGAAUUAAGAGUGUGCAAUGCAACUUGAGUAUGUGAAUUGUUGAGUAACCGGUGAUCUUCAUCUAAAAAAGUCGAUCCUCGCAUAAAAGGAUACUUUCACAACUUAAGUAAUACUUAGCUAUAUUAUAUAAAUAAAUCCCUCUUUAAGUUAAAUAAGAAGAUGAUCAUGGGUUUAGGAAGCAUUUUAUUGAUCAUAUGAAUUACUUGCUCGUGAAAUUAAGUAAGGAUGAAAAAUUGAAUUAAACUUGUUAUAAUUAUGGUAUAAUUGGCUCUCCUUUACUUGAUAUUAUGAAUACUUGAGGUUAUUGAAUGAUCGCUUAAUAGUUAUUUACCUUGUUUUGAGGAAAUGAAGUUGAAAUGCUAUAUAUGUUUAUUUUCAAAUUUUGGAUCAUUGUUGGUUUGUAUUUCUUAUUGCUUGAGGACAAGCAAUGAUUCAAGUGUGGGGGUAUUUGAUAAGAGUUUAUUUUACGUAAUUUUAAGUGCAUUUUAUUAGUUAAUUUUGAGUUGAUUAUUUAGUUUUAUAAUUAAAAUAAAGAGGUUUUUGGUAAAAUUAUAUAUUUUUGGUAAAAGUGGAUAGUAUUGCAUUUUUAGUGAUUUUAAUGGUAAAAACUUCAUUUUUAUAUAGGAAUGAUGAUUCAAUCACCAAUGGAUGUCAAAUGAGGUGAAAAGUAGAUAAUUGGUGAUGAAUUCAAGUGGCAAUAAGAAGAAUGAAGUGAAAAACGUUCAAGUGAGGAAAUGCAAUACAAGUCAGUUUUGACACUCUUCGGUAUUUUGACCAUAUCUGGAGCUACACUUAUCUGUAUGCCAUUUUAAAGCUAAGAAAGAGAUCUACAAUUUGUAUGAAGACAUCGAAAUCCAAUUCUGCCAUUUCCAUGGACAAAAAGUCGGAAUACAGAAGCUGCAUUCUGUGGUCGGAAGUUAAAACAGAGGUUUGACUAGGUGAUAGUAUUUCGAUCAUAUCUCAGGUUACAAAGCUCCGAUUUGGAUGAUUCUUGAAUCAUUGAAAAUCUAACUCAAAGGGCUACAACCUUUGUGUUUUGUACAAAAGUCAGUUUGGCCUUUAUCAUGGAGAAAAUCGCAGUUAAAGCAAGGCCAAAGUAAACACGCGAGUAGAGAAAACGCGAGUUAUAGCCGAGUUUUGUAGCCGAAAUUCUGCAAUUUGCUCAGCCAUUUCUCUUGUGUUCAUACCACUUUCCAGCUAUAAGUUGCAAGGGAAUUCGGUGCACAUGCUUCAGAAGACAAAAGGGCAGACAAGGUAGCUUAUUUUCAAGUCAAAAACAUUGGUUAUUGACUAUCUUAACAAUUUCAUAUUUGGAAAUCAAGUGUGGAAAGUUUGACCAGUGGAAAAUGAGCUUUGGAGUAGUUUAUAUGUAGAGAUAUUUGGGAGGUCAGGAGAGAUACAGAGGAGGCUUGAAGAGUGUAAAAAUGUAGUUCCUCCAUUUCCUUAUUGUAGGAUAGUUUAGCUAGUUAGUUCAACCAUUCUUGUUUAUUAGCUAGAUUAGGAUGAAGAUGGAGAUGAAGAAGAAGGAGUUGAACCUCAUGUGACAAGGGUUAUCUCUUCUCCAACUCUUAAUCUUUUGUAUUUGAUUCCAAGUUUAGCUAAUAUACAAGUUUUGGAUUUUAUGUUUAAUAUGUGUCUUUAAAGUUUAUACCUUGGGUUUGGUUGAACUUUCUAUGAUUGUUAGUGCUUAUUAUUUGGCUAUUUGAUUGCCAUGAUUUGAGCAAGUUAUUUAGCACUUUAACUCUUUAAAUCAUGAUUAAUCUGGUACCUUUAAUUGUGAUUAUCUAAGGUGUUAUUUCUGCAAUGAAAAUUGAGAUUUAACAUUAGUUCAAUAAGUGCUAAACAUGGGGAGUACACUUAUGAGAGUAGAGGUGCACCUAUCGGGUUUUGGUGAUUAAUUUCAUGUAAUUUCAUUGAAGAAAUGAACUUGUAGCUAAUUUCAUAACCAUGAGAAUAGGUAUGGAUUAGUUAUUAUUAUAAUUGAUUCACUACGAAAGUAGGAUUCAAAUGCAUAAGGAAAUUACACCAUAACUAGCUUAGAUGUAGUAUUCAAUGAUCCAAAAAUAGUAAUUACAUGAGUAGUUAGGAAUACCAUAACCUAAGGAGCUUUCAUUUGUUAUUUUGUAUAAUUUCAGUAGGUUAAAAUUGUUAUAAUUCAUUGAUAGUCUAAAUAAUAAAAAAACUUUAGUAAUACCGAUAAUUGUUCACUCUUCCCUGUGGGAUCGACCCGAUAUAUACCCUAAACUACUAGUUGACCUGUAUACUUGCAGUGAAUGGGUGUAAUUCGGUUUUUUAACUUGCAUGUAUGUAAAAUACCCGUCAAUCCCACGAGGAAGAUUGAACAAUUACCGAUGUUACUAAAGCUUCUCUAUUAUUUAGAAUAUCAAUGAAUUAUAAGAAAUUAAACCUACUGAACUUAUGCAAAAUAACAAAUGAAAGCUCUUUAGGUUAUGGUAUCCCUAACUACUCAUUCAAGUGCUAUAUUUGGAUCAUUGAGUACUAUUAUCUAGGCUAGUUAUGGUGUAAUUUCCUUAUGCAUAUGAAACCUAUUUUCGUAGUGAAUCAACUAUACUUAUAACUAAUCCAUACCUAUUCUCAUGGUUAUGAAAUUAGCUACAAGUUCAUUUUUUCAAUGAAAUUACAUGAAAUUAAUCACUAAAACCACAUAGGUGCUCCUCUACUUUCGUGAGUGUACUCCCUAUGUUUAGCACUUCUUGAACCAGUGUUAAAUCUCAAUUUUCAUUGCAGAAACAAUACCUUAGAUAAUCACAAUUAAUGGUACCAGAUUAAUCAUGAUUUUAAAGAGUUAAAGUGCUAAAUAACUUGCUCAAAUCAUAGUAAUCAAAUAGCCAAAUAAUAAAUAAUAACAAUCAUAGGAAGUUCAACCAAACGCAAGGCAUAAACUUUAGAGACACAUGAAUAACAUAAAAUCCAGAACUUGUACAUUAACUAAACUUAGAAUCAAGUACUAAAGAUAAAGAGUUGGAGAAGAGAUAACCGUUAUCACAUGAGCUUCAACUACUCCUUCUUCAUCUCCAUCUUCAUCCUAAUCUAGCCAAUAUACAAGAAUGGAUGAGCUAUACUACUCUAUACUAAACUAAUCUAGCACACAGAAAUGGAAAAGCUACAUUUUUGCACUUUCAAGCUUCUCCCGUAUGAUCUCUCCUUCAAUCUUGCAAUUGUUUUGGCUAUAUAAAGAUAAAGGUGGUCAAGGAAUGAGGCUUACACCUCCCUUUUACAACUGCAAAGUGGUUCUCACAUGUCUAGCAUUCGCUGUGACUUUUUGAAGUUGAAAACAAGUUGUCCGCAUACAAAACAGCCUGUUCUGACCACAAUCCGGUCAGAAAUCCAGCCAAGUUCCGGUCGGAUUUCUACAGUGACUUUUUGUGCACUUUUGGGUCAAACUUCACUGCUGCUCCGAUUUUGCCUCAACUUCAGCUGAACUUUUAUUGAUGAUAGUAGCUGAUUUAACUCUUGACCAAAACAUAAAAGUUGUAGCUCUUUGAGUUAGCUUUCCAAUGCAUCAAGAAUCACCUCAUUUGGAUCUGUGUAGGCUGGAAAAUGACUGAAAUACCCUUGACUACUCAAAGCUCUGUUUCAGCUUCGACCAAUAGAAAUUGGCUACAGUAAUUUGGCUUUUUGAUCUGGAAAACCUUCAAACUAGAUUCAGAUGUCUUCACCAAAGUUGUAAAUCUAUCUCUUAACUUCAAAUUAGUUCAAGAAUCAUCUCAAUCAGAUCACUGUAGCUCAAGUUAUAGCCGAAAUACGAAAAUGUGUCAAAACUGUCAAAAUGCACCAAAUCCAAGUAAAAAGUGAUAAAAACCUCAUUUAAUCACUUAAAAGCAUUUUUCACCAAUUAUAGCCAAAAUGAUUCAUUUUCUACAAUAAUAUAACCAAAGUGACUAAAAAUAAUAUAAAAUGUCAUACAAUUAUUACGUAAAUUAGUCACUUAUCAAACUCUCCCACACUUGAACCAUUGCUUGUCCUUAAGCAAUUCCCUUGAACCAUUGUGACUAAUUAACGUAAUAAUUGUAUGACAUUUUAUAUUAUUUUUAGUCACUUUGGGUAUAUUAUUGGAAGAAAAUGAAUCAUUUUGGCUAUAAUUGGUGAAAAAUGCUUUUAAGUGGUUAAAUGAGGUUUUUAUCACUUUUACUUGGAUUUUGUGCAUUUUGACAGUUUUGACACAUUUUUGUAUUUCGGCUAUAAUUUGAGCUAAAAUGAUCGGAUUGAGAUGAUUCUUAAACCAAUUUAAAGAUAAGACAUAGAUCUACAACUUUGGUGAAGACAUCUGAAUUCAGUUGAAGGUUUUCCAGGUUAAGUUGAAUUACAGUAGCUAAUUUCUAUUGAUCGAAGCUGAAACAGGGCAGUGAGUAGUCAAGGGUAUUUUGGUCAUUUCUCAGCCUACAUAGAUUCAAAUGAGGUGAUUCUUGAUGCAUUGGAAAUCUAACUCAAAGGACUACAAGUGUUAUGUUUUUGUCAAGAGCUAAAUCAGCUUUUAUCAUCAAGAAAAGUUCAGUUGAAGUUGACACAAAAUCGGAGCAGAGCUGGAAAUUGAACAAAAGUGCACCAAAAUGUCACUGUAGUAAUCCGGCCGGAACUUGGCCAGAUUUCUGGCCGCAUUGUGGUCAGAGAAGGCUGCUCUUUACGCGGAAAAGUUAUUUUCACCUCCAACAAGUCACAUGCAAUGCCAGACAUGUGAGAACUACUUUGCAGCUGUAAAAGGGUGGUGUAGGCCUCAUUUUCUUGACUUCUUUCAUCUUUAUAUAGCCAAAACUUGCAAGAUUGAGGAAGAAUAGAGAGAGAUACGGGAGAAAGCUUGGAGUGCAGAAAUGUAUCUAUUGCAUUUUCUGAGUAUUAGGUUAGUUUAGUAUAGAGUAAGUGUAGUUCAUCCAUUCUUGUAUAUUGGUUAGAUUAGGAUGAAGAUAUAGAUGAAGAAGGAGGAGUUGAAACUCAAGUGAUAUGGGUUAUCUCUUCUCCAACUCUUUAUCUUUUGUAUCAGAUUCUUACGUAUAGUUAAUAUGCAAGUUCUGGAUUUUGUGUUCAAUAUGCGUCUUUAAAGUUUAUGCCUUAGGUUUGAUUGAACUUUCUAUGAUUAUUAGUGUUUAUUAUUUGGUUAUUUGAUUGCCAUGAUUUGAGCAAGUUAUUUAGCACUUUGGCUCUUUAAAUCAUGAUUAAUCUGGUACCAUUAAUUGUGAUUAUCUAAGGUAUUGUUUCUGCAAUGAAAAUUGAGAUUUAACACUGGUUCAAGAAGUGCUAAACAUAGGGAGUACACUCACGAAAGUAGAGAUGCACCUAUGUGGUUUUAAGUGAUUCAUUUCAUGUAAUUUCACCGAAAAAAUGAACUUGUAGCUAAUUUCAUAACCAUGAGAAUAGGUAUGGAUUAGUUAUAAGUAUAGUUGACUCACUACGAAAGUAGGUUUCAUAUGCAUAAGGAAAUUACACCAUAACUAGCCUAGAUAGUAGUAUUCAAUGAUCCAAAUAUGGCACUUGCAUGAGUAGUUAAGGAUACCACAACCUAAGGAGCUUUCAUUUGUUAUUUUCUUGCAUAAGUUCAGUAGGUUUUACUUGUUAUAAUUCAUUUAUAAUCUAAAUAAUAGAGAAGCUUUAUUAGUGCCGGUAAUUGCAAUCUUCCUUGUGGGAUCGACCCUUAAUACCCUAUACUCGUUCACGAUUCGUAUACUUGCAAUAAAUCAUAUGUGGGGUAUGUAGCAGUUUAUAAAUGUAAAACUUGAUUAGGAUGAACUUAAUGUUAUAUGUAUACCUACGCCCGUCAAUAACCUUUAUUGACUAUAUCAAUCACUUGCAAAAUUAAGUAAAGAGGAGAAAUCUUAUUAAACAUGUAAAAUUAUAGGCAUAAUUCUUCUCACUUUACUGGAUAUACUUUCUAAAAUGCAAAAAAUCCUAAUUGCAUAAUAACCAUUUCCAAGUUAAAUGAAAACUAAAGCUUCCAAAAUACAUAUAAAGUUUCAACAAGUGGAAGAAUUAGACAUUUAAAGUUGGAACAAAUUAGCCCUUUUUUGAAUAAAAAUGCAAAAAUUUAAAGAACUUUUGGACCAUAAUGAAAUAUUAGAAAGGGUUUUAGAAAAACUUUGACAGAGUUUCCCUUUAUAAAUGGACGAAACUCCCUGCCAACAAACCCAUUUUCAAGCAAAUUAUCCACAUGGCAAAAUUUUCAAACACAAUCCCAACAUUUCUAAUCAUUUAAAUCCACAAAAUAUCAUCACAUGGCAUGCAUCAGAAUGCAAGUUCAAAUAUUUCCCUCCCCCAUACUUAAACUUCACAUUGCCCUCAAUAUGAGAAAAGGAAAAUAAAUAAAGAGUAAAAGAAAAUACUGCUCAUAUGAACUUGCGCUAUUCAAAUCCGUGGCAAUGUGAUGAAUUUCCAACCUUAUUUGGGAAAGAAUGGAGAGUUCAAUUAUUGCACCCUGAAAAACACAAAAUCAAAAUAAAACAACUUCUUAAGAAUAAAAGGUUGCAAUCAACAAGAAGAAAACAUGCAAUUCAAAGAAAAAUGAAAAAUGAUCAAGCAUGUGGAACCAUACAAUGUUCAAGGGAUAACAACAUGAAAUGAGCUAAUCUUUGCUAAUCAAAUAUAUGUAUUAGUAUCCAAAGCAAAGGGAAGCUAAUUUCACAAAAUAAGUCCACCAUCAUGAACAAAGUAAUUUUCAUUCAUAUAUUUUGUCAUCAUUGAUCAAGUUCCCUCAAGUAUAAAAGUAAUCUAAAAAAUGGAGGCAAACACACCAAGUCAAAUUAUAAAUGGCCUUCUUGAGAACUUAUGAAAUACUAAAAACCAUUGAACCACAAGGAUUAUAAGUGCAUUUAUGAAUUUCAUCAAUUACGAUUACCUAAGAAUUCAAAAAAAUCAUUCAACCAAGCACAUUUUCAUUCAUUAGGUAAUCUAAAUUACUCACAUGAAUAUCAUAAACUCCCACAAAGCUAAUUAAAAUGCUACAUUGGCCACGUAAUAUGCAACUUUAUCACCAAACCAAAUUAAGCAUAAAACUAGCAAAAAUUCACCAAAUAAAGACAAUAAAUGCAAACCACAAGAUGUAUCUAUCACUAACAAUCACCAAUAGCUUCAAUAAGCUCAAAUAAAUACACAUAACUUCACAUAUUAAAAAUUGCCUAAAAGUAGAAAAUAUUCAAUCAUGGCAAGUUCAAUUGACAAAAUUUAGUGAAGAUUUGUUACCUCAAAAUGGUUUGAUGAUGUUCAGUGAUGAAUAUGAUGUGAAAACCCCCAAGAAACUUACUCCAAUUUGGCCUAAAUUGAGUAAUUCAAGAAGGUGCAACCCUAACUAAUGGUAAGGUUGAAACCACUUUAGAGUUGUUUUUGAAAAAAUGUGAACUAUGAAAUCCACUCUUGAGGUUAAGAGGAGUGUUUUGGUGAAGUUGGUUUGAAGAUUGGAUGGUGAAAAGAGUGAGUUUAGUGAGUGUUUUAGGUGUUAGUGUGUGUACAGGUUAAAGGAGAAGGGAAAGAAGAAAUGAGGAAUCCGUUCUUGAAGAUGAAGAGCUGCCACCGAAUUCUGGCCAAUGAGCUGGAAAAAAUUUUUUCGCCCUCCCCUGUUAAUCCGGCGGUGAAUCCGGCCAAAUUUUGGCCGGAUUUCUGGCUGGAUUGUGCUGCAAAAAAAAUUCUGAUUGCAGAAGUGGAUUUGAGGCCUCGGGUCCAUAUGGAUCCGAGCUCGGAUCCAUUGAAUCUGCACUUAUUGUAGAAGUGUCUGCAAUUUUCAGUUUGACCCCAAUUUGAAACACACUCUCCAAUUCGCGCUUUACAAUGAAAUUUUUAACAAUUCAACACUUCACACACAUGGAAAGUGAUUUAAACAAGAAUCUCAACACCUCAAAACAAAUCAAACACAUGUAGAAUCCAAAUUUAGGGUUGAGGUUCUUGGAUCAAAUAGUCCCCACGACACUUCCAAUGCACAUGAUGGUGCUCAAAUGGUUCAAAAGAGUGCAAAUAGAUCAUGAACACAUUUAAACACUUGAAUGCACUUCAACUUCAUGCAAAUGACUAACUUAACCUCACAACAUGAAAUUAAGCAUUAUAAACUCAAAAAUACAAGGUUAAGCUUCCCUUUUUCACAUCGGUCUUCACUCCUUAUAAACUCUUUUGCACUUGAAAUAAUUAGCAUGAUUUCUUGUCAUUGCAACCUACAAAACACAUAAAAAUAUUAGUUAAACAACUAAAACUUACUAAAAAAAAAAGAAAUCAUUGGGUUGCCUCCCAACUAGCGCUUCUUUAUAGUCAUUAGCUUGACUAUUUCACCUCAUUUUUCAAGGAGGCUUAGUUAACGAAUAAUCCACCAUUUUAGGCCGUGGUGGAUCACUAAAGGGUGACUUUAUAGUAAAAGUCACAUGUUCUAAUGAUGUGAGAGAUGAAAGUGACUUACCUAUCUCAAGUGUUUUUUAGAUAUUACCUUGAAUAAGCACCACUUGAGAACUCACCAAAGGAACGUCUGCUUGACAUUCUUGGGCAACAAUACCUUUAAAACCUAUAUUAUCAAUGCAUUCCUCAAGAGGGGUAAAAAAUGAGUCAUUAAAACUCACCUCUUGAGAUUCAAGGUUAGUUCCAAAGAUAUUAGCAUGUGAAAUGGAUAUUUGCUCAUUGAAACACAAUUGAGAUUCAUCAUUUUCAUCAAAAUGCAAUCCAUUUUCACAUACAACAUUCCUACCAUUCAUACUAGGGUCAUUUUGCAUAUCAUUAGAGGAAAUAAUUUCACACAAUGCAUUUAAUUGGUCUUGUAUUCCACCAAAGUGAAAAGUUAAUUCAUCUAACAUUUCCUCAACCCUAUCAAAACGGUUGGAGGUUGCAUUUGCUAGCUUUUCUAUGGCUAAAUCAAAUUGAUUAGAAGAAUUUUCUACAGCUAGCUCUCAUGAUGCAUUAGAAUCAUUAGCUAAUGGUUUACUUUCUAAUUCCCAAGGUAGAGGUGCAUUAGCUAACUUCUCUAUUGCCAAUUCCCAAGAUAGUUUUGAUUCAUAGUGGACACAUUCGGAUUGGUAAUCAUAUAGACAAGAAGAAGCACUAUUAGUACAUUGAUUGUCCCAACCAUAAACACAAGAAUUGCUCCAAUUAGCACUCUAUUGAUCAAAAUAAGGUUGUAAUGCUCUAAUUAAUCAUAAUAAUCCACUUUUUGUGCUUGCAUAUAUGUAUUAGUAGCAUGAUAACCUUCACAGAAGUCACAAGUUAUAUGAUUAGAAUUAAAAGCAUUAACAUUACUUUUUUGCUCAAUUUCAUGCAUAAUUGUGUCCAUUUGAACUUGUAACAUGAGACCAACAAAUUUUGCCUUUAAGCACUUCAAACCAUCUUCAAAAGACAUAUCUUCAGUAAUUUCUUGGUUACCUCUAUUGAAGGAGUUUUGCACUUGGUAACCAUCCAUUGCCAAUCUUCUAUUUCUCAAGCAUUGGCCUCCAAAUUGACCUAACCUUCUCAUUACCUAAAAUUGCUUUUAAACAAUUUAAGAGCAAGAUUAGUAAGAAGAAUAUGUUAUAAAACACACACACACAUUAAACACUAAAAUAACAGAAAAUAACAUUCACCCUAUAACUAAAAAAAUGUCUAAACUAAUAAAAUUACUCUUCACACUGAUAUUGCCAAAUCUUCCCCGGCAACGGCGCCAAAAACUUGACGGGUUUUUAAUAUAUGUACAAGUUAAAAAAUCUGAAAUACACCCAUUUCACUGCAAGUAUACUGGUCAACUAGUAGUUUAGAUUAUAUAUCGGGUCGAUCUCACGAGGAAGAUUGAACAAUCACCGGUGUUACCAAAGCUUCUCUAUUAUUUUACUAUCAAUGAAUUAUAAGAAAUUAAACCUACUGAACUUAUGCAAAAUAACAAAUGAAAACUCCUUAGGUUAUGGUAUCCAUAACUACUCAUGCAAGUGCUAUAUUUGGAUCAUUGAGUACUACUAUCUAGGCUAGUUAUGGUGUAAUUCCUUAUGCAUAUGAAACCUACUUUCGUAGUGAAUCAACUAUAUUUAUAACUAAUCCAUACCUAUUCUCAUGGUUAUGAAAUUAGUUACAAGUUCAUUUCUUCAAUGAAAUUACAUGAAAUUAAUCACUAAAACCACAUAGGUGCACCUCUACUCUCGUGAGUGUACUCCCUAUAUUUAGCACUUCUUGAACCAAUGUUAAAUCUCAAUUUUUAUUGCAGAAACAAUACCUUAGAUAAUCACAAUUAAUGGUACCAGAUUAAUCAUGAUUUUAAAGAACUAAAGUGCUAAAUAACUUGCUUAAAUCAUAACAAUCAAAUAGCCAAAUAAUAAAUAAUAACAAUCAUAGGAAGUUCAACCAAACCCAAGGCAUAAACUUUAGAGACACAUGAAUAACAUAAAAUCCAGAACUUGUAUAUUAACUAAACUUAGAAUCAAAUACUAAAGAUAAAGAGUUGGAGAAGAGAUAACCCUUGUCACAUGAGCUUCAACUACUCCUUCUUCAUCUCCAUCUUCAUCCUAAUCUAGCCAAUAUAUAAGAGUGGAUGAGCUAUACUACUCUAUACUAAACUAAUCUAGCACACAGAAAAUGGAAGAGCUACAUUUCUGCACUUCCAAGCUUCUCCUGUAUGAUCUCUCCUUCAAUCUUGCAAUUGUUUUGACUAUAUAAAGAUAAAGGUGGUCAAGGAAUGAGGCUUACACCUCCCUUUUACAGCUUUAAAGUGGUUCUCACAUGUCUAGCAUUAGCUGUGACUUGUUGGAGUUGAAAACAAGUUGUCCGCAUAGAGAACAGCCUUUUCUCACCACAAUCCAGCCAUAAAUCCGGCCAAGUUCUGGCCGGAUUGCUACAGUGACUUUUUGUGCACUUUCGGUUCAAACUUCACUGCUGCUCCGAUUUUGCCUCAACUUCAGCUGAACUUUUCUUCAUGAUAGAAACUGAUUUAACUCUUGACAAAAACAUAAACGUUGUAGUCCUUUGAGUUAGUUUUCCAAUGCAUCAAGAAUCACCUCAUUUGGAUCUGUAUAGGCUGCAAAAUGACUGAAAUACCCUUGACUGCUCAAUGCCCUGUUUCAGCUUCGACCAAUAGAAAUUGGCUACUGUAAUUCAGCUUUUUGGCCUGGAAAACCUUCAAACUGGAUUCCGAUGUCUUCACCAAAGUUGUAGAUCUAUCUCUUUUCUUCAAAUUGGUUCAAGAUUCAUCUCAAUCCGAUCAAUGUAGCUCCAGUUAUAGCCGAAAUAUGAAAAUGUGUCAAAACUGUCAAAAUGCACGAAAUCCAAGUAAAAAGUGAUAAAAAGCUCAUUUAAUCACUUAAAAGCAUUUUUCACCAAUUAUAGCCAAAUGAUUCAUUUUCUACCAAUAAUAUAACCAAAGUGACUAAAUAUAAUAUAAAAUAUCAUACAAUUAUUACGUAAAUUAGUCACUUAUCAGUCAGAAACUUGUUAAGGUUUAUGCCAAAUUUAGUCAUGAAGAUAGUGGAAUUUAAAUAAAGGCAAUGGAAUUGUCGUUUCUUCUUGUGUUUUCCAAAGAAUAGAGGGUUAAUUACAUUGAGAAAUAAUUAACCCCUAUUUAGAAACUUGUUAAGGUUCCAAAAUUGUUAAGGCCUAAUUGGCAUGAAAAUCACACUUUCCAUAGUCAGAAACUUGUUAAGGUUGAUGCCAAUUUAGUCAUGGAAAUAAUGGAAUUCAAAUAAAGGCAAUGGAAGUGUCGUUUCUCCUUGUGUUUUCCAAAAACUAGAGGGUUAAUUACAUUUAGAAAUAUAAUUAAGCCUAUUUAGAAACUUGUUAAGGUUCCAAAAUUGUUAAGGCCUAAUUAAAAUUAUCCGCUAACUCGAAAACCUGUCAUAUCCGAUCCGAAAAUUAGGAUAUCCGAUUUUUAUUAUUUGAUCGGGUCAAAAGAGGGUCGGGUACCCGCUAAGAUUCGCGGCGGGUUAGGGUCACAUAAUUAAAAACCCGCGGGUACCCGAUCCGCCCCGCAUAUAUAAAUUUUUUAUUUUUAUUUUUAUACACACACACUAUAAAAUAAUAAUUUAGAACUAAAUAAGUAAUUUUAUUGAACAAAUUUCAUUACAAAUAUGAGAGACUGUAGUUUAUUUACAAAAUUCAUUUGUAGAGGUCAUGAUCUUAUAUUUUAUAGAAAAAAGUUUAAUUAAUGUGGAACAUAUAUAUUAAAAAUUGUGUUACUUAUUUCAAACUUUUAUUGAUUUUGAAUUCUUUUAAUUUUUUGCAUUUAUCUUAUAUUCUCUUCACAUGCUUGUUUCUUAGUGGGAAACCUUUUUCGAGAAAAAAAAUUAUUAAAUCUUAGAUGAAUGUGUAAAAUAUAAAAUUAAAUUAGUAUAAUUUAUUUUUUUUUUAAAAUUAAAUGAUAAAUGGGGUUGGGCGGAUACCCGCUGACCCGACCCUAUCUCAGCGGAUAUCCUAUAAUCGGGUACCCACUAAUAUGCGGGGCAAGUAAGGGUCAGAAAAUGGCUAACCCGCAAGGUGCGGGUCGGUCAGUCAAAUGGUGAAUGGGACGGGUACCCGACCCGCGCCCACCCCUACUAGUUGGCAUGAAAAUCACACUUCCCAUAGUUAGAAACUUGUUAAGGUUGAUGCCAAUUUAGUCAUGAAGGUAAUGGAAUUUAAAUAAAGGCAAUGGAAGUGUCGUUUCUCCUUGUAUAUUCCAAAAAAUAAAGGGUUAAUUACAUUUAGAAAUAUAAUUAACCCCUAUUUUAGAAGCAUAAGAAUAGAGAAAAGUUCAUCUCUUGCAAUUAGUGAAAAGUAAAGAGCCAAUAUAAAUCAACUUAAUAACACUUUUUAAUACUUGCAGUUCUGCGAGGCCUUUUUUUGGUUUAACUUUUGUGGACAUUUACUUAUGUUCUUACGUGUCUGGCUCGUUGAAUUGUUUGAACUUUACGUUUUUAAAUUUCUUCUUCUUUUUUUUUGAGAAUUUACGUAAAACACAAUUUUUCAUCUAAAAUAUUGGAUGCACUCAUUUUCUAUUUGAAUUAAUUGCAAAGUACCCACAUGAACUUUUUUUGGGUUGUAAAUUACCCAACAAAGAAUUAAUUUCAGUGCCAUAAACCCUCAAGUUAUCAAAUUUUUGCAAUGUAUUCUAAGUCGAUUCACUGCUGAUUGAAUCAACUAAGUAAAAUGUUAAUUGUCCCUGAACUUAGGGUGAGUUGGAUAAAACUGAAAUAUGAAAACUGAAAUUUGAAAUCUGAAUCCAUUAAAUGAGUGAAUUAUUAAGUAUUCAAUUAAUAUAUUUGAGUGUAUAUCACUUAUUUUUUAGAGCAAAUUUUGUCUGAAAAAUUCAAUACCACUUAAUAAAUUCAAAUAUUCUAGUUUUAGUUAUCAAACAUGUCUGAAUAUAUUAAAAUUUGAACACAUUAAGUUUAAAUUCACGGUCCCUUCACGGUCUACAUAUCCAUGGUCCCUUCUUUUUUGUUUCUUUUCCAUCAAGCAUACACAAAAUCUCUCUCUCUCUCUCUCUCUCUCUCUCAAUAUCCUUAAAAUUCUGACAAAGACUCGUUAGUAAUUAUACACUCAGAAAAAGGCAGAGGUAAAAAUGAACAAUUUUGUACCAAAUAUUUGCACAUAUAAACACAUUGUUUUUGCCAUCAUAUUCAUGAUAGCUAUUUCAUCAAAAUUACAGCCUCCAAGCUAGAAAACUUAGCCCGUCUUUUCUUGGGAUAUAUUUGGAAAUAAAUAUCAAAUAUUUUUAAAUACAUGCACAUUGUUAAUCAAUGCAUUUAAUUAGUUCAUCUCUAUAAGUUUAGAAAAUAAUUUAAGAAAACACUAGAUGAGAAAGAUAAGUUCUCUCUUACCUUGAGUGGUCGUCAUAGUGGUGGGUGAAAAGUUUAAGAGAGCCUUCCGGAAUUUCAUAAUUCACAUAAUUAUGUAAGGUAAAUUUAUCUUUCAAGUUUAAAUUGGACCACUAACGCUAGUGGCGGAGCCAUAUUAUGUUGAGAAAUUUUUGAAAUUGAAAUAUAGCCUUGAAAUUUUUACAAAUUUUUAUGUUUCUAUUAUAAUUGCGCUCCCUCAAUUUUUUUUUUGAAAAAAAAUACCCUUUUCCUUUUAUAUUGUCCUCCUAUGUUAUGAGAAAUUCUCAUUCCUUUUACAUUACCUCCCUAAACAAUCAAUUUCUUUUAGGUAUCUCUCCUAUAGUUUUUUUUUUUUUGCGAACCCUAUUCACGGGGGAGGGAUGCCAGUCCCAAUUUAUUUAAAGUAUAAAAAUUACAAAACUUUAAGGACUCAUACCUGGCUUAAAACAACAAAAUAGUGGAGCUACCUUAUGAUAACCCUACUACGCACAAAAGGAAAAGAAAUACAGUCCAUAUAUACUAGGGAUCGGACCUUAUCUGCAAGUUGCCGAAUUGUAGUAAAUACCCUGUCCGCAUCGAGUUGCAAGCUUGCCAGUGCAUCUGCCACUGGAUUUGCUUCCUGAAACACAUGAGUAAAUGACGCUGACAACAAGAGUAGGUGCCAACAAAUCUGAUGAAUGUAAUUACACAACGGCCAUCGACCUAUAGCAGGUGAAUUAACUAAGGUCACCAAUGUUUUUAAAUCCACUUCGACUAGCAGGUUGCCAACCUCUCGCUGAGCACAGAGUUGGAGACCAUAAAGCAAAGACAAUCCGUCCGCUUCCAAGACAUCAAACUCGCCAAAUUCUUUGUAAAAAGCAGCUAUCAAAGUACCUUCAUGACUCCUCAAAAUCCCGCCUCCAAAGGCCUUUCCAUUACGCACACUAGCAUUUGUGUUAAGUUUAACAUAGUUGAAGGGAGGCUUUGUCCAACAAAUUACCGGACAGCAGACCCUUUUUUGUCUUCAGGGAGCGUAGUCUUUGAACUUAUAAUCUACCUCCCCACGAAAAAUUGCUGGUGAAGAAUUCCAGCAAUGCCUAACUGAUGCAGAUAACUAUCAAUUUGCAUAAUAAUCUACCUGACAAACACUUUAAUGUCUUGAAAAUAUGCAUGGUUCCUAGCCUUCCACAAGAACCAGCCAAUAAUUACGGUCAUUGCCAUCCGAAUAUGAACUUUACUGAACCCUGGAACGGAUAACAACCGGGCCCGAAACAUAGCAGAGACAGUGUUGAAGCUCAAAUUGUACAAGCCGAACAUUUUCCAAAAUGCUCCCAUACCUGUCGACCAAUAGGGUAGGACAAAAAAAGAUACGAACACCCCUCUGUUUCCAAGUUAUAGCACCGACCUUUAGACGCCAAGCGUACCCCAAACCUUCUUAGGUUCAACUCCACAGGAAGAUAAUUACUAACCAAUCACCAAGCAAAGAAAGACAGCUUUAGCGAGAGGAUUGGACACCAAACAAUCUGAUGAAUCAUGGUUGAAUCCUUCCUUGGCCGCAAGGCACUCCACGCAUAAGUGAUGGAAAACUCUCCCAUAGGAGACGGUAGCCAGACCAUUUUAUCCUCUUCAUCAAGAUCUAAACGUAGCUUUGAUAUGGUAUUUACCAAAUCAAUCGGCAAAAAGCCCUUCAAACAACCUACAUCCCAACCAUAAUUCAAGUGUCCUCGAAAUACACAUUUGAAGCAUGAGAUAUGAAAGAUGCUAACAGCCAAUCCCCUUCUUGAACCCUGAUUUUACCCUUUUUGAAACCUAAUUUUGGGCUCGAAAAUUUGGGAUUCGAGAUUUGCAGCCAUUACAAAAGUUCUAAGCCCUUUUUUUCCCGUCUGAGUUCUUAAGUAGGUGAUAAGUGACUAAUUUACGUAAUAAUUGUAUGACAUUUUAUAUUAUUUUUAGUCACUUUGGUUAUAUUAUUGGAAGAAUAUGAAUCAUUUUGGCUAUAAUUGGUGAAAAAUGCUUUUAAGUGAUUAAAUGAGGUUUUUAUCACUUUUUACUUGGAUUUUGUGUAUUUUGACAGUUUUGACACAGUUUCGUAUUUCGGCUAUAACUUGAGUUACAAUGAUCGGAUUGGGAUGAUUCUUGAACCCAUUUGAAGAUAAGAGAUAGAUCUACAACUUUGGUGAAGAAAUCCGAAUCCAGUUUGAAGGUUUUCAAAAUCAGAAAGCCGAAUUACAUUAGCUAAUUUCUGUUGGUCGAAGCUGAAGCAGGGUAAUGAGCAGACAAGGGUAUUUCAGUCAUAUCUCAGCCUACACAGAUCCAAAUGAGGUGAUUCUUGAUGCAGUGGAAAGAUAACUCAAAAGGCUAUAACUUUCGUGUUUUACACAUGAGCUGGUUCAGCCUCUAACAUCAAGAAAAGAUCGGUUGAAGUUGGCCCAAAAACAGAGCAAGUGAUCCACACUCGGAUCCACUAUUCAUCCGAACCCUCGGCUGUUUCUGGGUUAGUGGAUCCGAGCUCGGAUCCAUACGGAUCCGAGGCACUGUAGCAGCUCGGAUCACUGGUCAGAAAAGGCUGCUUUAUACGCGUAAAACUCAAUUUCACCUCCACCAACUCAUAUGUGAUGCUAGACAUGUGAGAGACAUUACCAGCUGUAAGGAGAAAGUGUAAAGCUUCAUUUCUUGACCACCUUUCAUCAUUAAAUAGCCAAAUUCAUUGCAAAAUGGAGGGAAGGGGAUGAUAGAGUAAGAGAUAGAGAGACAUACGGGAGAAGCUUGGAGUCUGCAGAAAUGUAGCUCUUUCAUCUUCCUAGUAUUAGUUUAGCUUAGUAUAGAGUAGUAUAGUUCAUCCAUUCUUGUUUAUUAUCUAGAUUAGGAUGAAGAUGGAGGAUGAAGAAGGCAAGGAAGAAAGCUCAUGUGACAAGGGUUGUAUUCCUUCCAAACUCUUUAUCUUUUGUAUUUGAUUCCAAGUUUAGUUAAUAUACAAGUUCUGGAUUUUGUGUGUAAUAUGUGUUUUUAAAGUUUAUACCUUGGGUUUGGUUGAACUUUCUAUAAUUGUUAGUGUUUAUUAUUUGGUUAUUUGAUUGCUAUGAUUUGAGCAAGUUAUUUAGCACUUUGGCUCUUUAAAUCAUGAUUAAUCUGGUACCAUUAAUUGUGAUUAUCUAAGGUGUUGUUUCUGCAAUGAAAAUUGAGAUUUAACACUAGUUCAAGAAGUGCUAAACAUAGGGAGUACACUCACGAAAGUAGAGGUGCACUUAUGUGGUUUUUAGUGAUUCAUUUCAUGUAAUUUCAUUGAAGAAAUGAACUUGUAGCUAAUUUCAUAACCAUGAAAAUAGGUAUGGAUUAGUUAUGAGUAUAGUUGAUUCACUACGAAAGUAGGUUUCACAUGUUUAAGGAAAUUACACCAUAACUAGCCUAGAUGUAGUAUUCAAUGAUCCAAAAAUAGCACUUGCAUGAGUAGUUGGGGAUACCACAACCUAAGGAGCUUUCAUUUGUUAUUUUCUUGCAUAAGUUCAGUAAGUUUUACUUGUUAUAAUUCAUUGAUAGUCUAAAUAAUAGAGAAGCUUUAGUAGUACCGGUAAUUGCAAUCUUCCUUGUGGGAUCGACCCGAUAUAUACCCUAAACUACUAGUUGAUCUGUAUACUUGCAGUGAACGGGUGUAAUUCGGUAUUUUUUAGCUUGCACGUAUGUAAAAUACCCGUCAGUAGGAAAACUAGAAAAUUUGUUUGGAAUGUUAAGAGCAUGAAGGUAAAUGGAAUAUUUCUUUGGGGGGCAAGUUUAGUUUUUCGUUGGUCGAAAUUCUAUCAUCUACCUGCCGUUCAUGAAGACCAUGAUGGACCAUCAACCGACUAAGUGGGAAGAGCAAUUCUAACCCAGUAGCGGAAAAUGGAUCUAAUCAUCAAUAAUCAAUAGUGAAUAGAAUACGAAGACUAAAAGGACCAGAGUCUCCUAAUGACUUAAAGUUGUUUCUUUCUUGUUAUCGUAAUUUGACUACAAAUAUGUGCUAUCUCCCCCCUUUUUCUUAGAAUGAACCUCCUAGAAUUUCGUGAUGUCCAAUUCAGUUUGUUUAUUUAUAUAUACUUUUUCUAGCCAACUUGUGUACCUAUUUAGGGUGUAGCUCGGACAUUAGGACUUUGUUAUGAACGUCAUGCUAAAUGAGUGGGUGAGCUGAAUCAUGUCCAAUUACUUGGUAACCGAUACUUGAUCAAAUUAUUAUACAUGAAAGGCGGAGGAUAGGUUAUAGAAAAAACGAACAAAAUCAAAUAAAGGAAUUAGAGAUUGGUCAGGAAUACUGGUUGAAAUUCGAUUGUGGAUAAAAGAGCUUCCAAUAUUGUAUUAUUCCAUUUUCAACGACGAAUUGAUUCUUGUGAAAUAUGUUCAGCUGCCUGUUUUCUAGUUCGUUUGCUCAGUGCCACGAACCGAUUAACCAAAUCGAAUUUGGGUUUUCUCAUGUCAAAGCAUCAAACAUAGAGAUUUCGUAUUUAGAGAACGUUGACUAUUUCAUUUUGACGAUAAACCAUUGACUAAUUCAAGGUAAUCCAAUUUAUCGUGAAGUCAGUUCUUUACUAUAUUAGAAAAUCAUUUUAUAUUUAUGUUAACAUUGAAAUAAAAUAUUCCUCUUUUGUGGUGAACCAAAACUUGCUUGAUCUCAUAAACCUACGGAUCAUUUGACCUAACAAUGGCAAAAAUUAGCCCUUAAAAAGACGCAAUCACUUAUUUCAUUUAUUGUUGGGUGUUGUAUUUGUGACUAUUUUUCAGAGUGUAUAAAAUAAGCAUAUAAAGUACUGAGUCCAUUAAAAGAUGUAUUCCGUUAAUCUUUAGAUUAUUAUCGACUUUCUAGAUGAUGAUUUCAAAUUAAAAGAAAUAAUAAAGGCAUGUCUGAAUUGUUCCUCAAAUAUAAAGGAUCUUCCUCUAACAUUGGGCCUAUUUGGAUAUAGAUUUUAUUUGCACAAAAAAAAAUUGAUGCUGCAAACACAUUUUUUAAUUAUUUUUUAUAUUCCUAAUUAUCUUUUUUAUUUCACAUGCAUCACAUUAUUAAAAAAAAAUACUACAAUAUUAUUUCAAAUAAUAUUUUGAAACAAUCUCCAACCUAUCCAAAUACAUUCAUUAUCAUUAUUAGGAAUCACUAUAUGAACUAGCCCAAUUGCCAGUAUUCAAAAAAAAAAUCCAUGUAAUUUGCAAUCAUCAUAUUUCAUUUCAAACCAUUGUUUUGUCAUCAUCAAAAAGGGGGAGAAUGUUAUUCUUGAUUUUGAUGAUCACAAAGUACUUUGAAAUGUUUAUCUAAUUCUCUUCAAAUAUAAGUGUUUUGCUUUUUAGAGAAUCAGGUACAAAGGUGUCAAGGAAAGAAAAUCAACCAAAAGAAGAAGCAAAAUCAGGGCACUCAUGUCGGACGUCCGAAAGGAAGCUGUCGGACGUCCGAAAGGAUGAAGGACAUCAAGAAAGAAACUCUGUCGGACGCUCGUGAGGAAGCAUCGGACGUCCGGGAGGAUCGGACGCACGUUUAGGACGCACAUCGAUCGCGUCGGAUGUCCUAAAAAUUUCGCAAAGUUUUGAUGACUCUCUGACGACGUUCGGACGCAGAAUCUGUCGGACGAUAAAAUCCCAUCGGACGUCCGAAUGACAACUUGGCUGAUUUUCGGACGAUGAAUAAUCGGUCGGACGUCCGACAGCCCCAACGGCUAGCUGACUCUUCAUCUGCCUUCUAUCCGUUGGAAGCAUUAAUGAAGCUCAUUUUUGGUCCCCUUUAAAUACAAACGAUUCUGAACCAUGAAGGAACUUUUUGCACACUUUGUUUACAAGAUCUCAAGAGAUAUUUUAGCUAGAAAAUAGUCUCCUAAGCAAGAUUUGUUCUCCAAGUGGUGUGAAUUUCUUGUAAGCACUUCUCUUGUGUUUGAAAUUUUCAAUAGUGUAGCUUUGUUGAGGGUUAUCUGAGCGAUAGUAAAACUUCCUAAUUUGACUAAGUGAGGCUUGGGGCAAGGAGGAAGUGAUCUCUCCAUUGUACAUUGAGUUGAUUUCUUUUCAUCAAAAAGAAGGUGUUCAUCCUUGUGAUUGGUCUUCAAGUUUGAGGAAAGCUUGGUAGACAGUUAGUUUGAUACUCUAUCUUAUUCUUUUUGUUUAAUAAAAUUCUCAUUGCUUAUAUAUAUUCUUAAUUCUGAUCAACAUUGUUCUCUUCUUUAAAUUUACUUGAUUGAUCACUAUUAGAAAAGAAGGUAAAUUUUUUAUUAAGGAAAAAGUGCAUAAACUCAAUUAAGUUUUUAAUCAACCUAAUUCACCCCCCUCUUAGGUUGUCUUUGGGCCUUACAGAUUAGAAGUCAUAAUAAUAAGUUAGUGAAUUAUAAGUGAAAACCUUAGUACGUGCGAGUUAAGAAAAAACGGUUGGAACUGACGGGUACUGUUUGUUACCGAGUGAGUGCAACACUUGAACACUAUCUUAUUAUCUUAAUAGCCUUGCUUGUAUUUCAGUUAAUUAACCCUAAAAUAUCUCUUAAAUUAGCCACAAUUUUUGACCAAAAGAAAUAAGAGAAAAGUCUAGAAAAAGCCAAGUGUCAUGAAACCUAUAGAAGUUGGACUUUAACCAACUUGUUUUAACUUUCCUAAAACAAAAAUUUGACAAAGAUGUCUUCAUUUUCUUCUUGUUUUGGCCGACCAAGAUGCUCCAUUUCUCCUUGUCUUGACCGAAAAUGGUGAGAGGAAAAACAAGGAAGAGCACUUCAUACUACAACUUCAACCCUUGCUUGAAUCUUCAAGAUUUCAUCCUAAGCUUGUAAUCCAAACCAUAGAAAGUGACUCUAAGGAAGGAAGAAGACUUUUGGUGGAGAAAGUUGGGGAGACAAGGAAGCUUAUGGUUGCUCUUUUCAUAGAGUUUAAAGGUAAUCAUGUUUAGAAACCAUCUCUUCACUUUUAACUUGCAUUUUAGUAGAUUUAAUGAUUGCUUGUGGUAGAUUCUAUGGAAAAUUUCAUGGGUUGUGAAGUUAGUGGAAUUUUUCUAACUUUGAUUCAUAUUUUUCGAGCCAUGAGAUGGUUAUAUCCAGCUUUGUUAUAGACUUGAGAGAGCUGAUAUGAAGAUUUCUAGCUUUAAUAUGCCUUUUAGCUUCCAACUAAGAAUUUUCCAGCUUUAGUAGAGAAUUCUACCCUGCUUCUGACCAGCUUCAUUCGUCCAUGUUAGAGGCUGAAUUAGGCUUAGAUCAAAACAUAAAAGUUGUAGGAAAUGGUGUUAUAUAGCUUCCUGUAAAAUUUCACCUCAAUCGGAGCACUGUAUCAUGUAAAAUGACUGAAAUACCCCUGACUGCCAGAUGUUCUUUUCCGUGGGCAGUUUUGAGAUUUCACAUUUUUGGUUUCGUUUUUCAUUUUGAUCCGUAUCAAAUCAGCAUUUGGCCAAAAAAUUAAAAAUUUUAUCCCUACAUUUUACCUUUCCAAUGCAUCUGAAAACGCUUCAAUCGGAAUUUUAUAGUUUGAGUUAUUGCUAUUUAAACCCAGUGCUGAUAACCAGACUGACAAUGAAAUUCUGGUUCUGUAAUCUGCAAAUUCGACCUGGAUCAACUGUGAACUGGGUUGAGUUGUUUUCAUGAAAUUUGUAACCCUUUGGCUUAGCUUCGAAAUGGUAUAAAUUACACCCCAAUCCGAUAAGCGUAACUUCAGUUGUGACCAAAACGCUAAGAGACGUCAAACCUAUUAUUUUGUUAUUUGUCUUAUACAUUAGUUCCGAUCAAUUUGCUAGCAUUGUUUUGUAAUUGAAUGACAUUGAACCUAUUGAAAGGCUAUUGUGGUAAGAUUAUUUGUGCUAGAUUUUGGGGCUGAAUUGAGAAAAAUAAUGAAGCCAUAAAUGGCUGAAAAAUAGGUAAACACAAAGGGCGUGCUGCCCAAAUUUUCACUCGAGGGUUAGGUAGAUAUACUCGCGACUUGAGUAAGGAUAUGAGGACGAAUCUAACUCGAAUUGUCUAGGUUAUUCGAGUCCUCUUUUGUAGAGGUAUAUAAGCUAGAGUUCGGUCGAAACUUGUACCCUUGAAAAAAUGAAAGUAACGACUAAUAGAAAUACAUUUUCCUCGUCACUUCGACUCAAAUGGAGAUUUCAAAAGUUUUAAGAACGAGCAUGAGUUUUACAAAUAUUUUACUCAUGUCCUUUGGUCUAAAUGUACUCUUUUUACUCCAGAAAUCAUCUUUAUACAUUGUACUAAUAGUUAUUCGGAUUUUCUUUAAUUCACCUAAACUUUGGAUGGUUGAACCAUAAUAUUUUCUGUUGGUUAUUCUUAGGGUUUGUCAGUAGUUGAGGGUAUUAUCCGGAAGGAAAUUGGACGUUACUUUGCUUAAACGGGUGAGUGUUCUUUGUACGUUAUGUUUCCAAUGACAUUGUGGAUUGUUGUGAAUGUUUAAUUAUAUGUUAAAUGUUUUCAGUGAUUGCUAAAAAAUGAAUUUUGCUAGGCGAGUGUGUACUUUAUCGCACUCGACCUAAAUGAAUGUGAAAUUUUCAAUGAUUAAAUGAUUAAAUGCUACUUAUGCAUGAAUGUAAGCCUUUUAGCUGAACUGGACCGUUGCCCUUCGUUGCCAAUCGACUCGAGCCAUAAGCGGACUCGGUCGAGCGAUUGGUGACCUUGGGAUAAUAUUUGGUAUACUCGAGUAUGUCCACGAAAAUUGAUAGAGACUGGCCAGAGAAUUGGCUAGUGGCGGGGAAAUGAAAUGAAUGAAUGAAUGUCAAGAACAUUGGAGGAGUUUUCACUUGCAAAUGUUUUCUAAUGUUGGAGGAAUAAGGAAAAUGCUUGGCGAACGAAUGAACGAAUGGCUCCUCGUGAGUAUGUAUCCUUUUAAUGAGUGGGUUAUUAUUGCUUUUAUAUGUUAAAUGUUUUCUGGAUUAUUUGCUAUCAAAUGAUUAAUGUCCUGGAUUUAAUUGCUCGAUUAUGUGUAUAGGAACCUCACUGGGCUUUUAGCUCAUUCCGUUAGUUUUGUUUUCCUUACAGGGGAUGCGAGCGAGAGCGUGAGACUGGUACAGACUAGCCUAGUCUAGUUCUUUUGAAUUUUGCGAUUAUACUUGCGCUAGUGCUUGGUUAGGGUUUAAUGUAUUAACUUUUGUUUUAUUUGGGAUUGUAUUACUGUUUGAGAUAGAAAUGUAUGUAUGUAUAUGAUCCAAGUUUGGGAACUGUUAUUUUCCUUAUUCUCGAGGUUAUACCUUAUUUUGUUUGAAACGAAUGAACGAGCUCUGACAAGAGUUGGACAGGCGGUCCGUUAAACCCUGAGGUACACCCUAGGGAAGAUGGGGUCAUUACACUUUAAACUUAAGCAUUUCCCGGAGAACUACAGUGCACCAUUUUUUUCCCCUUCUUUUCAAAUAAAAUUUGGCUUGCAAGGAAGGCAUGAAGUUUCAGUAAAAGAUGCUUCCAUAAGUUUUGGGCGUAUUUUAUUGGUACAGCUUAAAUUACUAAAUAUCAACUCAGAUUUUUCUAGCUUAUUAACAUAAUUUUCACAUAUUUGAUGCCUGUAAUUUUUUCUUUAAGUUGCUCCGUCAAAUUAAUUGUACAUAUUUCUUACAAUAUUGCUUCUCCAUCAACUAUUCAUAUAUACUGGUGGUAAAAAAUGUAGUCCAAAGACGAGGGAGGAAUCGACCCUAGAUUUGCAAACAAGAACAGUAGAAGUACGAAUGUUUAGAGUAUUCAUGAUUGUUAUAUAAUUUUUAGUUGUGGAAAUGCAUCACCAUUCAAAAUCUUUGAGUCAUGACCAAAAAAUUUCCCCAAAAUUUAAAGUAACUCUUGGGACCAAAUACGCUUAAGGGAAUAAGGAACACUAGAUAGGGCAAAAGAUCAGCCGCUAAUAAUUAAAAAGCGCCAUGGUAAUAGGAAAAAAAAAGGCGAAUUCACUUUUUACUAAAUCUAAUAACUACUAGUAAGAUAGCAACAUUAUUAUCUCGUGACCUUAAAGCAAUUCCCUCAAAACCAGUACAGAAAUAACCAACUCACAAGUUAAACUAAAACCAAAUCACAAGUUAAAAUAUAAACUAUAAAUCGGGUAUCAGACAAACUCAAGAGCCGCACAAAUAUCAUGACAAAGAACUUGAAUUUUCAUCUCAAAACUAAUUUACUGUGAGUGAAAUAUUCCAAGAUCUUAUUAAUGUGGUUGGAAAUUCUUGAAAUAUCAAUGUGAAACAUUCAGUCUCUUAACAUUCCCCGCCCCCCAAGGCGGGGUGAUGUGUGACUUGGGAACAGGCUUAUCAUAUGGGGAACAAAGUCCACGCAUCUUUUGAAACCAGUAAGGACUAAAGAAAUAAUCAAGUCGGGGAUGAAAUUAUAAAUAAGGCAACAAACAAACCCAGUGUUUGCCCACUCAAAUAAAAAAAUUAUCACACUUUAUAGUUAAUUUACCACUCAAAUAAAGAAAUUACCCACAAAGAAAUAAAUCUUUGCAGCAAAAAAGAUGAAAAAUAAAAGCAGCCCUUAAGAAUAGGGAAAAAAAAGAUGCACAGGAGGCAGCUUAAUCCCCUCAUCUGUUGCAACUGCUUUAAUGCCAAAUCAAUUUUAUCCCUCAUCUGUUUCAAUGUUCAGACAUCAAAUCUAAAUAAUCGAAUUCUUGCUCAUUAUUUGUUAAUUGUUAAUAAUGCACAUACACACAUGGCCAAAUAUCAUAAAUCUAAACGUGAUUGGUUUUGUAAAUGUAAACGCAACAAAAUUAGAAAACAAUAUAAAAUUUAUGGUUAACACAGAAUUUACCAAAUGUGAAAGUAACCAGCCAAAUGUUGGUAUCAUAACAAAAAUUUCACCGAUCUCUUAGCACCAAUAUCCAGUUGAAGCCAAAAUAGAAUACUAGUUAGAAAGUGAAAAAGAAGAUUCAAUGGAACGUUUCAUCUAGUUAUCAUAUCAUAAGCCCCUCCUGGAUGAGCCAGCAUUGGAUGAACGCCUGGAGGCACCCUUGCGAAAUAUCUUACAAAUCACAAUAUUCAAUGCCUGCAAGAAUAAUGACAAUAUAAAAUAAUAGCAAUAUAACACUUACUUAUAAUAUACCACUAGUAUUGGGUGUUUGUCGUUUUUACUUGAUUUUGGGCUUUGACUUUGAAAAAUCAGUUUUUUUAUGUCAUCGAUUUCUUUCAUCCCUAAAUAUUAUAUUUGUAAAUAAGAUAAAAAGUUAAAAUCUAAAAUCUACCCAUGAAUAGUUUCUAACUAAAUCUGAUUAAAUUUUUUGCAAGUUCUACAUUAACCAAGAACAACCCCUACAAAUGUAGUCCUGAUUAUUUAUGCAUGCUGUGGUACGCCAUCCCCCCAUGCCUCCCCCCCCCAAUAAAAAGUACUGGCUAAAAUUUUUUAAUUAAUCGAUCACUUAGCAAUUGAGGGAAUUAGACUAUGCAUAGGCAAUUGCAUUUGAAUUAGAAAGAAAAUUAUCACCUCUCGCCUAUCAUUUUCUUCAGGGGCAGCAUGUGCAAUCUCACUAGGGUCUAUGCUGUAUUCAUGCAUGAACCAAUUAGUCUUUUGCCUUCAACUAUCACAGUAUACCAACUCUUUCCUGAAACCAGACACAUUUCCCCUUAUAGCAAUCUCUUCAGUUGGAAGACUCCGAUCCAAUAUCCAUUGCCUGCCAUGACCUGGUGAUUUGGCUUUAUGGUAUAAAAAAACCAUGUCUUCCCAUCUCCGUGUUUAUAGCUAUCUGCACAUCAUUUAAAAAAUUAUCAUAAUCCAAGGAUAUUCACGAGGUUUUUCCAGUAAUUUUUCAGCAGGAAUGAGAAAAGAAGAAUAAAAGAAAAAAAAGGCGGAAGAAUUCUAGAUUAGGGUUGCUUAUUAAACCUUUUAAAAGAGAAUCUAUGAUCUAGACCCGUAACUAUCCAUAUUAAAUCCUCAGAUUUUUUUAGACUACUUAAAUUUCAGUUUUCAUUCUUUUAAUUCUUUGUUAUGCAAUUUAUUCUGUUAUUUUACGUAUUAAUAAAAAUUUUUGGGACACGUAAUAGAAUUUCAAAUAGAAGUACAAGGUUAAGCCAAAAAAAUCUUGAAUACCAAAUGCAGGACAUCUCAUGUGCCUGGGGUUGCAAUGGGUGUAUGUAGUUCAAAGAAAUUAAAAAAGUCUUGGAGCAAACAGAAUUUAGGAUAAAGUUUCAAGACUUCAAAAAAUAUUUCAACUUUUAGUUUUUGUCAGGGAAACAAAUAAAUGUUCCCCGUAUGCAACCACUGAAUAAAGCACAGAACGAAAAAUAUUAAUAACAAAACCAAUUCAGUCAUAACAAAUUCUUUUAACACCAAAAAUCACAAUACCUUUCAAUUUGGCAAAAGCUAUAAAUCUCAGAGAAAAAUUUUAGGAACUCGAAUAGAGAGAUAAAUGCAUACAAUUAGUGAAUUUUGCCCUUACAAAUGUACUAUCAUUCAUAUGAAUGGUAAACAUAAGUUAACAGUAACAAGCUAUAUUACAUUGUCUUUGCGUCUAAGAAACUCUCUUAUAAUGGUUGGAAUUAAAUAAGCAUGAAUUCUACAGAAGACUAAGCAAUGAAUUAAUCAAGUACGCUGAUGACAUUAGAAUGUCCAUGUUUGCUUAAAAUUCUUUUCUUUUAAUCCAGAAGAUACAAGUAUAAAUUCACAGAAUAAAAGCUCUAAAAAUUAGUACCUAAAACAUUCCUCUUCACAUGCCAAAGAUAAAACCAAACAUGCAUGACAGCAUAAUUUGGUAAUUAGGCCUUAUUUAGUAUUUGCCCGUUAACGAUAACUUUAUGAUCCUGUACUUUAUAAAAGAUACAAAUUUUGAUGCACAUGGUACAGAGUCCAUCAACUUUAUGAAUUAAAACUAUUAUCCAUGCAUAUACCAAGUUGAUGCAAGUGUUUAUUUAUUUUCUUUAAUUUUCAUGAGAAAAGCCAAUCAAAUCAAACAGGCAUGUUCUUAAUGGUUUUUAAUUUUUUUGGCAAAAUCUUAUUUUGUAAAAUGCCAAAAUUUGUAUCCAAAAAAGCAACUGAGAAGUAAAAAAAUUUUAGAGAAAGCACUUGAGAAUAUCACAUCAAUAAUGAUUUUCUUAAAUUACAAAUUAAAAACAUGUCCAAAAAAUCAGUUGAGAACAAGCCCUAUAUGAAGUUAAUGCAUGUAUGUUUUUUUUUUGUUUUUAAUUAUUAUCAGAAGAACCAACCAAAACAAACUGGAUGCUAAUCUACUAGCAAUGAAGCAUAUAUGAAUAUUUGUUCAAUUAGACACAUUACCAAAUGGGAGGUCCUCAGGGUUGACAUCAUAUAGACUCUGGCGUUUGGAAUUAUGUCUGCCACACUUUCGUUGAAAAUUUUCUGCUUCAAGUAAUACAAUCAUAUUUGAUCAUCUGGAUCAAAUCUAUAGCCAGGCGAGUAAGGGCUAGAAUUAGAUGGCUUGUUCAUUGCAAUAGCAAUUGCAAAAUAAAAGAAAAUACUCAGAAAGAAAAAGCUAUUAAUGAUAUGUAUGAUCAUUGAUGUAUGUUUAUACUGAAGUUGAGGAGCAACUGGGGAAAGAAAAUGGAAGUUUGGGAUAUUUUUUGAACAAGGAAAGAACAAAGGUUGCAAGAAAAGGGUAAGAGAUAAGUGUUUUAAUUUUGUAUUUUAGUAAACUGAAUCUCUAAUUUAUUGUGUUAUUAAUUUUCCACGACAUAUUAUGGUUCUUUCUUUAUUUAUUGUUAAGUCUUUGGGAAUUGCCAUAUUCGAAGAAUAUUUUUAUUCAUCUGGUUUCUUUCAUACUUUCUAGUUUUUAUUUCCAUGAAUGCAAGUCUUAGGGCUAAAAUGGAAACUAAGAGGUUUGCUUCAAGUGUAAUUGUGCAAGCUUUUAAGGAAAUCUUCAACACCAUUCAUUCGUUAAUCACUCUUUCGGCCAACAUGACAAAUUGAAAAGGAAAUUCUUCUAUAUAAAAGAAAAGGAAACUUUCAUAGAUUGAGAGAAAGGAAAGGAGGAAAAAGAUAAAAGGAGGAAUAUCAAUCUUUCUUUUUCUUUUCCCUCCUUCCUUCCGCUCAAGCAAAAAAAUUCUUCAAGUAAAGGAAACCUUCGUAGAUUGAGAGAAAGGAAAGGAAAAGAAAGAAAAAAAAAGGAAAAAAUAAAUAAAAUCGUUGAAUAGGUAUGCUCAUGCAUAUCUUAUUUAACGUUUCAAACUUCUCAAUAAUAUAUUCGCGGCCUUUCCAUAUCAAUUAUAUUUGUGCAUGUAGUUAGCAGAUAUUAACCUAUACAUCUAUUAUGCUGUAAUUGGAUGAUAUUAUAGUGUAGAAACCUUAGAGUAAAUUCUUUAUUCUCUUUUAGUAACCCAGUGGUUCAUGUUUAUUAUCUCAACACUAAGUCCCUAUUUAAUAAUUUAAUUCAAUACCUAAACUUAAUAAAUUUACAUUUUAAUAUGUUUAGAUGUGUUUGAUAGACAAAAAUCGAAUAUCUAAAUUAAUUAAAUUGCACUAAAUUUUUUAAAUGAAACUUGCUCUAAAAAAUAAAUAAUUAGCUAUUCGUUUGUCACUUAUUGUGAUAUAUAUUCAAAUGUAUCAGAUUUAGUAUUUGACAACUCAAUAACUUAAUAGAUUCAAAUUUCAGAUUUUAAAUUUUAAUUUUACAAAACAUAGCCUAAAUCUAAAAACUCAUUUACCAAGUCAAUAUCUAAAAGAAUUUGAGCUCGUUUAUUUAUAUUGUCAGUAACAUUGUUUUUACUAUUGUUUUGCUCCUACGCUUGUAAAAAGUUGAUUUAUUGUUAAAAUCAAUUUAAAGUUUUGAAUUUUGGAAUAGUACACUUGGGAAUGCUUUGCAAGGAUCCUUAUGCAGUCUGAAGCGUACAAAACAGUGUUUGAAAAUUUCAUUUUGAGCAAAAAAGAUUUUAGAGAUGAGUUAAAAAGUUCCCCACUUAAGAAAUUUUCUAGAUCCGCCACUAAAAUUUAGGAACCGGUUUGGAGAACAUAAGGUUAACUCUUGAUGAUAACUAAACUUAGCACCGACAAUGUUGAACUCAAUAUGAGAGUAGAAGAGCAAGAAGAAAUUCCUCAUCCGAAAAAAUGCAAAGGCUGAAAAUUGGAAGUCAAAUCUGCAGGACAAUGUUUCAUAUACAGAACAACUAUGCUUUAGCAUUCUUUUUCAGUGCUUAAAAAAACCUUUUUCUUUUGUUUGUUGUUUUCAAAAGGGGAUGGCUUGGAGACAAGAAGUAGAGAGGGAAUUUGAACCUAAGACUUUAAUAUCUCGGAUCUCAACAUGUCAGUGCUUUAUUUUUCUAUUGGAAACUCGUUAAUGCUGUUUAGUCAGUAAAAACCAGUAAAUAAAUUCAUGGCUGUUACAUUUUUUUUUUUUUUGAGCUAGAGAUUUGAUGGAACUUGCUUUGAUGGCCGCAUUUAAUCUUGCAGUAUUAUGUAGACUAGAUCGGUAAAUACACAGUUGAAUGUUGCCAGGAACAACCGAGAGUAAUUACUGUAGAAAAUUGAUUCAGUAAUGAAAGUUAUAGAAAUUUGACUUUAAAAAUGUCCACGGCAUUUUCCAAACUAUUAUGGUACCUGAACCCAGUUACAUAUUAUGCUGAAUCUCAUAUACACCAUCAGACAGACAUGUUAUCAUUAAGAAUAAAAUUUGUUGAUUCCCAAUUAAAUAUUUUAGAACUAAAGGAAAAAAAGCACAAAAUAAAAAUAAUGAAAAACAAAAUGAAGUUUAAAAGAAAAGGACAAACGCAACGGUGGGGGAAAGCACAAGUUAAAAAGCUACCAGUAAAUAGGGGGAGCAAAUGUACUUUUUUGUUUUUUUUGGGGUUCUCCCCUAAAACUUGUCAAGAUAUUGCCUCUAUAGUCCAGUUCUUCCUUUACAAUCUUUUGUUCUAGAUUCUUUUUCUACUUAUUUGUAUUGCUUAUUUAUUUUUUCACCAAUUAUGCAUUUAUCCUAAACUAAAAGAAACUCCCCAGGAGCCUAUCCUUAUAAAGCAACCAAGGAACCAGGGCUUUUCUUGUGUCAUUUUAAGUGCUACAAUCUAUUUGGAAUUUUUCCAAAAAAAAGAAAAAAAAAUGAUGUACGUAGGGAAAAAAAUUGUUGUACUUACGGGUAAAAAAGUUGUACUUAUACAAGAAAGCAAAUAUAGAAAUUAUUAUAGACACUAAAAAACACAAAGAGAGCAGUGCCUCGUGCAAGGGCUUUUUCUUAAACAUUUCUACCAAAAAUAUGAAGACUUCAUGAUGCUGGAAAAAUGAGUGCAUGGUAACUAUACUCGCCUUUGAGAGACCGUAACAAGAUAAAAGAACAAGGGGAAAUCGUUCUUCUCGAGAAGCCUAAGGCAAAUGGUUGGAACUCAAACCUGCAUUUUUUUCAUUCAUUAUGUUCAAGCCCAUUUGGUAGUACACCAAAAUUAAAUUCAAUUUUGGGGUGUACACCUUUCCAUUUUUAAUUCCUCAGGACAUACAAAUUAGUUAAAUUUUCUUAUUGAUUGCAGGAACUUAAUUGGCGACACAAGUAGGAGCUGUAAACUUAUUCUUCAUGUAGGGACCUUUAUUUAAUUUUGUAGAGCAUUAUCAAGUCCAUAAUCUCUUGGGUGUCAAUUCAACAAUUACAGUGCCAACAUGGGGAGUAGUAAUUGUGAUUACUAGAGGUUUAUCUAAAACUGCACUAUAAGCUUGUAUAAUAGUAGAAUAAUAUUUUAUGUGUGUACUAUUAUACAACUAAUAUGACAUUCAUAUAGAUAAGCAGUUCAAACAGAAAAUUUGAAGCUCGUACUUCGUGUUUUUAACAUUUUACAAUUUUUGAGGAUUUUAUCUAAUUUUGGGUUUGUCCAGCGGGUGCCCCAGGGGCAAUUGUUAAGAUAUAUUUUCAAGUAUCAUAUUUUUUAAAAUAUAAGAAUAAUUUAAAAAAGUAAAUAAAUGCAAGAUAGGGUUGAUAAGAUUAAAGAGGGAAAGUAGAUAAAAGUUGGGGAGGAUAAUAAUUAUUAGUAUAUGUAUAUACAUAAUUGAUUAGGUGAAUGUUAUGUAUAUUAAUGAGUGCAUUAUGUAUAUUCAUGUGAUUGGAACGCGGCUCAAGAUGGAUAGUUGGAUUGUGAAUAAUGAGGGUUCUAUUUGGGUGUUUUAUCGGAACUCAUUUAUUUGUAGCGUUGUGGGAGAGUCCUCUCUGCACUUGUCUCUUAAAAUUACCUCUCAGCUUCUAUUAGGUCCAGUUUAUUUUUCUUUUAUCCAUGCAAAAUGCACUGAGCAGGAACGCACCUUGCUUUGGUCGGCAUUAUUAGCGGAAAAUCCGGUGGAGUCCCCUUGGAUGUUGGUAGGGGAUUUCAAUGUCAUAGUUAGCGCGGAGGAAAAGCGGGGCGGCGUACCCUGCCGACCAGAGGAAGGAGUGGAGUUUAGAACAUUCAUGUCAAUGGCUGGUGUUUUUGAUGCUGGUUUUUCGGGGUCCCCCUUUACAUGGUGUAAUAAUAGGGGGGAUUGGCUCGAAUUUGGAAACGUCUAGACCGAAUGAUUGUUAAUCAGACGGCUCUCCUCUCGGGGGGUCAUUUUCGGGUUCAACAUCUAGGAAGGGAGCCAUCGGAUCACACUUCCCUUCUACUCUCGACUUCGACAAGGCUCGAUAACAAGCCUAAACCCUUUAGAUUCUUGAACAUUUGGACGUCCAAGCUUGAGCUGCUGGAUGUCAUUAGGAAAAGUUGGGCAGUUCCUUGUCCUGGAUGGCCAUUACAACAUUUGGCUGCUAAACUGCGAGGAGUUUGGUAAUAUUUUUGAUGCGGUGAAGCAGGCCGAGGACACAGUUGCAUUUGCUAAGGAUGCGUUUGACAACGAGCCGUCUCAGCCGCAUUGGGUCGCACUUCAGGAAGCUCGGGCUGAAUUGAGGAGGGCUUUGGCAAGGGAAGAAGGGUAUUGGAAGCAAAAGGCAAAGGUUAAAUGGCUUAAGGAUGGGGACAAAAACUCAAAGUACUUUCAUUCGGUAGUGGCGGAGAGAAGAGCUAAGUCGAUCAUACAUCGAAUUAAGAAUGGCCAAGGGGAGUGGAUAUCGGAUGAAGGUCAGGUCUCUGCAGUCGCAGUGGAGUUCUUUAAAGCCUUGCUCACGGCUGAGCCUGUCGGGGGGCCUUCGAAUAUAUUGGACGUGAUUCCUAAGGUUGUCUCUGAUGCCCAAAACGCUGACCUCGUGCAUGAUCCAUCUCGCGAUGAGAUAAGGGAGGUGGUAUUUGCGAUGGAUGGGGAGAGUGCGGCUGGUCCAGAUGGUUUUACAGGUAUGUUCUUUACCUUUGCGUGGGAGGUGGUGGGCGACAAUUUAUGUGAAGCAGUGCUUAGCUUCUUUUGUGGGCAUGAGUUGCCGAAGAGUAUUUCCUCGACGUUGAUUGUGCUGCUUCCCAAGGUCAAUUUUCCUCAAGACUUUAGUCAAUUUCGACCGAUAAGUCUUUGUAACCUCGUCAAUAAAGUUAUCUCGAAACUUUUGGCGGUUCGCCUGGCAAAGGUGCUUCCGAGUGUUAUCUCGCCGCAACAAAGUGGUUUUGUCAAGGGCAGGCAGAUUUUUGAUAAUUUUUUGUUGGCCUAGGAGUUGGUAUCUGAGAGUCGGCGGGCGAAUAGAGGGGGAAAUGUGGUGCUAAAGUUGGAUAUGGCCAAGGCUUAUGACAGAGUCUCUUGGCCUUUCUUGUUACAAGUGUUACGUAGGUUUGGGUUUGGAGAGAUGUGGAUUGAUAUGAUUUGGAGACUGAUUUCGAACGUGUGGUUUUCGGUUAUAGUCAAUGGUGCGCCACAAGGUUUCUUCAAAUCUAGUCGUGGGCUGCGAUAGGGGGAUCCUAUUUCUCCAGCUCUGUUCGUGAUCAGUGCCGAAGUCCUCUCUCGCCUUUUGAAUUCGCUGCUGUAUUCCAGGAACUUUAGGCCUUUUAGGGUCUCACAGGGGCGCCCAAAUGUUACCCAUUUGGCAUAUGCUGAUGAUGUGAUCAUCUUUGCUAGUGGGCUGAAGAGGUCGGUGCGUUUGGUGAUGAAGGUGCUUGACGAUUAUGCUUCGGUUUCAGGACAGCAGGUGAAUCACCAUAAAAGCUGUUUCUUGUCUCAUGGUAAUUGCCCCAGAAGGAGGAAACGAAUGGUUGGUGACAUCACUGGGUUCCAAUCCAGGGAGUUUCCGGUUAAGUACUUGGGUUGCCCCUUAUACGUUGGGCGGAGGAAGAAAUGUUAUUUCUCGGACAUUUGUGAUUCGAUUAUAAGUAGUGUGCUAUCGUGGAAAGGGAGGUUGUUGUCGCACGGUGGUAAGUUGGUCCUAAUCCGGAGUGUGUUAUCUUCUAUGCCUAUCCAUAUGCUUGCGGCAUCAACUCCUCCCAAAGCCAUCUUAGGGAUGUUGGAGAGGAUCUUUGCUGCCUUCUUGUGGGGCUCCUCUGAGGGUGGACCGCGAUUCCACUGGAUAAAAUGGGAGCAGUUAUGCAAGCCGUAUGCCAGGGGAGGUGCAGGUUUACGGUCGUUGAAGCAUGUGUCUGAGGCUUUCUCAAUGAAAUUAUGGUGGCAGUUCAAGCUGCGGCAAUCCUUAUGGGCUGAGUUUAUGCAUUGCAAGUACUGCCCCGGCUCUCACCCUUGCUUUGCAGACGUCGUCCAAGGGUGUUCGUGGACUUGGAAGCUAAUGAUAUCUAUUCAGGGGGAUGCGGAGCAGCAGAUACGCUGGGUUCUGUUCAGCGGAUCUGUAAGCUUUUGGCAUGAUAAUUGGUUAGGGCAUGGCCCGUUAUGUCGUCAAGUGGAUACCUUCCAGGAAGCGAUGGUCUCCGACUUCGUCGAGCAUGGACAGUGGAAUGUGCAGCGGUUAAGCGCUGUACUGCCCAGCUGGUGGGUGGGACAGAUUUUGAAAGUUGAUCCUCCCUCUAGUGCACACUCCGACAAAAUGGUCUGGUCUCCCAGUACCUCAGGAGAGUUCUCCAUAGCGUCGGCCUACCAAAUUGCUCGAGGAGUUGGCAACAGUUCUUGCCUGUACUCCUCAAUUUGGCUCCAGGGAUUGUCGAUUAACAUUUCCUUUUUCAUGCUGCGGGUGUUGGGUGCCAGACUGCCAGUAAUGGAUAGCUUACAGAAGCUUGGGGUGCACGGCCCGUCUCGAUGCUUUUGCUGUUCAAACCCUUGCCAGGAGACACUAGAUCACAUCUUUUGCACUGGGGAGGUUGCACGCAGAGUCUGGGAGCAUUUUGAAGUGGUGGUUGGAGGGUUUAGUGCUUCCUCUACGAUACAACAUAAGGUAAUUAGUUGGUGGUUGAAACCGAGUCGGAACCAAUAUCUUCAGUAUAUCCUUCGGUUAUUGCGUUCUCUGAUCUGUUGGAACUUGUGGAAAAUGCAAAAUGAAUUUGUGUUUGAGGGUCAGCUUCUGCCUGCUGUACUCAUCUGUCACAGCAUCUUUGGGGAUCUACGGGACCUGUUUCAUCUCAAAUUUAAGCAUACUACUAUCCCUGGACAUGAGUGGCCGAGCUUCUUUGCUGCUGUGGUUGGAUGGGUAAGGAGAUAUCAUGUGCUAAUCGUUCGGUGGAGAUGCCCGGCUCAGUCGGUGGUGAAGCUAAACUCCGAUGUUUGCUCUAGGGGUAAUCCUGGCAUGAGUGGAGGAGGAGGAGUGAUUCGGUGUGGCGAAGGGAGGUUUCUUCUAGGGUACUCGUGCUUCUUUGGGGAGCUAACGAGUCUACAUGCAGAAGUGAAGGCACUUCUUUAUGGGGUUCGGUUGGCUUUGGAUCGGGGGUACCGAGAUUUGCACGUAGAAUCGGAUUCUUUGGUGCUCGUUCAGAUUAUUCGAGGCUCAGCACAGCGCCCAUGGCAGUUGCAAAGGGAAGUACAGGAACUGUUGGACACUAGACGAUUUAUUAGAUAGAUCUCCCAUUGCUUUAGGGAAGCGAAUAAGCCUGCAGACAGACUUUCAAAUGUUGGGUGGACUCUGGGAUAACUUCAACGUGUGAGGCGUUCGGGGAGUUGCCUAGAUUGGUGAGAGGUGAUCUCACACUUGACCGGUUGGGCCUUCCGAGUGUUCGUAGAAGUAGGGUUAGAUAGGUCGUUGGGUGUUUUGUGUCCUUUUCGCAGCAUGAGUAAUGAAGUUUCUCUUCCAUAAAAAAUAAAAAAAAAAGAGUGCAUUAUGGACACCCGUUAGAAAAAAAAAACCUUUCAUUUUUUUGGACUACAACUUUUUAGGAAGCUGUAUAAUAAAUAAUAUCUAAUUUCUUUGCCACACGCUUGCUCUUGGCUCCUCGUGUAUAAUAGUAGGAGUAGAUGUUUAAAUGAACCAAGUUACUCAGACUCAUGUUGGGUCUUGUUCACGUCCUGUCAUAACCAUGUUCAUGUUAAACGAGUCCAAACUUAUAUAUAUAUAUAUAUAUAUAUAUAUAUAUAUAUAUAUGCCAUAUUUGAUUUUCGUGUCAUAUUCAUAUUAAAAUCUGCUUACUGGAGUGUCAUUUUGUGUUUUAAGCCAGUUUGACCCAUUUAAUAUUUUGCAUAAAAAUCACUAUAUGUAAAGAGUAAAACAUGAGUCUCUUUUUAAAAAAUAUAUAUGUUCUUCUUUUAAUCUCUUCAGUUGUAACUUUUCAGUAAAUAUUACCUAUAUGAGUUUUGAAUGCAUUAUCACCUCAUUAAAACUACAAAAAAAAAGAGUUAAUUUUGUUUUUAUUUCAAAAAGAAAGAAAAACUUUCAAAGAAUUGCAUAGGCAAAAUCAUGCAAGGGAAGAAUAGUAUAUGCAAGAAUAUCUCCAAAAAAAUGAGUUGAGAGUACUAAAUUAGCCUAGAAAAGAAUUUUUAAUCACUAAAGAAAGAAGAAUAGAUAAGAAAUAAUUGAUCUAAAGGAAAGUUCUCGGCAAUUUGAGGACGAAGGAUGAAGGCGGGAAUUAAAUAUUUAAAAUCAUAGAGAUUGCGUAUAUUCAUGAAUUUGACAAAAGAAGAAUGAAAGCAAAAAGCAAAAAAUUAAAAUCACAAAAGUUGUAUACGUGGAUUUGUGGAGUUUGGAUUUUCAAUAAUGCUAUAAAAAUACAAUAUAAACCAGGUUAAUUUUAUUAUUUUAGUUCUUAAACUUUAAAUUUACAAGUGAAACUAUCUAUUUUUUUGGUGUAGUUUUAGAAGGAAAUACGAGUAUCAUUUUUAAAAAAAAUAUUUAAACAUAUUAGUAACAAAUUAGUCAUGUCAACCCAUGGAUUGAUCCAUUACAACUCAUUUCAUUUGUGUAUCAUGUUUGUUUUGACCUAUUUUUUAUACAAAUUGUUCUUUUCCAUAUUUUGUUCAAUUUUUUAGAUCAUGUUUGUGUCCUAUUUGCACGUGUCAAAAAUUACCACCUUUAAAUAUGAUUUUAAUCAAGUUUGAAUAACCUAAGUAGGAUUUGUGUAAAAUAUACGUAUAACUAGUCUACUUGUGUCAUUUUUUCAUUCCCAAGGCGUGUUGUCCCAGUGAAGGAAACAAUAUACCAUCAUGAAAAAGAAUUCACCAUGAUGAUAUAACGUCCAUGAGGCGAAAGAAGUGAGACUGAAAUUGAAAUGGGAAAUAAUUUAACUAACAAAAGUUAACUUUAGCAAGGGAAAAGAUUUACAAUUUAAAAUCAGAAAAAAAAAAGAAGUUUAAGCUAGUCAAAGGAAAAAUACGACAUUUCCUAGACACUUCCCGUCCUUACAUUCUACGCUACAAUCUCAGUAUACGAUUAAAAAAACAUGGACAAACGACAAAAUGAGGUAAAAUUGGCCUUCAUAAGGAAAAGAUAUUCCUAGCCAAAAAUGAACCCAAAAAAAUUCUUAGCUUACUUAUGUUAUUUUAUUGAUUAAAAAACAAGACAGUGGUUUUUUUUCUUGGUGAUGCUUGGUGGAGGGCAAGAUAUGUAUUUACAAUCAUCUUUUUUUUCCUGACAUAUUUUAAAUCAUUUUGAAAGUGCUAAUCGGUAUAAUCGUUACACGAAACAAACAUAAUGUGUGAAAACAAAGACCCAUAACAUUCUAAUAUGGCAACAAUAAGUGCUAUAAAACAACAAACAUUACAAUCCAAAUAAAGUAAAUAAAAACCCUAAUUGCAUUUUCAAGCAAGAAAAAAUUAAGGUAAGUAGUAAUCAAUUUACUUUAAGAAAACCUCCAUCAGGAAAUCCAAAGAAAGUGAGUAAAAACUCUUAUUGCAUUCUCAUCCAAGAAAACAAUAACGUGAUACGUAGUACCUAAGAAAGCAAAUCAACUUCCCACGAAGAAAUCAUCCACCAGUAAAAUUAUUACCCAAAGAAUGCAAAAAACCAAUCAACAAAGAAAAUAGGGUUCUCAUAAGUAGCCACCACACAUAGGUCAUUAACCACGAAUCUGGAAACCCGAUUUAUCCAGAUUGAAAGUUUCGAUGUUGUGCAUCCCUGGAAUUGUCCACAGUUUGUCAAUAAAUUCUCCGAGGCGAUCACAGUCGACCGGUCCAUCCUCUGGCUGAUCGUAUUCUUUACUUGGUGGAGGUGAUACCAGAGAUGGUGGAGCAACUAGAGGCAUGGACGGUGGCAGCAGCAUCUGCUCAUCAUCCAUAUGGUCUCCCGAAUUCCCCAUGCUAACCACUUCAAUACUUUCCAGUUCUGGAAUUUUCUCUAUUUUGUCAAAUAAUUCUUCCACGUCAAUACGAUCUCCUGGCUUUGCCAUGUUGAAAACACCAACACUUUUCAUUCCUGGGAUUGUCCACAGUUUGCCAACAAAUUCACCGAGGCAAUUGCAGUCUCCUCCCCUGCACAGUUCAUGUUCCCCAUGGUGAAUCUGAACCUGAACGUGAACCUCUUCUUCAUGUGAUGGAGACGGUGGAGCAGCCCGAGGUGUCGGCGGAGGCGAUGGCGGUGCUGCUUUUGCCUUAUGGUUCUUGCUUGCGCAAGACUUGGCCAUCCUUAUUUUGCUUGAGAACUUUUUUGCACACUUCAAUGGGGGAUCAUGCACCAAUAAAAGGGGAAAAUGAUGAUCAAAGAUUUUGGGACGGAUCAACAAAGAUUAUUCACUAUUGCAACUGGAAAAAAAUUUAUAGUUUAAUUUGUUAUUGGAAAGUAAAAAGAAAAACAAGGAAAUUUGAACAAGAAAAUUAAUUUUUCUCAUUUACCGAGCCAACUACCUCAAUUAAGGGUAGAUUUAUGACGAAACUACAGUUAUUGUGCCAAAGUUUCUAAUGAUAAAGUUCAAUAAAAGCAUCGAUUCAAUAACGAGCACAUCCAAUUAAAACCAUUUUUAAACAACAUAAAGUCACGUAAAAUUUAGAAGAUUGAAUCUUAUUUAUUACCUUACGAAGAAGGUUGAAGGAGUACUUCAUGGUGGGAUGCCCGGAAGUUCUGGAAGAACCCUUGAAAGAAGAGUUUCAAGGGCUCUAGGGAGACUACGAAUGAGGCACAAGAGAAUAUAGGCUGCGGAAAUCCUUGUAUAUAUAUAGUGAACCAAAUCUUAGGCUUGAGCUGCAAGAGAAUGUUUACACAAUCUAAUUAUGGUGAAUUUCUAUAUAUAUGUAUCUCAACUUUGCUAAUGAAUUCAUUUCACGGAAAAGAAACAAUCAUUUCUGCAAAUAGCUAUUUAACAGCAAUGAAAGUAAGAAAGGCAACAUAAAUCAAUCUCCAAGGAAAGAGAGAGAAAAAAGAAACAUUGUAGGUGUAUUGGUCCAAUGCUAGUCUUGGCCCAUUUUCUUGUCUUUUCUCUUCACAAAAUAUUAGCCAUGAUUCUUGAUUCUCGAAAUAAAUUUAGAUUACAGUAUAAAGUUGUAUCCUCCUAAAAUUUUGGCACUGAUUCAGCUGCCAAAGAGCAAGAAAGCGUAAAUUUGACAUAUUGUUUGAUCUUUUUUUAUUUCCCAAUUUCACUUCAACUCCGAUAAUAUAUCACUCCUAAUCAAUCAAAAUUCUUUUUCCUUUUACAUUUUCUAGAAUCCUCUAUUAUGGGCUUUCAUCCCACCUGUCCCACGAAUUGGGCUAAAAGUGUUAUUACGACAUCAAUGUGCUCCUUAUUUUCUUGGCUUGCGAUCAUCUUUUAAUUUUUUUUCCCCUUACUUUCUUUCAAUGGUUUUUCUGUCAUGGCUUCGAAUCUAAGUUAAAAGGGCGCCGCGCCCCACCCGGGGGGAGAGAGGGGAGGAGGAUGCAAGAAACAAAGAUGUUAAUAUCCAUCAACUCCUACAGUCUUACGUACAGAUAUUGGACUUUGGGUUGUCCUCAUCUUGGACUUUGGCAUAUUGCACUUCUUUUCUACUCCUAAAAUUCGUACAGAUAUUGCCUCUACUUAUCAAUUUUUAUUUUAUCUACAACCUUGGGAUCUAAAAUCUUUUCCCGUUAAUUGUAUUACUUUUAUUAAUGCUACCAUAUGGAUGAAUUUUAUGUGGGCAACCUCCUAGUUUUCUUCUUUUUCUUUGUUAUUUCUUGAAAAUUUUGUCUAGUUAUUCAUUUUCAUACUAUUGAAUUUGAACUAUAUUCCUUGGACAAUGUUUGUCCUUUAGUUUUAGACUCAAUCUUAGGGAAACAUUCUUCGUUUUCCUUAGCAUAUCAAUAGGAAAGGACUAAGUUGGAUUCACAUGAUCCAAAGUCAGGGCCAGUAAUUUUAAAUUUAUUAAUAUUGAGACCAGAUUUUUUGAUAAAUCCAUUAAGUACUUAAAUUUAAUGCAUUAAUUGAUUUUUCUAUUAAGUUUGUUUGAUAACAAAAUUUUCUUAUCCCUAAUAAUUAAGACCCACUUAAUUUAUUUAUAAAAUUUUAACCGAAAAGUAGAUAACUUAAUUUGCUGAAUGUUUAAACCAGUGUGAUAAUACUACUCAUUCAAAAUUAUUUUAAUUUCACAUAAUGAUAUAUUUCCAUGCACACACCCAUACUCUCUUUCUCACACACUUUCAUAAAUAUACAUAUACACUCUCUCUCUCACACACACAUGUAGACACCAAAUUUUAAAUAAUUUGUAUGUUGCAUUCUUAUCUAUUGAUUUUUGUUAAUGUCAUGAUUUUGUUUUAGAUUAUUUGCAUUUUAGUUCAUUAUUGUUCGUUUUGCCCUUUUUGUUGUUUAUUUCAUUUGCUUUUUAUUUUAGUUUUUAUUUGUCAUUUUAGUUUUAUUCACCUUUUAGUUUUAGUUUUUUUAGUUAGUUUUUAUUUUAUUAUUUUUCUUUUUAUUUUUAAGUUUUAGCGUAGAGUUUCUACAAAAAAGAAAAAAAGGGAAAAAACAUUAAAAAAAUAGGCUUUAGUUUUCUUUGAAAAGGAAAAAAAAAGAAAAGAAAAAAAAACAAAAACAAAACAAUGAGAAAAAUGAAAAAGAAAAAAAGGAAAAAUGAAAAGUUGCACUUUGUUGUUUCUAGUUUAUUUAUUUUUAUCCAAUGUUAAUUAAGUUGUUUUUGUUAUUAUUAUUAUUAUUAUUAUUAUCAAUUUUGUUUAAUUAAUUAAUUAGUUGAAAAGAUUAAAAAAAAAGAAGAAAAAAAGCAGAAAACACAGAAACGCGGCAUGAAGCUGCGUUUUGUUGCAGCUUGCAAAGAAAGGUUGAGACGGCUCCUUUGGCUGCAAAUAUGAAAAUAUACUGAGUUGUUUUAGGGUUGGAAAGUCCAGGUAUAAAGAGAAAAAGAGAGUAACAGCCGCAACAGAGGGGCAGAAAGUUGGCGGCUGCAAACAGGAAAAAAAAAGAGAUCAGAAAGAAGCAAAAGAAAAUCGAGAACAACCACGGCUGAAAGGAGAGGUUUUUCCUUAGACAGCAAAGGAGAGAAAUCAGAGAAGAGCAUACGGUUGCUGGAGCAAAAAACCAAACGAGAGCCAAGGGUUUAGGGCCUUUUAGUAAAAGCCAGAAAGAACGAAACAGGGAGGAGGGAUUGAAAACAGAAACCAGAGAGAGUUCGGGACGGCGGCUAAGAAAAGAAAACCAGGGGGCUGUGGAUGGUGGCUGUUUUAGGUAAGGAAAUCACGAGAGAGAUCUAGAGUUUCGGGGGGCAGGCAAAGGGCGACUAAAAAAGGAGAGAAAAGAGGGAGCUUUGGUAAGAAGAAAGCUACGGAAACGAAAGAAAAACAGCGAGAGAGGUAGGAGCUGAGAAUCCUUCGACCGAGAGAAAAUUUUGCAGCUGAACAAAGAAGAGGGAACCUGGAAAACUUGGCAGAAAACGUCGGCAAGGAGAGAAAGGAAGUGGCGGCCAGAACAAAGGUAACCUCUUUGGCCUUAUGUUUCUAGUGUGAGCUUAGACCUUAUCUAAGUAUGCCAAAGAUCUUGCUGUGUUUUGUUUAUGGACAUACUUUGCUGUUCUGAUUCCUGUGGCAGUCGAAUGGCUUGAGUGUUGUCGAAAAAUCUGUUGUUUAAUCUUGUCUUGAGGAUAUAAAAUCUGAUGGUUAAUGAUCGGUGAAGAGUGACGUGCGCAGGGUAUACAUAUCAAUUUAACCUCAUUCUAAUCAAGUUUUACAUUUAUAAAUUCCUAAACACCCCACACGCGAUUUAUCGCAAGUAUACGAAUCGUGAGCGAGUAUAGGGUAUUAAGGGUCGAUCCCACAAGGAAGAGUGAACAAUUACCGGUACUACUAAAGCUUCUCUAUUAUUUAGACUAUCAAUGAAUUAUAACAAAUUUAACCUACUGAAAUUAUACAAAAUAACAAAUAAAAGCUCCUUAUGUUGUGGUAUCCCUAACUACUCAUGCAAGUGCUACAUUUGGAUCAUUGAAUACUACAUUUAGGCUAGUUAUGGUGUAAUUUCCUUAUGCAUUUGAAACCUACUUUCGUAGUGAAUCAACUAUACUCAUAACUAAUUCAUACCUAUUUUCAUGGUUAUGAAAUUAGUUACAAGUUCAUUUCUUCAAUGAAAUUACAUGAAAUGAAUCACUAAAAACCACAUAAGUGCACCUCUACUUUCGUGAGUGUACUCCCUAUGUUUAACACUUCUUGAACUAGUGUUAAAUCUCAAUUUUCAUUGCAGAAACAACACCUUAGAUAAUCACAAUUAAUGGUACCAGAUUAAUCAUGAUUUAAAGAGCCCAAGUGCUAAAUAACUUGCUCAAAUCUUAGCAAACAAAUAACCAAAUAAUAAACACUAACAAUCAUAGAAAGUUCAACCAAACCCAAGGUAUAAACUUUAAAAACACAUAUUACACACAAAAUCCAGAACUUGUAUAUUAACUAAACUUGGAAUCAAAUACAAAAGAUAAAGAGUUUGGAAGGAAUACAACCCUUGUCACAUGAGCUUUCUUCCUUGCCUUCUUCAUCCUCCAUCUUCAUCCUAAUCUAGAUAAUAAACAAGAAUGGAAAAGCUACACUACUCUAUACUAAGCUAAACUAACACUAGGGAGAUGAAAGAGCUACAUUUCUGCAGCUUCAAGCUUUCUCCCGUAGCUCUCUAUCUCUUACUCUGCUAUGAACUCCCUUCUCUGCUUUCUACUCCCUUCUCUUGCAAUCUUGGCUAUUUUAUGAUGAAAGAUGGUCAAGAAAUGAGGCCUCCACCUUCCUUUUACAGCUGGAGAUGUUUCUCACAUGUCUAGCAUCCCAUGUGAGUUGGUGGAGGUGAAAUUGAGUUUUCCGCGUAAAAAGCAGACCUCUCUGACCACAAUCCGGCCAGAAAUCCGGCCACAAAUCCGGCCAAAUUCCGGCCGGAUUGCUACAGUGACCAUUUGGUCACUUCUGGUUCAAUUUCCAGCUCUGCUCCGAUUUUGACUCAACUUCAACUGAACUUUUCUUGAUGAUAAAAGCUGAUUUAGCUCUUGACCAAAACAUAAAACUUGUAGUCCUUUGAGUUAGCUUUCCAAUGCAUCAAGAAUCACCUCAUUUGGAUUUGUGUAGGCUGAGAAAUGACCGAAAUACCCUUACCUGCUCAUUGCCCUGUUCCAGUUUCGACCAGUAGAAAUUUGCUAUUGUAAUUCGGCAUUUUGACCUGGAAAAACUUCAAACUGGAUUUAGAUGUCUUCACCAAAGUUGUAGAUCUAUCUCUUAUCUUCAAAUUGGUUCAAGAAUCAUCUUAAUCCGAUCACUGUAGCUCAAGUUAUAGCCGAAAUACGAAAAUGUGUCAAAACUGUCAAAAUACACAAAAUCCAAGUAAAAAGUGAUAAAAACCUCAUUUAAUCACUUAAAAGCAUUUUUCACCAAUUAUAGCCAAAAUGAUUCAUAUUCUUCCAAUAAUAUAACCAAAGUGACUAAAAAUAAUAUAAAAUAUCAUACAAUUAUUACGUAAAUUAGUCACUUAUCAAAGAGUUUGCUCCAAGUUGUUUGUUGAUUCGAUAGGCCGCGGAUAUAAAAAUCAGAAUCUUGUAAGGUUUCCCUGGUGCAUAAAAUGUCUUGUGUCCCUUGCUGCUUUCCUUUUAGUUUUCUGCUGCUUUGUGUGUGUUUGGGUCACCUUUAUUGUUUUGAUCUAUCCAAUGAAUUGCUUUAACAUGGGAUGAUAUCCGGAAGUCUUGCCUGAAAUAAGAAAAUCUGCAUUUCAUUGCUCCUGUUUUUGCUGUUUCCUCGCGACAGUUCACUGAGUGAGUUUCAUCGCCUACUGAAUCACUUAAUCUUGUGUUUGAAAGAAAAAUUGGGUGAUUAAUGUUGAGGUCAUGUGUUCUUGGGCUGAAGCCACAUAAAUCAGGCUCAAACAACAUGCUAGAUAAAUAAGCUUCUGCAGAAAACUCAGAAACUAGUGGAGAGUUACUAUCGAAAGUAAAACUGAAUUUGCAAGCCUCUCCCCACGUUUGGCUGAUCUCCCUCUCCCUGGUAUAUUUAGUGUGCCGUCUUAAGGAUAAGCUUGCAGCUGGUUCUUGUUUGAAAUGAUCCUUAAAUUUGGCCGCACAAGGUUGCUGGAAUCCCUCAAGUUUUAGUUGGCUGUCGAGAGUUUCUUCUUGUUGCCGAAAUGUUUUAAGUUGCUGGAGUUGUUCAGAUUUUGCAUGUUGUUGUCUGACCAUCUUGGUGUCUAAGUCUACAGGUUUCAUGAUACAAAGUGGGAAGCUUGGGUAAUAAUUGUGUUUGGGUUUGUUUAUGUUUCAAAAACUGGUUGAAGUACCGAACUGCAUGAAGUUUGCUGCAUUUUUUUUUUCUUCUUUUCCUUUCGGUCAAUUCCAGUUCCUUGUUGAAUCCUGCAACCAAAUUUUGAUGUUUGAUGAUUAAAAUUAUGAGUCUUGUGGCCUAGUUCCACGCUAUGAUUUUGAUCAAAAAAUUGGUUUUCAAAGCCAACUGCGUUCGAUUGUUUGUUUUGGUUGCUGAAGGCUGGAAUGCCAAAUGUUGCAGAAGUUUGCCUUUCUCUUCGUGGAUUGCAUGAGUUGCAUGGAAAAUUUUCAGAAAAUUACAUUCCAACCCCCCAAGUCUUCCUUUAUCGUACUAUGGCUCAAUCAUGUUCUGAUUUCUUGCAAUUUGGUCCUAGAAGUAGUUGCAUUUUAACCUUUACUUGACCUUUUCUUUGCUUUUGGGCCCUUGAAGUUCCUAAAAAUGUUUAUUUAGGCUUGAGUGCUUGGUUAAUGUUCACAAUUGAGUCCUUGGUAGCCUCAAUUUUUCAACUCGAUUGCUUGUUUGCUUUCAUUAAUGACCAUGUUUUGUUAAGGUGGUGCUUAAUUGAAUGAAUUUGUGAAUUUUGUGUCUAAAUGAGCUUGUGUUUGCCUAUUUUCUUUAAUUUUCCCAAAUAAAUUGGUACCUUGACCAUUUCUUUUAUUUUGGAGGAUAAAUAAGUGACUUCACCCCAUUAGAGCUCCAACUCAAGGGAGGUAUAACUUUUUUUAUCUUUUUUGUCUCCCCUAUGUGAUCCAACGUGCUACGUGAAAAUUGCAUGUCUACUUGCUUCCCUUAUUUUUCUUUAAUUCCUUUCAUUUACUUCAUUUACUUUUACUUUUUUAUUUAAGUUAUUCUUUAUGGGGUAUGUGUACACCUUUUGGCUUGUAAUAGUUAGGGAUUUAAUUAUUUUAUUCCUUUUCCCCCUUUUAGAUUGUAGUAGGGUCUCCCUAAUGUAAUAGAUAGGGCUUGGAGGAGCAUUCAAUGAAGACCUAUCGAAGUCAUGUGCCUAGCUAGCAAAUGUAAUAGUUAGGGCUUUAAUUGUCUUAUGUGUCUUGCAUGCUUAGUUACUACGUGUUAAUUUGCUUUGUUAGGACCUUACAUCUAGUCGAGCAUGCUAAAUGUUAUAUGCUAUGUGUUUAUAAGUGUUUGACAUGUCUACUCGCUUUCCAUAGCCUGAAUGAAUGUGAUGGAUGAAUGUACGUUUCCACUAGUCCAACGCUAGUCGGAAUUCAUAGAAUGGGCUAGUCCAACGCUAGACCUUUAGGGAUUUCCCCUCGUUAGUACAUGUUUGCAUGUUCAUUACAUGUCAUGCAUUCUUUUUAGUUUUAUCAUUUUGCAUGCCCCCCGAACCCCUUUUCCCUCCAUUUUAGGAUUUUUGCAUUUCAUGCUAGUUAUAGGGUUCAUUUGCUUGAGAGUCCCCUUAAAUAUGGGAUAUAGACGAGUGUGGCUUUUUCUAAGUCUUAGCACGCUUGUAUUCCCUCUAUAAAAGGGCAAAUUGAGUCACGAUUUAGGUCUCCCCGUACCCAAUAUGCAUGAAUUCCCUAGGCUCAUGCAUUUUUAAAUCCACUCUACCAUUUUAUACCCUCAUCACACUUUCAUUUUUUCUCCCAUUUUGCACACGUGCACCUUUAUGUUUCUUCACUUGUACACGAACACUUUUAUCAUCACUUGCACACAUGCACUUCAUAUUAUCAUUUCACAUACCGUACAUUGCCCACUCACGUGCACAUUUUCAUUUACAUAUUUAUUGCCUUUUAUUACUUUUCCAAACUCAUGUCCUCACAUUGCAUACAUGCAUUCCAUUCAUUUGCAUCACACUCGCAUUAUUCGUGACUUCUUCAAAGGAUCGUUAUUGGGCUUCACAAUUAAUGUGAUUGGUACCACUCAACCUUUGAAGAGAAAUUUCCCCCAAUACCCCUAGGUCUAGGGUUUGCAUUCAUGUAGUGCAUCCAAAUGUAAUAAAUUCUUUGGUUAAAAUAAGAAAAUCUUUGAUUAAAUCAUGCAACUAGCCUUGGCUAGGUCAAAGGGGUGCCUUGGAUUUUAUCCUUGCCUUCCCCUUUGUCAAAUGUGACUCCCGAACCUUUUUCUUUGGUUUACGUGGACUAGGAGUCGUUUAAAAGGGGUUUCUUAUUACUUUUUUUUCCUAUUUUUUUCUUUUCUUUAAAAAUUCAUUUUUUUUUAGGUGACUUGGUACACCUUAACUCAUUACCAAGUGGCGACUCCGAUUUUUUAUUUCAAAUACCCUUUUUAAACUAUAAUUUUGGGUCAAAUCGUCGCAUUCUCAAACCCCCAUUUAGACCCAUUUUUCUUUUAAAUCACAAUUCAUUUUCCAAUCACAAAUUGAAUCAAAAAAUACAUUUUUAAACCAUUUAUUUAUUUAUCAGAAAAUGGGGCGCGACAGUUGGCGACUCCACUGGGGAAAUUUGAGAGUCCGAGCAAAUUUGAUUUAAUCAACCUUGUUUUUCUUUUAACCUUUUCAUAUAUCACAUUUGGGUGUUUUAGGGUUGCAUUUUUUCUUUUUAGGAUUUUGCAUUUCGCGCGUAUUAAUUACUCCCUCACUCACGCAUGUAUGAUUGGUUGAUUGGAUGUAUGUUUACUUGUUUAUCUCGCGCUUGCAUUGCAUUUGGGGGGGACCUUUAGAGCCUCGCAUGGUUUUCAACCCUUUCCCUCAAAAUAGGGAACACUUCAUACAUGCACGUUUACUUAUUGUUAUCCCAUUUUAUUUUAUUUUCGUGGGCGCUACCCCACACCGCCUUGUAGGAUUAGGAUUGAUUGCCUUGGGUAGGCGGAUGGUGUGCUACCUAAGGGAUCGCUCGAGCCACCGAUCGAAGGCCUUGGGAGUGAUGACCCUUGGCCUUUGGGUCUGAAGGCUUGGGGACCUUUUAAACCUUAUCGAGUCUAGUCGCAUUAGUGAACCCCAGCCUCAUGCAUCCAUGUUAGCAUUUUCCUAGGUUAGAGUCAACCUCACCCUUUUUUAAGCACAUUAGGCACGAGGGAAGGGGUUCCACCCCUUUUAUUUGUUUUUAUUGUAUUGCUUUUUUUAAUUGCUCCUAAUAUGUUAUGUGUACUAUCAAUUGCACUAACCAUUCUUUUGUUUUCUUGGCUUGCAUUCAUGUGCCUUAGCAAAUAAGAGGCCUCUUUGGCUCUCUUUUAGUGACUUACCCACUAGAUAACUCACAUGUUUAAAUUUCAGUUAUUACACUUAAUUUUCAAUAAGUACAUCUCAUUUUAGACCUUUUGCCCCCCGAUGCAUUAUUUAUGCCCUUUAGGCCAUAUUUGUCACAUAUUUACAUUAUUUUAAUAAAUGGCAUCAUGCAUAAACCAUAGAAAAGGAAUGCCACAUAGGGAAUCCCGUGUUUAGGAAUAAGCCACCUUGUGUCUCGGAUACUUAAUCCAGUGAGACUUGCAUGUUUACAUUUUGUACCAUCCAAAGGGGUAGGGCACAAGGUAAGGUAGGAUCCGAUCAUUUUCAUAGAUUGAUCUUUGGAAUAUGAGCGUCUAAUAAUCACUUUUUGGCCAUUUUAUCAAAAUUGGUAAAAAUCCCUUGCUUAAAGGACAUUAAUUUGAAGAAAUUCACAAAUGAUUCCUCCUGUUGAGACGAUGAAUAAAUUGAGGCCAAAUCGUGAUUUUAGAAGGCUCAUAGACUAAUUUUCUGAAACCACCAAUGGCCGGCCGACUAAAUCGAUCCAUUUUGUCAAUUCAUAAUCAAUUUUGAAUAGACCAUCAUUUGACCAAUUUACCCUUUUUAGGGUCACUUGGUCGAUUUUGAAUAAAUCGUCAAUUUGUUUGACCAAUUUACCCUUUUAGGGCGAUCCGGUCAAUUUUGAAUAAAAUUCUCAAUGUCAUUCGAUCGAGUUCCUUUUUAGGAUGAUUCGGUCAAUUUUGAGUAAGUUUUUAAAUUUCACUCAAUUCAUUUGACUCGUUUCCUUUUUUAGGGUAAUGCGGUCGAUUUUAAAUAAAUUGUCAAUUUCAUUCAACCCAUUUGACUAAUUAGGGUUUCAAGGUCGAAUUUCAAAUUGGGAAACAUAGUUGAUUUUGAGAAAGCCAUCCAUUACAUCCAGCCAUUUGAUCAGUUGGGGUUUUGACCCGUGUUUCACUGAGAAAAUUUUGUCAAUGAAUUCCAAUCUCUUCGAUAGGAAGUUCGUCAAGGUCAAACCCGUGCUUUUAUGAUCAAUUCAUUCGGACGUUGUCCUCAUUUUGAUAAAUGUCUUUCGUCUCUCUAAUUGACCAAAAUUUUCAAAAUUAUUUUUCACUCAAUGAGUUGAUCGGAUUCAUCAGGUAUGGUAUGGUGCCUACUCUAGCGGAUUGCAUUUUCAUGCUAGGCCUACCCUUGGCAUAAAAGGGUUCCCCCAUAGGACAUGCAUACCGAUUUUAUAUUCUUGUUUACUAACUCGGGGUAUUUUUCUUUUGUUUCCCCCCUCCCCUGCAUUCAUAAAAAAUAUUUCAAUAAGAUGAAAAUAUUUCCCUAUAUUGGAUAACAAUUUUUGAUCCGAUAAAGUUUUGGAAAGUAUUAUUUGAUUCUUGGGCAGAUCCAACAGUGGAAACAUGAAAGAUCCAUCUGAAAGCUCUAGGCUAAGAGCUUCUAAGAGAUUUCAUACUUGCUUUCAAGGAAAAUUCUGUAUAUUUGACUUGUUAAUAUAUUUUUGUGUCAAAAGAAAAUGAGACAAAAAGGGUAUAUAUGUGGAGCUCUUUAGAAGUUUUCUAUUCUCAUUUGUAUCAUAAUUGAACGAGAAUUUUUGUUUCAAACUUUUUCAGCAAUAAAAUUUUUGGACAAUUAUUGUUUCGUGUAUAUUCAUGUACAUUGCAUUCUUUUGGUCAUUGGAGAUUUCAUGAUGAAUUUUAAGAAAUAAGACCAAAUUGAGAUUUUUUUCAACCUCUAGCCUGAAAAUUCACAAGUGUAUGCUUUCUAAAAUCCUUACAUACACUAGAUUGGUGAUCCAAACUACACAAUAAGAAUGCUCAGAAAAGAGGUGAAUGAUCACUCAAAAGGCCCAAUGAGAUACCUUUUCUCCUUCAUUUAACCCAAAAAAUAAAAUCAGUCACAUUGAUUGAUAAAUUGGGGCAACUUUUGCUUGAAAAUGUUCAAGGUGUCUAAUCCGGUUCAACUCACAUCUAAAUGAAAGUAAAAAUGUGCAUUAUUCUUGUUUGUUUUGAAAAUUUGGAAUGAUACCUUGAGCAUUCGUUUCUCUACCUAUACACAUUUUAUCAUUUGCUCUCCCAUUUGAGCCUUUGAAAGAGUAAUUUCGUUUCAAAUAAGAGCCCUAAUGAUCACUACCCUAUAUUGGAAAAUUUUCGAAUAUCAAAAAGGAAUGGAUUUUCAAUGACCAUCUCGUUACUUUGGUUGUCAUGAGGUGUAAGAAUGAUACUUUGGCAAUCGUUUCUAACAACCUAAACACUGAUCAUCCCUUGCAUCCUCAUUUGAGCUAAAAAUUGGUGGUUCUUUUCAAGUGCACAUAUGAUCGCACCCCACAUUGGGGAAGGAGAUUGGGGAAUUUUGAAAAAAAAAAAAAGAAGAAAAAAAAUGCUAAAAAGAAAAAAAAGAGGGAAUCACAAAUUGGAGAAAUUUGAAUCUAGCUGUGCUUCAAUUUUGGAAAAAGGGAAAAGGGAAGGGUUUGUCCGACGAACCACUUAUGGAGAGUCUUCCUCAGUCAGUUAAUUCAGAUACAUGCCAGAAGUUUCGCAUUAAUGAAAGUUUUCUUUCAGAGUUAUUGUAAGGAACGGAACAAAGGUCAGGCCCUCUUCUUUUCCGGUCAAGCAUUCUAUCCCUAGUUAUCCCUUUUGAGCCUUCAGAAUAAAAUACUUCAUUUGGCAACCCCUGAAAAUCGCAAACCCCACACUGGGGCAAGUUUGAGUUGGAAAAGUUUCAAGAAGUGAAAAGUGAUAAUGCAACAAAAUAAAAAAGACAAAAGAAGAAAAGAGAACCUCAGUUCAAAAAUAAACUGGGGCAAAUUUUGUGAAAGUUCAAAAGAAUGGCAGAAGGCCGAAAAAUCAAAAGAAAUAAAAUGAAAGAGAAAAAGCCUCAAUUGAGCAUAAACUGGGGCAAAUUCUGAUUUAGCCCUAAAAUAGGGUUGGCACAACAAUGCGAUCUCAGAUUAUUUAAACCACUCUUGAAAUCUGCCUUCAAGCCUUAACUUUUCUAAACACCCCACCAGACCCCAUUACAAAAGCCGAAAGUCCUGACUUCUGUUCUUUGCAAUGGCCUUGUCAAGAAAAUUUCUGAUGCCGAAAAUUUUAGCUGUAUUUCUGAAUUGCUUGGGUAUGGGUUUGACGCUACUCACCAGGUGAAAAUCCACCAAGUUAAGGGAAAGGAAAAAGAGGCAAAAAGCAAAGCAAGAAAAGUAAAUGCAAGAAAAUGCAGAAAUUUUGACGCUGAAGUCCUUGGUGAGUGAUGAGAAAAAUGCAAACAAAGUCUGAGAUCUUUUGAGUUCAAAAUAGGGGAAAUUUUGGAAAAAUGCGAUAUUCGGUGCAAUGUUCUUGAAAGUUUUAUUCUUUAGCUAUCGUUUUCAAGCCAAAUUACAAGCUAAUAAAAUCCAUCGUUGACUUAUUCCUUCAUGACAAUCCAAAGUGAGGAUUAUGCUCGUAAGAAAUCCAUCAAUCAUUUGUGAUCAUGGGGGUAUAACCAGUUUUCACAGGUUUAGCUAUCGUUCCUACCCAUUUGUUGCAAGCCUAUAAAACUUAUACGUUGACUAAGUUUUCUUAAGAAAUAAGGGUGACAAACUCUUUGCUUUCACUAAGAUAUGAUAUUGAAUGGGUUAGAUACGAUUUGGGCGCAAGAAUGAGAUAGAUUCUGACCUCCCAUUUCCUUAGCCAUUUCAAAAAUAAAGUCACUUGAUUGGUCCUGAAAGAUGAACCAACAAGAAAUGGUAACCCAUCACCCAAAGCAUUGAUGCUAAAGCGGGGAAGAAAUCUUUCGUAAUUUGGCAUUAUUUUGAGAAAUUCAUCAUGAAAUGUGCUAUAUGAGUUUAAGCAAGACAUUCAAUUUUCUUCACAUGAUAUGUUAGGAAAAGAAAUUGCUUACCUUGUUCAAAUAAAUGGAGGGUCAUUCAAACAAAUUUUGUGCAAUUAAAUAGGCCUACACUGGGGCAAAAUUUUUGUAAUAUAUUUGAGGAUGUCAAACCAAUCACGCUAUUCUUUCCAAAUAAGAAAUUUGAAUGCAUGUCAUACUUUGAUGAACCACUUGUGCAGGUAUUCAUAGUUGAAAUCGACGAAAAAGCAUCUGGUGAUGUGGAAGGCCGAUGCCGAAGAAAGAGAAGAAAGAAGGGAAAAGGACCCUAUACUGGGGGCAAAUUAUUUUUGAAAAAGAUUUUAAAAAAAAAAAAAUCAUCAAAGUUUAAAUUCUUGUUUCUUGGCAAAUCAAAUUCAAUUUCUUGUUCACAAGAUCAUGUUGGGUCUGGAUUUCGUGCCGCCAACAUCUCAAACAUCACGUUGGGACCGGGUUUUAUCCCGCCAACCUCGGCAGGACCGGGUUCUAUCCCGCUGACCGCUUACUUCGUUGGGACCGGGUUUCAUCCCGCCAAUUUCGGCAGGAUCGGAUUUUAUCCCGCUGACCGUUCAUAUCUCGUUGGGACCGGGUUUCAUCCCGCCAACCUCGGCAGGAUCGGGUAUUAUCCCACUGGCCGAUUAUCAUGGCAGGUUCAGGUUUAAUCCCACUGACCAAUUCAUUACUGGGGCAAAUCUUUGGAUAAAUUUUCAAAUAAAGUCUUAUACAGUUUUCUUCAUACAUACCCGCAUUUUCAUUUUGCAUCGUCACUAGCCGUGGGUCAGUCCCACUAGUGAGCAUUUCAUUUUCCCCCGCUGCUAGCCGUGGGUCAGUCCCCACUAGCGUGAGUCCCGUUUAAAUUCCUGUUCGGGCCAGUCCCAUGAUUUUAAAGUUUAUUCGGGUCAGUCCCAUGAUUAAAAGUUUAUUCGGGUCAGUCCCAUGAUUUUAAAAGCUUAUUCGGGUCAGUCCCAUGAUUUUAAAAGCUUAUUCGGGUCAGUCCCAUGAUUAAAAGCUUAUUCGGGUCAGUCCCAUGAUUAAAAGCUCAUUCGAGUCAGUCCCAUGAUUAAAAACUUGUUCGAGUCAGUCUCAUGAUUAAAAGUUUGUUCGGGUCAGUCCCAUGAUUUAAGUUUUAUUCGGGGCAGUCCCAUGAUUUUUGUUUUAUUCGGGUCAGUCCCAUGAUUUUAAAUUUUCUGUUCGGGCCAGUCCCGUUUUAAAUUCCUGUUCGGGUCUAUCCUGUUUUAAAUUUCCUGUUCGGGCCAGUCCCGUUUUAAAUUUCUGUCCGGGUCUAUCCCGUGGGUCUAUCCCAUUUAAAUUUCUGUCCGGGUCUAUCCCAUUUAAAUUCCUGUUCGGGCCAGUCCCAUUUUUAAAUUCUUGUUCGGGUCAGUCCCGUUUUAAAUUCUUGUUCGGGUUAGUCCCGUUUAAAUUUCUAUUUGGGUCAAUCCCAGUUCUCAACAUUUUGAUAAAGAGAUCAGUUCUCGUUUCAAGGGCGGCAAUCGUUGGAAUCAUUCGCAACCGAAUAAUGCAGGUAAGUAUUUGGUGUCUACUUCUUUGUCUCAAGUUUUUCCAAAACUCAGACAAAGAGGGGCAAACUGUAGACACCAAAUUUUAAAUAAUUUGUAUGUUGCAUUCUUAUCUAUUGAUUUUUGUUAAUGUCAUGAUUUUGUUUUAGAUUAUUUGCAUUUUAGUUCAUUAUUGUUCGUUUUUCCCUUUUAGUUGUUUAUUUCAUUUGCUUUUUAUUUUAGUUUUUAUUUGUCAUUUUAGUUUUAUUCACCUUUUAGUUUUAGUUUUUUUAGUUAGUUUUUAUUUUAUUAUUUUUCUUUUUAUUUUUAAGUUUUAGCGUAGAGUUUCUACAAAAAAGAAAAAAAGGGAAAAAACAUUAAAAAAAUAGGCUUUAGUUUUCUUUGAAAAGGAAAAAAAAAGAAAAGAAAAAAAAACAAAAACAAAACAAUGAGAAAAAUGAAAAAGAAAAAAAGGAAAAAUGAAAAGUUGCACUUUGUUGUUUCUAGUUUAUUUAUUUUUAUCCAAUGUUAAUUAAGUUGUUUUUGUUAUUAUUAUUAUUAUUAUUAUUAUCAAUUUUGUUUAAUUAAUUAAUUAGUUGAAAAGAUUAAAAAAAAAGAAGAAAAAAAGCAGAAAACACAGAAACGCGGCAUGAAGCUGCGUUUUGUUGCAGCUUGCAAAGAAAGGUUGAGACGGCUCCUUUGGCUGCAAAUAUGAAAAUAUACUGAGUUGUUUUAGGGUUGGAAAGUCCAGGUAUAAAGAGAAAAAGAGAGUAACAGCCGCAACAGAGGGGCAGAAAGUUGGCGGCUGCAAACAGGAAAAAAAAAGAGAUCAGAAAGAAGCAAAAGAAAAUCGAGAACAACCACGGCUGAAAGGAGAGGUUUUUCCUUAGACAGCAAAGGAGAGAAAUCAGAGAAGAGCAUACGGUUGCUGGAGCAAAAAACCAAACGAGAGCCAAGGGUUUAGGGCCUUUUAGUAAAAGCCAGAAAGAACGAAACAGGGAGGAGGGAUUGAAAACAGAAACCAGAGAGAGUUCGGGACGGCGGCUAAGAAAAGAAAACCAGGGGGCUGUGGAUGGUGGCUGUUUUAGGUAAGGAAAUCACGAGAGAGAUCUAGAGUUUCGGGGGGCAGGCAAAGGGCGACUAAAAAAGGAGAGAAAAGAGGGAGCUUUGGUAAGAAGAAAGCUACGGAAACGAAAGAAAAACAGCGAGAGAGGUAGGAGCUGAGAAUCCUUCGACCGAGAGAAAAUUUUGCAGCUGAACAAAGAAGAGGGAACCUGGAAAACUUGACAGAAAACGUCGGCAAGGAGAGAAAGGAAGUGGCGGCCAGAACAAAGGUAACCUCUUUGGCCUUAUGUUUCUAGUGUGAGCUUAGACCUUAUCUAAGUAUGCCAAAGAUCUUGCUGUGUUUUGUUUAUGGACAUACUUUGCUGUUCUGAUUCCUGUGGCAGUCGAAUGGCUUGAGUGUUGUCGAAAAAUCUGUUGUUUAAUCUUGUCUUGAGGAUAUAAAAUCUGAUGGUUAAUGAUCGGUGAAGAGUUUGCUCCAAGUUGUUUGUUGAUUCGAUAGGCCGCGGAUAUAAAAAUCAGAAUCUUGUAAGGUUUCCCUGGUGCAUAAAAUGUCUUGUGUCCCUUGCUGCUUUCCUUUUAGUUUUCUGCUGCUUUGUGUGUGUUUGGGUCACCUUUAUUGUUUUGAUCUAUCCAAUGAAUUGCUUUAACAUGGGAUGAUAUCCGGAAGUCUUGCCUGAAAUAAGAAAAUCUGCAUUUCAUUGCUCCUGUUUUUGCUGUUUCCUCGCGACAGUUCACUGAGUGAGUUUCAUCGCCUACUGAAUCACUUAAUCUUGUGUUUGAAAGAAAAAUUGGGUGAUUAAUGUUGAGGUCAUGUGUUCUUGGGCUGAAGCCACAUAAAUCAGGCUCAAACAACAUGCUAGAUAAAUAAGCUUCUGCAGAAAACUCAGAAACUAGUGGAGAGUUACUAUCGAAAGUAAAACUGAAUUUGCAAGCCUCUCCCCACGUUUGGCUGAUCUCCCUCUCCCUGGUAUAUUUAGUGUGCCGUCUUAAGGAUAAGCUUGCAGCUGGUUCUUGUUUGAAAUGAUCCUUAAAUUUGGCCGCACAAGGUUGCUGGAAUCCCUCAAGUUUUAGUUGGCUGUCGAGAGUUUCUUCUUGUUGCCGAAAUGUUUUAAGUUGCUGGAGUUGUUCAGAUUUUGCAUGUUGUUGUCUGACCAUCUUGGUGUCUAAGUCUACAGGUUUCAUGAUACAAAGUGGGAAGCUUGGGUAAUAAUUGUGUUUGGGUUUGUUUAUGUUUCAAAAACUGGUUGAAGUACCGAACUGCAUGAAGUUUGCUGCAUUUUUUUUUUCUUCUUUUCCUUUCGGUCAAUUCCAGUUCCUUGUUGAAUCCUGCAACCAAAUUUUGAUGUUUGAUGAUUAAAAUUAUGAGUCUUGUGGCCUAGUUCCACGCUAUGAUUUUGAUCAAAAAAUUGGUUUUCAAAGCCAACUGCGUUCGAUUGUUUGUUUUGGUUGCUGAAGGCUGGAAUGCCAAAUGUUGCAGAAGUUUGCCUUUCUCUUCGUGGAUUGCAUGAGUUGCAUGGAAAAUUUUCAGAAAAUUACAUUCCAACCCCCCAAGUCUUCCUUUAUCGUACUAUGGCUCAAUCAUGUUCUGAUUUCUUGCAAUUUGGUCCUAGAAGUAGUUGCAUUUUAACCUUUACUUGACCUUUUCUUUGCUUUUGGGCCCUUGAAGUUCCUAAAAAUGUUUAUUUAGGCUUGAGUGCUUGGUUAAUGUUCACAAUUGAGUCCUUGGUAGCCUCAAUUUUUCAACUCGAUUGCUUGUUUGCUUUCAUUAAUGACCAUGUUUUGUUAAGGUGGUGCUUAAUUGAAUGAAUUUGUGAAUUUUGUGUCUAAAUGAGCUUGUGUUUGCCUAUUUUCUUUAAUUUUCCCAAAUAAAUUGGUACCUUGACCAUUUCUUUUAUUUUGGAGGAUAAAUAAGUGACUUCACCCCAUUAGAGCUCCAACUCAAGGGAGGUAUAACUUUUUUUAUCUUUUUUGUCUCCCCUAUGUGAUCCAACGUGCUACGUGAAAAUUGCAUGUCUACUUGCUUCCCUUAUUUUUCUUUAAUUCCUUUCAUUUACUUCAUUUACUUUUACUUUUUUAUUUAAGUUAUUCUUUAUGGGGUAUGUGUACACCUUUUGGCUUGUAAUAGUUAGGGAUUUAAUUAUUUUAUUCCUUUUCCCCCUUUUAGAUUGUAGUAGGGUCUCCCUAAUGUAAUAGAUAGGGCUUGGAGGAGCAUUCAAUGAAGACCUAUCGAAGUCAUGUGCCUAGCUAGCAAAUGUAAUAGUUAGGGCUUUAAUUGUCUUAUGUGUCUUGCAUGCUUAGUUACUACGUGUUAAUUUGCUUUGUUAGGACCUUGCAUCUAGUCGAGCAUGCUAAAUGUUAUGUGCUAUGUGUUUAUAAGUGUUUGACAUGUCUACUCGCUUUCCAUAGCCUGAAUGAAUGUGAUGGAUGAAUGUACGUUUCCACUAGUCCAACGUUAGUCGGAAUUCAUAGAAUGGGCUAGUUCAACGCUAGACCCUUAGGGAUUUCCCCUCGUUAGUACAUGUUUGCAUGUUCAUUACAUGUCAUGCAUUCUUUUUAGUUUUAUCAUUUUGCAUGCCCUCCGAACCCCUUUUCCCUCCAUUUUAGGAUUUUUGCAUUUCAUGCUAGUUAUAGGGUUCAUUUGCUUGAGAGUCCCCUUAAAUAUGGGAUAUAGACGAGUGUGGCUUUUUCUAAGCCUUAGCACGCUUGUAUUCCCUCUAUAAAAGGGCAAAUUGAGUCACGAUUUAGGUCUCCCUGUACCCAAUAUGCAUGAAUUCCCUAGACUCAUGCAUUUUUAAAUCCACUCUACCAUUUUAUACCCUCAUCACACUUUCAUUUUUUCUCCCAUUUUCCACACGUGCACCUUUAUGUUUCUUCACUUCUACACGAACACUUUUAUCAUCACUUGCACACAUGCACUUCAUAUUAUCAUUUCACAUACCGUACUUUGCCCACUCACGUGCACAUUUUCAUUUACAUAUUUAUUGCCUUUUAUUACUUUUUCAAACUCAUGUCCUCACAUUGCAUAUAUGCAUUCCAUUCAUUUGCAUCCCACUCGCAUUAUUCGUGACUUCUUCAAAGGAUCGUUAUUGGGUUUCACAAUUAAUGUGAUUGGUACCACUCAACCUUUGAAGAGAAAUUUCCUCCAAUACCCCUAGGUCUAGGGUUUGCAUUCAUGUAGUGCAUCCAAAUGUAAUAAAUUCUUUGGUUAAAACAAGAAAAUCUUUGAUUAAAUCAUGCAACUAGCCUUGGCUAGGUCAAAGGGGUGCCUUGGAUUUUAUCCUUGCCUUCCCCUUUGUCAAAUGUGACUCCCGAACCUUUUUCUUUGGUUUACGUGGACUAGGAGUCGUUUAAAAGGGGUUUCUUACUACUUUUUUUUCCUAUUUUUUUCUUUUCUUUAAAAAUUCAUUUUUUUAGGUGACUUGGUAUACCUUAACUCAUUACCAAGUGGCGACUCCGAUUUUUUAUUUCAAAAACCCUUUUUAAACUAUAAUUUUGGGUCAAAUCGUCGCAUUCUCAAACCCCCAUUUAGACCCAUUUUUCUUUUAAAUCACAAUUCAUUUUCCAAUCACAAAUUGAAUCAAAAAAUACAUUUUUAAACCAUUUAUUUAUUUAUCAGAAAAUGGGGCGCGACAACACACACACACACACACACACUCUCUCUCUCUCUCUCUCUCACGCACACAAUCUUUCUCCUCACACACUUUCAUACAUAUACAUAUACACUCUCACACACAAUCACACACACACAUAAUCAUGCACAUAUGCACGUUAUUAUGUCAAACAUAAUUUGUUUAUUAUACACAUGAAAACACACAUAUUUCUUUUCAGGGACACGUUUGCAUACAUAAAUACACAUGCAAAUUCUCUUUUCAUCAUAUUGGUAUUUCAUUUUAGUAACAUUAACAAGUGAUAUUUAAAGAAUUAAUGCGAUUCAAUAGUAAAACAUAGUAUUGGUAUUAAACUAUAUAAUAUACAUAUAAUGAAAUUUUAUAAUUCAAUUCUCAAAUUUAGCAAGUUAUUAAACAUAUUUGAUUGAAUGAAUCUCAGCAAAUUCAGACUUAAGUACUUAAAUUUCAAUUUUUAGAUUUCAGAUUUCAAUUUCAUCAAACACUCCAUAAAACCUCAUUAGUAACGAAAAAGAAAACGCAGAUUUAGAUGCUCAUGGGUCUAGGUACCCAAUGAUUUAAAAAUAAAAUUAAAAACCGAAAAAAAUAUAUAUGAAAUCCAAAGAUAAUAGAAAUACAAUCUAAUAACCAAUUUUAAAUAAAUAAUUAGCACAUCUGAUGGUUGAAUACAUGUAUGGAUGUUUUUUACUAUGAGCAUUUUAUCUGACUUUUGAGUAUGUUUGCAGUUUCAAGUGUAAUUUUUUAUUUUUGUCUCGAGGUAUUUGUGCUUUAGACUUGUUGUGUAUGUGUGUAUAUUUGAUAUGAUUUCUAUCAUUGAUAUUUAAUGAAGUUAUGAUAUUUAUCUAGAAAAAGAUCUGCAAGACAAUCACGGUUUAAACCAAUAUUAUACAACUAUUCAAAAUUUAAUUAUACUAAAAAAUCCUUAACUGCGUUGAUUUUGAAUAUAAUUUUAUAGUUUGGUUGUAAUUUAGAAUAGUAAUGGUGGAAAGUAUAUAUGUGCAUUUAGUGAAAACUGUAAGUAUUUUUAGGGAAUCUCAUUUAGUAAAUAUUAUAAGUAGGUUCCAUAAACAAAAAGGUUAGAGAUUUAAAAAGCCAACCAAAACAUUACUUUUGCCUUAUAAUUGAUAAUAAUCACGAUAUAUAGACUAACCAACUUAAGUUGAAGCAUGAAUCUCUUCCUGUUGGGAAGUCAACUUGGUCACAUAAUUAUUUUAUUCAAGCUUUUGUUUAGAAGAAGGCCUAAUUGGCAUGAAAAUCACACUUUCCAUAUUUAGUGAUGGGUUUUUAGUAUACGUAAAAGUUAAAAAAUCCGAAAUACACCCGUUUCACGACAAGUAUACAAGUCAACUAAUAGUUUAGGGUAUAUAUCGGGUCGAUCCCUGAUAAGAGUUUAUUUUACGUAUUUUUAAGUGCAUUUUAUUAGUUAAUUUUGAGUUGGUUAUUUAGUUUUAUAAUUAAAAUAAAGAGGUUUUUGGUAAAAUUAUAUAUUUUGGUAAAAGUGGAUAAUUUUGCAUUUUUAGUGAUUUUAAUGGUAAAAACUUCAUUUUUAUACAGGAAUGAUGAUUCAAUCACCAAUGGAUGUCAAAUGAGGUGAAAAGUAGAUAAUUGGUGAUGAAUUCAAGUGGUAACAAGAAGAAUGAAGUGAAAAACGUUCAAGUGAGGAAAUGCAAUACAAGUCAGUUUUGACACUCUUCGGUAUUUUGACCAUAUCUGGAGCUACACUUAUCGGAUUGAGGUGAUCUUUAUACCAUUUUAAAGCUAAGAAAGAGAUCUACAAUUCGUAUGAAGACAUCAAAAUCCAAUUCUGCCAUUUCCAAGGACAAAAAGUCGGAAUACAGAAGCUGCAUUCUGUGGUCGGAAGUUAAAACAGAGGUUUGACUAGGUGAUAGUAGUUCGAUCAUAUCUCAGGCUACAAAGCUUUGAUUUGGAUGAUUAUUGAAGCAUUGGAAAUCUAACUCAAAGGGCUACAAUUUUUGUGUUUUGCACAAAAGCCAGUUCGGCCUUUAUCAUGGAGAAAAUCGCAGUUGAAGCAAGGCCAAAGUAAAAAUGCGAGUAGAGAAAACGCGAGUUAUAGCCGCGUUUUGUGUAGGCGCGUUUUGUAGUCGAAAUUCUGCAAUUUACUCAGCCAUUUCUCUUGUGUUCAUACCACUUUCCAACUAUAAGUUGCAAGGGAAUUCGGUGCACAUGCUUCACAAGACAAAAGGGCAGACAAGGUAGCUUAUUUUCAAGUCAAAACAUUGGUUAUUGACUAUCUUAACAAUUUCAUAUUUGGAAAUCAAGUGUGGAAAGUUUGACCAGUGGAAAAUGAGCUUUGGAGUAGUUUAUAUGCAGAGACAUUUGGGAGGUCAGGAGAGAUACAGAGGAGGCUUGAAGAGUGUAAAAAUGUAGUUCUUCCAUUUCCUUAUUGUAGGAUAGUUUAGCUAGUUAGUUCAUCCAUUCUUGUUUAUUAGCUAGAUUAGGAUGAAGAUGGAGUUGAAGAAGAAGGAGUUGAACCUCAUGUGACAAGGGUUAUCUCUUCUCCAACUCUUAAUCUUUUGUAUUUGAUUCCAAGUUUAGCUAAUAUACAAGUUCUGAAUUUUAUGUUUAAUAUGUGUCUUUAAAGUUUAUACCUUGGGUUUGGUUGAACUUUCUAUGAUUGUUAGUGCUUAUUAUUUGGCUAUUUGAUUGCCAUGAUUUGAGUAAGUUAUUUAGCACUUUAACUCUUUAAAUCAUGAUUAAUCUGGUACCAUUAAUUGUGAUUAUCUAAGGUGUUAUUUCUGCAAUGAAAAUUGAGAUUUAACAUUAGUUCAAUAAGUGCUAAACAUGGGGAGUACACUCAUGAGAGUAGAGGUGCACCUAUCGGGUUUUGGUGAUUAAUUUCAUGUAAUUUCAUUGAAGAAAUGAACUUAUAGCUAAUUUCAUAACCAUGAGAAUAGGUAUGGAUUAGUUAUUAUUAUAAUUGAUUCACUACGAAAGUAGGAUUCAAAUGCAUAAGGAAAUUACACCAUAACUAGCUUAGAUGUAGUAUUCAAUGAUCCAAAAAUAGUAAUUACAUGAGUAGUUAGGAAUACCAUAACCUAAGGAACUUUCAUUUGUUAUUUUGUAUAAUUUCAGUAGGUUAAAAUUGUUAUAAUUCAUUGAUAGUCUAAAUAAUAAAGAAACUUUAGUAAUACCGAUAAUUGUUCACUCUUCCCUGUGGGAUCGACCCGAUAUAUACCAUAAACUACUAGUUGACAUGUAUACUUACAGUGAACGGGUGUAAUUCGGUUUUUUAACUUGCAUGUAUGUAAAAUACCCGUCAAGUUUUUGGCGCCGUUGCCGGGGAAGAUUUGGCAAUAUCGAUGUGAAGAGUAACUUUAUUAGUUUAGACAUAUUAUUAGUUAUACUGUGAAUGUUAUUUUCUAUUAUUUUAGUAUUUUAUAUGUGUAUGUGUUUUAUCACCUAUUCUUAUUACUAAUCUUGCUUUUAAGUUGUUUAAAAGCAAUUUUAGGUAAUGAGGAGGGUAGGUCAAUUUGGAGGACAAUGCUUGAGAAAUGGAAGUUUGGCAAUGGAUGGUUACCAAGUGCAAAGCUCCUUCAAUAGAGGUAAUCAAGAAUUUACUAAAUGUAUGUCUUUUGAAGAUGGUUUAAGGUGCUUAAAGGCUAAAUUUGAUGUUAUGAUGUUACAAGUUCAAAUGGACACAAUUAUGCAUGAAAUUGAGCAAGGGAGGGAUGUUAAUGCUUUUAAAUCUUAUCAUGUGAUUUGUGACUUGUGUGGAGGUUAUCAUGCUACUAAUAUAUGUAUACAAGCACAAAAUGUGGAUUAUUAUGAUAAAUUAGAGCAUUACAAUCCUUGUUUUGAUCGAUAUAGUGCUAAUUGGAGCCAUUCUCCUGCUUAUGGUUGGGAUGAUCAAUGUACUUAUAGUGAUAAUUCAUAUUUUUAUGAUUACCAACCUGAAAGUGUCCAAUAUGAAUCAAAACCAUCUUGGGAGUUGGCAAUAGAGAAGUUAGCUAAUGCACCUCUACCUUGGGAGUUAGAAAGUGAACCGUUAGCUAAUGAUUCUAAUGCAUCUUGGGAGCUAGCUGUAAAAAAUUUUCUAAUCAAUUUGAUUCAGCAAUAGAAAAGCUAGCAAAUGCAACUUUCAACCGUUUUGAUAGGAUUGAGGAAAGAAUAGAUGAAUUAGCUUCUCACUUUGGUAGAAUACAUGUGCAAUUGAAUGCAUUGUGUGAAGUUAUUUCCUCUAAUAAUUUGCAAAAUGAUCCUAGCAUGAAUGGUGGGAAUGUUGUAUGUGAAAAUAGGUUGCAUUUUGAUGAAAAUGAUGAAUCUCAAGUGUGUUUUAAUGAGCAAAUAUCCAUUUCACAUGAUAAUAUCUUUGGAACUAACUUUGCCCCUCAAGAGGUGAGUUUUAAUGAAAGUAUAGGUUCUAAGGGUAUUGCUGCCCAAGAUAUUCUUAUGGCAUUUCAUUUGGUAAGUUCUCAAGUGGUGCAUACUCAAGGUAAUAUCUAUGAAACACUUAAGAUAGGUUAGUCACUUCUAUUUCUCACAUCAUUAGAUCAUGUGACUUUUGCUAUAAAGUCACCAUUUAAUGAUCCACCACGUCCAAAAAUGGUGGAUUAUUCGUUAAUUAAACCUCCUUGAAAAAAAAUGAGGUGAUGUAGUCGAGCCAACGACUAUAAACAAAAACGCUUGUUGGAAGGCAACCCAAUAUUUUAGUACCUUAUGUUAUUUUGAUGUGAUUUUGUGGUUUGAAUAAGUGUUUUAGUUAAUUUGUUGUUUUUGUGGUAUAGGGUUGGCAAUUGGAAGCAAAAAUGACCAUUUGAGGUAAAAAAAAGUGUACUUUGAUCAAGCAACUCAAUCCUCGAUUUGCGUUACAAGGUUAUUUGAUCUGUUUAAAAGAGGUAAAAUGCAUGUUUUUAAUGUUUUACAUGUGUGCACAUCGAUAAAUUUUACAAACAAAUGAUUUAUGAUGCAUUUUGAGUGAUUGGGGUACCAAUGGUAAUUUUUCAAAGUUCAUUUUCUGCAAAAAAAUUGCAGAAGAAAAUGCACCUAGCAUGAAAACGCGCUUCCGAGUCGCGUUUUCAUCGAAACGCGUUUCAAAUUCUGCAACGAGACUGAAUAAAACGCGCUUCAAAACAUGAAACUAAGUUGCGUUUCUCAGAAAAAUCGCGUUUUCAAGCCUGGAUCAAGAUUCAAAAACGCGACUUUAGAAACGCGACUCAAAGUCGCGUUUACCUACACAGUCGCGUUUUCAUUCCUGCAAGAUUUGUGCAGGAAAUGCGACUUAGAAAACAUGAGUUGAAGGCGCGUUUUCAGUCGCGUUUUAUGUGUCCGAAUAUAACCUCCAGAAACGCGAUUUCAGCUUCAUUUCUUCUUCUCUUCUCCAUUUUCCAGGCGCGUUUUUUCUCUUCCUUUCUACCCAACUCACAAAUCUUCAUUUUUACUCCAUAAUCUUGCUAGAAAUCAUCACGCCAACACCUUUUGAGCUUCAUACAACCUUUUUAACUGAUUAAAAUCCAAGAAAAACACCUCAAAUUCAGUUUUUGAAGGAUUGAAGGUUAGGGUUCUUCAACUCUAAUUUCUUCAAUUGGAGGUCAAUUGGAGGUUGUUUCAUAGGGCUUUUUGCAAUUUUAGCAUCACCAAACUUCCUUCUACGUGAUUGAGGUAAGUUUCUUCAUCAAAUCUUUUGAUUUUAGAAAGUCAUAUUUUUUUAUCCUGAGCUAUCUGACAUCUUUUAAUUUCGAAAAUUUGAUGAUAUUUAUGACUAUUUUUUUAUUUUAUUCAUGCUUGUUAAGAUUGUUUAAGCAUGUUUAUAUGUUUAAAUGUAGCAAUUUAUUGGUUUCGUAGUGAUUUAAAAUUCACAAUUGCUAUAUUUGGGGGAAAUUGAAAAAUGGAUUUAGGAUGUUUUUGAGCUAUUGGUGAUGAUUAAUUAUGGUUAAGAAUGGUUAGUUGACGAUAUUUUAGCAUGUGCAUUGUGUAUAGUGAGUAAUUUGGUUGAUUUGGUGAGUUAAUUGGUUUAAUUUUUGCCUAAAUAUGAUCAUAGCUAAAAGCUUAUUAUUAUUGUUAAUUCUAAAUAGUUAUAAUCAUAAUUGUUGCUAUUUUCACUAAUUGGGUUAUAAUUAUUCCAUAUCUUGUUUUAAUUGGUGAUUUUGAGCAAUUUUUGGCAUGAAUUAUGGCUCGUCUUGUUCGGUCCUUUACAUUAGUUAUUGGACGAAUUAUCACUUGAAGGUACAAAUUGGAGAUUAUUUGGAUCAUUUUAGGAUAUUCAUUGCCAAAUUGUGAAUUGUGUCAAAAUACAUGUGGUUAAUUGCAAUAUUUUCUUUUAGGUACUAUGCCAAGGGGAAGGCGUGUGAUACCUUCAUCCUCUAGUAGUGAGGAGAGGGAGGUUGAUGAGGAGAUGGAGGUGACUGAGGAGGAGAAUUCACCUUCUCCUCUACCAGUUAACCGUCGACCUGGUGAGGGCACCUCCCGUGGAGCGGGAAAAUUGGUAUUUGACAGUGCUAGGUUCAACACUCGCAGGAAUCAGGAGUGGCAUGAGGCGCGUGCUAAUUUGGGGUUUUUGUUUGAGAUGCACGUCAGUCCACCAGUUGAGAUGAUGUACAACAUCUCAGAUGCUUUUGCUCAGCUAGGAUGGGCUCCGAUUCUCACCCUACCAAACUAUUACUACCCCGACUUGGUGCGCGAGUUUUACGCCAACAUUGAAAGUAAGGCGCGCCAUAGUGGAGAAAUAGUUGAGUCCUGGGUGCGUGGAAGACGAAUCACCUUGUCACGUCAAGAUUUGGCCGCUAUUUUGGGGUGUAUGGAUGACGGACGUCCAGUAGAUUUGAAGAAGGAGUUUGUUCCCCCGAAUAGGAGGUGGGAUCCCUCAUUGGCCAUGGCUAGGUUUGGUCUCGAGUACCAACCUUUUCGCUCUACAAGGAAGGAGACUAUAGUGGCGAAUGUCUUCGAUCCUCGUCAUCGUCUUAUCAUUUAUAUGAUGGCUCACAAUGUCAUCCCAAAGAAGACAGGGCACAUGGAGGUCCGCAAGAGCGAUAUCUAUUUCUUGGAUUACAUGUUCCAUAACCGAACCUCGCCGUAUGCUCCAAUUUCAUUGCCCAACAUCAUCAUUAGCCACAUUCGUUCUACGGUGAGGCGUAAGACAACUUCUUUCAAAUUAUCAUUUCCUUGUCUACUGACUUUAAUCUUCCCGCGUUUUGAGGUUCGGUUGGAAGGCAUGAGGCUGGAGAAUGUUCCUCCACGAGCUGAAAUGACUCUUACUACUCUCCGCCGGCUUGGUAUUGGCACGGGGAACGUUCCACGCCCUGUUCAGGAGCGGCGACAAAAGGCUAGACAUGGUCGCGAUGAAGUUGGAACAUCUACUUCAGCACCACUUCUUCCUCCGCCUCAGAAUAAUUGGCAGCGACUUUUUGACCAUAUGGAUGACUUUGUAUACCAGUUUGCUGCCAUUAGGAAUCGUCUAAGCCGAAUUGAAGAUCAUUUGGGCAUUCAUCCACCGCCCAAUCAUGAUGCAGAGGAUGGCGAUGAUGCCGAGGGGGAUGACUGACUUGGCGCACUGCAGAUGCUAUCUUUUGUUGCUCGAUUUGCUUGCCUGAUUGUCUUAACUUGUGAAAAUUAAGUUGUUUAACUUCAUUUUAUUUGUUUGGUAGGUACUUGUAUUUUGGCAGUGGUUCGUGAUUAAUGGCUGAUAAGGAUCUCAGCCAUUGCCUUGGGAAGUACUUCUUUCUUUUCUUUUCUUCUUUUGUUUUUUUCUUUCCCUACACAUUGAGGACAAUGUGUAUUCUAAGUGUGGGGGAAGAAAUGUGUAGUACUUGUGAUUUUAGUUGUGUUUGAUGUUAGUUAUAUUUCUUGUGCUUCCAAUUUGUUUCUUGUGGUUGCUGGCAGGGAGUUUAGUCCAGUUUUAAGGGGAGACUCUGUCAAAAUUUUUCCAAAACCUUCUACAUAUAUAUAUAUAUAUAAUAAUCAUAAUAAAUAAAUAAAAUUUGGUCACUUAUCCUUUUGAAAUAAAUAUAUGUGGACUUGGAAACUUAUUUUCUCAUUCAAUUUGAAAAUGACUAUUAUGUGAUUUUAAUUUAUGCAUUUGUAGGAAAGUAUAUCUUGUAAAGUGGAAAAAAUUAUGCCUAUUUUUUUUUUUGCAUAGUUAAUGAAAUUUCUUCUCUUUAUUGGAUUUUAUAAGUUAAGUGAUAAAUAUGGUCAAUAAUUGCAAUACUCUUCUCAUGAUUAUGCUUUCGAGGGAAUGUUAUUAUCUUUACUUUAAAAAAAAUAAAAAUAAAAAAAUGAAAAAUGAAAAAAAUGAAAAAAAAUGAAGAAAAAAAAACGAAAAAGACAAAAAUAGAAUAAGAUUUGUUCUAUUCCAAUGAUUCUUGUACUUAGUAACAGGGUGUCUUCAUCUAAAAAUGUCGACUUUCGUAUAAAACAGUACUUGAAUUAAGAGUGUGCAAUGCAACUUGAGUAUGUGAAUUGUUGAGUAACCGGUGAUCUUCAUCUAAAAAAGUCGAUCCUCGCGUAAAAGGAUACUUUCACAACUUAAGUAAUACUUAACUAUAUUAUAUAAAUAAAUCCCUCUUUAAGUUAAAUAAGAAGAUGAUCAUGCGUUUAGGAAGCAUUUUAUUGAUCAUAUGAAUUACUUGCUCGUGAAAUUAAGUAAGGAUGAAAAAUUGAAUUAAACUUGUUAUAAUUAUGGUAUAAUUGGCUCUCCUUUACUUGAUAUUAUGAGUACUUGAGGUUAUUGAAUGAUCGCUUAAUAGUUAUUUACCUUGUUUUGAGAAAAUGAAGUUGAAAUGCUACAUAUGUUUAUUUUCAAAUUUUGGAUCAUUGUUGGUUUGUAUUUCUUAUUGCUUGAGGACAAGCAAUGAUUCAAGUGUGGGGGUAUUUGAUAAGAGUUUAUUUUACGUAAUCUUAAGUGCAUUUUAUUAGUUAAUUUUGAGUUGAUUAUUUAGUUUUAUAAUUAAAAUAAAGAGGUUUUUGGUAAAAUUAUAUAUUUUUGGUAAAAGUGGAUAGUAUUGCAUUUUUAGUGAUUUUAAUGGUAAAAACUUCAUUUUUAUAUAGGAAUGAUGAUUCAAUCACCAAUGGAUGUCAAAUGAGGUGAAAAGUAGAUAAUUGGUGAUGAAUUCAAGUGGCAACAAGAAGAAUGAAGUGAAAAACGUUCAAGUGAGGAAAUGCAAUACAAGUCAGUUUUGACACUCUUCGGUAUUUUGACCAUAUCUGGAGCUACACUUAUCUGUAUGCCAUUUUAAAGCUAAGAAAGAGAUCUACAAUUUGUAUGAAGACAUCGAAAUCCAAUUCUGCCAUUUCCAUGGACAAAAAGUCGGAAUACAGAAGCUGCAUUCUGUGGUCGGAAGUUAAAACAGAGGUUUGACUAGGUGAUAGUAUUUCGAUCAUGUCUCAGGUUACAAAGCUCCGAUUUGGAUGAUUCUUGAAUUGCUUAAGGACAAGCAAUGGUUCAAGUGUGGGGGAGUUUGACAAGUGACUAAUUUACGUAAUAAUUGUAUGACAUUUUAUAUUAUUUUUAGUCACUUUGGGUAUAUUAUUGGAAGAAAAUGAAUCAUUUUAGCUAUAAUUGGUGAAAAAUGCUUUUAAGUGGUUAAAUGAGGUUUUUAUCACUUUUUACUUGGAUUUUGUGCAUUUUGACAGUUUUGACACAUUUUUGUAUUUCGGCUAUAAUUUGAGCUAAAAUGAUCGGAUUGAGAUGAUUCUUAAACCAAUUUAAAGAUAAGACAUAGAUCUACAACUUUGGUGAAGACAUCUGAAUUCAGUUGAAGGUUUUCCAAGUUAAGUUGAAUUACAGUAGCUAAUUUCUAUUGAUCGAAGCUGAAACAGGGCAGUGAGUAGUCAAGGGUAUUUUGGUCAUUUCUCAGCCUACAUAGAUUCAAAUGAGGUGAUUCUUGAUGCAUUGGAAAUCUAACUCAAAGGACUACAAGUGUUAUGUUUUUGUCAAGAGCUAAAUCAGCUUUUAUCAUCAAGAAAAGUUCAGUUGAAGUUGACACAAAAUCGGAGCAGAGCUGGAAAUUUAACAAAAGUGCACCAAAAUGUCACUGUAGUAAUCCGGCCGGAACUUGGCCAGAUUUCUGGCCGCAUUGUGGUCAGAGAAGGCUGCUCUUUAUGCGGAAAAGUUAUUUUCACCUCCAACAAGUCACAUGCAAUGCCAGACAUGUGAGAACUAUUUUGCAGCUGUAAAAGGGUGGUGUAGGCCUCAUUUUCUUGACUUCUUUCAUCUUUAUAUAGCCAAACUUGCAAGAUUGAGGAAGAAUAGAGAGAGAUACGGGAGAAAGCUUGGAGUGCAGAAAUGUAUCUAUUGCAUUUUCUGAGUAUUAGGUUAGUUUAGUAUAGAGUAAGUGUAGUUCAUCCAUUCUUGUAUAUUGGUUAGAUUAGGAUGAAGAUAUAGAUGAAGAAGGAGGAGUUGAAACUCAAGUGACAUGGGUUAUCUCUUCUCCAACUCUUUAUCUUUUGUAUCAGAUUCUUAAGAAUAGUUAAUAUGCAAGUUCUGGAUUUUGUGUUCAAUAUGCGUCUUUAAAGUUUAUGCCUUAGGUUUGAUCGAACUUUCUAUGAUUAUUAGUGUUUAUUAUUUGGUUAUUUGAUUGCCAUGAUUUGAGCAAGUUAUUUAGCACUUUGGCUCUUUAAAUCAUGAUUAAUCUGGUACCAUUAAUUGUGAUUAUCUAAGGUAUUGUUUCUGCAAUGAAAAUUGAGAUUUAACACUGGUUCAAGAGUGCUAAACAUAGGGAGUACACUCACGAAAGUAGAGAUGCACCUAUGUGGUUUUAAGUGAUUCAUUUCAUGUAAUUUCACCGAAGAAAUGAACUUGUAGCUAAUUUCAUAACCAUGAGAAUAGGUAUGGAUUAGUUAUAAGUAUAGUUGACUCACUACGAAAGUAGGUUUCAUAUGCAUAAGGAAAUUACACCAUAACUAGCCUAGAUAGUAGUAUUCAAUGAUCCAAAUAUGGCACUUGCACGAGUAGUUAGGGAUACCACAACCUAAGGAACUUUCAUUUGUUAUUUUCUUUGCAUAAGUUCAGUAGGUUUUACUUGUUAUAAUUCAUUUAUAAUCUAAAUAAUAGAGAAGCUUUAUUAGUGCCGGUAAUUGCAAUCUUCCUUGUGGGAUCGACCCUUAAUACCCUAUACUCGUUCACGAUUCGUAUACUUGCAAUAAAUCAUAUGUGGGGUAUUUAGCAGUUUAUAAAUGUAAAACUUGAUUAGGAUGAGCUUAAUGUUAUAUGUAUACAUACGCCCGUCAAUAACCUUUAUUGACUAUAUCAAUCACUUGCAAAAUUAAGUAAAGAGGAGAAAUCUUAUUAAACAUGUAAAAUUAUAGGCAUAAUUCUCCUCACUUUACUGGAUAUACUUUCUAAAAUGCAAAAAAUCCUAAUUGCAUAAUAACCAUUUCCAAGUUAAAUGAAAACUAAAGCUUCCAAAAUACAUAUAAAGUUUCAACAAGUGGAAGAAUUAGACAUUUAAAGUUGGAACAAAUUAGCCAUUUUUUGAAUAAAAAUGCAAAAAUUUAAAGAACUUUUGGACCAUAAUGAAAUAUUAGAAAGGGUUUUAGAAAAACUUUGACAGAGUUUUCCUUUAUAAAUGGACGAAACUCCCUGCCAACAAACCCAUUUUCAAGCAAAUUAUCCAUAUGGCAAAAUUUUCAAACACAAUUCCAACAUUUCUAAUCAUUUAAAUCCACAAAAUAUCAUCACAUGGCAUGCAUCAGAAUGCAAGUUCAAAUAUUUCCCUCCCCCAUACUUAAACUUCACAUUGCCCUCAAUAUGAGAAAAGGAAAAUAAAUAAAGAGUAAAAGAAAAUACUGCUCAUAUGAACUUGCGCUAUUCAAAUCCGUGGCAAUGUGAUGAAUUUCCAACCUUAUUUGGGAAAGAAUGGAGAGUUCAAUUAUUGCACCCUGAAAAAGACAAAAUCAAAAUAAAACAACUUCUUAAAAAUAAAAGGUUGCAAUCAACAAGAAGAAAACAUGCAAUUCAAAGAAAAAGGAAAAAUGAUCAAGCAUGUGGAACCAUACAAUGUUCAAGGGAUAACAACAUGAAAUGAGCUAAUCUUUGCUAAUCAAAUAUAUGUAUUAGUAUCCAAAGCAAAGGGAAGCUAAUUUCACAAAAUAAGUCCACCAUCAUGAACAAAGUAAUUUUCAUUCAUAUAUUUUGUCAUCAUUGAUCAAGUUCCCUCAAGUAUAAAAGUAAUCUAAAAAAUGGAGGCAAACACACCAAGUCAAAUUAUAAAUGACCUUCUUGAGAACUUAUGAAAUACUAAAAACCAUUGAACCACAAGGAUUAUAAGUGCAUUUAUGAAUUUCAUCAAUUACGAUUACCUAAGAAUUCAAAAAAAUCAUUCAACCAAGCACAUUUUCAUUCAUUAGGUAAUCUAAAUUACUCACAUGAAUAUCAUAAACUCCCACAAAACUAAUUAAAAUGCUACAUUGGCCACGUAAUAUGCAACUUUAUCACCAAACCAAAUUAAGCAUAAAACUAGCAAAAAUUCACCAAAUAAAGACAAUAAAUGCAAACCACAAGAUGUAUCUAUUACUAACAAUCACCAAUAGCUUCAAUAAGCUCAAAUAAAUACACAUAACUUCACAUAUUAAAAAUUGCCUAAAAGUAGAAAAUAUUCAAUCAUGGCAAGUUCAAUUGACAAAAUUUGGUGAAGAUUUGUUACCUCAAAAUGGUUUGAUGAUGUUUAGUGAUGAAUAUGAUGUGAAAACCCCCAAGAAACUUACUCCAGUUUGGCCUAAAUUGAGUAAUUCAAGAAGGUGCAACCCUAACUAAUGGUAAGGUUGAAACCACUUUAGAGUUGUUUUUGAAAAAAUGUGAACUAUGAAAUCCACUCUUGAGGUUAAGAGGAGUGUUUUGGUGAAGUUGGUUUGAAGAUUGGAUGGUGAAAAGAGUGAGUUUAGUGAGUAGUAUGUGUUUUAGGUGUUAGUGUGUGUACAGGUUAAAGGAGAAGGGAAAGAAGAAAUGAGGAAUCCGUUCUUGAAGAUGAAGAGCUGCCACCGGAUUCUGGCCAAUGAGCUGGAAAAAUUUUUUUCGCCCUCCCCUGUUAAUCCGGCGGUGAAUCCGGCCAAAAUUUGACCGGAUUUCUGGCCGGAUUGUGCUGCAAAAAAAAUUCUGAUUGCAGAAGUGGAUUUGAGGCCUCGGGUCCAUAUGGAUCAGAGCUCGGAUCCAUUGAAUCUGCACUUAUUGUAGAAGUGUCUGCAAUUUUCAGUUUGACCCCAAUUUGAAACACACUCUCCAAUUCGUGCUUUACAAUGAAAUUUUUAACAAUUCAACACUUCACACACAUGGAAAGUGAUUUAAACAUGAAUCUCAACACCUCAAAACAAAUCAAACACAUGUAGAAUCCAAAUUUAGGGUUGAGGUUCUUGGAUCAAAUAGUCCCCACGACACUUCCAAUGCACAUGAUGGUGCUCAAAUGGUUCAAAAGAGUGCAAAUAGAUCAUGAACACAUUUAAACACUUGAAUGCACUUCAACUUCAUGCAAAUGACUGACUUAACCUCACAACAUGAAAUUAAGCAUUAUAAACUCAAAAAUACAAGGUUAAGCUUCCCUUUUUCACAUCGGUCUUCACUCCUUAUAAGCUCUUUUGCACUUGAAAUAAUUAGCAUGAUUUCUUGUCAUUGCAACCUACAAAACACAUAAAAAUAUUAGUUAAACAACUAAAACUUACUAAAAAAAAGAAAUCAUUGGGUUGCCUCCCAACUAGCGCUUCUUUAUAGUCAUUAGCUUGACUAUUUCACCUCAUUUUUCAAGGAGGCUUAGUUAACGAAUAAUCCACCAUUUUAGGCCGUGGUGGAUCAUUGAAGGGUGACUUUAUAGUAAAAGUCACAUGUUCUAAUGAUGUGAGAGAUGAAAGUGACUUACCUAUCUCAAGUGUUUUUUAGAUAUUACCUUGAAUAAGCACCACUUGAGAACUCACCAAAGGAACGUCUGCUUGACAUUCUUGGGCAACAAUACCUUUAAAACCUAUACUAUCAAUGCAUUCCUCAAGAGGGGUAAAAAAUGAGUCAUUAAAACUCACCUCUUGAGGUUCAAGGUUAGUUCCAAAGAUAUUAUCAUGUGAAAUGGAUAUUUGCUCAUUGAAACACAAUUGAGAUUCAUCAUUUUCAUCAAAAUGCAAUCCAUUUUCACAUACAACAUUCCUACCAUUCAUAAUAGGGUCAUUUUGCAUAUCAUUAGAGGAAAUAAUUUCACUCAAUGCAUUUAAUUGGUCUUGUAUUCUACCAAACUGAGAAGUUAAUUCAUCUAACAUUUCCUCAACCCUAUCAAAACGGUUGGAGGUUGCAUUUGCUAGCUUUUCUAUGGCUAAAUCAAAUUGAUUAGAAGAAUUUUCUACAGCUAGCUCCCAUGAUGCAUUAGAAUCAUUAGCUAAUGGUUUACUUUCUAAUUCCCAAGGUAGAGGUGCAUUAGCUAACUUCUCUAUUGCCAAUUCCCAAGAUAGUUUUGAUUCAUAGUGGACACAUUCGGAUUGGUAAUCAUAUAGACAAGAAGAAGCACUAUUAGUACAUUGAUUGUCCCAACCAUAAACACAAGAAUUGCUCCAAUUAGCACUCUAUUGAUCAAAAUAAGGUUGUAAUGCUCUAAUUAAUCAUAAUAAUCCACUUUUUGUGCUUGCAUACAUGUAUUAGUAGCAUGAUAACCUUCACAGAAGUCACAAGUUAUAUGAUUAGAAUUAAAAGCAUUAACAUUACUUUUUUGCUCAAUUUCAUGCAUAAUUGUGUCCAUUUGAACUUGUAACAUGAGACCAACAAAUUUUGCCUUUAAGCACUUCAAAUCAUCUUCAAAAGACAUAUCUUCAGUAAUUUCUUGGUUAUCUCUAUUGAAGGAGUUUUGCACUUGGUAACCAUCCAUUGCCAAUCUUCCAUUUCUCAAGCAUUGGCCUCCAAAUUGACCUAACCUUCUCAUUACCUAAAAUUGCUUUUAAACAAUUUAAGAGCAAGAUUAGUAAGAAGAAUAUGUUAUAAAACACACACACACAUUAAACACUAAAAUAACAGAAAAUAACAUUCACCCUAUAACUAAAAAAAUGUCUAAACUAAUAAAAUUACUCUUCACACUGAUAUUGUCAAAUCUUCCCCGGCAACGGCGCCAAAAACUUGACGGGUUUUUAAUAUAUGUACAAGUUAAAAAAUCUGAAAUACACCCAUUUCACUGCAAGUAUACUGGUCAACUAGUAGUUUAGAUUAUAUAUCGGGUCGAUCUCACGAGGAAGAUUGAACAAUCACCGGUGUUACCAAAGCUUCUCUAUUAUUUUACUAUCAAUGAAUUAUAGGAAAUUAAACCUACUGAACUUAUGCAAAAUAACAAAUGAAAACUCCUUAGGUUAUGGUAUCCAUAACUACUCAUGCAAGUGCUAUAUUUGGAUCAUUGAGUACUACUAUCUAGGCUAGUUAUGGUGUAAUUCCUUAUGCAUAUGAAACCUACUUUCGUAGUGAAUCAACUAUAUUUAUAACUAAUCCAUACCUAUUCUCAUGGUUAUGAAAUUAGUUACAAGUUCAUUUCUUCAAUGAAAUUACAUGAAAUUAAUCACUAAAACCACAUAGGUGCACCUCUACUCUCGUGAGUGUACUCCCUAUAUUUAGCACUUCUUGAACCAAUGUUAAAUCUCAAUUUUUAUUGCAGAAACAAUACCUUAGAUAAUCACAAUUAAUGGUACCAGAUUAAUCAUGAUUUUAAAGAACUAAAGUGCUAAAUAACUUGCUUAAAUCAUAACAAUCAAAUAGCCAAAUAAUAAAUAAUAACAAUCAUAGGAAGUUCAACCAAACCCAAGGCAUAAACUUUAGAGACACAUGAAUAACAUAAAAUCCAGAACUUGUAUAUUAACUAAACUUAGAAUCAAAUACUAAAGAUAAAGAGUUGGAGAAGAGAUAACCCUUGUCACAUGAGCUUCAACUACUCCUUCUUCAUCUCCAUCUUCAUCCUAAUCUAGCCAAUAUAUAAGAGUGGAUGAGCUAUACUACUCUAUACUAAACUAAUCUAGCACACAGAAAAUGGAAGAGCUACAUUUCUGCACUUCCAAGCUUCUCCUGUAUGAUCUCUCCUUCAAUCUUGCAAUUGUUUUGACUAUAUAAAGAUAAAGGUGGUCAAGGAAUGAGGCUUACACCUCCCUUUUACAGCUUUAAAGUGGUUCUCACAUGUCUAGCAUUAGCUGUGACUUGUUGGAGUUGAAAACAAGUUGUCCGCAUAGAGAACAGCCUUUUCUCACCACAAUCCAGCCAUAAAUCCGGCCAAGUUCUGGCCGGAUUGCUACAGUGACUUUUUGUGCACUUUCGGUUCAAACUUCACUGCUGCUCCGAUUUUGCCUCAACUUCAGCUGAACUUUUCUUCAUGAUAGAAACUGAUUUAACUCUUGACAAAAACAUAAACGUUGUAGUCCUUUGAGUUAGUUUUCCAAUGCAUCAAGAAUCACCUCAUUUGGAUCUGUAUAGGCUGCAAAAUGACUGAAAUACCCUUGACUGCUCAAUGCCCUGUUUCAGCUUCGACCAAUAGAAAUUGGCUACUGUAAUUCAGCUUUUUGGCCUGGAAAACCUUCAAACUGGAUUCCGAUGUCUUCACCAAAGUUGUAGAUCUAUCUCUUUUCUUCAAAUUGGUUCAAGAUUCAUCUCAAUCCGAUCAAUGUAGCUCCAGUUAUAGCCGAAAUAUGAAAAUGUGUCAAAACUGUCAAAAUGCACGAAAUCCAAGUAAAAAGUGAUAAAAAGCUCAUUUAAUCACUUAAAAGCAUUUUUCACCAAUUAUAGCCAAAUGAUUCAUUUUCUACCAAUAAUAUAACCAAAGUGACUAAAUAUAAUAUAAAAUAUCAUACAAUUAUUACGUAAAUUAGUCACUUAUCAGUCAGAAACUUGUUAAGGUUUAUGCCAAAUUUAGUCAUGAAGAUAGUGGAAUUUAAAUAAAGGCAAUGGAAUUGUCGUUUCUUCUUGUGUUUUCCAAAGAAUAGAGGGUUAAUUACAUUGAGAAAUAAUUAACCCCUAUUUAGAAACUUGUUAAGGUUCCAAAAUUGUUAAGGCCUAAUUGGCAUGAAAAUCACACUUUCCAUAGUCAGAAACUUGUUAAGGUUGAUGCCAAUUUAGUCAUGGAAAUAAUGGAAUUCAAAUAAAGGCAAUGGAAGUGUCGUUUCUCCUUGUGUUUUCCAAAAACUAGAGGGUUAAUUACAUUUAGAAAUAUAAUUAAGCCUAUUUAGAAACUUGUUAAGGUUCCAAAAUUGUUAAGGCCUAAUUAAAAUUAUCCGCUAACUCGAAAACCUGUCAUAUCCGAUCCGAAAAUUAGGAUAUCCGAUUUUUAUUAUUUGAUCGGAUCAAAAGAGGGUCGGGUACCCGCUAAGAUUCGCGGCGGGUUAGGGUCACAUAAUUAAAAACCCGCGGGUACCCGAUCCGCCCCGCAUAUAUAAAUUUUUUAUUUUUAUUUUUAUACACACACACUAUAAAAUAAUAAUUUAGAACUAAAUAAGUAAUUUUAUUGAACAAAUUGCAUUACAAAUAUGAGAGACUGUAGUUUAUUUACAAAAUUCAUUUGUAGAGGUCAUGAUCUUAUAUUUUAUAGAAAAAAGUUUAAUUAAUGUGGAACAUAUAUAUUAAAAAUUGUGUUACUUAUUUCAAACUUUUAUUGAUUUUGAAUUCUUUUAAUUUUUUGCCUUUAUCUUAUAUUCUCUUCACAUGCUUGUUUCUUAGUGGGAAACCUUUUUCGAGAAAAAAAAUUAUUAAAUCUUAGAUGAAUGUGUAAAAUAUAAAAUUAAAUUAGUAUAAUUUAUUUUUUUAAAAAUUAAAUGAUAAAUGGGGUUGGGCGGAUACCCGCUGAUCCGACCCUAUCUCAGCGGAUAUCCUAUAAUCGGGUACCCACUAAUAUGCGGGGCAAGUAAGGGUCAGAAAAUGGCUAACCCGCAAGGUGCGGGUCGGUCAGUCAAAUGGUGAAUGAGACGGGUACCCGACCCGCGCCCACCCCUACUAAUUGGCAUGAAAAUCACACUUCCCAUAGUUAGAAACUUGUUAAGGUUGAUGCCAAUUUAGUCAUGAAGGUAAUGGAAUUUAAAUAAAGGCAAUGGAAGUGUCGUUUCUCCUUGUAUAUUCCAAAAAAUAAAGGGUUAAUUACAUUUAGAAAUAUAAUUAACCCCUAUUUUAGAAGCAUAAGAAUAGAGAAAAGUUCAUCUCUUGCAAUUAGUGAAAAGUAAAGAGCCAAUAUAAAUCAACUUAAUAACACUUUUUAAUACUUGCAGUUCUGCGAGGCCUUUUUUUGGUUUAACUUUUGUGGACAUUUACUUAUGUUCUUACGUGUCUGGCUCGUUGAAUUGUUUGAACUUUACGUUUUUAAAUUUCUUCUUCUUUUUUUUUGAGAAUUUACGUAAAACACAAUUUUUCAUCUAAAAUAUUGGAUGCACUCAUUUUCUAUUUGAAUUAAUUGCAAAGUACCCACAUGAACUUUUUUUGGGUUGUAAAUUACCCAACAAAGAAUUAAUUUCAGUGCCAUAAACUCUCAAGUUAUCAAAUUUUUGCAAUGUAUUCUAAGUCGAUUCACUGCUGAUUGAAUCAACUAAGUAAAAUGUUAAUUGUCCCUGAACUUAGGGUGAGUUGGAUAAAACUGAAAUAUGAAAACUGAAAUUUGAAAUCUGAAUCCAUUAAAUGAGUGAAUUAUUAAGUAUUCAAUUAAUAUAUUUGAGUGUAUAUCACUUAUAUUUUAGAGCAAAUUUUGUCUGAAAAAUUCAAUACCACUUAAUAAAUUCAAAUAUUCUAGUUUUAGUUAUCAAACAUGUCUGAAUAUAUUAAAAUUUGAACACAUUAAGUUUAAAUUCACGGUCCCUUCACGGUCUACAUAUCCAUGGUCCCUUCUUUUUUGUUUCUUUUCCAUCAAGCAUACACAAAAUCUCUCUCUCUCUCUCUCUCUCUCUCUCUCUCUCUCUCUCUCAAUAUCCUUAAAAUUCUGACAAAGACACGUUAGUAAUUAUACACUCAGAAGAAGGCAGAGAUAAAAAUGAACAAUUUUGUACCAAAUAUUUGCACAUAUAAACACAUUGUUUUUGCCAUCAUAUUCAUGAUAGCUAUUUCAUCAAAAUUACAGCCUCCAAGCUAGAAAACUUAGCCUGUCUUUCCUUGGGAUAUGUUUGGAAAUAAAUAUCAAAUAUUUUUAAAUACAUGCACAUUGUUAAUCAAUGCAUUUAAUUAGUUCAUCUCUAUAAGUUUAGAAAAUAAUUUAAGAAAACACUAGAUGAGAAAGAUAAGUUCUCUCUUACCUUGAGUAGUCGUCAUAGUGGUGGGUGAAAAGUUUAAGAGAGCCUUUCGGAAUUUGAUAGUUCACAUAAUUAUGUAAGGUAAAUUUAUCUUUCAAGUUUAAAUUGGACCACUAACGCUAGUGGCGGAGCCAUAUUAUGUUGAGAAAUUUUUGAAAUUGAAAUAUAGCCUUGAAAUUUUUACAAAUUUUUAUGUUUCUAUUAUAAUUGCGCUCCCUCAAUUUUUUUUUUUGAAAAAAAAUACCCUUUUCCUUUUAUAUUGUCCUCCUAUGUUAUGAGAAAUUCUCAUUCCUUUUACAUUACCUCCCUAAACAAUCAAUUUCUUUUAGGUAUCUCUCCUAUAGUUUUUUUUUUUUUGCGAACCCUAUUCACGGGGGAGGGAUGCCAGUCCCAAUUUAUUUAAAGUAUAAAAAUUACAAAACUUUAAGGACUCAUACCUGGCUUAAAACAACAAAAUAGUGGAGCUACCUUAUGAUAACCCUACUACGCACAAAAGGAAAAGAAAUACAGUCCAUAUAUACUAGGGAUCGGACCUUAUCUGGAAGUUGCCGAAUUGUAGUAAAUACCCUGUCCGCAUCGAGUUGCAAGCUUGCCAAUGCAUCUGCCACUGGAUUUGCUUCCUGAAACACAUGAGUAAAUGACGCUGACAACAAGAGUAGGUGCCAACAAAUCUGAUGAAUGUAAUUACACAGCGGCCAUCGACCUAUAGCAGGUGAAUUAACUAAGGUCACCAAUGUUUUUAAAUCCACUUCGACUAGCAGGUUGCCAACCUCUCGCUGAGUACAGAGUUGGAGACCAUAAAGCAAAGACAAUCCCUCCGCUUGCAAGACAUCAAACUCGCCAAAUUCUUUGUAAAAAGCAGCUAUCAAAGUACCUUCAUGACUCCUCAAAAUCCCGCCUCCAAAGGCCUUUCCAUUACGCACACUAGCAUUUGUAUUAAGUUUAACAUAGUUGAAGGGAGGCUUUGUCCAACAAAUUACCGGACAGCAGACCCUUUUUUGUCUUCAGGGAGCGUAGUCUUUGAACUUAUAAUCUACCUCCCCACGAAAAAUUGCUGGUGAAGAAUUCCAGCAAUGCCUAACUGAUGCAGAUAACUAUCAAUUUGCAUAAUAAUCUACCUGACAAACACUUUAAUGUCUUGAAAAUAUGCAUGGUUCCUAGCCUUCCACAAGAACCAGCCAAUAAUUACGGUCAUUGCCAUCCGAAUAUGAACUUUACUGGACCCUGGAACGGAUAACAACCGGGCCCGAAACAUAGCAGAGACAGUGUUGAAGCUCAAAUUGUACAAGCCGAACAUUUUCCAAAAUGCUCCCAUACCUGUCGACCAAUAGGGUAGGACAAAAAAAGAUACGAACACCCCUCUGUUUCCAAGUUAUAGCACCGACAUUUAGACGCCAAGCGUACCCCAAACCUUCUUAGGUUCAACUCCACAGGAAGAUAAUUACUAACCAAUCACCAAGCAAAGAAAGACAGCUUUAGCGAGAGGAUUGGACACCAAACAAUCUGAUGAAUCAUGGUUGAAUCCUUCCUUGGCCGCAAGGCACUCCACGCAUAAGUGAUGGAAAACUCUCCCAUAGGAGAUGGUAGCCAGACCAUUUUAUCCUCUUCAUCAAGAUCUAAACGCAGCUUUGAUAUGGUAUUUACCAAAUCAAUCGGCAAAAAGCCCUUCAAACAACCUACAUCCCAACCAUAAUUCAAGUGUCCUCGAAAUACACAUUUGAAGCAUGAGAUAUGAAAGAUGCUAACAGCCAAUCCCCUUCUUGAACCCUGAUUUUACCCUUUUUGAAACCUAAUUUUGGGCUCGAAAAUUUGGGAUUCGAGAUUUGCAGCCAUUACAAAAGUUCUAAGCCCUUUUUUUCCCGUCUGAGUUCUUAAGUAGGAAAACUAGAAAAAUUGUUUGGAAUGUUAAGAGCAUGAAGGUAAAUGGAAUAUUUCUUUGGGGGGCAAGUUUAGUUUUUCGUUGGUCGAAAUUCUAUCAUCUACCUGCCGUUCAUGAAGACCAUGAUGGACCAUCAACCGACUAAGUGGGAAGAGCAAUUCUAACCCAGUAGCGGAAAAUGGAUCUAAUCAUCAAUAAUCAAUAGUGAAUAGAAUACGAAGACUAAAAGGACCAGAGUCUCCUAAUGACUUAAAGUUGUUUCUUUCUUGUUAUCGUAAUUUGACUACAAAUAUGUGCUAUCUCCCCCCUUUUUCUUAGAAUGAACCUCCUAGAAUUUCGUGAUGUCCAAUUCAGUUUGUUUAUUUAUAUAUACUUUUUCUAGCCAACUUGUGUACCUAUUUAGGGUGUAGCUCGGACAUUAGGACUUUGUUAUGAACGUCAUGCUAAAUGAGUGGGUGAGCUGAAUCAUGUCCAAUUACUUGGUAACCGAUACUUGAUCAAAUUAUUAUACAUGAAAGGCGGAGGAUAGGUUAUAGAAAAAACGAACAAAAUCAAAUAAAGGAAUUAGAGAUUGGUCAGGAAUACUGGUUGAAAUUCGAUUGUGGAUAAAAGAGCUUCCAAUAUUGUAUUAUUCCAUUUUCAACGACGAAUUGAUUCUUGUGAAAUAUGUUCAGCUGCCUGUUUUCUAGUUCGUUUGCUCAGUGCCACGAACCGAUUAACCAAAUCGAAUUUGGGUUUUCUCAUGUCAAAGCAUCAAACAUAGAGAUUUCGUAUUUAGAGAACGUUUUUUUUUUUUUUUGUUUUUUUGGUACUUUUUUUUUUUUUAGGUGUGUCCCGCAGGGAGUGGACCCCGCAGACUAUUCACCACCCUCAGCAACUUGCUGGCAGCAAGGUUCGAACCAGGGACCUGAAGCUCCAUCUUCAGCAACCUCAACCACCAGACCAAGCCCCUGAGGGCUGUAUUUAGAGAACGUUGACUAUUUCAUUUUGACGAUAAACCAUUGACUAAUUCAAGGUAAUCCAAUUUAUCGUGAAGUCAGUUCUUUACUAUAUUAGAAAAUCAUUUUAUAUUUAUGUUAACAUUGAAAUAAAAUAUUCCUCUUUUGUGGUGAACCAAAACUUGCUUGAUCUCAUAAACCUACGGAUCAUUUGACCUAACAAUGGCAAAAAUUAGCCCUUAAAAAGACGCAAUCACUUAUUUCAUUUAUUGUUGGGUGUUGUAUUUGUGACUAUUUUUCAGAGUGUAUAAAAUAAGCAUAUAAAGUACUGAGUCCAUUAAAAGAUGUAUUCCGUUAAUCUUUAGAUUAUUAUCGACUUUCUAGAUGAUGAUUUCAAAUUAAAAGAAAUAAUAAAGGCAUGUCUGAAUUGUUCCUCAAAUAUAAAGGAUCUUCCUCUAACAUUGGGCCUAUUUGGAUAUAGAUUUUAUUUGCACAAAAAAAAAUUGAUGCUGCAAACACAUUUUUUAAUUAUUUUUUAUAUUCCUAAUUAUCUUUUUUAUUUCACAUGCAUCACAUUAUUAAAAAAAAAUACUACAAUAUUAUUUCAAAUAAUAUUUUGAAACAAUCUCCAACCUAUCCAAAUACAUUCAUUAUCAUUAUUAGGAAUCACUAUAUGAACUAGCCCAAUUGCCAGUAUUCAAAAAAAAAAUCCAUGUAAUUUGCAAUCAUCAUAUUUCAUUUCAAACCAUUGUUUUGUCAUCAUCAAAAAGGGGGAGAAUGUUAUUCUUGAUUUUGAUGAUCACAAAGUACUUUGAAAUGUUUAUCUAAUUCUCUUCAAAUAUAAGUGUUUUGCUUUUUAGAGAAUCAGGUACAAAGGUGUCAAGGAAAGAAAAUCAACCAAAAGAAGAAGCAAAAUCAGGGCACUCAUGUCGGACGUCCGAAAGGAAGCUGUCGGACGUCCGAAAGGAUGAAGGACAUCAAGAAAGAAACUCUGUCGGACGCUCGUGAGGAAGCAUCGGACGUCCGGGAGGAUCGGACGCACGUUUAGGACGCACAUCGAUCGCGUCGGAUGUCCUAAAAAUUUCGCAAAGUUUUGAUGACUCUCUGACGACGUUCGGACGCAGAAUCUGUCGGACGAUAAAAUCCCAUCGGACGUCCGAAUGACAACUUGGCUGAUUUUCGGACGAUGAAUAAUCGGUCGGACGUCCGACAGCCCCAACGGCUAGCUGACUCUUCAUCUGCCUUCUAUCCGUUGGAAGCAUUAAUGAAGCUCAUUUUUGGUCCCCUUUAAAUACAAACGAUUCUGAACCAUGAAGGAACUUUUUGCACACUUUGUUUACAAGAUCUCAAGAGAUAUUUUAGCUAGAAAAUAGUCUCCUAAGCAAGAUUUGUUCUCCAAGUGGUGUGAAUUUCUUGUAAGCACUUCUCUUGUGUUUGAAAUUUUCAAUAGUGUAGCUUUGUUGAGGGUUAUCUGAGCGAUAGUAAAACUUCCUAAUUUGACUAAGUGAGGCUUGGGGCAAGGAGGAAGUGAUCUCUCCAUUGUACAUUGAGUUGAUUUCUUUUCAUCAAAAAGAAGGUGUUCAUCCUUGUGAUUGGUCUUCAAGUUUGAGGAAAGCUUGGUAGACAGUUAGUUUGAUACUCUAUCUUAUUCUUUUUGUUUAAUAAAAUUCUCAUUGCUUAUAUAUAUUCUUAAUUCUGAUCAACAUUGUUCUCUUCUUUAAAUUUACUUGAUUGAUCACUAUUAGAAAAGAAGGUAAAUUUUUUAUUAAGGAAAAAGUGCAUAAACUCAAUUAAGUUUUUAAUCAACCUAAUUCACCCCCCUCUUAGGUUGUCUUUGGGCCUUACAGAUUAGAAGUCAUAAUAAUAAGUUAGUGAAUUAUAAGUGAAAACCUUAGUACGUGCGAGUUAAGAAAAAACGGUUGGAACUGACGGGUACUGUUUGUUACCGAGUGAGUGCAACACUUGAACACUAUCUUAUUAUCUUAAUAGCCUUGCUUGUAUUUCAGUUAAUUAACCCUAAAAUAUCUCUUAAAUUAGCCACAAUUUUUGACCAAAAGAAAUAAGAGAAAAGUCUAGAAAAAGCCAAGUGUCAUGAAACCUAUAGAAGUUGGACUUUAACCAACUUGUUUUAACUUUCCUAAAACAAAAAUUUGACAAAGAUGUCUUCAUUUUCUUCUUGUUUUGGCCGACCAAGAUGCUCCAUUUCUCCUUGUCUUGACCGAAAAUGGUGAGAGGAAAAACAAGGAAGAGCACUUCAUACUACAACUUCAACCCUUGCUUGAAUCUUCAAGAUUUCAUCCUAAGCUUGUAAUCCAAACCAUAGAAAGUGACUCUAAGGAAGGAAGAAGACUUUUGGUGGAGAAAGUUGGGGAGACAAGGAAGCUUAUGGUUGCUCUUUUCAUAGAGUUUAAAGGUAAUCAUGUUUAGAAACCAUCUCUUCACUUUUAACUUGCAUUUUAGUAGAUUUAAUGAUUGCUUGUGGUAGAUUCUAUGGAAAAUUUCAUGGGUUGUGAAGUUAGUGGAAUUUUUCUAACUUUGAUUCAUAUUUUUCGAGCCAUGAGAUGGUUAUAUCCAGCUUUGUUAUAGACUUGAGAGAGCUGAUAUGAAGAUUUCUAGCUUUAAUAUGCCUUUUAGCUUCCAACUAAGAAUUUUCCAGCUUUAGUAGAGAAUUCUACCCUGCUUCUGACCAGCUUCAUUCGUCCAUGUUAGAGGCUGAAUUAGGCUUAGAUCAAAACAUAAAAGUUGUAGGAAAUGGUGUUAUAUAGCUUCCUGUAAAAUUUCACCUCAAUCGGAGCACUGUAUCAUGUAAAAUGACUGAAAUACCCCUGACUGCCAGAUGUUCUUUUCCGUGGGCAGUUUUGAGAUUUCACAUUUUUGGUUUCGUUUUUCAUUUUGAUCCGUAUCAAAUCAGCAUUUGGCCAAAAAAUUAAAAAUUUUAUCCCUACAUUUUACCUUUCCAAUGCAUCUGAAAACGCUUCAAUCGGAAUUUUAUAGUUUGAGUUAUUGCUAUUUAAACCCAGUGCUGAUAACCAGACUGACAAUGAAAUUCUGGUUCUGUAAUCUGCAAAUUCGACCUGGAUCAACUGUGAACUGGGUUGAGUUGUUUUCAUGAAAUUUGUAACCCUUUGGCUUAGCUUCGAAAUGGUAUAAAUUACACCCCAAUCCGAUAAGCGUAACUUCAGUUGUGACCAAAACGCUAAGAGACGUCAAACCUAUUAUUUUGUUAUUUGUCUUAUACAUUAGUUCCGAUCAAUUUGCUAGCAUUGUUUUGUAAUUGAAUGACAUUGAACCUAUUGAAAGGCUAUUGUGGUAAGAUUAUUUGUGCUAGAUUUUGGGGCUGAAUUGAGAAAAAUAAUGAAGCCAUAAAUGGCUGAAAAAUAGGUAAACACAAAGGGCGUGCUGCCCAAAUUUUCACUCGAGGGUUAGGUAGAUAUACUCGCGACUUGAGUAAGGAUAUGAGGACGAAUCUAACUCGAAUUGUCUAGGUUAUUCGAGUCCUCUUUUGUAGAGGUAUAUAAGCUAGAGUUCGGUCGAAACUUGUACCCUUGAAAAAAUGAAAGUAACGACUAAUAGAAAUACAUUUUCCUCGUCACUUCGACUCAAAUGGAGAUUUCAAAAGUUUUAAGAACGAGCAUGAGUUUUACAAAUAUUUUACUCAUGUCCUUUGGUCUAAAUGUACUCUUUUUACUCCAGAAAUCAUCUUUAUACAUUGUACUAAUAGUUAUUCGGAUUUUCUUUAAUUCACCUAAACUUUGGAUGGUUGAACCAUAAUAUUUUCUGUUGGUUAUUCUUAGGGUUUGUCAGUAGUUGAGGGUAUUAUCCGGAAGGAAAUUGGACGUUACUUUGCUUAAACGGGUGAGUGUUCUUUGUACGUUAUGUUUCCAAUGACAUUGUGGAUUGUUGUGAAUGUUUAAUUAUAUGUUAAAUGUUUUCAGUGAUUGCUAAAAAAUGAAUUUUGCUAGGCGAGUGUGUACUUUAUCGCACUCGACCUAAAUGAAUGUGAAAUUUUCAAUGAUUAAAUGAUUAAAUGCUACUUAUGCAUGAAUGUAAGCCUUUUAGCUGAACUGGACCGUUGCCCUUCGUUGCCAAUCGACUCGAGCCAUAAGCGGACUCGGUCGAGCGAUUGGUGACCUUGGGAUAAUAUUUGGUAUACUCGAGUAUGUCCACGAAAAUUGAUAGAGACUGGCCAGAGAAUUGGCUAGUGGCGGGGAAAUGAAAUGAAUGAAUGAAUGUCAAGAACAUUGGAGGAGUUUUCACUUGCAAAUGUUUUCUAAUGUUGGAGGAAUAAGGAAAAUGCUUGGCGAACGAAUGAACGAAUGGCUCCUCGUGAGUAUGUAUCCUUUUAAUGAGUGGGUUAUUAUUGCUUUUAUAUGUUAAAUGUUUUCUGGAUUAUUUGCUAUCAAAUGAUUAAUGUCCUGGAUUUAAUUGCUCGAUUAUGUGUAUAGGAACCUCACUGGGCUUUUAGCUCAUUCCGUUAGUUUUGUUUUCCUUACAGGGGAUGCGAGCGAGAGCGUGAGACUGGUACAGACUAGCCUAGUCUAGUUCUUUUGAAUUUUGCGAUUAUACUUGCGCUAGUGCUUGGUUAGGGUUUAAUGUAUUAACUUUUGUUUUAUUUGGGAUUGUAUUACUGUUUGAGAUAGAAAUGUAUGUAUGUAUAUGAUCCAAGUUUGGGAACUGUUAUUUUCCUUAUUCUCGAGGUUAUACCUUAUUUUGUUUGAAACGAAUGAACGAGCUCUGACAAGAGUUGGACAGGCGGUCCGUUAAACCCUGAGGUACACCCUAGGGAAGAUGGGGUCAUUACACUUUAAACUUAAGCAUUUCCCGGAGAACUACAGUGCACCAUUUUUUUCCCCUUCUUUUCAAAUAAAAUUUGGCUUGCAAGGAAGGCAUGAAGUUUCAGUAAAAGAUGCUUCCAUAAGUUUUGGGCGUAUUUUAUUGGUACAGCUUAAAUUACUAAAUAUCAACUCAGAUUUUUCUAGCUUAUUAACAUAAUUUUCACAUAUUUGAUGCCUGUAAUUUUUUCUUUAAGUUGCUCCGUCAAAUUAAUUGUACAUAUUUCUUACAAUAUUGCUUCUCCAUCAACUAUUCAUAUAUACUGGUGGUAAAAAAUGUAGUCCAAAGACGAGGGAGGAAUCGACCCUAGAUUUGCAAACAAGAACAGUAGAAGUACGAAUGUUUAGAGUAUUCAUGAUUGUUAUAUAAUUUUUAGUUGUGGAAAUGCAUCACCAUUCAAAAUCUUUGAGUCAUGACCAAAAAAUUUCCCCAAAAUUUAAAGUAACUCUUGGGACCAAAUACGCUUAAGGGAAUAAGGAACACUAGAUAGGGCAAAAGAUCAGCCGCUAAUAAUUAAAAAGCGCCAUGGUAAUAGGAAAAAAAAAGGCGAAUUCACUUUUUACUAAAUCUAAUAACUACUAGUAAGAUAGCAACAUUAUUAUCUCGUGACCUUAAAGCAAUUCCCUCAAAACCAGUACAGAAAUAACCAACUCACAAGUUAAACUAAAACCAAAUCACAAGUUAAAAUAUAAACUAUAAAUCGGGUAUCAGACAAACUCAAGAGCCGCACAAAUAUCAUGACAAAGAACUUGAAUUUUCAUCUCAAAACUAAUUUACUGUGAGUGAAAUAUUCCAAGAUCUUAUUAAUGUGGUUGGAAAUUCUUGAAAUAUCAAUGUGAAACAUUCAGUCUCUUAACAUUCCCCGCCCCCCAAGGCGGGGUGAUGUGUGACUUGGGAACAGGCUUAUCAUAUGGGGAACAAAGUCCACGCAUCUUUUGAAACCAGUAAGGACUAAAGAAAUAAUCAAGUCGGGGAUGAAAUUAUAAAUAAGGCAACAAACAAACCCAGUGUUUGCCCACUCAAAUAAAAAAAUUAUCACACUUUAUAGUUAAUUUACCACUCAAAUAAAGAAAUUACCCACAAAGAAAUAAAUCUUUGCAGCAAAAAAGAUGAAAAAUAAAAGCAGCCCUUAAGAAUAGGGAAAAAAAAGAUGCACAGGAGGCAGCUUAAUCCUCAUCUGUUGCAACUGCUUUAAUGCCAAAUCAAUUUUAUCCCUCAUCUGUUUCAAUGUUCAGACAUCAAAUCUAAAUAAUCGAAUUCUUGCUCAUUAUUUGUUAAUUGUUAAUAAUGCACAUACACACAUGGCCAAAUAUCAUAAAUCUAAACGUGAUUGGUUUUGUAAAUGUAAACGCAACAAAAUUAGAAAACAAUAUAAAAUUUAUGGUUAACACAGAAUUUACCAAAUGUGAAAGUAACCAGCCAAAUGUUGGUAUCAUAACAAAAAUUUCACCGAUCUCUUAGCACCAAUAUCCAGUUGAAGCCAAAAUAGAAUACUAGUUAGAAAGUGAAAAAGAAGAUUCAAUGGAACGUUUCAUCUAGUUAUCAUAUCAUAAGCCCCUCCUGGAUGAGCCAGCAUUGGAUGAACGCCUGGAGGCACCCUUGCGAAAUAUCUUACAAAUCACAAUAUUCAAUGCCUGCAAGAAUAAUGACAAUAUAAAAUAAUAGCAAUAUAACACUUACUUAUAAUAUACCACUAGUAUUGGGUGUUUGUCGUUUUUACUUGAUUUUGGGCUUUGACUUUGAAAAAUCAGUUUUUUUAUGUCAUCGAUUUCUUUCAUCCCUAAAUAUUAUAUUUGUAAAUAAGAUAAAAAGUUAAAAUCUAAAAUCUACCCAUGAAUAGUUUCUAACUAAAUCUGAUUAAAUUUUUUGCAAGUUCUACAUUAACCAAGAACAACCCCUACAAAUGUAGUCCUGAUUAUUUAUGCAUGCUGUGGUACGCCAUCCCCCCAUGCCUCCCCCCCCCAAUAAAAAGUACUGGCUAAAAUUUUUUAAUUAAUCGAUCACUUAGCAAUUGAGGGAAUUAGACUAUGCAUAGGCAAUUGCAUUUGAAUUAGAAAGAAAAUUAUCACCUCUCGCCUAUCAUUUUCUUCAGGGGCAGCAUGUGCAAUCUCACUAGGGUCUAUGCUGUAUUCAUGCAUGAACCAAUUAGUCUUUUGCCUUCAACUAUCACAGUAUACCAACUCUUUCCUGAAACCAGACACAUUUCCCCUUAUAGCAAUCUCUUCAGUUGGAAGACUCCGAUCCAAUAUCCAUUGCCUGCCAUGACCUGGUGAUUUGGCUUUAUGGUAUAAAAAAACCAUGUCUUCCCAUCUCCGUGUUUAUAGCUAUCUGCACAUCAUUUAAAAAAUUAUCAUAAUCCAAGGAUAUUCACGAGGUUUUUCCAGUAAUUUUUCAGCAGGAAUGAGAAAAGAAGAAUAAAAGAAAAAAAAGGCGGAAGAAUUCUAGAUUAGGGUUGCUUAUUAAACCUUUUAAAAGAGAAUCUAUGAUCUAGACCCGUAACUAUCCAUAUUAAAUCCUCAGAUUUUUUUAGACUACUUAAAUUUCAGUUUUCAUUCUUUUAAUUCUUUGUUAUGCAAUUUAUUCUGUUAUUUUACGUAUUAAUAAAAAUUUUUGGGACACGUAAUAGAAUUUCAAAUAGAAGUACAAGGUUAAGCCAAAAAAAUCUUGAAUACCAAAUGCAGGACAUCUCAUGUGCCUGGGGUUGCAAUGGGUGUAUGUAGUUCAAAGAAAUUAAAAAAGUCUUGGAGCAAACAGAAUUUAGGAUAAAGUUUCAAGACUUCAAAAAAUAUUUCAACUUUUAGUUUUUGUCAGGGAAACAAAUAAAUGUUCCCCGUAUGCAACCACUGAAUAAAGCACAGAACGAAAAAUAUUAAUAACAAAACCAAUUCAGUCAUAACAAAUUCUUUUAACACCAAAAAUCACAAUACCUUUCAAUUUGGCAAAAGCUAUAAAUCUCAGAGAAAAAUUUUAGGAACUCGAAUAGAGAGAUAAAUGCAUACAAUUAGUGAAUUUUGCCCUUACAAAUGUACUAUCAUUCAUAUGAAUGGUAAACAUAAGUUAACAGUAACAAGCUAUAUUACAUUGUCUUUGCGUCUAAGAAACUCUCUUAUAAUGGUUGGAAUUAAAUAAGCAUGAAUUCUACAGAAGACUAAGCAAUGAAUUAAUCAAGUACGCUGAUGACAUUAGAAUGUCCAUGUUUGCUUAAAAUUCUUUUCUUUUAAUCCAGAAGAUACAAGUAUAAAUUCACAGAAUAAAAGCUCUAAAAAUUAGUACCUAAAACAUUCCUCUUCACAUGCCAAAGAUAAAACCAAACAUGCAUGACAGCAUAAUUUGGUAAUUAGGCCUUAUUUAGUAUUUGCCCGUUAACGAUAACUUUAUGAUCCUGUACUUUAUAAAAGAUACAAAUUUUGAUGCACAUGGUACAGAGUCCAUCAACUUUAUGAAUUAAAACUAUUAUCCAUGCAUAUACCAAGUUGAUGCAAGUGUUUAUUUAUUUUCUUUAAUUUUCAUGAGAAAAGCCAAUCAAAUCAAACAGGCAUGUUCUUAAUGGUUUUUAAUUUUUUUGGCAAAAUCUUAUUUUGUAAAAUGCCAAAAUUUGUAUCCAAAAAAGCAACUGAGAAGUAAAAAAAUUUUAGAGAAAGCACUUGAGAAUAUCACAUCAAUAAUGAUUUUCUUAAAUUACAAAUUAAAAACAUGUCCAAAAAAUCAGUUGAGAACAAGCCCUAUAUGAAGUUAAUGCAUGUAUGUUUUUUUUUUGUUUUUAAUUAUUAUCAGAAGAACCAACCAAAACAAACUGGAUGCUAAUCUACUAGCAAUGAAGCAUAUAUGAAUAUUUGUUCAAUUAGACACAUUACCAAAUGGGAGGUCCUCAGGGUUGACAUCAUAUAGACUCUGGCGUUUGGAAUUAUGUCUGCCACACUUUCGUUGAAAAUUUUCUGCUUCAAGUAAUACAAUCAUAUUUGAUCAUCUGGAUCAAAUCUAUAGCCAGGCGAGUAAGGGCUAGAAUUAGAUGGCUUGUUCAUUGCAAUAGCAAUUGCAAAAUAAAAGAAAAUACUCAGAAAGAAAAAGCUAUUAAUGAUAUGUAUGAUCAUUGAUGUAUGUUUAUACUGAAGUUGAGGAGCAACUGGGGAAAGAAAAUGGAAGUUUGGGAUCUUUUUUGAACAAGGAAAGAACAAAGGUUGCAAGAAAAGGGUAAGAGAUAAGUGUUUUAAUUUUGUAUUUUAGUAAACUGAAUCUCUAAUUUAUUGUGUUAUUAAUUUUCCACGACAUAUUAUGGUUCUUUCUUUAUUUAUUGUUAAGUCUUUGGGAAUUGCCAUAUUCGAAGAAUAUUUUUAUUCAUCUGGUUUCUUUCAUACUUUCUAGUUUUUAUUUCCAUGAAUGCAAGUCUUAGGGCUAAAAUGGAAACUAAGAGGUUUGCUUCAAGUGUAAUUGUGCAAGCUUUUAAAGAAAUCUUCAACACCAUUCAUUCGUUAAUCACUCUUUCGGCCAACAUGACAAAUUGAAAAGGAAAUUCUUCUAUAUAAAAGAAAAGGAAACUUUCAUAGAUUGAGAGAAAGGAAAGGAGGAAAAAGAUAAAAGGAGGAAUAUCAAUCUUUCUUUUUCUUUUCCCUCCUUCCUUCCGCUUAAGCAAAAAAAUUCUUCAAGUAAAGGAAACCUUCGUAGAUUGAGAGAAAGGAAAGGAAAAGAAAGAAAAAAAAAGGAAAAAAUAAAUAAAAUCGUUGAAUAGGUAUGCUCAUGCAUAUCUUAUUUAACGUUUCAAACUUCUCAAUAAUAUAUUCGCGGCCUUUCCAUAUCAAUUAUAUUUGUGCAUGUAGUUAGCAGAUAUUAACCUAUACAUCUAUUAUGCUGUAAUUGGAUGAUAUUAUAGUGUAGAAACCUUAGAGUAAAUUCUUUAUUCUCUUUUAGUAACCCAGUGGUUCAUGUUUAUUAUCUCAACACUAAGUCCCUAUUUAAUAAUUUAAUUCAAUACCUAAACUUAAUAAAUUUACAUUUUAAUAUGUUUAGAUGUGUUUGAUAGACAAAAAUCGAAUAUCUAAAUUAAUUAAAUUGCACUAAAUUUUUUAAAUGAAACUUGCUCUAAAAAAUAAAUAAUUAGCUAUUCGUUUGUCACUUAUUGUGAUAUAUAUUCAAAUGUAUCAGAUUUAGUAUUUGACAACUCAAUAACUUAAUAGAUUCAAAUUUCAGAUUUUAAAUUUUAAUUUUACAAAACAUAGCCUAAAUCUAAAAACUCAUUUACCAAGUCAAUAUCUAAAAAAAUUUGAGCUCGUUUAUUUAUAUUGCCAGUAACAUUGUUUUUACUAUUGUUUUGCUCCCACGCUUGUAAAAAGUUGAUUUAUUGUUAAAAUCAAAUUAAAGUUUUGAAUUUUGGAAUAGUACACUUGGGAAUGCUUUUGCAAGGAUCCUUAUGCAGUCUGAAGCGUACAAAACAGUGUUUGAAAAUUUCAUUUUGAGCAAAAAAGAUUUUAGAGAUGAGUUAAAAAGUUCCCCACUUAAGAAAUUUUCUAGAUCCGCCACUAAAAUUUAGGAACCGGUUUGGAGAACAUAAGGUUAACUCUUGAUGAUAACUAAACUUAGCACCGACAAUGUUGAACUCAAUAUGAGAGUAGAAGAGCAAGAAGAAAUUCCUCAUCCGAAAAAAUGCAAAGGCUGAAAAUUGGAAGUCAAAUCUGCAGGACAAUGUUUCAUAUACAGAACAAAUAUGCUUUAGCAUUCUUUUUCAGUGCUUAAAAAAACCUUUUUUUUUUGUUGGUUGUUUUCAAAAGGGGAUGGCUUGGAGACAAGAAGUAGAGAGGGAAUUUCAACCUAAGACUUUAAUAUCUCGGAUCUCAACAUGUCAGUGCUUUAUUUUUCUAUUGGAAACUUGUUAAUGCUGUUUAGUCAGUAAAAACCAGUAAAUAAAUUCAUGGCUGUUACAUUUUUUUUUUUUGAGCUAGAAUUGAGAUUAUAUACAUUAUAUGUGAUUGACUUAUUAGUUGCAAAUAUUGGACUUGUGUUAAAAUUCAAAUUUUUCUACAAUCUUGUCCAAAAUUGCAAACUUGCCCCAAAAAGUUUCAAUUUUUUCGACUUUAUCCAAAGGGGUAACAAGUUUCAUACCAUUAGUAGUUCAAAUUUCUUCCACAUUUGAGAUAAAUAUAUGUGAUUUGGAAACUUCUUUUCUCAUUUAACUUGGAAAUGACUAUUAUGUGAUUAUAAUUUUUGCAUUUGUAGGAAAGUAUAUCUUUUAAAGUGGAGAAAAUUAUGCCUAUAUUUUUUUGCAUAUUUGAUGAAAUUUCUUCUCUUUAUUGGAUUUUAUAAGUUAAGUGAUAAAUAUGGUCAACAAGUGCAAUACUCUUCUCAUGAUUAUUCUUUUGAGGAAUUUAUUAUUAUCUUUGCUGUAAAAAGAAAAAAAAAGUAUAAAGAAAAAAAAAAUAAGAUUUAUUCUACUCCAAUGAUUCUCGUACUUAGUAACCGGGAGUCUUCAUCUAAAAAUGUCGACUUUCGCAUAAAACGGUACUUGAAUUAAGAGUAUGCAAAGCAACUUGAGUAUGUGAAGUGUUGAGUAACCGGUGAUCUUCAUCUAAAAAUGUUGAUUCUCGCGUAAAAAGAUACUUUCACAACUUAAGUAAUAUUUAGCUAUAUUAUAUAAAUAAAUCCCUCUUUAAGUUAAAUAAGAAGAUGAUCAUGGGUUUAGGAAGCAUAUUAUUGACCAUAUGAGUUACUUACUUAUAAGAUUGGGUAAAGAUGAAAAAUUGAUUUGAAUUUGUUAUAAUUACGGUAUAAUUGGCUCUCCUUUACUUGAUAUUAUGAGUACUUGAGGUUAUUGAAUAAUUGCAUAAUAGUUAUUUACUUUGUUUUGAGGAAAUGAAGUUGAAAUGCUACAUAUGUUUAUUUUCAAAUUUUGGAUCAUUGUUGGUUUGUAUUUCUUAUUGCUUGAGGACAAGCAAUGAUUCAAGUGUGGGGAUAUUUGAUAAGAGUUUAUUUUACGUAUUUUUAGUGUGUUUUAUUAGUUAAUUUUGGUUUGAUUAUUUAGUUUUAUAACUAAAAUAACUAAGGUUUUGGUAAAAAACUACAUGUUAUGUUAAAAUGGCUAAACAUUGCAUUUUAUGGAUUUUUAUGGUAAAAUCUUCAUAUUUUGUAGGUUUAAUGAUUCAAUCAUCAAAUGAAGUGCAUUGAGAAGAUAUUUGGAUGAUUGAAGAUGGAUUAAAGUGGUGAAAAUAAAAUAUGAAGUGUAAAAGGAAAAAAUGCAAGAAAAGUCAGGUUUGACAACUCUGACACGUUUUGGUAUUUUGACUAUAUCUGGAGCUACACAGAUCGGAUCAAGGUGAUCUUGGUACCAUUUUGAAGCUAAGAGAUAGAUCUAAAUUCGGUAUAAAGACAUCAAAGUCCAAUUCAGCCGUUUUCAUAGUACAAAAGUUGAAAUACCGAAAUUCAACUCAGCUGUCCAAAGUGGAAAACAGAGCUCCGACCAGUCUAUAGUAUUUCGGUCAUAUCUCAAGGUAAAAAGCUCCAAUUUGGAUGAUUCUUGAAGCAUUGGAACGCUAACUCAAAGGGCUACAACUUUAGUGUUUUGCACAAAAUCCAGUUCGGCCUGCAUCAUGGAGAAAAUUGCAGUUGAAGUAAGGACAAAGUGAAAACGCGAGUGCACAAAACGCGAGUUUUAGCCGCGUUUUGUAUAGGCGCGUUUUCUGGCCGAAAUUCUACAAUUUGUUCAGUCAAUUCUCUUGUGUUCAGACUACUUUCCAGCUAUAAGUUGGAAAGUGAAUUCGGUGCACAUGCUUCAGAAGACAAAAGGGCAAUAAAGGUGGCUUAUUUUCAAGUCAAAAACAAUGGUUUUUGACUAUCUUAACAAAAGGAGAUUUGAAGAAUCAUAGCAGCAAAAUUUGACUGGAGAAGAGCUCUUCAUCAGUUUAUAUGCAGAGACAUUUGGGUGGUCUGACAUUCAUUCAUUCAGGAACAUACGGGGGAGAAAACUUGAAGUGCAGAAAUGUAGUUCUUUCAUUUCCUUAGUGUAGGAUAGUGUAGUAAGUGUAGUUAAUCCAUUCUUGUAUAAUAGCUAGAUUAGGAUGAAGAUGGAGAUAAAGAAGGAGGAGUUGAAGCUCAAGUGACAUGGGUUAUCUCUACUCCAAUUCUUUAUCUUUUGUAUUGGAUUCUUAACUAUGGUUCUAAUGCAAGUUCUGGAAUUUAUGUUUAUUAUUUGUUUCUAAAGUUUAUGCCUUGGGUUUGGUUGAACUUCCUAUGAUUGUUAGUAUUUAUUAUUUGGCUAUUUGAUUGCUAGUAUUUGAGCAAGUUAUUUAGCACUUUAGCUCUUUAAAUCAUGAUUAAUCUGGUACCAUUAAUUGUGAUUAUCUAAGGUGUUAUUUCUGCAAUAAAAAUUGAGAUUUAACAUUAGUUCAAUAAGUGCUAAACAUGGGGAGUACACUCACGAGAAGUAGAGGUGCACCUAUGUGGUUUUGGUGAUUAAUUUCAUGUAAUUUCAUUGAAGAAAUGAACUUGUAACUAAUUUCAUAACCAUGAGAAUAGGUAUGGAUUAGUUAUUAGUAUAAUUGAUUCACUACGAAAGUAGGAUUUCACAUGCAUAAGGAAAUUACACCAUAACUAGCUUAAAUGUAGUACUCAAUGAUCCAAAUAUAGCACUUGCAUGAGUAGUUAGGGAUACUACAACCUAAGGAGCUUUUAUUUGUUAUUGUGUAUAAUUUCAGUAGGUUAAAUUUGUUAUAAUUCAUUGAUAGUCUAAAUAAUAGAGAAGCUUUAGUAAUACCGGUAAUUGUUCACUCUUCCUUGUGGGAUCGACCCGAUAUAUACCCUAAACUACUAGUUGAUCUGUAUACUUGCAGUGAACGGGUGUAAUUCGGUAUUUUUUAGCUUGCACGUAUGUAAAAUACCCGUCAAUAAGGUUAACUCUUGAUGAUAACUAAACUUAGCACCGACAAUGUUGAACUCAAUAUGAGAGUAGAAGAGCAAGAAGAAAUUCCUCAUCCGAAAAAAUGCAAAGGCUGAAAAUUGGAAGUCAAAUCUGCAGGACAAUGUUUCAUAUACAGAACAAUUAUGCUUUAGCAUUCUUUUUCAGUGCUUAAAAAAACCUUUUUUUUUUUUGUUGGUUGUUUUCAAAAGGGGAUGGUUUGGAGACAAGAAGUAGAGAGGGAAUUUGAACCUAAGACUUUAAUAUCUCGGAUCUCAACAUGUCAGUGCUUUAUUUUUCUAUUGGAAACUCGUUAAUGCUGUUUAGUCAGUAAAAACCAGUAAAUAAAUUCAUGGCUGUUACAUUUUUUUUUUUGAGCUAGAGAUUUGAUGGAACUUGCUUUGAUGGCCGCAUUUUUUCUUUUUUUCUUUUUUUUUGGGGUUCUCCCCUAAAACUUGUCAAGAUAUUGCCUCUAUAGUCCUGUUCUUCCUUUACAAUCUUUUGUUCUAGAUUCUUUUUCUACUUAUUUGUAUUGCUUAUUUAUUUUUUCUCCAAUUAUGCAUUUAUGCUAAACUAAAAGAAACUCCCCAGGAGCCCAUACUUAUGAAGCAACCAAGGAACCAGGGCUUUUCUAGUGUCAUUUUAAGUGCUACAAUCUAUUUGGAAUUUUUCCAAAAAAAAGAAAAAAAAAUGUUGUACGUAGGGGAAAAAAUGGUUGUACUUACGGGUAAAAAAGUUGUACUUAUACAAUAGAGCAAAUAUAGAAACACUAAAAAACACAAAGAGAGCAGUGCCUCAUGCAAGGGCUUUUUCUUAAACAUUUCUACCAAAAAUAUUAAGACUUCAUGAUGCUGGAAAAAUGAGGGCUGCUCAACUAUACUCGCCUUUGAGAGACUGUAACAGGAUAAAAGAACAAGGGGAAAUCGUUCUUCUCGAGAAGCCUAAGGCAAAUGGUUGGAACUCAAACCUGCAUUUUUUUCAUUCAUUAUGUUCAAGCCCAUUUGGUAGUACACCAAAAUUAAAUUCAAAAUUAAAUGAGGGCAUGGCAACUUCCCAUUUUUAAUUCCUGAGGACAUACAAAUUAGUUAAAUUUUCUUAUUGAUUGCAGGAACUUAAUUGGCGACACAACUAGGAGCUGUAAACUUAUUCUUCAUGUAGGGACCUUUAUUUAAUUUUGUAGAGCAUUAUCAAGUCCAAAAUCUCUUGGGUGUCAAUUCAACAAUUACAGUGCCAACAUGGGGAAUAGCAAUUGUGAUUACUAGAGGUUUAUCUAAAACUGCACUAUAAGCUUGUACAUUAGUAGAAUAAUAUUUUAUGUGUGUACUAUUAUACAACUAAUAUGACAUCCAUGUAGAUAAGCAGUUCAAACAGAAAAUUUGAAGCUCGUACUUUGAACCCACGUGUUUUUAACAUUUUAAAAUUUUUGAGGAUUUCAUCUCAUUUUGGGUUUGUCCAACGGGUGCCCAUGGGCAAUUGUUAAGAUAUAUUUUCAGAUAUCAUAUUUUUUUUAAAAUAUAAGAUUAAUUUAAAAAAGUAAAUAAAUGCAAGAUAGGGUUGAUAAGAUUAAAGAGGGAAAGUAGAUAAAAGUUGAGGAGGAUAACAAUUGUUAGUAUAUGUAUAUACAUAAUUGAUUAGGUGAAUAUUAUGUAUAUUAAUGAGUGUCUUAUGGACACCCGUUAGAAAAAAAACCUUUCAUUUUUUUGGGCUACAACUUUUUAGGAAGCUGUAUAAUAAAUAAUAUAUAAUUUCUUUGCCACACGCUUGCUCUUGGCUCCUCGUGUAUAAUAGUAGGAGUAGAGGUUUAAAUGAACCAAGUUACUUAGACUCACGUUGGGUCUUGUUCAUGUCCUGUCAUAACCAUGUUCAUGUUAAACGAGUCCAAACUUUUAUAUAUAUGCCAUAUUUGAUUUUCAUGUCGUAUUCAUAUUAAAAUCUGCUUAUUGGAGUGUCAUUUUGUGUUUUAAGCCAGUUUGACCCAUUUAAUAUUUUGCAUAAAAAUCACUAUAUGUAAAGAGUAAAACAUGAGUCUCUUUUAAAAAAAAAAUGUUCUUCUUUUAAUCUUUUCAGUUGUAACUUUUCAUUAAAUAUUACCUAUAUGAGUUUUGAAUGCAUUAUCACCUCAUUAAAAAUACAAAAAAAAAAAGAGUUAAUUUUGUUUUUAUUUCACAAAGAAAGAAAAACUUUCAAAGAAUUGAAUAGGCAAAAUCAUGCAAGGGAAGAAUAGUAUAUGUAAGAAUAUCUCCAAAAAAAUGAGUUGAGAGUACUAAAUUAGCCUAGAAAAGAAUUUUUAAUCACAAAAGAAAGAAGAAUAGAUAAGAAAUAAUUGAUCCAAAGGAAAGUUCUCGGCAAUUUGAGGAUGAAGGAUGAAGGCGGGAAUUAAAUAUUUAAAAUCAUAGAGAUUGCGUAUUCAUGAAUUUGACAAAAGAAGAAUGAAAGCAAAAAGCAAAAAAUUGAAAUCACAAAAGUUGUAUACGUGGAUUUGUGGAGUUUGGAUUUUCAAUAAUGCUAUAAAAAUACUAUAUAAACCUGGUUAAUUUUAUUAUUUUAGUUCUUAAACUUUAAAUUUACAAGUGAAACUAUCUAUUUUUUUUGGUGUAGUUUUAGAAGGAAAUACGAGUAUCAUUUUUUUAAAAAAAUAUUUUAACAUGUUAGUAACAAAUUAGUCAUGUCAACCCAUGGAUUGAUCCAUUACAACUCAUUUUAUUUGUGUAUCGUGUUUGUUUUGACCUAUUUUUUAUACAAAUUGUUCUUUACCAUAUUUUGUUCAAUUUUUAGAUCAUGUUUGUGUCCUAUUUGCACGUGUCAAAAAUUACCACCUAUGAAUACGAUUAUUGACGGGUAUUUUACAUACGUACAAGUUAAAAAACCGAAUUACACCCGUUCACUGCAAGUAUACAGGUCAACUAGUAGUUUAGGGUAUAUAUCGGGUCGAUCCCACAGGGAAGAGUGAACAAUUACCGGUAUUACUAAAGCUUCUCUAUUAUUUAGACUAUCAAUGAAUUAUAAGAAAUUUAACCUACUGAAAUUAUACAAAAUAACAAAUAAAAGCUCCUUAGGUUGUGGUAUCCCUAACUACUCAUGCAAGUGCUACAUUUGGAUCAUUGAAUACUACAUUUAGGCUAGUUAUGGUGUAAUUUCCUUAAACAUGUGAAACCUACUUUCGUAGUGAAUCAACUAUACUCAUAACUAAUCCAUACCUAUUUUCAUGGUUAUGAAAUUAGCUACAAGUUCAUUUCUUCAAUGAAAUUACAUGAAAUGAAUCACUAAAAACCACAUAAGUGCACCUCUACUUUCGUGAGUGUACUCCCUAUGUUUAGCACUUCUUGAACUAGUGUUAAAUCUCAAUUUUCAUUGCAGAAACAACACCUUAGAUAAUCACAAUUAAUGGUACCAGAUUAAUCAUGAUUUAAGAAGCCAAAGUGCUAAAUAACUUGCUCAAAUCAUAGCAAUCAAAUAACCAAAUAAUAAACACUAACAAUCAUAGAAAGUUCAACCAAACCCAAGGCUUAAACUUUAAAAACACAUAUUACACACGAAAUCCAGAACUUGUAUAUUAACUAAACUUGGAAUCAAAUACAAAAGAUAAAGAGUUUGGAAGGAAUACAACCCUUGUCACAUGAACUUUCUUCCUUGCCAUCUUCAUCCUCCAUCUUCAUCCUAAUCUAGAUAAUAAACAAGAAUGGUUGAACUAUACUACUCUAUACUAAGCAAAACUAAUACUAGGAAGAUGAAAGAGCUACAUUUCUGCAGACUUCAAGCUUCUCCCGUAUGUCUCUCUUGCUCUCUUCUUGGAUCCUCUCUCUUGCAAUGAAUUUUUCUACUCCUUUUGCAAUGAAUUUGGCUAUUUAAUGAUGAAAGGUUGGUCAAGAAAUGAUGUUUUCAACUCCCUUUUACAGCUGGGAAUGUUUCUCACAUGUCUAGCAUCACAUGUGAGUUGGUGGAGGUGAAAUUGAGUUUUACGCGUAUAAAGCAGCCUUUUCUGACCAGUGAUCCGAGCUGCUACAGUGCCUCGGAUCCGUAUGGAUCCGAGCUAGGAUCCACUAACCCAGAAACAGCCGAGGGUUCGGAUGAAUAGUGGAUCCGAGUGUGGAUCACUUGCUCUGUUUUUGGCCCAACUUCAACCGAUCUUUUCUUGAUGUUAGAGGCUGAACCAGCUCAUGUGUAAAACACGAAAGUUGUAGCCUUUUGAGUUAUCUUUCCAAUGCAUCAAGAAUCACCUCAUUUGGAUCUGUGUAGGCUGAGAUAUGACUGAAAUACCCUUGUCUGCUCAUUGCCCUGUUUCAGUUUCGACCAACAGAAAUUAGCUAAUGUAAUUCGGCUUUUUGAUUUUGAAAACCUUCAAACUGGAUUCGGAUGUCUUCACCAAAGUUGUAGAUCUAUCUCUUAUCUUCAAAUGGGUUCAAGAAUCAUCCCAAUCCGAUCAUUGUAACUCAAGUUAUAGCCGAAAUACGAAAAUGUGUCAAAACUGUCAAAAUACACAAAAUCCACGUAAAAAGUGAUAAAAACCUCAUUUAAUCAUUUAAAAGCAUUUUUCACCAAUUAUAGCCAAAAUGAAUCAUUUUCUUCCAAUAAUAUACCCAAAGUGACUAAAAAUAAUAUAAAAUGUCAUACAAUUAUUACGUAAAUUAGUCACUUAUCAAACUCCCCCACACUUAAAUCAUUGCUUGUCUUCAAGCAAUUCACACAUAAUCAAAUGCAAUGAUUCAAGAGGUGAAACAAUAUAUGCACUUUGUCCAAUUUAAUUCCUCAAGACUUGGAAAAUAAUCAUUAUACAAUUAUUCAAUUUACACUAAAUACUCAUAAUAUCAAGUAAAGAAAAGAUAAUUAUACCCUAAAUUCAACAAGUUAAACUUAAUCUCUUACCCUAACUUAAUUUUACAAAUAAGCAAAUCACAUAGUCAAUUUAUAGCUUUCCUCCUCCUAUAAUCAUCUUUUUCUCAAAAUUCUAUAACUAAGAGGGAUUUAUUCACACAAAUUUUACUUAAAUAGUGAGAAUGCCUUUUUACGCGAAAAUCGACACUUUUAGGUGAAGAUCUCCGGUUACUCAACAUUUCACUUAUUCAAGUUGCUAUGCAUACUCUUAAUUCAAGUACCUUUUUACGCGAAUGUCGACAUUUGUUGAUGCCAACCCCCGGUUACUCGGUACAUGAAUCAUUGGAGUAGAACAAUUUUUAUUUACUUUCUUUUUUUUUCUUUUUUUUUACUUUUUUUUUCUUUUUCAGAAAUAAAGGACAAUAAAUAGAUAACCCCUCUUAGAAAAUAUAUAAGAAUAAUCAAAGGAGGAAUAUAACCUUUAUCGACUAUAUCAAUCACUUACUUGCAAAAUUAAGUAAAGAGAAGAAAUCUCAUUAAACAUGUAAAAUUAUAGGCAUAAUUUUCCUCACUUUACCAAAUAUACUUUCUAAAAUGUAAAUAUUCUAAUUGCAUAAUAUUAUUUCCAAGUUAAAUGAGGACUAAACCUUCCAAAAUACAUAUAACAUUUCAACAAUUGGAAGAAUAAGGUUGGAUCAAUUAGCCCUUUUUGAAUGAAAAUGCAAAAUUUGAAGAACUUUUGGGCCAUAGUGAAAUAUUGGAAAAGAUUUUAGAAAAAAUUUCACAGAGUUUCUCCUUAUAAAUGGAUGAAAACUCCCUGCCAACAAACCCAAUUUCAAGCAAAUUAUCCACAUGGCAAACAUUUCAAACACAAUUCCAACAUUUCUAAGCAUUUAAAUCCACAAAAUAUCAUCACAUAGGCUUAAAAUGCAAGUUCAAUAAUUUCCUCCCCCACACUUAAACUUCACAUUGUCCUCAAUGUGAGAAAAGGAAAAUAAAUAAAGAGUAAAAGAAAAUACUGCUCAAUUGAACUUGCGCAAUCCGAAUCCAUGUCCAAGUGAUGAAUUUCCAACUGUAUUUAAGAAAGAGUGGAGAGUUCACUUAUUGCACCCUGAAAAAGACAAAAUCAAAACAAAUAAAUUUCUUAAAAAUAAAAGGUUGCAAUCAACAAAAUCAUGCAAUUCAAGGAAAAAGGAAAAAUGAUCAAGCAUGUGGAACCAUACAAUGUUCAAGGGAUAAAAACAUGAAAUGAGCUAAUCUUUGCUAAUCAAAUAUAUGCAUUAGUAUCCAAAGCAAAGGGAAGCUAAUUUCACACAAAAAAUCCACAAUCAUGAACAAAAUAAGUUCCAUUUAUACAUUUUGUCAUCAAUGAUCAAAUCCCCGCAAGUACAAAAGCAAUCUCAAAAUGGAGGCGAACACACCAAGCCAAAAUAUAAAUGACCUUCUUGAGAAUUCAUGAAAUACUAGAAACCAUUGAACCACAAGGAUUAUAAGCGCAUUUAUGAAUUUCAUCAAUUAAGGUCAUCUUCAAUUCACCUUUUCUUUUAGAAUUACCUAAGAAUUCAAGAAAUUAUUCAACCAAGCCCCUUUUCAUUCAUUAGGUAAUCUAAAUUACUCACAUGAAUAUCAUAAACUCCCACAAAGCUAAUUAAAAUGCUACAUUGGCCACUUAAUAUGCAACUUUGUCACCAAGCCAAAUUAGGCAUAAAUUUAGCAAAAAUUCACCAAAUAAUUACAAACUCAUGAGUUAAACAUCACCAAUAAUCAUCAAUAAGUUCAAUAAGCACAAUGUAAAGCACCAAACUUCACAAAAUGAAAAAAAUUCGAAAUUGCCCCAAAAAAUAAAAAAAAAUAAAAAUUGGCAAAAUUCAAAUGACAACAUUUGGUGAAGAUUUGUUACCUCAAACUUGUUGGUUGAUGAUUAUGGAUGCAAAUGGUGAAGAAACCCCCAAAAAUUUCACUCCAAUUCGGCCUCAAAUGGAUAGUUCAAAAAUUUGAAACCCUUGUUCUUGCUAAGCUCAAAUCCGAAUUUAGACUUGUUUUUGAAGAAUUUUUAGCUAUGAAAUCAUCUCUCAAGUGAAAAAGGAGUGUUUUGGUAUACUUGGUUUGAAGAUUGGAUGGUGAAAAGAGUGAGUUUAGUGAGUAGUGUGUGUUUUAGGUGUGAGUGCGUGUGUAAGUUGAAGAAGAGAGGAAAAAAAAAUUUCUGAUUGCAGAAGUGGAUCCGAGGCCUCGGAUCCGUGGAUUCUGCAUUUAUUGCAGCUCGGAUCCGUGGAUUCUGCAUUUAUUGCAGAAUUUUCUGCAAUUUUCAGUUUGGCCCCAACUUGAAACACACUCUCUAAUUCGUGCUCUACAAUGAAAUUUUGAACAAUUCAACACUUUACACACAUGGAAAGUGACUUAAACAUGAAUCUCAACACCUCAAAUCAAAUCAAAAACAUGUAGAAUCCAAAUUGAGGGUUGAAGUUCUUGGAUCAAAUAGUCCCCUCGACACUUCCAAAGCACAUGAUGGUGCUCAAAUGGUUCAAAAGAGUGCAAAUAGGUCAUGAACACAUUUAAACACUUGAAUGCACUUCAACUUCAUUCAAAUGACUAACUUAACCUCAUAACAUAAAAUUAAGCAUUGUAAAACUCAAAAAAUAAAGGUUAAGCUUCCCUUUUUCGCAUUAGUCUCCACUCCUUAUAAACUCCUUUGCACUUGAAAUAAUUCGCAUGAUUCCUUGUCAUUGCUACCUACAAAACACACAAAAACAUUAAUCAAACAACCAAAACUUACUAAAAACAAGAAAUCGUUGGGUUGCCUCCCAACAAGCGCUUCUUUAUAGUCAUUAGCUUGACUAUAUCACCUCAUUUUUCAAGGAGGUUUAGUUAACGAAUAAUCCACCAUUUUAGGCCGUGGUGGAUCAUUAAAAGGUGGCUUUAUCGCGAAAGCCGCAUAAUCUAAUGAUGUGAGAAAUGAAAGUGACUUACCUAUACCAAGUGUUUCAUAGAUAUUACCUUGAAUAUGCACCACUUGAGAACUUACCAAAUGAAAUGCCAUGAAAGUAUCUUGGGCAGGAAUAUCUUUAAAACCUGUACUUUUUAUACACUCCUCAAGAGGGGUGAAAAUUGAGCCAUUAAAACUCACCUCUUGAGGCUCAAAGUUAGUUCCAAAGAUAUUAUCAUGUGAAAUGGAUAUUUGCUCAUUAAAACACACUUGAGAUUCAUCAUUUUCAUCAAGAUGCGACCCAUUUUCACAUACAACAUUCCCACCAUUCAUGCUAGGAUCAUUUUGCAAAUUAUUAGAAGAAAUAACUUCACACAAUACAUUCAAUUGCUCAUGUAUUCUACCAAAGUGAGAAGCUAAUUCAUCUAUUCUUUCCUCAAUCCUAUCAAAACGAUCUGAAGUUGCAUUUGCUAGCUUUUCUAAUGCUAAAUCAAAUUGAUUAGAAAAAUUUUCUACAGCUAGCUCCCAAGAUGCAUUAGAAUCAUUAGCUAAUGGUUCACUUUCUAACUCCCAAGGUAGAGGUGUAUUAGUUAACUUCUCUAUUGCCAACUCCCAAGAUGGUUUUGAUUCAUAUUGGACACUUUCAGGUUGGUAAUCAUAAAAACAUGAAUUAUCACUAUAAGUACAUUGAUUAUUCCAACCAUAAGCAGGAGAAUUGCUCCAAUUAGCACUAUAUUGAUCAAAACAAGGAUUGUAAUGCUCUAAUUCAUCAUAAUAAUCCACAUUUUGUGCUUGCAUACAUGUAUUAGUAGCAUGAUAUCCUCCACACAAGUCACAAAUCACUUGAUAAGAAUUAAAAACAUUAGCAUUCCUCCUUUGUUCAAUUUCAUGCAUAAUUGUGUCCAUUUGAACUUGUAACAUCAUAACAUCAAAUUUAGCCUUUAAGCACCUUAAACCAUCUUCAAAAGAUAUACAUUCAGUAAAUUCUUGGUUACCUCUGUUGAAGGAGCUUUGCACUUGGUAACCAUCCAUUUCCAAUCUUCCACUUCUCAAGCAUUGUCCUCCAAAUUGACCUAUCCUUCUCAUCACCUACAAUUGCCUUUAAACAACUUAAGAGCAAAAUUAGUAAGAAGAAUAGGUGAUAAAACACAUACACAUAUAAAACACAGAAAAUAACAUUCACAGUGUAACUAAUAAUAUGUCUAAACUAAUAAAGUUGCUCUUCACACCGAUAUUGCCAAAUCUUCCCCGGCAACGGCGCCAAAAACUUGACGGGUAUUUUACAUACGUACAAGUUAAAAAACCGAAUUACACCCGUUCACUGCAAGUAUACAGGUCAACUAGUAGUUUAGGGUAUAUAUCGGGUCGAUCCCACAGGGAAGAGUGAACAAUUACCGGUAUUACUAAAGCUUCUCUAUUAUUUAGACUAUCAAUGAAUUAUAAGAAAUUUAACCUACUGAAAUUAUACAAAAUAACAAAUAAAAGCUCCUUAGGUUGUGGUAUCCCUAACUACUCAUGCAAGUGCUACAUUUGGAUCAUUGAAUACUACAUUUAGGCUAGUUAUGGUGUAAUUUCCUUAAACAUGUGAAACCUACUUUCGUAGUGAAUCAACUAUACUCAUAACUAAUCCAUACCUAUUUUCAUGGUUAUGAAAUUAGCUACAAGUUCAUUUCUUCAAUGAAAUUACAUGAAAUGAAUCACUAAAAACCACAUAAGUGCACCUCUACUUUCGUGAGUGUACUCCCUAUGUUUAGCACUUCUUGAACUAGUGUUAAAUCUCAAUUUUCAUUGCAGAAACAACACCUUAGAUAAUCACAAUUAAUGGUACCAGAUUAAUCAUGAUUUAAGAAGCCAAAGUGCUAAAUAACUUGCUCAAAUCAUAGCAAUCAAAUAACCAAAUAAUAAACACUAACAAUCAUAGAAAGUUCAACCAAACCCAAGGCUUAAACUUUAAAAACACAUAUUACACACGAAAUCCAGAACUUGUAUAUUAACUAAACUUGGAAUCAAAUACAAAAGAUAAAGAGUUUGGAAGGAAUACAACCCUUGUCACAUGAACUUUCUUCCUUGCCAUCUUCAUCCUCCAUCUUCAUCCUAAUCUAGAUAAUAAACAAGAAUGGUUGAACUAUACUACUCUAUACUAAGCAAAACUAAUACUAGGAAGAUGAAAGAGCUACAUUUCUGCAGACUUCAAGCUUCUCCCGUAUGUCUCUCUUGCUCUCUUCUUGGAUCCUCUCUCUUGCAAUGAAUUUUUCUACUCCUUUUGCAAUGAAUUUGGCUAUUUAAUGAUGAAAGGUUGGUCAAGAAAUGAUGUUUUCAACUCCCUUUUACAGCUGGGAAUGUUUCUCACAUGUCUAGCAUCACAUGUGAGUUGGUGGAGGUGAAAUUGAGUUUUACGCGUAUAAAGCAGCCUUUUCUGACCAGUGAUCCGAGCUGCUACAGUGCCUCGGAUCCGUAUGGAUCCGAGCUAGGAUCCACUAACCCAGAAACAGCCGAGGGUUCGGAUGAAUAGUGGAUCCGAGUGUGGAUCACUUGCUCUGUUUUUGGCCCAACUUCAACCGAUCUUUUCUUGAUGUUAGAGGCUGAACCAGCUCAUGUGUAAAACACGAAAGUUGUAGCCUUUUGAGUUAUCUUUCCAAUGCAUCAAGAAUCACCUCAUUUGGAUCUGUGUAGGCUGAGAUAUGACUGAAAUACCCUUGUCUGCUCAUUGCCCUGUUUCAGCUUCGACCAACAGAAAUUAGCUAAUGUAAUUCGGCUUUUUGAUUUUGAAAACCUUCAAACUGGAUUCGGAUGUCUUCACCAAAGUUGUAGAUAUAUCUCUUAUCUUCAAAUGGGUUCAAGAAUCAUCUCAAUCCGAUCAUUGUAACUCAAGUUAUAGCCGAAAUACGAAAAUGUGUCAAAACUGUCAAAAUACACAAAAUCCACGUAAAAAGUGAUAAAAACCUCAUUUAAUCACUUAAAAGCAUUUUUCACCAAUUAUAGCCAAAAUGAAUCAUUUUCUUCCAAUAAUAUACCCAAAGUGACUAAAAAUAAUAUAAAAUGUCAUACAAUUAUUACGUAAAUUAGUCACUUAUCAAUUAUAAUCAAGUUUGAAUAACCUAAGUAGGAUUUGUGUAAAAUAUACGUAUAACUAGUCUACUUGUGUCAUUUUUUCAUUCCCAAGGUGUGUUGACCCAGUGAAGGAAACAAUAUACCAUCAUGAAAAAGAAUUCGCCAUGAUGAUAUAACGUCUAUGAGGCGAAAGAACUGAGACCGAAAUUGAAAUGGGAAAUAAUUUAACUAACAAAAGUUAACUUUAGCAAGGGAAAAGAUUUACAAUUUAAAAUCAGAAAAAAAGAAGUUUAAUUAGCCAGCAGCUAGUCAAAGGAAAAACACUAAUAAGACAUUUCCUAGACACUUCCCAUCCUUACAUUCUACGCUACAAAUCUCAGUAUACGAUUAAAAAACAUGGACAAGACAUGGACAGGACUAAUAAAAUUGGCCUUCAUAAGGAAAAGAUAUUCCUAGCCAAAAAUGAACCCAAAAAAAUUCUUAGCUUACUUAUGUUAUUUUAUUGAUUAAAAAACAAGACAGUGGUUUUUUUUUCUUGGUGAUGUUUGGUGGAGGGCAAGAUAUGUAUUUACAAUCAUCUUUUUUUUUUCCUGACAUAUUUUAAAUCAUUUUGAAAGCGCUAAUCGGUAUAAUUUUUUUUUUUCCUAUAUCAAGUGCCUAAGCACAUUUUUUUUUUUUUUAAGUAAAAGACCUUCGCGCUAAUCGGUAUAAUCGUUAUACGAAACCAAACAUAAUGUGUGAAAACAAAGACCCAUAAGAUCCUAAUAUGGCAACAACAAGUGCUAUAAAACAACAAACACUACAAUCCAAAUAAAGUAGAUAAAAACCCUAAUUGCAUUUUCAAGCAAGAAAAAAUUAAGGUAAGUAGUAAUCAAUUUAUUUUAAGAAAACCUCCAUCAGGAAAUCCAAAGAAAGUGAGUAAAAACUCUUAUUGCAUUCUCAUCCAAGAAAACAAUAACGUGAUACGUAGUACCUAAGAAAGCAAAUGAACUUCCCACGAAAAAAUCAUCCACCAGUAAAAUUAUUACCAAAAGAAUGCGAAAAACCAAUCAAUAAAGAUAAUAGGGUUCUCAUAAGUAGCCACCACACACUUAGGUCAUUAACCAGGAAUCUGGAAACCCGAUUUAUCCAGAUUGAAAGUUUCGAUGUUGUGCAUCCCUGGAAUUGUCCACAGUUUGUCAAUAAAUUCUCCGAGGCGAUCGCAGUCGACCGGUCCAUCGUCCGGAUGAUCGUCUUCUUCACUUGGUGAAGCUGGUGCCAGAGAUGGUGGAGCAACUAGAGGCAUGGACAGUGGCAGCAGAAUCUGUUCAUCAUCCAUAUGAGCUCCCGAAUUCCCCAUGCUGACCACUUCAAUACUUUCCAGUUCUGGAGUUCUCUAUUUUGUCAAAGAAUUCUUCCACAUCAAUACGAUCUCCUGGCUUUGCCAUGUUGACAGCACCAACACUUUUCAUUCCCGGGAUUGUCCACAGUUUGCCAAAAAAUUCACUGAGGCAAUUGCAGUCUCCGCCCCUGCACAGUUCAUGUUCUCCAUUGUGAACCUGAACCUGAACGUGAACCUCUUCUUCAUGUGGUGGAGACGGUGGAGCAGCCCGAGGUGUGGGCGGAGGCAAUGGCGGUGCUGCUUUUGCCUUAUGAUUCUUGCUUGCGCGAGACUUGGCCAUCCUUAUUUUGCUCAAGAACUUCUUUGCACACUUCAAUGGGGGAUCAUGAUACAAUAAAAGGGGAAAAAAUGAUGAUCAGAGAUUUUGGAAUGGAUCAACAAUAUUAUACACUAUUGCAACUGGAAAAAAGUUAUAAUUUAAUUUGUUAUUGGAAAGUAAAAAGAAAAACUCGGAACUUUGAACAAGAAAAUUGAUUUUUCUGAUUUACCAAGCCAACUACCACAAUUUAUUAUAGAUCCAACUUUAUGCAUUGAUGACAAGGGUGGAUUUCAGACAAGGAAAAAAAAGGAAAAACAAAGACGGGUGGAUUUAUGACGAAACUAUAGUUAUUGUGCUAAAGUUUCUAAUCAUAAAGUUCAGCAUAAUUUCAAGUUGAAUACAAAAUAUUAUAUACUGCUUCUAAAUAUAUUGAGUGAUGGCAAUUCAAGAAGCAAACAAAAAAGACAAACUUCGUCUUUUUUAAAACUAAGAAAUUUCUGUGAACAGAGAAAAAAAAAGCAUCGAUUCAAUAACGAGCACAUCCAUUUAAAACCAUGCUUAACCAACAUAAAGUCAUGUAGAAGAUUGAAUCCUAUUUAUUUACCUUACGAAGAAGUUUGAAGGAGUACUUCAUGGUGGGAUGCCCGGAAGUUCUGGAAGAACCCUUGAAAGAAGAGUUUUCAAGGGCUCUAGGGAGACAACGAAUGAGGCACAAGAGAAUGUAGGCUGCGGUAAUCCACGUAUAUAAAUAGUGAACCAAAUCUUAGGCUUGUGCUGUAAUAGAAUAUUUACACAAUCUAAUUGUGGUUAAUUUCUAUAUAUCUGUAUCUCAACUUUGCUAAUGAAUUAAUUUCACGGAAAAGAAACUUGGGCAACAAUCAUUUCUGCAAAUGGCUAUUUAACAGCAAUGAAAGUAAGAAAGGCAACAUGAAUCAAUCUCCAAGGGAAAGAGAGAGAAAAAAAGAAAAGUGGAUUGGUGUAGGUGUAUUGGUCCAAUCCUAGUCUUGGCCCAUUUUCUUGUCUUCCCUCUUGACAAAAUAUUAGCCAUGAUUCUUGAUUCUCGAAAUAAAUUUAGAUUACAGUAUAAACUCCUAAAAUUUUGGCACUGAUUCUGCUGCCAAAGAGCAAGAAAGCGUAAAUUUGACAUAUUGUUUGAUCUUUUUUUAUUUCCCUAAUCAAUCAAAAUUCUUUCUCCUUUUACAUUUUCUAGAAUCCUCUCUUAUGGAUUUUCAUCCCACCUGUCCCGCGAAUUGGGCUAAAAGUGGACCCCAGAAAAUUAAAAGAAAAAGUGUUAUUACGACAUCAAUGUGCUCCUUAUUUUCUUGGCCUGCAAUCAUCUUUUAAUUUUUUGCCCCUUACAUUCUUUCAAAGGUUUUUCUGUCAUUGCUUCUAAUGUAAGGAAAAUGGGCGCCGCGGGGCGGGGCGGGCGAUGGUAGGGUGCAAGAAACAAAUAUGUUAAUAUCCAUCAACUCCUACGGUCUUGCGUCUCCUUCUGCAACUUAUUAUUUUUAAAUUUAAUACUUUUCCAUAGGGGUUGUCCUCAUCUUUGGACAUUUUCAUAUUGCACUUUUUUUUUACUCGUAAAAUUCGUACAGAUAUUGUCUCCACUCAUCAAUUUUUAUUUUAUCUACAACCUUGGGAUCUAAAAUCUUUUCCCUUUAAUUGUAUUACUUUUAUUAAAAGCUAAAGCACCAUACGGAUGAAUUUUAUGUAGGCAACCUCCUAGUUUUCUUCUUUUUCCUUGUUAUUUCUUGAAAAUUUUGUUUAGUUAUUCAUUUUCAUACUAUUGAAUUUGAGCUAUGGACAACUUUUGUCCUUUAGUUUUAGACUCAAUCUUAGGGAAACAUUCUUGGUUUUCCUUAGCAUAUCAAUAGGAAAGGACUAAGUUGGAUUCACAUGAUCCAAACUCAGGCCAGUAAUUUUAAAUUUAUUAAUAUUGAGACCAGAUUUUUUGAUAAAUCCAUUAAGUACUUAAAUUUAAUGCAUUAAUUGAUUUUUCUAUUAAGUUUGUUUGAUAACAAAAUUUUCUAAUCCCUAAUAAUUAAGACCCACUUAAUUUCUUUAUAACAUUUUAACCGAAAGGUAGAUAACUUAAUUUGCUGAAUGUUUAUACCAGUGUGAUAAUACUACUCAUUCAAAAUUAUUUUAAUUUCACAUAAUGAUAUAUUUUCAUGCACACACCCAUACUCUCUCUCUCCUCGCACACUUUCAUAAAUAUACAUAUACAAUCUCACACACAAUCACACACACACACACACACACACUCUCUCUCUCUCUCGCACACUAUCUUUCUCCUCACACGCUUUCAUACAUAUACAUAUAGACUCACACACAUAAUCACACACACACACAUAAUCAUGCACAUAUGCACGUUAUUUUGUCAAACACAUUUUCAAACAUAAUUUGUUUAUUAUACACAUAAAAACACAAAUAUUUCUUUUCAAGGACACAUUUGCAUACAUAAAUACACAUGCAAAUUCUCUUUUCAUCAUAUUGGCAUUUCAUUUUAGCAACAUUAACAAGUGAUAUAUACAGAAUUAAUGCGAUUCAAUAGUAAAACAUAGUAUUGGUAUUAAACUAUAUAAUAUACAUAUAAUCAAAUUUUAUAAUUCAAUUCUCAAAUUUAGCAAGUUAUUAAAUUUAUUUGAUUGAAUGAAUCUCAGCAAAUUCAGACUUAAGUACUUAAAUUACUGUGACGCCCCUACUUCUCCCUAAAGCGAACCAAAGGGUAUCCGCGGGACGCCUGCCCAACUCUCGCCACGACUCAAGUAAUUUCCGUCCAAGCUUAAUACAAUACUAGACGUUACGAUUAAAUAUCAUAAAUACAAUCAGUGCGUAAGCAUUCAAGCUUAUCAAUAUUCAACAUCUGCCCAAUCAUUACAUCGGAACCUCGAAAUACAUCAAUAUUCAAAAUAUGCAUCAAUCACAAGUCUAGCCCCAAAGUGCAAUGGAAACCCUAAAACAGGAGUACACCAAGAGGGGUUUCUCCAACAUUUCUCCAAGUCCAAUCCUGUUAAAGAAAACAAAUCUACAGGGUGAGCAAAAUGCUCGUGAGGCCAAGAACACACAUGCAAGCACGUUGUUCAGGUAACAAGCCCAAAUAACAGUUCAAAUGAUAAAUUACAAGUAAUUCAUAAAGCCAACGAAAUGUAAACAGAAACAAUUCAAGGAUAUGGUAGCUCUUAGGAGCUAAGUUCCACUUGCUUUGCCAGUUCAUUCGUAUAUCUUCCCGCGAUGACUCUCCGUCAACCGGGUUGAUAUUUCCAAACCGUAGAUCACCACUUACUUCUCAUCCGUCCACCCUACACCGCUUUGGGCCCGCACGACAUUUAUAAAGCUAUACUCCACGAGUAUGCCAAGCAAGAUCUCUCAAAUAGAUCAAGCUUAUCAUGUGAUUCUCAUGGCUCCCCAAGGUUCUCGACCAAUCCCAUGCCGGCUCGAGUCCCAAGGUCGGCCUAUGAGUUUGGGCGUCCCCAUGUAUCAUGUAAGUGUCGAGGAGAUUCAAUAUAUACACAUAGUGAUGGAUCUUCCCAAAAUAACUUUCCAAUUUUAUCGGAUCACUUUUCAAUCUCCAACUCCUAUAAGGAAAACAAAGCUAAAAGGUUGAGCUAAAGCCCAGUGAGAUUUGCCGAGCAAGUAACAUUUAAUAAACACUGAAAUCGGUACAAUUAAGCAAGUAAUGCAAAUUUCACUGUACAAUCACUUUCAUUAAACAAUUGAGGAAACACUUCACUAAACAAUCACUUUUAAAGGAUACGGUGCUCGCAUUAGAGCCACUUCAAUGCACUACACACUCCGCCGAACUCCUCCUUAUAACCUCCAAAACAGUAAACACUUCCCUCACUUAGAUGACCAUAUCAAUAUUGGUAAUCUGCUACUCCGUGAUAAUACUCGAGCAUAUCGAAACACUUAUCCAAAGCUACCGUCCUAUCCGACCAAACCCUUUUCUAACUCGAAUAGUCCGUUGAACAGAGGGUUUUGGGGCCCAGUUCAGCCGGUGUGACAAAGUACACACACGGCUUAUAGUCAUGCACACUUACAAUAUCACUUGAUCAAUUAAAUCAUUUGAAUUAGGUUUGACUUUAAAUAUAACUAUAACAUAUUCAAUAUUUAUUCUAUUUUAUUGUCUAAACUAUUAAAAUCAAGUUUGACCCUAAAUGCAAAAUAUACGCGAUAUUUAUACCCCAAUAUUUAUUUUCCAAUUUAGUUCGAAACUCCUUGACUUUAUUAUCUUAAAUCAAGAUACAUACGUAUUUUUCGAGUUAAUAAUUUAUAAAAUAUUUAGUUUAGAAUUAAAUCAUUUUCCACUCAAGAUUCUAGAAUUAAGGCUUACAAGUACUCCAUUGGUCCCUUUUUAAUUAAUGAAUCCCUAGGUUAUUUGGUAAUUAGAUUUUAUUCCACUACACCAGUCACUCAAAUUUUAUAGCCUUUAAAAUAUUUGUGAAGACAAUAUUAAAUAAUUAGAGGCUACUUUUCGUAUAUAACUAUCGUGAGUUUUUCACUCAAUCGUCUUAGUUUAACUCUACUCAUGGACAUAGCCGUUAAUUCUCAGAACAAUCAUAGCUAUCAUUUAUAAAAGCUUACAGGUUGGAAAUUAGAAGAAAUGCUGGUUAAAACUAGUUCCUCACGGCUAGCAUCUUAGCAAAGUGCAUUCGGAAACAAAACGAAAGGCAACGAGAAAGGCAGCUUUGCCAUCCUCCGGUAUUUCGAUCAUAACUAGAGUUACGCUUAUCGGAUUGAGGCAAAUUUUAUAGCGUUUCGAAGCUAAGAUAUAGACCUACAUUUCUUAUGAAGAUAUCGAUACCCAUUUCUCGCAUUUUCAGGGUCAAAAAUGGCCGGACAGAAGCACAUUCUGCUUCAUUCCCUCGGCCGACAUCCUGCAAUCAGUGAACUUGUUCCCCCCUUCAUCACUCAGUUUAGUUCCUACUCAUUCCUGUUUUUCUGGUUAAAGUUUAGAGGCAUUAGUACAGGGUUUCAACUCUGUAAGUCAGUUUAGAAGCUAAGGUUUUGCAGGGAACAGUCAAGGAGCCGAAACCAUAGCUGAACCAGGCCUUCUACUCGGCCAAAUUGAAAGAAACGCAUGCAGCAGCUAAUUAUACAACAUGAAGCUCUUCAAAGUGUUUUUAGUUGUAUACCAAUCUUCCAUGCAAGCUGCAGCUAACAUACUAUGCAACAAAUCAGGUUUCAAGGUGGAAUUUUUAGAGCCAAAGUUCGUAAAGAAACCUGGUAAGUUUCUCUCCCUUCUCUCGGUUGAAGUGGAAAGAAUUCCAGCAGCUAUUUCUAUCAUUUCCAGCUUACUCCUCUCGGUUCCUAACUACUUUUCUUUCGAGCAGCUAUUCAGUUUCCUCAACUAAAACUCAUUUUUCCUAGUUAAAAUUUAACAUGCAGCUUAGGCAUUUAAUUAUACUAAAUAAGUAGGAGUUUGUUGCACAAUUUUUUUUUUACCUCUUUCCUUUAGAAUUCAACAGUUGCAGACUGCUCCAGUUUUUAAGCUUCGGUUCCGCCAGAUUGCACCAGCUCUCACUCUUUUCCCUCACUGAUGCAGUUGAGGCAUGAGUUGCAGACUGGUUUCACCUCUUUGUACUCGCUCUUAGCUCGCCGUUCUAAGGUCACAAGCUAGAUGAAUGCAGCUAACACUGUCUAACUCUCUCCUCCUCACUCUUUCGGUUGCACUGGAAGCAAGAGAAAAUCAGAAAUGCUUCCUUUUCUCCCUUUUGAUUGUGUACUGAGAUGAGAGCAAUAUGUCUUAGUUUCUCUCGGUCUUGCUCUCACUCUCUCUAUCUUGCUUUCUUUCCUCAAUCUCUCUGUUUCCUCUCACUCGGUGGUAUUUGGAAAUGCAUGGUGUGACCGAAACUCUCCCUCAGUUUGGUUUCUAAUACUGGGUUGGUAAGAAGAGAAAUGAACAUAUUUCCUUCACUCAGCCGACCACUCAAACCUCUUCAUUCGGUGCUGAUCAUUCCAGCUCUCAUUCGGUCACUGCUUACUCAGCAAUUUUGGUAGCAGGUUCACUUCGGCAGCUG
rnacentral:lncRNA from 1 species